rnacentral:lncRNA from 1 species
UCCCAUGCCAGCGUCGCCGGGCCCGCCGGACCCUCGCCUACCUCGCGCUGGUGGUCACCGUCCUCUUCCAUUGCUUGUUCGCCAGCGCCGUCUGGGUCUUCCUCACCGCCGACCCAGGAUACAUCUUCGGCAGGAUCUACUUCACCGCGGGCUUCUGCUUCUUCGUGGUGGGCGACCUCCUCAGCUUCCGGGCCCUUCUGGGAGGUGAUGGGUGGGGCAUGAAGUACGUAGCCUAUUUCUUCUGAUCAUGUUCGUGGAUCAGCUCAUGAGGUACUACUGAUGAGAGCGUAGUUCUAGGGCGUACUCUAGAGUAUGCAUUGAUUCUGCUGUGACGACUGAUAUGGAGUAGUGCCAUAUUUGCGAAUCUAGUAACUGGUGUAGUGUUAAUUAGUAUCCAGAUCGACUCUAGUAGUAGUUACUCCAUUUGGGCAAUGCUUUGCUGGCUAGUAUAUAAUUAGACUGGAUGGAUUGGUAGAUUGCGGUUAUCUUUGCUGUAUUAUUCAACCCUCUAUGUAUGCAUGUGAUCGUCAGACAUGAGUUAUAUCUUAUAUAGGUCCAGCUUCGCUAUAAUUUGAUGUUUCUGAAAUUGCUGCUGCAGUGUAUAUCUAUGCACACAUUGUUGUUUCUGAUGUUAAAUUUUGUUUUUAUUCAUUCCGGCAACCGCUGGCUUGUCCUCUCGGCUGGGCUGCGUGGGGUGCUCUCAGCUGAGAUUGAGUGACCCCCGUCCCGACCAUGCUUGUGACCAUGCAAUCACAAUUUGAUGUAUGGGACACCAUGGUUUGAAAUGCCCUCCUGCCGAUUGAGGUUCUUUUUUUAUGCUUUUACCUAUGGAGAUCCACACGCCGACACUUGACUUGUGGGAGCGCGCGGUUUCACCACAACGCCGCGCGUGUAGCCACAUAUGGCGGAUGUAAUACAAAAAUAAAGAACGCAAUGGUCCUCCUUGAACCUUCAAAAAAUAAGUAUCUUCUGAUCGUGGAGUCGAUAUUUGGGUCACGAGUUAUCAAUCAUCCAAAGAGUUGUGAAAUUGUUUCACAACUUACACAUCCCGGUACGCCUCAAACUAAUGGGGUAUCCGAAAGGCAUAAUUGAACUUUGUUGGAUGUGGUUCAACUAAGAGAGAAAUACAUAUUUCAACCUUCUCAACUUCUAGUUUAAUUUAGAACCCCAACUCCAAAUACGGUUAGGACACCGUUUGAUUAGCCGCAUAGGACGAUUGGAGGGUGGUUCUACAUGAUGUAGCAUCUAGGCUAACUAGUCAACGUUGAUGGCAGCUAGGUCAUAAAAGUAAAAGAUAUAUUGAUUGUCCCGCAUAUCAUACCAUAAUNNNNNNNNNNNNNNNNNNNNNNNNNNNNNNNNNNNNNNNNNNNNNNNNNNNNNNNNNNNNNNNNNNNNNNNNNNNNNNNNNNNNNNNNNNNNNNNNNNNNNNNNNNNNNNNNNNNNNNNNNNNNNNNNNNNNNNNNNNNNNNNNNNNNNNNNNNNNNNNNNNNNNNNNNNNNNNNNNNNNNNNNNNNNNNNNNNNNNNNNNNNNNNNNNNNNNNNNNNNNNNNNNNNNNNNNNNNNNNNNNNNNNNNNNNNNNNNNNNNNNNNNNNNNNNNNNNNNNNNNNNNNNNNNNNNNNNNNNNNNNNNNNNNNNNNNNNNNNNNNNNNNNNNNNNNNNNNNNNNNNNNNNNNNNNNNNNNNNNNNNNNNNNNNNNNNNNNNNNNNNNNNNNNNNNNNNNNNNNNNNNNNNNNNNNNNNNNNNNNNNNNNNNNNNNNNNNNNNNNNNNNNNNNNNNNNNNNNNNNNNNNNNNNNNNNNNNNNNNNNNNNNNNNNNNNNNNNNNNNNNNNNNNNNNNNNNNNNNNNNNNNNNNNNNNNNNNNNNNNNNNNNNNNNNNNNNNNNNNNNNNNNNNNNNNNNNNNNNNNNNNNUGGGAGUGUUGGGGCUUUGUGCCGAAGAAGACAUGGAUAACGACUCGCUAGCGUGGCCCGGCAUGCCCCGGUUCUCUAGGGCCACUUUGGCCUCGUGUCAUGCUAGCUCAUGCAUAGUAUCACUAGUAGAGAAAUAGUUACUCACAAUAAAAAGUGGUGACACACCAGUUUCAAUCCAGGCCAUCACUGAUUUUUUAAAAUAGCAGUGGUGUUGGCAUAUUUCGCACACCCUAUGUAAUGCAUUAUUGGUGGCGUGGAAACAAAUUGGUACACCAUCAGUAUGUGGGACCCAGUAGUCUGGGCGGGUUGCAAGAUUAAUGGUGGCGUGUCAAAUUUUACCAUGCAACCACUAUUGUAAGGGGAAACCUUGUUUUUGCCCACUUUGCAUAUGCCACUCUAGAAUUUGCCAUUUCAUUUUCGCCACUUUUAGCUUUUUACAAUACAUCACAAUUGCAAUUAUGUGGCAAAAGCAAAAAUUUCAGGAGUGACAAUUGAGAUACGGUGUCAAAAGCCAAGACUGUAAAAGUGAAACCGUUUUUUUUUUGCUUUUGCCAAAAAAAAUGACAUUUGUGAUACAUUGUCAAAAGGUAAGAGUGGCCAAAUUGAGUUGUCAAAUUCUAGAGUGGCAUAAACAAAGUGGAAACAAAAUUAGAGUGGCAAUUUUUCCCCUAUUUUAAAUAGGUAUGUUGUGUUACUUUUUGUUACGCCGCCAAUAUAUUAAGGGUCCGAAUAACUGCCACACGUGUGGCGUCGAUAGGAACCCGCCCGCACGCCUCGUGCGGCAUAGACGGGGAUCGGCCCGCACGACCACGUCCGAGCGCACAAAAGCACGGCCCGCACGUCCGGUGUGUGGCAACCCCUCCCGCACUGCCCCGUCCGGGCCAGAAGACCGGCUGCCCGCACGACCCAGUCGAUCCACGCCUCUGAUCCAUCCCCUCUCUCGUACGCCGCCAUCGUCCCCCACCUCUCGAACCCCGACAUCCGUCGCCGGCCAUCCCUGGUUGCCAUGGCAACCAGGGCAGAUCCGUAGGGCGCUCCGACCCCAAACCACACCCUAACCCUUCCCAUCCCCAGCCGCCCACUCCAAUCCAGCCCUCCAGACACGAUCAACUAAAACCAGGUGAAAAAUCUCGAUCUCGUCCUUCCCUCUCAUCCUUAAGGCUGAAAAUCUCCCAAUCUUGUACUGGGUCCAUACUAUAGGGGUAGAACACUGCAUGGUUCGGUGUAUAUUCGCAAUUGCCAGGCAGAAUACACCAGAUUUGCCAUGUACUACGUUUGAGGUUAACUUAGGUGCCUAGUUUAGGCACUUAAGUAGUUGGGUAUGAAAUGGAUGAGUAGGAAUCCCUAAAAAAGGGCAGGAAGGACGAUUUUUUGAAUGAAGAGGGUGGGAAAAAAUAAUUGCCACUUGUGUGUAACGACAGUUGCCGCUUGUGUAUGAUGACAAUUGCCACCUAUUUUGACCUGUUGCUUGCCAUCCCUAUCUUCCAUGUGCAAGCAGCAGAAGAAUACAAUUCUUGUGGAUUAUUGAUGCCUUUUUGAUCAUCCAGUGAUUGAGAACAUGUCGGAAAAGAAUCGAGACGCGGAAAGGAUGAAUCGCGAAGGUGGCGCUGAUGCUUGGGGUUCUAAAAGGCCAGAAACACCGCCUUGGGAUGCAGCAGAGUAUAGUCAACUCAUCUCUGCAGGGCCGUUGCUGCCACUACUAGAAUAGUAUGCAGGCGUAGGUAUGAUGCGUGGUAACAAAAAGAAGAGAGCAGUUGCCAACUUCGCAACGAUGAAGAUGACAUUCUACUUAUGUCCUACACUCCCAUUUUUUUGCAGGUUCUUAUGACCAAAACACUCUCAGGGGGGCCCCAUGGCAAGUUCAGUCACAAGGCGCUAACACUGACAUAUUUACGGGCAACCAACCUCAACUAGCUAGUAUGGCUAAUCAAGGUAAUGCAAAAACCAAAAAAAACACAUACUGCUGUGGACGUGAAAAAUGGACAUGCAAAAAAACUGGCAAGAGGACUCAUGAGUUAUCACGGGUGAAAAUGCAGGGCCUUCAUGCAGCACGUGGCAUCAGCCAACACCCAUGUACCUGCCAUCCACGUCAUACAUAGGUCAGUCCAUAAAAAAAGUGAAGUUGCGGAUGUUCAAUUAGUAGAAGGGGCAUAGUUGGCAGCUCCAAAUUGCCAUGACUGGACUUCUACAAUUGCCAUGAAUUUAAAACUAUAUUUGCCAUCCCUGGACAACUGUUGUUGCCAUCAGUGGACACUUGCAGUUGCCAUGGAGAAACAACUGCAGUUGCCAUGCCAGAGCAACUACAGUUGCCAUGUCAUCGCAACUGCAGUUGCCAUGGAGGAACAACUGCGGUUGCCAUGCCGAUGCAACUAUAGUUGCCAUGCCAGUAAAACUGCAGUUGCCACAUCAGGGGCGACUGCAGUUGCCGUGCUAGCACAAACUGCAAAUUGCCAUGAAUUGACCAACCACUACUAUGCUUACAGCGUAUUACGCUGGUGGUGACACGGCAAUCGUCCCGUGGCAAGCUUCACAAAUUGCAGGUGGAGCACGACAUUUUGGUGUCACAGACCACACAAGAUGGCCAAAUGCAACACAACAAGGUAAGGAAAAAAAAUGAACCACAAAAAACAUCACUACAUUUGUUGUUUGUAGUUUUUUGUAGGAAAAACAAUAGUUGCCAUGUUUGUUGAACAGUACCUGCCAUGACUGGACAGCUACAGCUGCCACACAUGUCCACACGCAGUCUCACGGCUUGCUGUUUGAAAAUAUGUCGUGCCAAAUCAAUCGAAGAUGGUGUGAUCCGUUGUGAUACACAUCUUAUUCAACCAAAAAAUCUUACUCUCGUGCUUGUUUUUUCUAUUACAGAACCUACAACUACAGUGAACAGCGGUGCGGGGACAUCUACUGCGGGGAGCUCUGAGCGCACGGAAGACGCGUUCCACCAGCCAGCAGACUGUCAUGCCGCAAACAAUUUCGAGUAAGAGUCGGGAAUGGCAAUCAUUCCAGCAAUGCCGACGAGCACCCCUUUGAACACAAGCACUAGCAACACUCGAGUAGAUGGAACUGCCGCCGAUACUGAAGCGAAUGAUGAAACUGACGAUGAUGCACAAGAGGAUGAAGAUGGUGGGCAAUCCGAGAUCGUGGUACCUCAGCCACCAUACAUUGGGCAGAGAUUUGGAUCGUUCGCAGAAGCAAAGGAAUACUACCAGGCAUACGCAAAGUUCCAUGGAUUUGCGGUCAACACCGAGUACCAUAGGAAAAUUAAGAAAACUAAUGAGUACAGCAGAGGUGAGAUGAGGUGCCACAAGGCACGGAGGAACAAGAAGGGGAAAGGUGUUGCGCCUGUCGUUCCGGAACGAAAGAGAGGCAUCAUUCUCAAGACGGGGUGCCCUGUCCGGUGUAAGCUAAACGUAGAUGGAGCAACAUGGGUGGUCAAUGAGUAUUAUGACGAGCACAACCACAAACUUAUAAAGAAGUUCGACCUGGUGAAAUUUCGGACCGCCCACAGAGGGUUCACCCCCGUCGAAAGGAAAUUCGUAAAGCUGCUACAUGAUUGUAACGUCGGUCCAUCAAGAAUGGUACAGAUACUAUCUCUCAUCCACAGCAAAAAGGGGACUCUGAGUAGCAUGCCGUACAUACCAGCUGACGUCACAAACCUACAGGCCAAGUACCAUAGAGAGAGCAAGUUGGCAGACAUAGAGGCCACAAUAGCCUACUUCGAUGCGAAAGCAAAGGAAGAUCCAGAUUUCUUCUACAGGAUAAGGUUGGACGAUGAGGACCGUGUCAGGAACAUGUAUUGGGUGGAUGGUGCUGCAAGGAGAGCCUACAAACAUUUCCGAGAUUGCAUUUCAUUCGACGCGACGUACCUCACCAAUAUGUACAAGAUGCCAUGCGCUCCGUUCAUAGGAAUAAAUAACCACAAUCAGUCGUUGCAGUUCGGAUGCGGCCUCGUCCGGAACGAAGACACAGAUGGGUACGUUUGGCUGUUCAAGACCUUCUUGGAGUGCAUGGAUGGACUUGCUCCGAUGAACAUAAUAACGGACCAAGAUUUCAGCAUGCGUGCAGGCAUAGAGGAGGUCUUUCCGUUGGCAGUGCACAUGCACUGCAGGUGGCACAUUAUAAAGAAGGCUAAGGAGACGCUAGGACCGUUCUUUGCCGACCGUCCAGAGCUGCACAAGGCAUUCGAGUUGUGCAUGGACCACAGCUUGACGGUGGAGGAGUUUGAAAGGAGCUAGAUGGCCAUGACUGAAACACAUCAAGUCCAGGACAACGAGACUCUUGUUAGCCUGUGGGAGAAGCGAAUGUACUGGGUGCCGGCCUACUUCAUGCAGUGCUUCUUCCCCUUUCUGCAGACUACACAGCGCAGCGAGGGGUUCAAUGCUGUUUUAAAGCGGUACGUCAGCCCUGGCAACUCAUUGCUACAGUUUGCCAAGCAGUACACAGCUUUGCAACAAAAAAUUCUGGGAUCUGAGCUACAGCAAGAAGCGACCACAGCCCUAAAGCAGCCAAAAUUGCUAACGUAUUUACCGAUGGAGAGGCAAAUGAGCAAGAUAUACACCAACAAGAUCUUUAACAAGUAAGUCAGUUGCAUUACAGUCUUAUUUGCAUAAAAAGCACCAAGUCAGUAGGGGCCUUAUAGAGUGCAAUGCAGUUGCCAUGACAUGCAGCUGCCAUGUUUAAUGAAAUACUGUUUGCCAUGCUUACUCAGAUGCAGUUGCCAUGUUAAAAUGAAAAUUUUGUUUUGGCAUACUUGCUCGGGUGCAUUUCCCUUGUUGAAUGAAGUGCAGUUGCCAUGUUUUAUGCGCUGUGCUUCCAUUGGAGCAUGUUGGCAUGCAAAUGCCAAUGUCAAAAAAUGCUAAAAAAAUGUUAUAUUGGCGACACAUAUGCUGAAAUGCAGUUGCUAUGUUUAAUGAAAUGCAUCUGCCCUUUUUUUUGAAAUGCAAUUGACAUGUUUACUCAGCUGUAGAUGCCAUGUUUAAUAAAAAUGCAGUUGCCAUGUUUUAUGCAAUGUGCUUCCAUUGGGGAAUGUUGGUGUGGAAAUGACGAUAUCCAGUUGAAAAUGUACUGCAAUUGUCAUGUCUGUUGUACUGCAAUUGCCAUGUAUGUUGUAAUGCAUUUGCCAUGUGUAGUGUACUGCAUUUGCCAUGUUCAACGUAAUAUAUUUGCCAUGUUCAAUGAACUAUGUUUUCCAUGUUCAAACAAAAUGUAUUUCUAUUUCCAUGACAACAUAAGGGUGUACAAGAAAAAGAUCGCACGAAAGUUUAACAGAAAACACACAAAACUUGCAGAUUCCAGGAAGAAAUAAAGCGUGCCAGCAUGUUCACGGCUUUCCGGGUGGAUGAACAUACGUUCAAGGUGUGUUCUAUUUUGGGCAUGUCAGAUUCAGAACCUGAAGACGCGGACAAAGGAAGGAACUACUUCGUCAGAGCCUCGAUAGGCGAAGGCGAGUACUACUGCCAAUGCUGCAAAUUCGAACGGGACGGCAUUGUGUGCUGUCACAUACUAAAAGUCAUGGACAUGAACGCUGUGACACGCAUGCCCCGCCAUUUCAUAAGGAGGCGAUGGACUUGGGACGCUGACGACGCGUUGGCGCCGCAGACAACACACGCAGUUCUAGCUGUGCAUGACGAGAGACCUGAGUCAACCAUGGAAGCCGUGAGGCACGUUGUGCUGACAAAGAACUAUGCUGAGCUAAUUGAUGAAGCGUGCAAGAGUGAUGACACAGCGAGAGUCGCAGAAAAACACAGGAAGGCACUGAAAAGAGAGCUUGAUGAGAUCAAAAAAAGGAAAGCCGAGGAAGCCUUACACCGGUUCCCCCGCACAUCAAGUGUGCCUUCAUCCACGGGGCCAUCGUCUGAAAACUCGGAGAUAGGAUCUGGAACAGCAAGCACACAAACCCAGGUCAGGAACCCACCCCGUUCCAUCACAAAGGGUCGUCCGAGAGAGAUAAGGUACAAGUCGGGACUGGAGAUUCAAGCAAAACACAAGAAAACGAAGAAAGGGGCGGGCAAUCCAUGAGCAAAAAUUGGGGCGCUGUGACAUGGUUCAUGUGGACAUUUUGUUUUGUACCCCUAUACGAUGGGAUUUUUUUUAAUUGGGAGAAUGACUCUUGAGGGGGGACAGAAGUAGAAGGAAAAUUCAUUGAAUGGAUAAAUGCAUUUGCCAUGUUAUGGGUACUUAAUCUGCCAUGUUAUGUGUAGUUAAUCUGCCAUGCUAUUUUAUACCAAAUAUGCCAUGCUAUUUUAUACUAGAUAAGCCAUGCUAUUUUAUACUAAAUAUUCCAUGCUACUUUAUACUAAAUAUGCCAUGUUAGUUGUACUGGAUCUGCCAUGUUAGUUGUACUGGAUUUGCCAUGUAAGUUGUACUGGAUCUGCCAUGUUAUUUAUGAUGUAUCUGCCAUGUUAGCUGUACUGAAAAUUUCCGGAUGCUUUUUGUAAUGACUCUGCAUGGCAUAUAUCCCCAUGACAAAUACGAUGCGGUUUAGAAGCACGUAGUGUGUUGUAUGCAAUGUAUGGGAAAACAAGUUGGAAAAAAAGCGUAAACGUGCAUAAACCGCAGCAAACGUUAUGGCUACAUGAUAAACCUACCCAAUGCUAGCCGGUGCAAUUAGCGAUGAAAAAGAACAAGCAAAACAGCCAAAAAUGAAAAAGUGACGAUGACUUUCACUAACCAUGUCUGUUGAACUACAUUUGCCAUCUUGUUUUUGAAAACAUCGCAGACGCAUUCGAAACAGCAAAAAACAAUGCUAGAAACGACGAAACCACUGUUGUAAUGAUAAACAUAAAAACAUAUCUGAUGUAACGCCUAAAAUAGGUUCACGUCCACACAUGUAUUACAGAAAACACUAAAAAUGUCGCUAACACGCCACCAUUACAUAGUAGGCUACACGAGGUUGCAGUCAUAACGUAGCACACAAAACAUAGUUUUCGACAAAGAACAGAGAGAUAGUACCUUACAUUCCUCAACAACAGAAUGUAAGGUGUGUGUCUGGUGUGUAACGCCACGUGAUCACUUGUACUUCUUGAUGACUUGCUUGACAGCUUCCUCCACGAACUCGCGUGCUCCGGACCGCUUGUUGAAAUCUUCAUUCGUCAGCCAGUUCCAUGUGCAGAUUUUUCGGAGCUCAACGACCGUUGCAUCUGUGAUAGCGGGGACAAUUCUGCCUUCCCACUUUGCAAAGUAUUCCAGCGCGUGAAAGCCACAGUCCGUCCUGCACGAGGAAAAAGAGUUUAGGUGAACACGCAAAAUGGACAGCUGCAGCAAAGAUGGACUUCAGUUCAGAUGUGUCAACAAAAAGAGGGGGUGGAUUGAUGUAAAAAUGGCACAUGAAGGAGCGGGUUAAAAGAAAUUAUGUGUUCCCUUGCUUCACAGUCGCCACAUACUCAGUCGGGAAAUGCCUGAUCUGGACCUUUGAAUGUUCGUAGUGACGGUUCCAAGUCUCUUUGAGGUUCUUGAUGAAGAGUUCAGCAUGCGUAGUAAGGUCUGCAUCAGCUUCCGAACGGAUUGAAUCAAGCACCUCGAUACGUUGGUUCUUCAGCUCAAGACAGACCGCAUAGUGGUGACCACACUUGUCGUGUCGGUCGUGUGGUGCAAGCUCCUGGAACAUGGGGAACAUGACCUGCAUUUAAAAAAGUGAAGAAAUGAGAUACAAAGUUCACAUGAAAGAACAACAGAGGGACAAAAAAUUAGAAUCACGUAGAAAUGUUUGAUUAUGGGUGGGAAUAGUUGAAAGAAAGUUGCCGUCCAUUGUAUGAACAAAAUGAGCCAUGUAUUUUACUAUCAAGUUGCCACAUAGUUUGCAUGGGGAUACAAAAAAUCAAGAAGUCAGUGUGCACGGCAACUGUUGCCACAUGAAAACUUCUGCCACACAAACACAAGUACAGGUUCUGGCAAAAAACCACGCCAUGUGAAAAAACGGUGCAGACAGGAAAGGAGUACUCACAUAUUUCUUCAGUGUGAGCUUGAAGUCACCGUGUUGUGCAAAAUUGUUCCUCAGGAUUUUGUGGUGGAAGUCACCAUCCCAUAUUUUGCAGGUCACACUGUAAUGCAUGAUUAUCUUGUCGGCGCAUACAUCGGUGUGAUUGUUGAUGUAGUCGAUCCCGCAUGCAACUACAUUCGUCGACAUUUUUCCGUUUGGCCUCAUGGACUCGGCAAGAUCACCCAGGUCGACGUACGUCGCUCCGCACUGAAUGACUUUCGUUCUGUCCAAACAUGAGCUGUAUGAAAAUGAUAUAGCAUGGAAGAAUCAUGCCUACUAAGUAAAAAAAAUAUAUGAAAGAACUAAAACGUAAGCGGAUCAUUUAUAAAAAGUACGAAGUAGAUAAAUGGUAAAAAAGAGCAAGCAACAUGAGAGAUUAUGGGGUAUGGUAAUUUACGCUUUCAGCUCCUUCAUGUGCUUGCUGUUGGUCCUUGCAUUUCCAAAAUGCUUGACGAUAUCGUACAGCUGGGUCUGUUCCUUAGUGGCCCUGAAUUCGGGCUCGUAGUCUUCCGCGGGGGGUGGGUGAACUACCCUCUGCUGCCUCACAGGACCAGGGGUGACACUCCUAAUGGUAUCCUCAGAUACCGUAUCUGCAGGCGCAUUGGAACUUGAUUGCCCUUGCCCUCGUGAGGAACUCCUCUGCAAUGUUGUCUCCUCGAUCAUGCGGUAAACUUCAUCAAGUGACGGUGAAAUCUCCUCAGGGGUGGCUGCAAUGAAUAUAAAAAAAGUGGGUUAGGAUACAUAUAAAAUCCAAAAACAGAUGGAUUGUGAGGAGGUAAAGGUCCAUGAUGUGAUAUGUAGGUAGAAAAAGUGGGGCAGUUGCCAUGGGUGGUCCAACUACAGUCGCUAUGACAUAGCAAAUACAAUUGCCAUGUAGUUGCACUGUAGUUGCCACCUAGUUGUACUGUAGGUACCAUGCCACAGCAACUGCAGUUGCCAUGUUGUGUCGGCUCCACUUGCCAUGUGAAUGCCGUAUGAAAAAAUGCAGCAUGGUAGAAAAAAUGCAGGUGGCAUGAUGUGGCAAAUCCAGUUGCCAUGUGUACUGAACUGUAUUUGCCAUGUGACAGUAACUACAGUUGCCAUGUUGAAAUAACUUCAGUUGCCACGUGCUUGCCCAAAUGUCAAACGCAGCAUGGCAGCAAGAAAAAAACGUAGGUGACAUGGUGCAUCAAAUCCAGUUGCCAUGUCGUCACAUGGCAGUUGCCGUCACAAGUGAGGACCCCCAAAGAAUGUGAUUGGGACAAAAGUCAAACUACAAACAUGUAUACAAGAAAAUCGUAAGUGCGUGAUGAGUGUACCUUGCACAAUUGGCUCUGCGAACUUGACAGCCUUCCUGCCCUCGACCAUUGGCUGCGCCAUCAUUGCGGGCAUGCCUCCUGGGAAAGCAAAGGCAACUGGUAGAGGAUCGUGCACCACCGGUUGAUCUUGACUGACGCCGAGGCUGAAGCUCGGUGGGGUAAAGGCCAUUGGGUGCCUCUCAUUCCUACUGGCCGGACCACGAACGACUUUCGGGGCAGAAUCCAAGGGUGAAAGAUCGACAAGCAUAUCUGAAUCGGCCGCUACAAAAUGAUCGGCCUUAUUUGCAGGGCGGGGCGUGUUGUCAGCGGUCUCAGCCGCAGCUUUCAUGACAAUCUUCUUGUUUGGACUGUAGGGGACACCGACAUUGACUGGGAGCCUGGAAGUGCGCAGAUUUAUGCUGGGGAUUUCCGCUGCGGGUGAAGGCGCAGUCUGCUCCGGGCGUUCCUCUGCGUCACUCGUGCCCGGCUUGACACCUGCAUCAGUUGUGCUCCGGUCUUGCGGUUUCUCCAUCACAUUGAUUUUUGUAGAUGGCGGGAACAGUGUGGACGCAGGAACAUAACCAGAUUCGUCUCUCCUGCUCCUAGCUACAGCCGGAGCGUUGGGUGUGUCUAUUGAUUGCUUGCGGGGGCUACGACGCCUAGGUGGAAGACCAGCACGCGGAACGAUCGCCUUAGCAGUAUCUCCACCGACAGGAGCUGGAGCUGUUGUGCCAGGAUUCUCAUCUGCAGAUGGCAUAUCCUUGUGAAGUGCCGCCUCAGCCGCUUCUGUCAUGGACACAGGUGAGACACCAGGCACGCGCUUGGAAUCAGUGUCAGAUGAGCAGGAAUCUUCCUUGCCUAGGUUGGUCUCGGGAGCAUCCACUUCGACGCUUGCUGAUGGGGUGGCAUGGCUCACAGCAGUAUCCUUCAUUGCCAGAAGAGUUGGCAAUAUUUCAGUUGUCCUGGCGGAUACCGACUCGUCACUCCCCGAUGUACGGAUGCCUGUUGUUCUAGCCUGCACAUCUGCAGCUGGCAGAGAUGGUCGGCCACUUGCAUCAGAGUUAGUGGGAGCAGUUGACGGUGCAGCAGCAGUAUUGUCGCCUGGCGCCUCAUGUACAUCUGAGUUGCCACCUGUUGACAACUUUGAAUGCAGGCGUUCGAGUGGGUCUCUACUGAUAUGCUUGGCCCCGCGCGUAGUAGUCUUCUUCACCCUGCAAAGGAAAAAAGCACGUGAAAAAUGGUAUGAAAAAAAUGGACAAAAAAAUAUGUUUGCAAUGAUAGAAGCAUUAAAAAACUAAAAAACAAGUGGAAAAAGCUGGUAGUUGCCAUGUAAGGGGGUCAUGAGUUGCCAUGUGCCAUAGUUAGCAGUUGCCAUACAGCAGCAGUUAUCAAAGUUAGGCAAAUUGAAAGGAAUGAUAGAAAAUGUCUGAUCUGUGAGGAAUGCAGUUUCAAAAUUAGGUGGGGGAUGAACUCUCAGAAGAAAAUGGUAAAAAAAAGAUGACAGUUGCCAUUAGGUACAGAAAUAGUUGCCAUUUGGCCUAGAUGCCAGUUGCCAUGUAAAGAUAAUAGGAGUUGCCAUACAUUUAAAAAAUGAAGGAAGAAAUCAUUUGGAAAAACAGCAGUUGCCUCGUGGGGGAUGAUAACAGAAGAACAUGUGACAAAGCAGACCAGUUGCAUUGAAAAAUCAAGAAAAAAACCGCUAUCUCAAAUGAAAAGCACAUGGAGAAACCUACUUCUUGACUGCCUUCCUCAGGUCAGGCAACACGACAGGAUCCCCGGUGUUGGUCGUCGUCAUACGAGCAGAAGACCUGGUGGAAGGGAUGUCACCGGCAAUGGGGGCACCUUUGUUCAAGCGAGCAGAAACACGGGUUGGCGUUGGCGCCUGUUUCUUCAUAGCUGCUCGUCCACCAGCGAUCGGCUCACUGCACGCAACAGAUGGAAGGAAAAAAGAAGGUGGCAAUUGUCAGACAACAAACUAAUUGCCGCGCUUGACAAAAAACAAGUGCAAAAGAAAUGGAUGAGAUUGUUCCAAAGAAAAGAUACACAGCAGAAAACUAAAAUUGAGAGUCGAACCUCUUCCUGGCAGCUACGGGGUCGAUCCUAGACCUCUUGCCAGCAGAACCCUGCCCAACAUCCUCUGGAGCCCUCCCCCUCCUUGAUGGCAAAACCCCCUCGCCUCUCGCAGCCGUAUGUUCUUUCACUUUCUCCGGUGGGUGGGCACCUGUUGCAUCCUUGCCCUUGUUGCCGCAUGUGCGAACUUCAGCGUGUUCAUCGUCAUCGGUGUCAUCGUCGUCGUCCUUGCUGAGGCCAGCGUCUCCAUCCACAUCAUCCUAUGUGUCACCGGGCUCUUGGGAGCUGUUGUAGUCAUACCGGCCACGGCAACCGGUUGGCCGAUGUGUAUGUUUUGGGACAAAUGAAGUGAACUGCCUCGCAACCGCGUCGCUGUCAGAGGCACUGAGGGACGUCCACCCCUCAACCAACUUCCUGAGCAGGCCGAUCAUUCCGGAUGCGAACUGCCCAAUUAGAUGCUCCACUGGUGCCCUCGCCUGUGCACGAAAACAAGAAGCAUCAACAAAACAACACCCGUACUGCAUUCGCUUCCGCGACAUCAACAUGUAAUCCAUGGCAAACCGUAGAUGUGGACAUUUUGAUUACCUCAGAAGGGCAAGACGGAGCUGAGUGCACGUCCAUCCACUUUUCAAAUUUUUGAGGCCCCCCAAACACGCUGUAGUCUAUAGCAUGCUUGGCCAUCAGCUAUGAAAAAACAAAAAAAGAAAUUGUAAGCAUGCCUUAUAAACCACGGACGGUUGCGUCAUGUCAAAUUUGUAAGCAUGCCGUGUGAAAAAGACAUAAACAAAAACUAACCUGUAGUUUUCCAUAUGUGCCAUCAGUUGCCCUGUCUGCGGCAAGCACAGCCUUGACAGCGCUGAUGGUCCACGCAGAAACAGCAAACUUGUGAGUAGGCGGCGGGCCUCCUAUCCCGGUGAAAUCCACGGUGGACAGAUCAAGAGCGUCGACAUACAUGAGCUGAUUUAAAACAAUUUUGCAAAGAAAAGAAAAUAUCAGUUGCCAUCGUGGUUAAUUUGUAGUUCAGAAAAAAAAGAGCAGGAUAAUGUAUGAUCCAACGAUAAUAUGUAUGUGUUAGUUGCCAUCAAAGUGUGAUGGCAGUUGUCAUCCUACUGUGAUAGCAGUUGCCAUGCUAAUAUGAAGGUAGUUGCCACAUUGUCAGUAUGACAGUUGCCACGUUGUCAUUAUGGCAGUUGCCACAUUGUCACUAUGGCAGUUGCCAUCUUGUUAUGACCAGAUUGUCAUGCAUGAAAUAAAAGUACGUUAUAAACAAAGAGUUCACACAGAGAUCUGGUGAAAAUAAAUACCAUUAAGUGCAUACGACAACCCUUCUGGUACACCUUGUUUUUGAAAGCAUCGUGGAGAAAGUCGGCAAUAAACUUACACCAGUUCAUACUCUUCACGUUUUUCAGAUUCGCCUGCACCACACAAAAUUUCAGGGCAAAAAAGUUUGCCGCGUCAAAAAAUCAAAACGGAAGAAACGCAACGAAAACACUGGCAGUAGCAAGCAUGGAUCAUUCACCAGGAUGGGGAAACAUUUGUUGCUUGGGCGAAGAGAAGUGGUCGGCGCGAAAACAGCUGAGAUGAGGUACAUGAGUAGCUUCAUCUUGAAAACUUCUCCGUGCGUCGUCAUGUCCUGCAGAGAAUCUGCCAGUACAGACGUGUUCGGCAUUGCCUCCAACCCAGGAAACAAACGGGCGAACAGCUCUUCCUCGAUCUCAUUAUUAACCUCGUACGGGACUUUGAUAUGUCCCCGAGGCACACCCGAAGUGCAGAACACGGAUUCCUCAUUCAAUGGAAGUCUUCCCCGUCCCGGGAUCACGAAUUCCCUGGAGGCGGGAUCGUAUAUCUCACCAAGCCAGUCGCAUACCGGGUUGACAAGGUUCGUACACCGGACAUCCAUCAGAACCUGCAUACCCAUCUCAGCAGCAGCUCCCUUUUGAUCGUCAGUGAAUUUGUCAAUCAACACGGUCAGACGUUCCUGGGAGGCUCUGUUGCGAAUACGUUUCUUCUUCUGCAAAAAACAAACACAAAAGUGUUGAGCUGUUGCCAUGUUUUUGCAAUGUUAUGAAAAUUUAGUUCAUGAUGGACGACUAUAAAAAAGAUCUAGCUGCCAACAAAUAACAUAAAUCGGGAGGAGGGGGGCGGGUGUGCGGACAGUUACCUCAUCGCCCUCUUUUCUCCGUCCAGUUGCCUGGUUACGUUGAGGUGGAUCCAUGAAAUCGUCAUCAUCACUUUGAUGAUCGCCACGAGCCAUUCUGCUGAUGUAGGAACAGACCAAAUUGUUAAUGGCGAAAAUGUAAAAUGCAAUGGGUAAGCAGUUGCCACCUAACAGAAAAAUAUUAACUAUUUGAAUGCAAAUGUGGUUGCCAUACUAUGCAGCCAGUUUGCCACACUGUCAUAUCUGUAUUGUGGCAACAGACAUUUUGUUCACAUACUGUAUUGCAACAUGAUUAUACAAAAUCCAAAGUGGCAAACACGCCAACUCGAUGUGCACAUUAGUUCCGUCCAGUUCUACCGAUUGUGGCAACUAUCAAAGUUUGGAAACUGUCACAAAUAAUUCAGAAAAAAAAACAAGUCUCACAAAUGAAAAAGAAUGUUUGAGGUUACUAUUAUGUAAAUUCAGUAAAAAAAUCAGUUUGCCUCGUUCAAGAGCGUGUAUGUGGCAACUAUCUCAUUCAUUCAGUAAAAUUUAGUUGCCCCCCUUGUGUGUGAGCUUGAACACAUUUGUGGCAACUAUGACAGUCAGUUUCAGAAAAUAUGUUGCCGCAGAAGAGAACACAUUUGUGGCAACUGCCACAUUUGUUCAUGUAGUUUAGUUGCCACACACCUGUUCACGUUCGGUCAUACUGCCAUAGUUGCCACAUUCAGAAAGCAUAUUUUUUCUGGUUACUUAUCGUACAAGUUCAGCAGAAUUAAAUUUGCCACAUGGGAAGAGCAUGCGUGUGGCAACUGCCACAGGAGUUCAAAUGAAAUUAGUUGCCACCUCGUUUUGGGGUGGCAACUAUGACAGUCAUUUUCGGAAAUCUGUUGCCACAUGGGAGAACACGUUUGUGGCAACUACCACGUUUCUUCAGGUAGUUUAGUUGCCGCACAUUUGUUCACGUUCAAUCAUACUGCCAAUUUCGCCACAGUCUGCAGUUUCAACCCCAAAACUAGACUAGGUCUAGGUUUCAAUGGCAACUGCUUCAACCUCAAAAUCACCCUUACAAUUCUCGCGCGAAAUGGCUGCAACCCCAAAUUUCGAACCAAUCCACACCAAAACAACCCGGCGGACAACUCUCAAAAUCCAAAUGCAAGACUAAUGCGUUGCCUACGAGUAGGCAUAGCCUCACCGACGAUGUCGCCGCAGCGGCGGCGACGAAACUGCCCACUCCCACGAAGCAACGGCAGGCACACAACUAUGGCGCACCGCCGCAGUGGCGGGAACGCCGGCGCACCGCCGAAUCGCCGAAAUUUCUAGGAAUGGAUCUAGAAAUCGAACAGGGAGGAAAGAGGGGAACAAAAUCAGGGAGGGUAUGCGAUAGAUGAAGCGAGCAUUACCUUCGACCCGCACGCGUUCCGGCGACGCCGCUCCGCUCCGACGAGCACCACCAACACCCGCGAACACCGUCGACUGUCCCGCCUCCGCCGUCGCCUUCUCCCCUCGCCUUCUCCUCCAGUGUACUGUAAUGCGAGUGGGUUGUGCCAGUAAAUGCGACGCGGGGGAGAGUGAAUGGAACCGUGAGGGAGAGGGUGUAGGGGUGUGCGACGUGUUUGACGUCAACUGCGGUCGGACCGUGGCGUGCAGGCGCAUGGCAGUUCCACCACACGCCUCUCAGUGGCAACCGCUGACCGCGGGAUGGCAACUACCGUGCGGGCGAACCCACUCGCACACCGCACACUAGAAUCGUCCAACGUGGCGCCGAAAACCAGCCCUUUUGCUCCAAGAAUCGUGCAAAACGAAACCAACGGCGAUGCUUGCGUGUGGACGGAGUGGUGAACGCCCACACGUGUGGGCGUUAACAUUUCCGUAUAUUAAGUGGGCUCCACUAUUGGGGCCCUAAGUCAGGCCCAUCUGAUAGUAGCAUGGAAGUAAUUUGUGUGGCAUGUUCGGCGCGCCUCUAACACUAUUGGGAAAAGUCUUAUAAGUGGGCUCAAAUUAGUGGUGGGUAAAAUCUAUCGCUGGACAACAGCGGCGGGCAAAAAAAGCCAGCCGACAAUCAUAAAUUUGUACAAAUUUAGUCAUGGCAUAAAAGAAGCAGUGGAGGGCGACAAACUUUAGCCCGCCACUGGUUUGUCAUCCACCAAUGGCGGGCGAAAAGUUUGCCCACCACAGCAAUAUUUUUGUUAGCCUGCGCCAAAUUUUCCAAAUUUAGCAGUGGUGGGCGCCCAACCAUAGAUAUAGUAAGUAAGAAAUAUGGUUGAAACAAAUCAUAUUUACUAAACACGGAAUAGUUGAAAUGAUGUAGAAAAACCGAGUUGUCUUUGAAAGGCGGUGGUUUCCAUGCGAAACUCUAAUACUUCAUUCAAGAGCGUUCAGUUUGUACACAAAGUGCAUUAAGUUUUUCCCGUAAUGCUCUCAAAUUUUAUGACACCUUACAAGGGUCCUAUGAAGACACCAUGCCAACACCCUACAAGGGUCAUACGAAGACACCUUUGUAGAACUCUUGUGCACGUUAUGUUGAAUGGAAAUGCGUACUGCCCUUUUUAGGGGCCGGAAAAUCAAUUAAUGCUUCAAAAAAAAAACCAACUCAAAAGGUUCUAAAUUUUGAGAAUGGAACUCCCAAUGGUGUGUUUUAAACAUAGUAAAACUUUGAAGUUGAAAUGAUGUGGAAAAUUGAGAUGUGUGUGAAAGACGACGAUUUCCGUUCGAAACCAUAAUACUUCACGGGAGAGUGUUUAGUUUGUACAUGAAAGACAUCAAUUUUUUGUCAUAACACUCUUAAAUUUUUACCACACCCUUCAGGUGUCCUAUGAAGACACUCUAUGCCAAGUUUCAUCCAUUUUCGAGCUCGUUUGCACAUUAUGUCGAACGAAAAUGUGUUUAGUCCUUUUUAGUGGCGAGAAAAUCAAUUAAUGCUUCAAAAAUAGCAAACCAACUCAUAAAAGUUCUAAAAUUUGAGCACAGGACUUCCAAUGAUGUGCAUUAAACAUAGUAAAAGAAUUAAGUCAAAAUGAUGUAGAAAAAUUGAGUUGUAUGUGGAAGGCGGUGGUAUUCAUUUGAAACUCUGAUACUUCGUAGGAGAGUGUUGAGUUCGCCACGAAGUGCAUCAAGCUUUUGCCCUAUCACUCUCAAAGUUUAUCACACACCCUACAUGGGUCCUAUAAAACACUGUGCCAAGUUUCAUCCAUUUGCGAGCUCGUUUGUAUGUUAUGUUGAACGGAAAUGCACUCACCCUUUUUAGUGCCUGAAAAAGAGUUAAUGCUUCAAAAAUAGCAAACCAACUCAAAAGGUUUUAAAUUUAAGCAUGAGACUUCCAAUGGUGUGUAUUAAACAUAGUGAAGGUUUGAAAAAGUGGCCAAAUUUAAGCAUGUUAUUUUGAACUGAACAAUUAAAUUACUCACAUAUGCAAAAUAAAUAACAGUGUCGGGCGAUGCGCAGGGCCCGCCACAACUAAGACUUAGCAGUGGCGGGCUUAACCCACUGCCUACCACAUGGAAUUUCACCGAAAACAAAUCGACCGUGCCCCUUCGCCGCUCGACACUAUCUCCAUUUCCCACAAAUCCAACCCCCUCGAAAAUCGAUAUUUCCGCAACCGCGGACCGCGCCGCCUCCUCCGCCGCAUUGCCGCCGUGCCCAUCCCCGCCGCUUCCUUCACUGAGCUGCCGUGGAAGUGCGCUUCUAGCGCCGUCAUUCCUGCCCGCGUCGCCGCCUCCACCGCGCCGUUGUCGUGCCCGUGAGCCCCUUCUCUCUAGUGAGAAGAGCACCCUCUCCCUCUCCCUAUUCACUUCAGUAAUCAGUAGCAAGCUAUCAGCUAGGGUUCCACACCACCAUACCAACUAGAUCGGGAUCGCGCCUUGGCGCGAGAGGGCUGGUGUCAACGUUUUGGUCAAGCAGAUAAUGCUAAGUCAGUAGUAAUCCAGGCUAAGCAUAUGGGGAAAGCUUAUCAUGUUUAGUAAUACAAUAAUUUCAUUUACAUGCCCAAAACAGAAGUAUUUUAGCCUGUUCAAGAGCAACAUGACAUAAAGUUCAUUGUUAAAGAGUAGCAAAAGCAGCAAGUGGCAGUGACAUUACAGGUGCAUAGCAAGUCACAUGUCAUAGGACACAUAGUUUUACAUGACAAACACAAAUAGUUAAUCCAUUGAAACAUGACUAACACAAAAGUUAAUCCAUCGAAAUACAUACUAUUGGGCAAAAGAAAGCAUCAAUUACAUCUUAGAUAAGAUAGUAACUUAGAUAGCCAGCUCGAUGUACCAUUAUCUUUGACUCAGUCAGACCCCUACUUCUAUAGAUUUGAAAGUUGUGGAUCAGAAAUAGAAUUGGUGAUGGCUACUACACGUGGGACAUAGAUAUAUUGCAAAAUGAUUUAGUCGACUGAUGUAUCCUUUCUUCUGCCUGGGCAUGAUGACAGUUUCCAAAUAAAUCUUUAGGUGCAGUGUAUGCAAAUUCUCUCCUAGUGUGUUCGCUGUCAAAUUGUUUAGACAACAAAUAAAUGUGGUAUCCUUCUUGAGUAAUCACCACCCAAAAUCCAUACACAAAUUUUAGAAUAUACCCUGUCUCUCUGGAGGAGUGUGCUCGUCUGCCGCAGUUUGCAUUUCCUGGAAACAUAACCGUCAGGGGGCGAUAUACAUGGGAUUUAUUAAUGGGCUCAUGAAGAACGGAGAGCACCUGUGGAACAGAGCAAGCAUUUAUAUUGUUUUUUAGUCUUUGGGUUUAGUGUCUUUAUUAUAAUCCUUUCAAUUUGGCUGGUUAGAAUGGAUAACUUCUUUUAAUCACUUGCAUGGCUUUCAAUAAUCAUUGCCCAUGAGGAAGCUGUCAGUAGCUUUGUCUGACAGGCCCUUAGCUCAGAUAGGUUUGCAUCAUCUACAUAUAUCAUCCACGUGUUCUUUAAAUCAGUCAAAGUGGCCGAGCUAGCCGAUUCUAUAGGAUCUUCUUAUGAGCUAGCAUAAUAUCCAUGGAUUUUUUCUGUUUCUGACAAGGGUUGCUCCUAUCAACAGAAAAAUGCAGAGAGAUCCAUUAUUACAUCUCAGUAAGGUGGUCCCAUUUUUGGAUUUUCCUUACUUCGAUGCAUUACUUUGAGCUCCUAUCAAUCAUGCACCGAAAAUCUCACAAUGAACGAAAUAAAACAAUCCAAGGAAGUGCCACACAUCGACAAUUUGUCGAGUGACUUGGAUCCAGCAGUGGUGGAGAGAGAGAGAGAGAGAGAGAGAGCACACCUGGCAAAGGCCUUAAUCUUCCACAUCUGGUGCCGCGACCUGGUCCAAGCCCGCAUGGUCCUGCUUCCACCACUGCUCAUGCUCCUCCUACUGAGUCAAUCACAAUUCUUAUCACCUGAAAUAAAGACCAUGAACCACAACGCGAAUCAAGACUUGAAAGGUAAACAAACAUUCACAUUUACUUAGAUAAUAGAAAAGGGUGAACAGACACCUUAGGAUACUUAGAAAUAGAUUUCUUCGUGCACUGAUUGAUAGAGUCGUCAGUUGCUUUCAAAUAACAAAAAACUACAUCAAAAAAAGAUGAAUUUAGUUAAAGGAUGCAUGUCCUGCAUACAAUAAAAUGCAUUGCUGCAAAAUAAUGUCAUGAAAGCUUUAAUUCAUGCACAUGUAGCCAUUUGAGCUAUUUCUUUUCAAUUCAAUAAAUGCACUAACUUUGAUGAUAAACAAAGGGAUUAGCUUUGUCGAUCAAUANNNNNNNNNNNNNNNNNNNNNNNNNNNNNNNNNNNNNNNNNNNNNNNNNNNNNNNNNNNNNNNNNNNNNNNNNNNNNNNNNNNNNNNNNNNNNNNNNNNNNNNNNNNNNNNNNNNNNNNNNNNNNNNNNNNNNNNNNNNNNNNNNNNNNNNNNNNNNNNNNNNNNNNNNNNNNNNNNNNNNNNNNNNNNNNNNNNNNNNNNNNNNNNNNNNNNNNNNNNNNNNNNNNNNNNNNNNNNNNNNNNNNNNNNNNNNNNNNNNNNNNNNNNNNNNNNNNNNNNNNNNNNNNNNNNNNNNNNNNNNNNNNNNNNNNNNNNNNNNNNNNNNNNNNNNNNNNNNNNNNNNNNNGCAAGCUCUAUAUGCAGUAUGUUACUAUUAAACAUAAGAUAAGUGAUGCCAAUGUAAGAUAAAAUCACGUGUAGCAGCCUUGACAAAUUAACCAAUUGGAGCUAGAUAUAUGCACUAAAAAGGCCAUAUUACCUACACCACAAUCAAAAGUAUUAUAUACUUUUGUAGAUCUGCAUACAACUUAGUGUCUUAUCAACACUAUCAUACAUAAAAUCAACCAAUGGAAUAAGGCUGGGAGCUAGCAGCAGGAGCAGGAUUCAGCUGGUGAAUGGAACAAGCAGGGGGGUCCAUCCAUUAACAGGCAGCUGGUGAACAGGCAGGAUUGUAGCCCACCUUCUUCAAGUAGUAGCUAACUUCAUUGACAAUUUCAAAGUAGCGAGCCCUGGAGUACUUUGGGGUAGUAGCAUCUAUCUGCACCAAACAAACACAAUAUUCAUUAGAGCAUACACACCUCAAACCAUUCAAAACAAUUGCAUAUUGGAUAUUAAACAAAUAGAAGUACUUAGAGCAGAGUAUAGGCAUGCAAAUUCAGACAAAUACAGAGAAAAAUGGUCAGAUCAAAGCCAACUAUAGAGAGCAAUAGACAGAUCUAUCAAGGAGACAAUAUCAUUAACCUCCACAUUUAAAAAAAUGUAAGAAGCGAUACUGGCAGCACCAUAUGUCAUUUCAAAUUCAAAUAGUAUAAAUGCAGGAACCAAAUAUAUUUGCAACAAGAUAUUUCAAGUAACAUAGUUUAAUUUGUUUGGGGGCAGUAGUGCAAAUUAGAGAACUCUAUUCGCAAAAAAGAUAGAGAACUCUAUCUACAAGCAGAAGCACAUCAUUCAAUAAGUAUAAACACCAACACUGAGUUAAAUGGAUCAAUUAACAAGCAAGCAACAAUAACUACCAUUGAAAUAUUACCUUGUUGCAGCAGCAGAUCAUCUGCCUGACGCCAAGAGUGAAAGCAAGGAGAGCAUGCUCACGGGUCUGGACAUCAUUGGAGAUACCAGCCUCAAAACCACCAGUGGUGGAUUCAAUGAUAAGCACCGCAAAAUCAGCCCGGGAGGUCCCAGUGAUCAUGUUCUUGAUGAAAUCACGGUGUCCAGGAGCAUCAAUGACAGUGCAGGAGCAAUGUGCAUCUGUCUUGCAUGAAGCUCGCUCCUUGAAACAACAACCAAGUCAAGAGUGUCUGUUCUUAUAGCCGAGGCCAUCAGUAGUAGAACCUGGCACGCCGAUUAUCAAUAACUUACGCUGAUGCGAUAAGGACAGGUACAUACAUCAUGUAUAUGCUUAUGUGUCUAAGCAAACAGCAACACGUGCCUUGAUGUAAUAACAGGAUAUUCAGUACCACCCUGAAGUAUGGACUUACAGUAGGGCAUGUUCUUUUCCCUUCAGCUCCAGCUCUGAAGAAGUGUCCAGCUGCUGAUGUCAAUUCAGGUACCUGCAGUCAUGAUCCAUGUCGGAGAUACAAGGUUAACAAAGCCACAAAGCACACAAUGCGCACGGUAUAAUUCAGGAUAGGGGUGCAGUUUAGAGCAUGAACCUCAGAUACCACCGUCAAACGCAGUCUGUUCGAGAUUUCCGACACUUCAUCCUUAACCAGUGCAAAGGGGUCUAGCAUCUCCUCUUAUGCAGAAAAAGAAGAGGUUUCUGUUAGGAGAACAGAGCUUUGUGCAAAUACACAUGAAGUGCCUUCACAAUAAUGCUCAUAGGAUAAAAAUCCUUCAACUUUCAAGCCAAGAGUUCAUCUCUACCUUAUUUGUUGACCCUACUCCUCCAUAAGUCUGAUGCCUAGUGCUGUCAAAACAACACAAAAAAUCACUGAAGGAUUCUAAUACCAUAUAUUCUUCUAUUGAUUCGAUCGAUGGGGUGCACUUGACUGUAGGUAAAUUAGAUUAGAUGAUAUGCCUAGCAAAUAACUUAAAGGUUUGAAGAAAAAUUGAAACCAGAGAGGCACUAAGCAUAAUUGUUGGUGGCAACAAAGGCUAGCAGCAGCUGCUGUUCUACACGCAUCAUGAUCACAGAGGGAACCAAGCCUACUAAAUCGAAACACAUCAGGGAUUAAGAGAGAUAGAGAAGGAGAAGAAGAAGAAUAGGGGGCGGGGGAGGAGACCUUGAUAUGGUGCAUCCAUGGCUGUGGCGGUGUGGUCCGAGGUCGAUGGUCGCGUCCAGCUCGACGGCGGCGCGGAUCCAGAAGCCCCUGCCGUGGUCGUGGUCGUGGCAAAACAGGUCGUCGCCUAGGGAGAGGCCGUAGCAGGAGGAGGGAGAGGGCGCGGUGGUUGGCCCUGGCCGUGGCAGAUCUGGCCGCCGCCUAGGGAGAGGUUGGCGGCAGGAGGAGUGAGAGGGCGCGGUGGUUGGGCGCCGGCCAGGAGGUGGAAGGAGGAGGAGGGCGCGGUGGCGUCAAGCGGCUGUAGGGNNNNNNNNNNNNNNNNNNNNNNNNNNNNNNNNNNNNNNNNNNNNNNNNNNNNNNNNNNNNNNNNNNNNNNNNNNNNNNNNNNNNNNNNNNNNNNNNNNNNNNNNNNNNNNNNNNNNNNNNNNNNNNNNNNNNNNNNNNNNNNNNNNNNNNNNNNNNNNNNNNNNNNNNNNNNNNNNNNNNNNNNNNNNNNNNNNNNNNNNNNNNNNNNNNNNNNNNNNNNNNNNNNNNNNNNNNNNNNNNNNNNNNNNNNNNNNNNNNNNNNNNNNNNNNNNNNNNNNNNNNNNNNNNNNNNNNNNNNNNNNNNNNNNNNNNNNNNNNNNNNNNNNNNNNNNNNNNNNNNNNNNNNNNNNNNNNNNNNNNNNNNNNNNNNNNNNNNNNNNNNNNNNNNNNNNNNNNNNNNNNNNNNNNNNNNNNNNNNNNNNNNNNNNNNNNNNGUCUCACCCGGAUCGCUAUUGGGGACUUUUUCAACCGCGUGAAGUGACGAAAAUGCCCUCGCAGGCUCUGGGAAUUACAGGCGGUGGCAUCCCAGUUCUAAUACUAUUCAUUGCAAUAUUGUUUCAAUCUAAUCCGACGGAUGAGGUGAUUUCUGAGGAAGAUCCAACGGCCCAGAUCUCAUCAAGCCACCCGAUCCGACGGCCAGGGAUCCAAACGGCUGAGGAGCCGGGAGGAUGACUGUCAUCCUUAUUUCUCGAUUUGUGGUCCUCUACUAGUUCAAUUUGUAGAUGGUUUGAUUUGACAUGUUUAGAUGGUUUUGUGGAUUAUAAGACUAGCUAGAUGAGCAUGUUCUAGGCAAACACUAAUUGACCCUUUUAAAUAAAUAGCGUAGGUAUGGUACAUUAUACAUUGCUUACUCACAUUCUCCGUUCUAGGAAUACACUAAGUGAGUUAAGUUCAUUAAACAAUAGACACAAGUAAAAGUUGAUUAAAAUGAGUGCUUGUGUUGCUCGCAAUGGAUUCACGCUUUUUCUUUUCAAAUUUGCUGGUAUGAGGAUGAGUGCCAAUGUUUUGGCGAAACAUCGAUUAAGUUAUGUUUCGCCAAACUUUUAGCACUCGCUAUGUCCGACUUUUUGCAAAGGUCAUGUCCAAUUUUUUCGUCGGUAUUUUGCUUAGGGUUAACUGGAGUAAUGUUGGUUUCUAUUUGCAGGGAUCAAAAUGAGUGACAAUGUUUUGGCGAAACAUUGAUUAUUUUUAUUGCGGCAAAUUUCUAGCUCUCGAUAUGUUUAAGUUUUUAGAAACGGUAAUGCCCGACUUUUCCAUCGAUAUUUUGCGUACGGUCAAUUGGAGUACUAUAGGUGUACUUGGGAAAAGACAGAGAACCUUUCUACUAUCCAAACUGAAUAUUAAAGGGCAUUAGGAGCUGUUUUUUUAAGGGCGGGCUACCCUUAGCCUCUGCAUCAAGAGAUGCACGCGACGAUUUAUUUAACUGAGUGAAGUAUCAAAGUACGAGUAACAUCUCAAGUAUGUGAACAAAUUAAGAAUGUAAAUAGCCAUAAUAUGAAAAAAUAGGACACAACCCCUAUCCUAUUAUUGGACCGUCAUCCAAACCGAUUGUAUAUAGCCCAUGCUAUUGUCUCCCAUCAAUUGCACCCAAAGGCCAUAUGCUCCAUCUCCUCAGCAUGGCGUAGCAAUAAUGACCAUGCACGGAUCCAUCCAGAUGCCAGAUAGAUAAUCUGCAAAAAGUUUGUGAUAUUUGUCUUGUUAAAUACAACAUCAUUCCUGCAGUUUCAAGUAGCGCAAAAUAAUGCACAAACUCCCACAUGAAUUCAUGAUGCUGUGUUAAGCUCAAUCCCACCUAACCAAUCUCUGAACAAAUGAAAGAUACUAGUGAGUGAAGAAACAUUAAGGCCUUGUUUGGUGGAGGAGGUUUGGGGAGGUUUGGAGAGGAAUAUCCCCGUAGGGCUCAAAAUCCCCCAGAAAUCCUCGUCAGCCUAUUUGACAUGCAGGGAUUGGGCAGGCCAACCCCCUCUGAUCCCCACGAAUCCCUCCCAAUCCAUGUGGUACGAAAAACCCCCAGAACCAUCCAGGGAACAGAGAAGAGUUGAAUGCUUGCUAUGCUGCUGUUGUUGUAGGAAGUUUAACCAAACAGAGGGAUUUCUAAAGGGAGAGGGAUUAGUGGGGAAUGGGUGGAGGAGAGGGAUUCACCCAAUCCACUGAAAUCCCCCUCUCCACAAACCUCCCCAAUCCCCUUGUAUCAAACGAGGCCUAAAGGACACAUGUAUUGUUCGCAACAGUAACAUGACUAGUGGACAUGUAAGAAACAAAUGUUCAAUAUCGUUUCCUGGUGAUCACAAAAGCAACACCGUUUGCUCACGCUUUGCCAAAUUAGUCUUAGUCAGAAUCACUCCCUUAUGCACAAACCACAUACUUCUUAUUUGAAGGCCACCUUUAUUUUCCAAAUAUCAAUAGAUAUGGGGAUUGGUCCAGUAUUAGUCAAGUCCACAUACAUAGAUUUUAGUGAGAACACACCCGAAAAUGAGAGUUUCCAUCGGAAUAGAUCUAACUCAUUAGAUAGAUUGACCUCCAUCAAUAUAUGCACCAAAUGUUAUCAUCUAUCCCAUCGUCCCCCAAUUAAAGCCCAUCUGACCUAAAUAUUGAAGGGAACAUAACCUAGUAUUGUACUUACAAGUCCGUUUUUAUACAAUAUUUUAAAGAGUUGGAUACUACAAAACUAGAGGCGUCUCCCUCAGUCAAGUGUCCUUCUAGAAUCUAGUUGUGUGUCCAUUCUCCAAUGAUAAAUUUACUUCUGUUAAAGAAAGCGACCUUAGACUAGCCACAGUGGGAGUAACUUCAGCAGUAACACCGAGUCCAACUCAGCAAUUUUGCUUAUGUGGCAAUGAGUUAAUGAGGAGAGAUGUAGUUUGAGUAACUUAGCUAGUUACUGUAACAUCACAUAUCCCAAUGCAAUAUGAGUCUAUAGCCUAAUUGAUGAUGAGCGAACCUCGAGGCGAGGGUCGAUCUGUUGUUGGCCCGAUCUUUCACUGCACAAAACUCCAUCGCAACAAGAACUAGAUGUGGGUUUAUAAAGAUGUUCACAAACCUUGCAAAAACAUCACGCCAACCCCUCAAUUUGAAGGAAUAACAUGGACGAACCGUAUAGGCUCAGCUUGUAAUCCCCUAUGCGUCGCGUCGCAGGAACUCACACGCCAGUAGAGAUUUUGGACAAGAAUUCUCUAAACUCGAUAAUGGCCGACGGCAGGAACACACACGGUGUCUAAUUCAUAAUAACAUAACCUAACUUUUACAUGACAUAUUGACUUGCCUUAUAUUGUGGCCGGACAUGCUAAGCUAACUUGGAAAUCAAGUAAUGGAAAUAAGCUACUCUGGACUCUGUGUAGAUAUUGCCUUUUACAUCUCGGCAAAUACUUGAACUACCAAAACAACUCAAACUAUAGAUAUGAUGGAUUCUGUGCGUGACCACCUCUUUUGCUGUAACUUUGCCUUGUCCGGUGGCCCCCAACCUAACGCACAUAAAUAAACCAAGAUAAUUCCAUGAUCCGGCCAGCCUAUUUACAUCAUUAAUAUUUUUCUUAGGAGGCAAGAACAAGAAUAGGAAAUCAAUAUGCAUCGUUUCGUCUUUAAACCAGCCCAUACUGUUCAUAUCCUGAUUAUCUCUUGUAUUUUCUGAGUCAAACGUGCUUGUGUGCAAGUCGUUUCUUGCAUGCACGCACAUGCCCAUCACCCUGGGUAAUACAUGCACGUUCAACUGCCUCCCCUCAUCUUCCUUACGUGAGUGCACCUCUAUCCAUGCCAUAGUAUGCAUGCAUGUAACUUCUAUAUUGGAAACAUCAUUGACCACUUGAACGUCUACUACUGGAUUAACAGUGUUAGUUAUCACCAUGGUCAUAUCACUAAUAAAUGAAGCUUUGUGUUACUACCCACUAUGGAGGUAGUAGCAUAGUCUAGGGACAUGUAUAUGUUACUCUUCAUUGUGGCUAGUAUUAGUUCUCAUCAACCAAUUUCAAAAGGGAAAUCAUUUGACUGCGCCGUAGCUUGUGGUAAGCUCAACUCCAGCGCGCGACCCCAUCCUGUCCGGGUGCGUUCCUUUGGGGUAGAACGGACGAAUAGCGUGGCCCAAUGUGCGGCCCCAAACGGUCAAAUGUCCGGAUUCCGUCCGUUUUUGACCCAUCCCCGACACAAACUGGCGCCAAGUUUGGGGUGAAAUGGACAUUGCGCGGACAGGCUCGACGCACGCCCUUGUCCCCCCCGUGGCCCGCCUGUGGGGGACACUAGCAGUCCCUUCGCUUCCAACGCGUCCACCCCCUCUCCCCGGCCCACCCCGCCGGCGUCGCCGCCACUAUUCUCCUGUCGCAUCCUCACUGCGCACCCCCCGGACGUCCAUACCAAACCACGUUUCGACAUGGCCGCCACCACGCCCGCGCUUUCGCCGUAGUUUUGGCCGUCGAAUGGAGGAGAUUUGGCCGUCGCCGUCGUAGCCAGUGGCAAAGGGGAUACGACCGCCGGCGACGUACCAUAGUGGCCACGGCAGCUUCCGACGAGUGCUCCAGAGCGGCCAGUAGCCGGCCGCCAGCCACCCCUGCUGCGUCGAGGUGAUCAUCGUGGCCUCUUUUCCACCACGACCGCAAGGUGUUCGACACUUUGCCCACAAAGGUAUGGACAGUGGAGAUGAAUUUUUCUUCCACCACUUCAUUUAUUCAUUGGACGAUUCGUCUUCGGAUGAUGAAGAUCUUGUGGUGGUUGCACUGGUCGUUCAUGAUCACAUUGAACGGCAGCUUCCUCGGUACAGGGGGUCACUUCCUCGUCGUGCUUCCAACCUGAACCGCAACAGGGAGAGAGGCCACGCCCUACUCUAUGCUGAUUACUUCGCGAACACCCCGCUCUUCAAGCCAGAUAAAUUCCGUCGUUGUUUUCGUAUGGCAAGGCAUGUGUUCAAUCGUAUGAGAGAGGGAGUGGUGACCCGUACUUCGAGUGCAAGACGGAUGCCCUUGGCAAGCUUGGAUUCUCCUCUUACUAGAAUUGCACCGCGGCCAUCCGCAUCCUUGCAUAUGGAAUUCCAGACGAUCUGGUGGAUGAGUAUGUGCGAAUCAGUGAGUCCACAUGUCUGGUAUCAUUGUACAACUUCUGCAAGGCCGUGGUGGCAGUGUUUGGCCCUGAGUACCUGAGGCAGCCAACUGCCGCUGAUACAGAGAGAUUGUUGGCGACCAACGCUGCUAGAGGUUUUCCAGGCAUGCUUGGCAGCAUAGAUGGUAUGCACUGGGAGUGGAAGAACUGCCAUUUUCUUGGCAGGGACAGGACAAGGGGCAUGUUAAAGCGUGCACUGUCAUAUUAGAAGUGGUGGCUUCGCAGGAUCUUUGGAUAUGGCAUUCAUUCUUCGGCAUGGCAGGUUCUCAUAAUGAUAUCAACGUGCUGCAACGUUCUCCAGUCUUCGCAAGGCUUGCAGAAGGCCACUCCCCACCUGUCAACUUUGAGAUCAAGGGCCACCAGUACAACAAGGGAUACUACCUAGCUGAUGGUAUAUAUCCCUCAGUGAUCAACUUUUGUGAAGACAAUCUCGAACCCCCAAGAUGAGAAGAGAAACAGGAUUUCCCCAAAUGCAAGAGAGUGCUAGAAAGGAUGUGGAACAUGAUUUUGGUGCGCUUCAAUCCCGAUGGGGUAUCGUUCGAAACCGUGCGCUGACAUGGGGUGAAGGGAAGCUUUGGAAGGUGAUGACUGCUUGUAUGAUCAUGCACAACAUGAUCGUCGAGGACGAGCGUGAUGACAACAUCUUCGACCAAGGAUUUGAUUAUCAAGGUGAAAAUGUUGAGCCCCUGUAACCAAGAACCGGCCACGUUUGAACAGUUUGCCUAUUUCAUCGUGAAAUGCGUGAUUGGCACACUCAUUUGGAUCUUCAAAAUGACUUGGUUGAGCAUGUGUGGGCUCACAUUGACAACCAAUAGAUGUAUUGGUUCAUUCAAGACAAUUUCGAUAUGGUUGUAAAACUAUUUUAUUGGAGACAAUUUCAAUUGGGUUGUAAAACUAUUUUUAUUUUGAGACAAUUACUAUUUGGACGUGCAAACUUGUUUUGAACAUUGAAAUAUGAAUAUAUGGGCAUUUCUGGCCGCAGCGGACAGGAUGGGGCCAAAGGAUGCGUCCGCGCGCUGGGCGCACGGCGCCCGCAUCCGAGGACAGGCCCGAACACGAGCCCAUUGCCCUACCCAAACGGACAUAAUCCACACAAAACGGACGUCCGUUUAAUGUCCUGCGCUGGAGUUGGCCUAAAGCUUUGAAUUACCGAUACUUGUUGCACAAUAAAUAAAUCCACACCCCUUCCUCCUCUAAGGAUAGCCGAUAUAACUAUUUGCUAAGAAGACAUUUAUUCUUUACUUCGAGAUUUUCAAUUCCCAAACCCCCUGUGUAGAGGCUAGGGGUAAUCUUCCUUUAAAAAGACGAUUUACAAAGAUCUUUUGCUUCAUCGUGUGCCAGUAAUAGAAAAUUUUCGUUGGUCCAUGAACAAUUGAAUCUCACCAACAAUGUAGUUGUACCAGUUGAAACUGAUCGUGCAACUACUGAAAAAUAGCUGGCUAGGUAGGUAGCCUUUUACUGCCAUCUACGCAUGUGCAUGUGUGCGCAUGCUGAGACCGUCCACUGCAAAGAAACUAGGUCUCCCACAGCAUUGCCAAAGAGGGUAUGGGUGCUUUAUGCCUUGGUAAAUGCAUAUCGCCAAUGGUGUUUUUCCUUGUUUUGACAAUGGAUGGAGUGUGUAGUGUGUAGACCUUUGGUGGAGCUUCACCUCCCAUUCUUGACAAAGGUAAAUAAGCUUUUAUUUUUGCGAGAAAACAAAGGUAAAUAAGUUGAUGAGUGGGCUCCUCAUAAACCUAAUCGGUGACGUCAACAAUGUAACUCAUCCAAGGGUCGGAAAAGAUUAAGGGGGUGUUUGGUUCAGGGACUUUUUAGUCCCAGAGACUAGAAAAAGUCCCUAAAAAAACCCUAGGAACCAAACAGGAGGGACUUUUUCUACAGGGACUAGAAAAAAACUCUACUAGAGAGUCUUUUUUGAUUAGUCCCUGAGACUAGAAAAAGUCCUAAGACUCCUAAACCAAACACCCCCUAACUAAACCAGACAAUUCAGUCAAAUCGUUGUACUAGCUAGCUGAUCCGAAUGUGGAUGAGCCACCGCCAGUCAUCGGAGUGGUACGGUGUGGAUGGUGCACCGUGCAGGAAGCCGGGGUUAUUAUUACGAGUACAUGCGUAGAAAUCACACUAGCUAUAGUUUGAAACUUAAACUGGCCGUGCAGCUAAUUAGAACGAGCAGGCUAGCAAGCUUUUCACUGCCCCGUAUGCAUGUGCGCGUGCUACGUUUUCACGUUUUUGUCAACCUGCAAAGAAACUGAGUGUGCCACCUCGUUGCCAAAGAGGGUAUGGGUGCUUCGCGGACGCAACUUCGCGGUAGUUUCCUUUCUCACUGCCAUUGCCAUGAGAUGAACCGGACUCUCCUCCCUGUGUGUGUGUGUGUGUGUGUGUCUGUGUGUGUGUGCGCGCUGCGGCUGGUCGACACGUAGGGUUUUGGAGCGGCCCCACGUCGCUGCUGCGGUGCCCUCGGCCACUUAAACUCCCCCCUCCACCACUAGCUAGCGUCGUCGUUGCCCUCUGUGGUUGUAGCUCGAGCCCUUUCAGAAGGAAGCACGCCAAGCUAGCAAGCUAGGAAGAACCUCCCUCCCGUGCAUCUGACCAGCGAGUGACGGUGAGUCCCCUCCAUCUCCGGCCAUCUUGCUAAUGUGCUUUUCCUCUUCUUCUUUCUCCUCCUCUUCUUCUUUUAUGUCGAAUGGGGACAUGAAAUUAGAGAAGAGGAACUAACCAUACGUUGUUGCUGAUCUCGUGAACUCAUCCUACUCCUACCUAGCUUGGAUCUCCAUGGACGGCAAGGCGCCUCAUCUGCUGCCUCUGAGUCUGAGCGAGGCCAAAAAGAAGAUCCGGGAUGACGUCCCACUGGUCUGCGGAUGGGCGCUCCUCAACGCCUUCGCCACGCUCUGCGGCGUAGCAAGCGGCUACAUAGCUGACUACAUCCAUGUGUCGUGCAGCCAGGUAACCACCUACCCGUCACCCUUCGGAUGUUUCACAUCGCAACCGAUCCAUCAUGCCCCAAGCUGCUAUGGUGUUCCUCUGCAGUCCUCCUUCAUUCUGCCGUGCAUCGAGCUGACGGACGCGGAGGCCGCCAGGCUAAUCGCCCUCUGCGUCGGGCUGCUGUGCUGCGCCCCAUUCCAGGCGGCCGCGGCGGCGCUGGCGCUGCUGCUCCCAUGCCGCCGUCGCCGGGCCCGCCGGGCCCUCGCCUACCUCGCGCUGGCGGUCACCAUCCUCUUCCAUUGCAUGUACGCCAGCGCCGUCUGGGUCUUCCUCGCCGCCGACCUAGGAUACAUCUUCGGCAGGAUCUACUUCACCACGGGCCUCUGCUUCUUCGUGGUGGGCGACCUCCUCAGCUUCCGGGUCCUCCUGGGUGGUGAGGGGUGGGGCAUGAAGUACGUAGCCUAUUUCUUCUGAUCAUGUUCGUGGAUCAGCUCACUGCGUACUGAUGAGAGCGUGGAGUAUGCAUUAAGUAUGCUGUGACGAUUGAUGGAGUAGUGCCAUAUUUGCGAAUCUAGUAGCUGGUGUAGUGUUAAUUAGUAUCCAGAUCGACUCUAUUAGUAGUUACUCCAUUUGGGCAAUGCUUUGCUGGCUAGUAUAUAAUUAGACUGGAUGGAUUGGUAGAUUGCGGUUAUCUUUGCUGUAUUAUUCAACCCUCUAUGUAUGCAUGUGAUCAUCAGACAUGAGUUAUAUGCUUACAUAGGUCCAGCUUCGCUAUAAUUUGAUGUCUCUGAAAUUGCUGCUGCAGUGUAUAUCUAUGCACACAUGUUGUUUCUGAUGUUAAAUUUUGUUUUUCAUUCAUUCCGGCAACCGCUGGCUUGUCCUCUCGGCUGGGCUGCGUGGGGUGCUCUCAGCUGAGAUUGAGUGACCCCCGUCCCGACCAUGCUUGUGACCAUGCAAUCACAAUUUGAUGUAUGGGACAACAUGAUUUGGAAUGCCCUCCUGCCGAUUGAGGUUCUUUUUUAUGCCUUUUCCUAUAUGGGGAUCCACACGCCGUCACUUGACUUGUGGGAGCGGUUUCACCACAACGCCGUGCAUGUAGCCACAUAUGGCGGAUGUAAUACAAAAAUAAAGAACACAAUGAUCCUCCUUGAACCUUCAAAAAUUAAGUUUCUUCUGAUCGUGGAGUCAAUAUUUAGCUCAUGAGUUAUCAAUCAUCCAAAGAGUUGUGAAAUUGUUCCACAACUUACACAUCCCGGAACGCCUCAAACUAAUGGGGUAUCCGAAAGGCGUAAUUGAACUUUGUUGGACAUGGUCGACUGAGAGAAAUACAUAUUUCAACCUUAUCAACUUCUAGUUUAAUUUACAACCCCAACUCCAAAUAUGAUUAGGACAACGUUCAAUUAACGGCAUAGGACGAUUGGAUGGUGGUUCUGCAUGAUGUAGCAUCUAGGCUAACUAGUCAAGGUUGAUGGCAGCUAGGUCAUAAAAGUAAAAGAUAUUUUGUUUGCCCCACAUAUCAAUACCAUAAUCAUAUAAUCAUAUCGUUCCAUCCUCUAUCCCGCUUCUAUACCCAUAUUUCUCUUCAACUUUAGUGCAAUGUCGUCUCCUUCAUGUUGCCCAUCCCGCUGCAUCGACCUCAUCCGCACAAGUCCUUGGACACGUGUUGCCACGAGUACCUCCCCGCCCCGCCUAUAUGGGGUCCCAUCUCCCCUGCAACGCCACAAACUCCUCCCUGGACCAGAGCUCCUCCACUUGGGAAUGUUGGGGGUUUGCGCGGCUCAGGUGCCGGGCCGGAAGUUGUACGUCGAGAAAUGGCCCGCGGAUAAGUUCAUCCUGUGAUUUGACUACAUCUACGACAUGUUCCACAUGACCAAGCUGGAUUUUUAGUUCAUACACAUGUAUGCGUUGUAUCUCAACUACAUCAUCAGGCGCGAGAACAUGCACUAUAUAUGCGUCGCGGACCCGUACUAUUUGCACGAGAGCUUCUUGGCAGUCUGCAAAGAGCACCAUGACUAUGCGAGCAAGUACAUCGGCGAGUUCAUGAUCGCUAAUAAGGACAAGGAAACGAUUCUCCUGCCUUAUCAUCCCACGUAAGUCAUCCGCGGAUAUCCUUUCGUAAGUUUUAAUCAUUCCUUUGCAAGCAGGGAGGCUANNNNNNNNNNNNNNNNNNNNNNNNNNNNNNNNNNNNNNNNNNNNNNNNNNNNNNNNNNNNNNNNNNNNNNNNNNNNNNNNNNNNNNNNNNNNNNNNNNNNNNNNNNNNNNNNNNNNNNNNNNNNNNNNNNNNNNNNNNNNNNNNNNNNNNNNNNNNNNNNNNNNNNNNNNNNNNNNNNNNNNNNNNNNNNNNNNNNNNNNNNNNNNNNNNNNNNNNNNNNNNNNNNNNNNNNNNNNNNNNNNNNNNNNNNNNNNNNNNNNNNNNNUUUGCACAGCCGGGGGAGGGGGGGGGGGGCAUUCUCAUCUAUCUUUACCCACAAUACUCCCAUGCUCUGUACUUGGACACAUCGAAGAACAUCAAGAAAAAGGAUUACACACACAUAAAGAGUGUUCUCGAUAGUUCCCUGUUAACCUUCAGCCUGUUUGGUGGAUAUAUCAAGGUGAAGAAGUACAGGAAGAACUGGUUUCGGCCAUAAGACCGACUUCUGCUGCAUCCAGCAACAAAACAAUAGUAAGGCUGAUGGAUUCUACCUCAUGCAUCACCUGAUCGAGUACAGAAGGGAUAAUCAACGCCUUCGCAUGUUAGCUACUUCCAACGAUGCCGAGAUUGUCAACUGGGCCACAAGAAUAGGAAGGACACCGGAUCAUCUAAUUUGAGAUGAGUUUUAUCACGUACAGUGUGAACUUGCUCAAGUGAUCAUGACGGAGGUCCUCGAACAAACAUGGAUGUUCUACCAUGGGCCAAUGACGCGGGACGAUGUCCGAGCACUGCUAGUCGCUCAGCGUCUGGACUUGAAGCCUUUCACGAAGCUCAGGUGCUUCCUCCCUGAGUAUGAAGAUUGGUUCGCCGACAUGGAGGAAUGAUUGAUGAUGACACUGUGUCACUACUGUCUUUCUAUGACAAAACUUUGAAUUUAUACACGGCGAAACUCCGUGAUAUAAUUAAACCAUCCUCCUAAACUAGCAUAGAUCGCUCUAGUUAAUUAGUUUGGGUACGAGGAACUUCGUUAUUUAUGUUUACUAUAGGUUUCUUGUAUUUUGCUAAUUAUGCCUCUUUGUGUUUCUCAAGUACAUUAUGUUGCAUAUUACCGUUGAAUUCAUCAACUGACGAUGCAGGUACAUAGAUCAGAGUGAAGGAAAUAUGCCCUAGAUGCAAUAAUAAAGUUGUUAUUUAUAUUUCCUUAUAUCAUGAUAAAUGUUUAUUAUUCAUGCUAGCACGGGAAGCCUCUCGACAGACCCGAGCAGCUCCCGUUCUACCAACCAUGAUGUGAAGAUUACAUGACUAGUACUUGGAAGCCCCAAAGCAAGGGGGCGACUGAUACGUCUCCAACAUAUCUAUAAUUUUUGAUUGUUCCAUGCUAUUAUAUUAUUUGUUUUGGAUGUUUUAUAUGCAUUUAUAUGCUAUUUUAUAUUAUUUGUGGGACUAACCUAUUAACCUAGAGCCCAGUGCCAAUUUAUGUUUUUUUUCUUGUUUUUGAGUUUUCAGAAAAGGAAUAUCAAACGGAGUCCAAACAAUAAAACUUUCAUGGUGAUUUUUCUUGGACCAGAAGACACCCGUAGGACUUGAAGAGGGGGCCAGAAGGUUCGCGAGGCGACCACAAGCCCGCUAGGCGCACCCUAGGGGGGCGCGCCUUGAGGGCUUGUGGGUCCCCCGGAGGUCCUCUAACCCUAACUCCGCCUCUUUAAAUGCCCAAAUAUUCCCAAACCACCAGAAGCGUCCACCAAAAUACUUUUUCAUCUCCGCAAGCCUCUGUUCCCGUGAGAUCCCAUCUUGGGGCCUUUUCCGACGAUCAGGCCGAGGGGGGUUUGAUCACGGAGGGCAUCUACAUCAACCUUGCCGCCCUUCCAAUGAAGCGUCAGUAGUUUACCACAGAUCUACGGGUCCAGAGCUAGUAGCUAGAUGGCUUCUUCUCUCUCUUUGAUCUUCAAUAUAAUGUUCUCCUCGAUGUUCUUGGAGAUCUAUUCAAUGUAAUACUUUUUUGCGGUGCGUUCGUUGAGAUAUGAUGAAGUGUGGAUUUACGAUCAGAUUAUCUAUGAAUAUUAUUUGAGUCUUCUUUGAAAUCUUUUAUGCAUGAUUAAGAUAUCUUUGUAUUUCUAUUCGAACUAUCUAUUUGGUUUGGCCAACUAUAUUGGUGUUUCUUGCAACGAGAGAGGUGCUUAGUUUUGGGUUCAAUCCUGAAGUGUCCUCACCCGGUGACAUAGUAGGGGUAGCGAGGCACGUAUUGUGUUGUUGCCAUCGAGGAUAAAAAGAUGGGGUUUUCAUCAUAUUGCUUGAGUUUAUCCCUCUACAUCAUGUCAUCUUGCUUAAGGCGUUACUCCGUUCUUAUGAAACUAAUACUCUAGAUGCAUGUUGGAUAGUGGUCGAUGUGUGGAGUAAUAGUAGUAGAUGCAGGCAAGAGUCGGUCUACUAUCACAGACGUGAUGCCUAUAUUCAUGAACAUUGCCUUAGAUAUCGCCAUAACUUUGCGCUUUUCUAUCAAUUGUUCAACAAUAAUUUGUUCACCCAUCGUAUGCUGUCUUUAAGAGAGAAGGCUCUAGUGAAACCUAUGGCCCCCGGGUCUAUUUUCCAUCAUAUAUUUUCAGAUGUAUAAACCAAAAACCCAAAAAUACCUUGCUGCAAUUUAUUUAGAUUUACUUUAGUUUGAUCUUUUAUUUAUCUUUUAUACCUAUCUCUAUUAGAUCUCACUCUUGUUCGAGACCGUGAAGGGAUUGACAACCCCUUUUUCGCAUUGAGUGUAAGUGUUUAUUAGUUUGUGCAGGUGAAUAGAUUGGAGACUUGCUUGUGCCUCCUACUAGAUUAAUCCCUUGGUUCUCAACUGAGGUAAAUACUUAUCUCUACUUUGCUGCAUCACCCUUUCCUCUUCAAGGGAAAAAUAACCGCAAGCUCAGGAAGUAGCAGGAAGUAUUUCUGGCGCCGUUGCAGGGGAGGUUCUACAUCAAGCCUACAAAGUACCCAUCAUAAACUCUCAUCUCUUGCACUUACAUUAUUUUUCAUUUGCGUCUCGUUUUCCUCUCCCCCACUUCUAAAACAUUUUCAUAAAAACACAAAAAUAUUUGCCGUUUUAUUUGCCAUCUUUCAGUUUGCCUUUAUGUCUUACUUGGUUUGUUUGCUCGUUCGCUUGGCAUAAUUGUGUGUUUAUUGAAAAUCAGAAACAAAAAGCUUAUGGAUCCUCAUCCACUUGCUAAUAUUUUUAAAAGAUCCAAUUAUUAUGAACCAAUUUCUAGUGAGUUGAGUGCACUAGAUUAUCUUUAUGAAAUUUUGCUUGAGAUUCGUGAAUUUGAAAAUUGUGACGAAGUAUUAAAAGAAGAAAUUUAUAAAGUGAUUCACGAUAGCUGCUUGAAUGAAAAGCAUGAUUGCAAUGAUGUUAUUAUAAAUCCUAUUAAUGUCAAUUGUGUUAAUAUUAAGCAAAACCCUAAUCUUGGGGAUGCUAAUUUUUCUAUGCCCGCUACUUAUUGUACUGAUCAUGAUUGGGGUGAUUCUUCUUAUGAUCUUGAAAAUUUAUUUAAGGCUCAUGACAAAUAUGUUUGCAAUAAUAUUGAAAGUGGGUUUGGAAGAGUGCCAACUCUAGGUAAUGAUGAUCCCACUACUUUGGAGAAUGAUCAAUCUUAUGAAUUUUUUGAUAAAAGUGGGCUUGGAGAGGUCAUGCCUUUAUUUGGUGAUAAUCCCACUAUUUUGGAAGAGUGUCAACUUUCCAUGCAUGCGAUCAUGUAGACAAAUUUUUACGUGAUAGCUAUAUUGUUGAAUUUGAUUAUGAUCCAACAGGUAAUUAUUAUGAGAGAGGAAAAUAUGGUUGUAGAAAUUUUCAUGUCACUAAAUUACCUCUCGUUAUGUUGAGAUUGCUAUUGUUUCCUUCUUCUUCCUUGCAUAUGCUAGUUUUUGCUUGUCUUGAUAAUUUGUUUGCUUAUAAAAUGCCUAUGCAUAGGAAGUAUGUUAGACAUAAACUUGUUUUUCACAUGCUACAUGAUGUUCUCUUUGUGUUUCAAGUGCUAUCUUUCAUGUGAGCAUCAUUAAAAUUAUCAACGCCUAGCUAAGAGGCUUUAAAGAAAAGCGAUUGUUGGGAGAUAACCCAAUAUAUUUAUUUUAUGUUUUUAUGAAAAUACACAUUAUUACCUAUGUAGUAAUUGUGUUUUGGUGUUUUAAUUAGUGUUUGAGCCAAGUAAGACCUUUGGGAUGGUCUACGGUGAUAAUUGAUUUGAUCUUGCUGAAAAACAGAAACUUUUGCGCUCAUUGCCAGAAUUUUAAAAAAUCUCAGAAAAGUUAUUUUGAUAUGAAUUCUUUAAACAAGAUUUAUAUACAAAUUUCCCAGGUUUUCCUAAUUUUUAAGAAGUUGUGGAGUAACAGAAGUAUACGAAAUUUCCAGAUUACUACAGACUGUUCUGUUUUUGAUAAAUUCUGUUUUCUAUGUGUUGUUUGCUUAUUUUGAUGAAUCUAUGGGUAGUAUCGGGGGGUAUAAACCAUGGAGAAGUUGGAAUAAAUUAGAUAUAACACCAAUAUAAAUUAAUAAUGAGUUCAUAACAGUACCUAAGUGGUGAUUUAUUUUAUUAUACUAACGGAUCUGAUGAGUUUUCUGUUGAGUUUUGUGUUGUGAAGUUUUCAAGUUUUGGGUAAAGAUUUGAUGGACAACGGAAUAAGGAGUGGCAAGAGCCUAAGCUUGGGGAUGCACAUGGCACCCUAAGGUAAUAUUCAAGGACAACCAAGCAUCUAAGCUUGGGGAUGCCCCGGAUGGCAUCCCCUCAUUUGUCUUGAAUCCAUCGAUAUGUGUUUUGCUUGGAGCGUCUUGUAUGAUAUGAGUCUUUGCUUUUUAGUUAUCCACAAGCAUCCUUGUUGUACAAACCUUUUGAUAGGGACACACAUUCAUCGUGAAUUUGUUAAAAUACCCUAUGUGCUUCACUUAUAUCUUUUGAGCUAGGCGGUUUGCUCUAGUACUUCACUUAUGUCUUUUUAGAGCACGGCGGUGGCUUUAUUUUAUAGAAAUUGUUGAACUCUCAUGAUUCACUUAUAUUAUGUUGAGAGUCUUAAAUAGCAUAGUAAUUUGCUUAGGCUAUGAAUUUAGUCCUAAUAUGAUGGGCAUCCAAGAGGGAUAUAAUAAAACCUUUCAUGUAAAGAGCAUUGAAUAGAUGAGAAGUUUGAUUCCUUGCAUUUGUUUUGAGAUAUAAAUAUGGUGAUAUUAGAGUCAUGCUAGUGAGUAAUUCUGGAUUGGUAUAAAUACUUGUGUUAAAGUUUGUGAUUCCCGUAGCAUGCACGUAUGAUGAACCGUUAUGUGAUGAAGUCGGAGCAUGAUAUUUUUUUUGAUUGUCUUCCUUAUGAGUGGCGGUCGGGAACGGGCGAUGGUCUUUUCCUACCAAUCUAUCCCCCUAGGAGCAUGAGUGCAGUACUUUGUUCCAAUAGCUAAUAACUUUUUGCAAUAAGUUUGUGAGUUCUUUAUGACUAAUGUUGAGUCCAUGGAUUAUACGCACUCUCACCCUUCCACCAUUGCUAGCCUCUCUAGUACCACGCAACUUUCGCUGGUGCAUUAAACCCACUAUAUACCUUCCUCAAAACAGCCACCAUACCUACCUACUAUGGCAUUUCCAUAGCCAUUCCGAGAUAUAUUUCCAUGCAACUUCCACUGUUCCGUUUUACUAUGACACGCACCAUCAUUGUCAUAUUGCUUUGCAUGAUCAUGUAGUUGGCAUAGUAUUUGUGGCAAGGCCACCGUCCAUAUUUAUUAUACAUGUCACUCUUGAUCAUAGCACAUUCCGGUACACCGUUAGAGGCAUUCAUAUACAGUCAUAUCUUGUUCUAAGUAUUGAGUUGUAAUUUUUGAGUUGUAAGUAAAUAAAAGUGUGACGAUCAUAAUUAUUAGAGCAUUGUCCCAUGUGAGGAAAGAAGGAUGGAAACUUCCCUCACAAGUUGGGAUGAGUCUUUGGACUUUAUAAAAAAUAAAAGAGGCUAAAGAAGCCCAAACAAAAAAAGAGAGAAAGAAAAAAUGAGAGAAAAGAGAGAAGGGACAAUGUUACUAUCCUUUUUCCACACUUGUGCUUCAAAGUAGCACCAUGAUCUUCAUGAUAGAGAGUCUCCUAUUUUGUCACUUUCAUAUACUAGUGGGAAUUUUUCAUUAUAGAACUUGGCUUCUAUAUGCCAAUGAUGGGCUUCCACAAAUUGCCCUAGGUCUUCGUGAGCACUUAGUUUUUUUUAUUGAGCUUUCAUACACUUAUAGCUCUAGUGCAUCCAUUGCAUGGCAAUCCCUACUCACUCGCAUCGAUAUUAAUUGAUGGGCAUCUCCAUAGCCCAAUAAUUUGCCUAGCUGAUGUGAGACUUUCUCCUUUUUUGUCUUCUCCACAACCAUCAUAUUCUAUUCCACCUAUAGUGCUAUAUCCAUGACUCACGCUCAUAUAUUGCGUGAAAGUUGAAAAAGUUUGAGAACACCAAAAGUAUGAAACAAUUGAUUGGCUUGUCAUCGGGGUUGUGCAUGAUGAAAUACUUUAUGUGAUGAAGAUGGAGCAUAGCCAGACUAUAUGAUUUUAUAGGGAUAACUUUCUUUGGCCAUGUUAUUUUGAGAAGACAUGAUUGCUUUAUUAGUAUGCUUGAAGUAUUAUUUUUAUGUAAAUAUUAAAGUUUUGUUUUGAAUCUAAUGGAUUUGAAUAUCCAUGCCACAAUAAAGAAGAGUACAUUGAUGAAUAUGUUAGGUAGCAUUACACAUCAAAAAUUCUGUUUUUAUCAUUUACCUACUCGAGGAAGAGCAGGAAUUAAGCUUGGGGAUGCUUGAAACGUCUCCAACAUAUUUAUAAUUUUUUAUUGUUCCCUGCUAUUAUAUUAUCUGUUUUGGAUGUUUUAUACGCAUUCAUAUGUUAUUUUAUAUUAUUUUUUAGACUAACCUAUUAACCUAGAGACCAGUGCUAGUUUUUGUUUUUUCCUUGUUUUUGAGUUUUACAGAAAAGGAAUAUCAAACGGAGUCCAAACGGAAUAAAACUUUCGUGAUGGUUUUUCCUGGACCAGAAGAUAGUCGUAGGACUUGGAGAGGGGGGCACAAGGUCCGCGAGCCGAGCAAAAGCCAGCUAGGCGCGCUCUAGGGGCGCCCUGAGGGCUUGUGGGUCCCUCUGGGGUCCUCUAACCCUAACUCCGCCUCUAUAAAUUUUCAAAUAUUCCCAAACCACCAGAAGCAUCCACCAAAAUACUUUUCCGCCGCAGCAAGCCUCUGUUCCUGUGAGAUCCCAUCUUGGGUUCUUUUCCGAUGAUAUGCCGGAGGGGGAUUCGAUCACGGAGGGCAUCUACAUCAACCUUGCGUCCCUUCCGAUGAAGCCUGAGUAGUAUACCACGGACCUACGGGUCCAUAGCUAGUAGCUAGAUGUCUUCUUCUCUCUCUUUGAUCUUCAAUAUAAUGUUCUCCUCGAUGUUCUUGGAGAUCUAUUCAAUGUAAUACUUUCUUGCAGUGUAUUUAUUGAGAUCCGGUGAGUUGUGGAUUUAUGAUCAGAUUAUCUAUGAAUAUUAUUUGAGUCUUUCUGAACUCUUUUAUGCAUGAUUAAGAUAUCUUUGUAUUUCUUUUCGAACUAUCGAUUUGGUUUGGUCAACUAGAUUGGUUUUUUCUUGCAAUGGGAGAGGUGCUUAGGUUUGGGUUUAAUCUUGUUGUGUCCUCACCUAGUGGCAUAGUAGGGGUAGAGAGGCACGUAUUGUACUGUUGCCAUCGAUGAUAAAAAUAUGGGGUUUUCAUCAUAUUGCUUGAGUUUAUCCCUCUACAUCAUGUCAUCUUCCUUAAGGCGUUACUCCGUUCUUAUGAACUUAAUACUCUAGAUGCAUGCUGGAUAGCGGUCGAUGUGUGGAGCAAUAGUAGUAGAUGCAGGCAGGAGUCGGUCUACUUGUCACAGACGUGAUGCCUAUAUCCAUGAUCAUUGCCUUAGAUAUCGUCAUAACUUUGCGCUUUUCUAUCAAUUGCUCAACAGUAAUUUGUUCACCCACCGUAUGCUAUCUUCAAGAGUGAAGCCUCUAGUGAAACCUAUGGCCCCCAGGUCUAUUUUCCAUCAUAUAUUUUCAGAUCUAUCAACCAAAAAAUCCAAAAAUACCUUGCUGCAAUUUAUUUGGAUUUACUUUAGUUUACUCUUUUAUUUAUGCUUUAUACCUAUCUCUAUUAGAUCUCACUAUUGUUCGAGACCGUGAAGGGAUUGACAAGCCCUUUUUCGCGUUGAGUGCAAGUGUUUGUUAGUUUGUACAGGUUCAUUGAUUGGAGACUUGCUUGUGCCUCCUACUGGAUUGAUACCUUGGUUCUUAACUGAGGGAAAUACUUAUCUCUACUUUGCUGCAUCACCCUUUCCUCUUCAAGGGAAAAAUCAACGCAAGCUCAAGAAUUAGCACAGACUAUAUUAUGGCGGGGGUUAAAGAAGAGCAUUACUUCAGCAGAGACGAGGAGAUUUACGCUCAAUUUGAAGAAUUAUUCUAGUUAUACAAUAAAGAAGAGCAUUAUUUUAGUUAUGCCAAAGAUGUCAUAUGCAAUUUUUUCAUGUAACUUGCUUUGAAAUAUCUUAGAUAUAGUAUAUGAAUAUAUUUAAAAUGAUAAAGUAGUAUAUAUAGUACCACAUGAUAGUAUAUGAGACAUGUGGGUUAACUAUCCCCGGGUGGUAGGAUGAAUUUUCCCUAUAUAUAUAUAUAUCGAAUGUCUCGCACCACCAUUCACACAUAAACAUGUAUAUAUACAAUUUGGUAUAUACAAUUUCUCCUACAAUUUGUAGAUCAUUACAUGGAGACAUUACUGCGAUAUCGGGUAAUGGAAUUCUCCUUUGGGAUCUAUGAACUGGUUGAACAAAAAUCCCGUUAUUUCAUGUUGAAGUGCUCCUACGCGAGCCUCCAAUAGGAGUCGAUCCCGCAUCUCCUUCAUCUUUAAAGAAGAAAUCAAAAUACACAUGUAUUAUUAGUUGUGUGUAUAUUUGAUAAUGAUGUACAAAAUUGUGAAUAGUGUUCUGGCAAACGUACCCAUUGGUCUCUAUCAGUUCUGGUCCUUUUGGUAGUCAUCAUGCGAAUGUUCUCGCAAAUGUAGAAUGAACAUAAAUCAGUCCCCGACGCCUGCUUCAGGGCCUUUAUGAGAAUAGAAUUCAAUCAGAUAAUAAUUAGUCAAGCAUGAUAGUUAAUGGUAUUGAAACUAGAAUUAAAGAGAUGGUAGCUAGCUGGUACUAGCUACUUAAUUAAUUACCUUGGGUCGGAUCCAUUUCAUCUCUUUUUUCCAUGAGCCAUCAACCUAUUUGAUGAGCUUUUGCCAAGACGUGCCCGCCGGCAAAUAAAAUGAAUAAAGGAGUUAUUAGUUAUUGAUAUCAGGAAAUGACAAACUAAAGAGGCCGACAUGUAGUUCGAUAAUGAUUGAAAUUAUCUGUUGACCAUCCCCUUCACGAUUUCGUAGUCACUAGCUUUUUUAAAUAGUGAGUCCAGUACUUGAACUUUUCCCUCGUCAACUUCAAUGAUUAACAAGAUCCAGUGGAAACUGCAUGCACAUACAUUUGCAUGUAUAAUUAAGCGGGUAUGUGCAUAACUCAUCAACUACCCUAAACCCUAUACACUUAUUAACAUCAAGCUAGUAAGCAAAAACACAAUUUGUAGUACAAGACAGUGUGACUCACCCGAAGUUGUAAGGAAGUAGAAUUUUUGGACAGGCAUUUAGGUGCUUCAAGAACUCUAGCAAGAUUUUCUCUGUGUAUGGUCGAUCAUAUUCUUGUGACCAUGUCUUUUCAUUAAUGAUAUUUGGGUCAAUGAACCCAAUGCCAUAGCGUCCAACUUUUUUCAUUUCAAACAUCUUCAUUCUGCAUAAUACCACAGAAGAGAAUAUAGUGAGGAUAAUUACAGGUAAUGAAUAGAACAAGCACUACAGCUAGCUAGAGAACUAAAUUAAUUACAAAAAGAAACCACUUACAAACUAUAGCAACUGACGACAGAUUUGUCGAGUGCGUCUUGAUUGAAUAACUGAAAUAUUUCUUGAAACUCAACCCACAGAUCUUUUCCAUGGUAGUAGUACUCUUCGGCGACUUUCACCAUGAGGGACUCUUGAUCGGUAGUCUUGGCUUCUUUCAUGUACCAUUCAUGCAAUUGAUACAUUCUCGUUAAUAGAGGCUUGACCUCCUUGGGCUUCACCAGAGGCUGGCCAUGGGCAUAUUUCCAUUUUAUGUCCUCCUCAUUAAGCAUAUCCAUGGGCUCGAUCUCUAGUAGUUGAUAAAUAGUGACACCGGCCUCUUCAGCCAUCCUUCUAUGAGCGUCGGUUAUUACCAACUGAUCAGCGCCGGUACUCACAUGUGUUGGUACAAUGAGCGGGGGGGGGGGGGUCGAUUGCACCGCCUAUUCUCCAAACUGGGGAACAACUUUCCCGCUUUUUUAGCAGCUGCUUUGCUGGAGCUCGAGCUCGACUCCUUCUUUUUUCAUGCUUGAUAUGCCUUCCUAAUUUGGUGCUCAUAGUCUGAGUCAACAUGCUUGCGAGCUGGUGGUUGAGCCAUACGAAUAAAGUGGUCAAUGACAUGCUCGCACUUUCUCCUUUGGCGGCGGUGGCAGUUUUGGUCCAAAAUGGGUGUCCAACUAGGCCCUGCAUUCGGCUUCGUUUUCCUUGUCAGUCAUGUCGUAAGGCCUCUUCGAAAGAGGCGUGAGGCUUGGACCAAAUUGGUAUCUCUUGCCUCCUAUAAUUGUACCGCUAGCCGCCAUAGCUGCGGCGGCUCUCUUCUGUUGUUGCUUAGGCAGGGGAGCCCGGUGACGCGGCAAAGAUGGCUGAUGCGGUGCCUGACUUGGAGGAGGAGGAGGAAUGGGCUGACGUGUUGCCGGACUUGGAGGAGGAGGAGUGGGCUGACGCGAUGCCGGACUUGGAGGAGGAGGAGUGGCCUAACGCGUUGGCGGACUUGAAGGAGCAGGACUCUGCUGAGGCGGUGGCUGAUGGCUUGCAGGAGCAGGAGUCUGUUGACGCGGUGGUGGACUUCGAGGAGGAGUCAGCUGACGCGGUGUCGGUGGCCUUGGAAAGAUGAUGCAAGCCUUUCUCCAUAGAAUGAUAUGAUGUAUGACCUCUCCCAAUGUGUGCUCGUCAUCACCUCCAGGAAUGUCAAGCUCUAGCCCCGAAUAUUGUGACACCACUUCAUCAACCACGACACGAGCAUAGCCAGCUGGUUGGGUUGCAAUGGAAGGUUGCUUCAAGGGGAUUUGUAUAAGCAACGGCGUCUGCCACCUUCAUGGAUAUGUUCUUCAUUUUGAAGUGAAGCUCACAAUUAGUGUUAUCCAUGAUGUCAUCCAUAGGGUACCUAUCCUGCAGUACCUCAUCGCCCCGGGCGGAACCCACGCUUCUUCUCGGCAUGGAUGGGAUGGUGCUAUCAGAUGCUGGAUCUGCUAGCUGCUGGUAGAGACCCCUUUUCCUGGCUAAGUGAGUCGAUCUGCUGUUGCUGCCACUGGAAUUGGAGUGCCAACUCUGCGUGCCUUGAUUCUAGGCCUUGAAGGCAUUCUGCUUCCUGCUUCCUUUGCUCCUCCUCCAGCUUCCUCUUCUUCUUCUCCUCCAUCUUCUUUCUCGCACAACUUCUGUAGUCGGCAUUCCAGUCGUCAAACCCCUCAUACCACGGAACAAUGCCUUUGCCUCGUGUUCUUCUCGGGUGUUUAGGAUUUCCUAGGGCACGCGUAAGCUCGUCGUUCUCACUGUUGGGCGUGAACACCCCCGUUCGAGCCUCUUCUAUUGCAUUGCAACAAGUAAUUUCAGGUCGGCUCCUUUAAGACUUGCCUUCUCCAAAACCUAGCAUGUCUUUGGGUCCAAUGUCCCCCCAUGCGCAUAGAGCCAAGUCCUGCACCUGGGGGCCAGCUCAAUGUAACUUGAAUGAUCCCUGCAUCAACCACCUAUUACUCAUCCUUAUCCCACUUAGGCCGGGCCACCGCGUAGCCACCUGGCCCCAGCUUAUGGUAAUGCUCCUUUUUCGCGGCAUUGAUCUUGUUUAUUCUCGACCGUUCCUUAGCUAUUUCCGAUUACUUGAAUUUCACGAAAGCGGGCCAGUCAUCUCUUUGCUUCUCUAGUGUUCCUGUGAAUUCUGCAGUCUUCUUUCCUCCUUCAACGUACUUGGCCCAUAUAAUUUUCUUGUGGUUGUUGAAUGCAACUGCCAUCUUCCUAAGAGCAGCGUCCUUGACUUUCUGCACAUCUGCAUCUGUGAAAUGAUCUGGUAGGGUGAAAUGUGACGUGAGAGAUUCCCAAAGCAGAUCUUUUGCUCUUUGGUCAACAAAAGUAAGAUCUGGACGUUUCUUUGCUGGCUUUUUCCAUUCUUGAAUGGAGAUCGGGAUUUGAUCCUUCACAAGAACUCCGCACUGACGAAUGAACUUGCCCACAUUCUUCUUAGGCUCACUUGGUUCGCUAUUAGGUUUGAUGGCAUCGAUUGUGUACUUUACGCCAUACUUCAACUUUUUGGCCGGGCCUCACACUGCCCUGCUGCAUGUAGAAGAUUUGCUCGAUCCGGAGGGCUGAAUGAAGAAAGAUCGAUUCGUUAAUAUAUAUACAAAUCAUUUAAAACAUGUGAUGAUCACCAGAUGCCCGCUUAUAUAAAUAUACCUCGUCGGUCUUUGUUAUUUCAAGAUCAACAUCUUCUUCGUCAUCAUAAUCAUAGUUCUGGACUUCAUCUAUUUGUUUGUCUUCAUAAAAUAUCAUACCCUCACCGGUAGGGUUCAGAUAUUGCGAGCCGUCAUCUUCUUCAAACUCAUCUGGGCGAGGGCAUGAGCGUAUGAUGUUGAACAGGGCCUCCUCUCCUUCUCUGCCGGUAUUGUCCAUAAUUUUUAUUUAACUAAUCUAGAAGAAAUAUAAAACAAUUUAGUAUUCAAAUUACAAUGCAUGCAUGCAAUCAAUAAGGAAAAACUGAACCAUAGUACAUAAUAUGCAUCAUCGAAUAUAAUCUCGAAUACAUCGUCUUGAAUAUUAUUGAAUAAUAUAUAUAAUAUCGAAUACAUCGUCUUGAUUAUUAUAGAAUAAUAUAUAUAAUCUCGAAUACAUCGUCUCAAAUAUUAUCGAAUAAUAUAUAUAAUCUCUAAUACAUCGUCUCGAAUAUUAUCGAAUACAUCACUAGCUAGCUAAUAUAGAUCGAAUACUAUCGAAUAAUCUAGUUCACUCGUGGUUCCUGAGGCGCGGGCGGUGGACACCCAAAGAGAAGAAACCAUCACAUGAUCAUAACUCGGGUGAGAUCCCCAAAGAACCUGCCAGUAUUGGAGAACCUGACGUCCAACACAACCAUGUAGCGAUGGACGUGCUCGUCCUCCUCCCUAACACAGUGACGUACCACCUCCGGCGGGGCCAGCUCCCUCCACACCGAAAGUGGCUCAUGCGAACGCCACCAAAGGAGCUCUGGGUCUAAGACGGGACCCGGGGCCGGGUACGUCACCAAGCGGUGCGCCCCUAAAGGUAGCACCUCCCAGUGCCAGCCCGGCGGAGCCCAGUCCCGGACAUGGCUCCUCUGAAGCAGGACGUCGUCGCGAACGGGUCGACGGCGAGGAUGUGGGCCGGGCAUCGUUGACAUCGAGAACAAAUUCUAUAUGCAAAUGUAACAUUUUUAAAUGAUUGGAUUAUUGUGAUUUAUUAUAUAGAAAUUCUGUAUGCAAAUUCUAUAUGAUCAAAUGUUGCAUAUGUCAAAAUUCAAACUUUGACAUAUGAUAUCUAGCUAGCUAGCUAGCUAAUUCAUCUAACAUUAAUAUAUCUAGCUAAUUCAUCUAACAUUUGACAAAAAGUAUAAGAAACUAAUUCAUCUAACACUAAUAUAUCUAGUUCAUCUAUAAGUAAAAAUAUAAAAAACUAAUUCAUCUAACAUUGCUAUCUAAUUCUUCUAACAUUUGACAUUAAUCUAAUUCAUCUAAAACUUGACAUUAAUCUAACAUAUAUAUAUAUAUAUAUAUAUAUAUAAUUCAUCUAACAUUUCUAUAACUAAAAGUAUAAAAAACAGAAAAACAAAAAAUAAUUAAGAAAGUGUGUGUGUGUGUGUGUGUGUGUGUGUGUGAGGCGGCAGGGGACGGGCCGGGGCGGCGCGCGACAGGGAUGGGCGCGGAGAUGGGACGGCGACGGGGACGGGCGCGGCGAUGGGAUGGCGACGGCGCACGACGGGGGCGGCGACAGGCCGGGGUGGCGACGGGGACGACGACGAGGACGGGCGCGGCAAAGGGGCAGAGGUUAAAGCAGUGGAAUAAGAGAAGAAAAAUGAUAUUUUUUGAAGUGCUGCUUAUAUAGGAUGGACCUUUAGUACCGGUUGGAGCCACCAACCGGUACUAAAGUUCUAUUUUGGCCAGGCCAAGCAGUGGGAAGCGACCACCUUUAGUACCGGUUGGUGGCUCCAACCAGUACUAAAGACCCCCCCUUUAGUACUGGUUGGAGCUACCACCCGGUACUAAAGGGGUGAGCUGGUACAGGUGCGGUGCGGACAAGUUUAGUCCCACAUCGCUUGUCGAGGGGCGCCUGCACCAGCUUAUAAGCCCCGCCGCGGCUGCUGUCUCGAGCUCCUCUCUAAUGCAGGCCCUCUAGGCCUACUCUGUUGCGAUGCCCUGUUGGGCCUACUGGGCCUGCAUCCUGGCCCAACUACAGGUUGGGUUUCUAGUCAUAUGCAGGCCGUUGUGGCCCAGUAGGCGAGCUUUUUUUAUUUUUUUUUCAUUUUUUUCUUUUCUGCUUUAUUUAUUUUCUUUUAUUUAUUUCUAAGUCAUUUUUGUUGUAUUUUGAGUUUCUUUGUGAAUAUUUUUCCUUAAGGUACAAAAAAUUACAAACUUUCCGUUAGUGCUGGUAGUUUUCAAAUGUGAAUAGUUUAAAUUUGAAUUAAUUAAAAUUUGUGUGAAUCACUAGUUUGUGAAUAACUUUACUUUUAAAAUAGAUUUUUUCAGUGAUUAUUUUUAUUAUGUUUAAUAUUAGUGUGUUUUAUCAUUAUAUUCAAUUUGGUAAUACUUAGGUUAUUGAAAUGCCUUUGCAACAGAUGAGUUUUCGUCCGAAACCCUGAUACUUCGAAAGAGAUUGUCCAUUUUAUACACGAAGUGCAUCCAGUUUUUUCCGUAACCCUCUCAAAUUUUUUACACAUGCUAUGUGGGUGAAAUGAUGAUACCAUGCCAACUUUCAACCUUUUCAGAGUUCAUUUGUAGUGCUUUUCAAUUUCAUGGUCAUUUAGCUCAAAAAAUCAGUAAAUGCAUGAAAAAUAGCAAAUGAAGUCAAAAAGGGUUGAAAGUUGAUGACGUGGCUUUCAAUGGUCCAUACUGAAUGCACAAAAGUCUGGGGUUGAAGUAAGUUAAAAAAUGAAAUGCCUUUGUAACAGAUGAGUUUUCAUCCAAAACCCUGAUACUUCGAAAGAGAUUGUCUAUUUUGUACACGAAGUGCAUCCAGUUUUUGCCGUAACCCUCUCAAAUGUUUUGCACAUGCUAUAUGGGUGAUGAUACCAGGACAACUUUCAACCUUUUCAGAGUUCAUUUGUAGUGCUUUUUAAUUUUAGGGUCAUUUAGCUCAAAAAUCAGUAAAUGCAUGAAAAAUAGCAAACGAAGUCAGAAAGGGUUGAAAAUUGAUGAUGUGGCUUUGAAUGGUGCAUAUUGAACGCACAAAAAGUCUAUAGUUGAAGUAAGUUUAAAAAAAUGAAAUGCCUUUGUAACAGAUGAGUUUUCGUCCGAAACCCGGAUACUUCGAAAGAGUGUCGGAUUUCGGGUUCCUGCAGACCCUAAAGGUUCGAACUCUGGGGUGCACGCGGUGAUCACACCUCCUGCCUACCUACGUCUCGUCGCCUCGCAAGGAUCUAAACUACACGAAGAACAACAUAAGGGACACGAGGUUUAUACUAGUUCAAGCCACCAUUGUGGUGUAAUACCCUACGUCUAGUUUGUGGUGUGGUGGAUUGCCUCAGGGGCUGAUGAUGAACAAUACAAGGGAAGAACAGCCUCGCGAUGGGCUGUUCUUAGGAUGGUGCGAUGAACUGCUUGGGUGAGUUUAGUCGCUUCUCUCGCUCUCUAGCCUGCCCAAAAUCUCGAUCCCUCACUCUGCGGUGGCUAGCUCUAUUUAUAGAGGGAGGCCCUGGGCCUCUUCCCAAAUAUUGAGCGGGAAGGGCGCCAAGAAUUGGCCAUUUUGAAGGGGAACAUCUAGUACACUUAUCCUGACUAAAGUUGGUCCUCGCCUGCCAAAGACUCUGACGAUGACGCCUUCCUGGGCUCCACGAUGACCUCCAUCCUGCAGUUCUACCGGUCUUGAUCUUGUUGCACCGAAAUGGUUGCCCUUGCUUGAUAAUCUUGCCUGCGCUUGCCCCCUUUGCACCAAAGAGGAAACAAGGACUCUGCGUAGGCCGGCGCCCGCCUGGCGCCCGCCUGGCCUCGGUCAUCAUGGCUUGCGUCAUGGGCACCUCGUGAGGUACCCUGCCUUGAUCUCUCCGCCUCCUCGCGAGCCAGCCUGACGAGGCUGUGCCCGAGGAAGCUUCCUGUCACUCGCCCCGCGAGGCUUGGCCCCUCGCGAGGGUCUUGAGUAUGUGUCGAUGAAGAUGGACCGUACUGGGCCACUCCCUCGGCCACGCCGUAGGCCGCAGGCAGGCAAGCCUAGGUACCCCCUUUCCCAGAACGCCGACAGUAGCCCCCGGGCCCAAGGCACGCCUGGACUUGGCUUAGCAGAGAAGCGAAGGGGAAAGUGCGAAGCGCCGCGGGCCCCAUCAGCCUGCGGCCUUGGGUGCCACGUGGCGGUUUAUUGGACGUGUGCGUCCCCGCUUCCGCACGAUGCCUCGGCAGCUGCACGAAUUGACAAGAGAUCAUUACCCGUCCAGGCUUACCUUCUUUGCCUCUUCUAGUCAUUGCCCAGAUCCCCUUUCUCGCUCCUAUCCUUCUUGCUUCCGAAAUCCCCAGAUCUACUCCAACCCUGCAUCUUAGCAAGGCAUGGCGCCUCGGCAGACCCCGGCUGGAGCUUGGUACUCGCCCGCUCUGGAUCCUCCAAAUGUGUCGGAGAAGAAUCUUGCCCGGACGUGCCAGAUGAUGGCGGUGCAAGGCAAUGAUGGAGCGGCCGUGCUCAAGGUUGGUUCCGCCCUUCCCGAGGACAAAGGGAGCACCUUCUACCCGCUCUUCGUGAGCGCCAUCGCCGCCGGUCUGGUGCCCCCCUUCUUCGAGUUCUUCCUUUCUGUUCUCCGCCAUUACAACCUGCAAGCUCUGCAUCUCCAUCCCAACUUUGUUCUUCUCUUGGUGAUUUUCGCCUACUACUGCGAGGCUCAUGUUGGGGUAAGGCCCUCGGUGGCCUUGCUGCGCCAUUACUUUUACCUCCGGGUUUCUCGCGGCCCCAUCACCACGUGCACGAGCUUUGUUGCAUAAAUGCCAGCUCCAAUGCUAUCUCGAAGCCCGGGAAGAGGAUUGAAGGCUUUAGGAGCAAGUGGGUCAUGGUGGAUGCUGGGCGCAUCCAUCUCCGGCUGAUCCUGCCCACGAGGCAGCCCGAGGUCGCCGACGCUUGGUCCCGCGCGGAACUCGUCGAUCCCCGCGCGAAGCCGGUGCUGGAGAAGAUGGACGCGGACCUGUAGCCGGGAAACAUGGCGACGGCGAGGCUGCCCGGGGCGUCGCUCCUGAGGGAGUUCCUGGAGCACCGAGUGGCUCCGCUCUGGGAACACCCGCUCCCGCUGUGGAGGCUCGGGGGGACCGAUGCCGCCCUUCGCCUGAGCUCCGUAGUCCUGGCCGACGAAGAUCUGGCCGCGGUCCUCCAAUCCUUGGUUGGGGGAGACGUGGCGAGAUUGGAGGGUGCUCAUGUACCCCUGUUCCUUCGGGAUGAUUGGGAGCGGGUGGUGAACUCCAUGCCCGCUUUCAACGGGGACGGGCCUGUGCCCGCGGAGGUUCCUGAGGACCUGGCGGCCCUGGCGAUGGUGAACGUGUCCUCCGGCGACUCCGGCAGAGAGGAGGAAGAAGAGGAGUAGGAAGAGGAGCCCGAUUCCGAGGCGACCGACAAGGAGUCGAGAGCGCCCCUCCCUCGACGCAGGUCCCGCGCCCUUCACCUCUUGCCGGAUGACGAUGAGGAUGGCGAUGAGCGAGGCGGCGAGAGCUCGCCCCUGAUCCCGAAGAAGGACAGGAUGGGGCUGGUUCCCCGCGGGCCUGCUCCGGCUCUGAGGCAAUCUGCAGACGUGCCUCCUGCUCCCGAGUCUCCUGAGGUUGAUCCCAGCAGCCGGCUCUCGGGCUUCAAGUUCGGCCGGAGGUUGCUUGAGCCCGCGGGCGAUGACCAGUAAGUGCUUGAUUCUCGUUUUGCUUCUUGUUUUGUUGCUGAGGCUUAACGUCCAUACUCCUUGGCUAGUCCGGUGCCUGCGGCGAAAAAGCUGAAGGGGGCCCCUAAGGCUUUGUCUGGGGCAGCACUUCCAUCCGCGGGAGAAGGGGGCGGCAAGGCCCGGGCCUCUCCUGCUCGGCCAUCCUCACGAGGCCAGGCAGGGCGUGCCAGGGCGAGCUCAGCCCCCGUGGCCCAAGCGACUCCCGAGGUGUCCUCGCCUGACGCCACUGCCGCAGUCAUCGGGGCGCAAAAAGUCCCAACUCACGGCGCUGUGAUCACGCUGCCGUCUUCUCGUCCUACUCCGCCAACUGCCAUUUCUCCGACUCCUUCUACUGUCCUGGAUCGUGCUGCUGCUGAGCUGGACCGGCUGCGAGAAGAUCUUCGGGGCGCCGACCCUUGCUUUGUGGCCGGGCGCCUGGAGCUGGCCUCCGGCUGGGUCCGCUCUGAUGCUUCAGUUCGAGCAGCACUGGUUCAGGCUGCGACGGCUUGCGACGAGGAGAAGCAGGCCACCCUUCAGGCCAAGGCCGCUCGCGACACUGCCUUGGGUGAGGUUGCGGAUGUCCGAGGUCGCUGCAAGGCGCUGGAGAGCGAGCUGCAAGGCCUGCGACCAGCUCGCCAAGGAGGUCCGUGACCGCCAGGAGAGGGAGGAAGAGAUGAGGGCUCGCGAGACUACCGCCAAGGACCGGGAUGCCUAGCUUGAUGAACUCCAUGGCCGCUUAGACACACUAGAGCAGGCAUUGGAGGCGAAGAAGAUCGAGUUGGACGGCAAGGUGCGGGUCCUGGCCGAGGACCGCGUGGCCUUCGCGAAGCUGGAAGAGAAGGCUCGCACCUUGCUGAAGACGCUUUAUGAUAGCGGCCUGGAGAGCCUGCUGGCCGGCGCCAAGGACGGCCCCGCCAAGUUGCUUCCCUUCCUAGUCUGCGCCCUUGAAGAUGUCGCCCUCGGCCUUGGCCCCACAGCUGAGGCUGAGGCGCGUGUCCUUUCUUCUGUAGCGCUGACGCGCAUCUUCACCCAGAUCUACCUUCGCGACCCCGAUGUUGACCUUGACAACCCACUGCCUGUGAGCGGCGAGCUUGCCGCUGUCGCUGCUGAGGCCGUGAAGGGUCGAGUGGAGGCUCUGCUGGCGAAGUUCCGUGCUUUCAGCACCAAGCCAAGGCGAGGUGCUGCCAAAAGUGAGGCUCCACGAUGCGAAGUCGCCCAACGCAGCUCCGUCACCAGCGAUGGUACUGCCAGAAAGUGACCCCUUCGCGGCUCCUGUCCUAUUGUUAGCUCUGGUAACAUGCAUCAUGCCUCGUGGAGGCGUUUAAACUUGUGUUUGGUGUUGUGAAAGCACUCUAUGGACUGUAAUAUUUGCUUUUGAAUUCCUUGAUAUUUGCGCUUUUCCUUCCUACUUGCUUGUGUUCUACGUCGGCAGAGCCCGGCCCCGCGCAUACCUCAGCCGCCGUUAGCCCCGACCAGAAACCAGGACGGGACCAAGGAGUGAGGGGCUACGUGACCAGUUAGGCUCCUGAGUCGCGAUGCUCAGGAGUCCCCCUGGACGCGCGAAUAACAAGUAGAGAGGGAGAUGUAUGAGUAAAUCCACCAUUCUACGUCGGCAGAGCCCGGCCCCGCGCAUACCUCAACCGUCGUUAGCCUUUUGGAACUAAGGGGUGAGGGGCUACAUGACCAGUUAGGCUCCUGAGUCGCGAUGCUCAGGAGUCCCCCUUGACAUUCAAACGGCCUUCGUACCUUGGCUCCACUCGGGGAGAGACGUGCGACGAACCAGGCCCGAGGGGCCUGGCUGGGUGGCGUGCGUCUGGGCAUAACCCAGGCGUAGCCCACGUGCCCAACCCCCUCGCGUGGCACUCCCGAGGGGAGGCGUUAUGAUGGGGCCGGGCACUAAGCUCUGGGCUCCCUGAGGUUGAUGCGGCCGGGGGCCACCCUCAGUUGUUUAUCACCAGCACGGAGCAUAGCGCUUCCGUAUAUGUACGGGCAAAGCCGCUCCUCGGCAGUGUCGUGAGCCAGGGCGGAGCAUGGUGCUUCCACUGGUGUGUGGGAGGGGGCUCCCAUCCGGGAGGAGCCCCCGGGGUGUGGUGACAUAUGGCUAGCACGGUAGGGCCUGACGAGGUGUAUCUGGGCACCCGUGAGCCAGCGCGGGACUCACGGGGCCCUACCUCAAGGCGGGUUGCGCCUGGCUCUGGGCCUUUACUUGUAAUGUGUUCCUGCAAAUUUGGUUAGAUGCCGAUGCUCUACGUCCUCAGGUCCCGGCCCUCGAGCAAGCUCAACCGUCGCUGGUAUGCCAGGUCGCGAUGCCGUGGACAAGGCCAGGAGGUGAGGGCUGGAGAGCCAGUAAGACUCCAUGAGUCACGAUGCUCAGGUACCCCCCCUUUAACGUGCAAGCGGCCGACAUGACAGAAGAAGGGUGCCGCCACAGGCAUCAAGUAAUGAUCAUGAUGGGUCAAACGCACGACCCGAAUAAGCGCGAGAGGGAUAAACGCCACUAGGUCUGGCCCGAGUGGCUUGUGGAUAAUGCAGCCCGAGGGGCGCCCCCAGUAAGCUAAAAACAUGAACUAAAGGGAUACAUGCCGCAGGGACGGACCCACGCGGCCUGGGAAUGAUGCAGCCCUGGGGGUGCUCCCAGCUGAAAAUGAAACUCGAAGGAUGUCACCUUAUGAUGUUGAAGAUGAAGGGAUGCUGAAGUAGCGGACGGCGAGCGCUGCGUUAGGCGAUCUUUACGAGCCCCCAGGCCCAGGAGCCUCGGGAGGCUCCGGAGGCGCUGGCGGCUCCUCGAGGACCAUCUCCAUCUCUGCCAGGACUGUGGAAUGCCUGGCCGCUUGAGCCUCCAGGAUGCUCCUCAUGAGGCGUUACCGCACAGCAGCCACGUUCGGCAGGCCGAGAGGCAUGCGAAUGUAGCUGUGAGGUGGACCCUCACAACACCCCACGCAUGAAGGCCAGAGGCGCUCCUGAGAGGCGGCUCGGUUGAGCCCUGGUAUGUCAAUGCAGACGCGCAGGAGAGAGCCCCCGAGCCUUGCUCGAGGAGGGCACCGGGCGCGCCUUCCUAUGCGACAGAGGGAGGCGCCCCCUGAACGGGUGCGGACCCUGAGGGGCCUGCCUCCCGAGGGUUCGGACCGGGCGAUGUCUUCUUCUUCUCAGGGGCAACCUCGGGAAGCCUACCGCUCCCGCGAUCUAGCUCUUCAAUUGACGCGGCUUGAAAAGCACACUCCAGAGAACACACCGCAUCCCUCUCUUCACAAGGCACCGUGAUGACUCCACCGCUUCCUGGCAUCUUGAGGACAUUGUAGCCGUGGUGAGUUACGGCCAUGAACUUGGCCAGGGCUGGGUACCCGAGGAUGGCAUUGUACGACAGACGAAUGUGCACGACGUUGAAGUCAAUGAGCUCAGUGCGGUAGUUGUCGCGCUUCCCAAAGGUAACAGGAAGGCGGACCUGCCCUAUCGGAACCGUGGAGCCAUCAGUGACUCCUGAGAAAGACUUGGUUGACUGAAGCUGAUUGUAUGGCACUUGGAGAUUGUUGAAUGUCUCGACGGAUAGGACGUUGAGCCUUGCUCCGCCGUCGAUGAGGGUCCUGGUGACUUGUGCAUUGCUGAUGAUUGGGGAACAAAGCAUCGGGAGGACUUCGGCUGUUGCCGCGCACUUGAGCUGAUCCGCUGAGCUGAACGUGAUGGUGCACGCUGACCACCUGAGAGGGCGUGUGGCCUCGAGCUUGGGGAGGACUGCAUUCACUUCGCGAGCAAACUGCUUGAAGAUGCGCUGAGAGGCCAGGGCCUGAGCGCCGCCCAAGAUGCAAGCAAUUGCGUGCGGCUCCUCGAAGCCUCUAGCCCCCUCGUCCUAAUGAUGGUCUUCAUUCCUCCUCGGCUGUGGUGACAGAGGAGGGAGGCCCGCGUUGCCUUGUGGGCGAUCCUCGCGAGGCUGAUCCCUCCAUGCUCCCUCGCGAGGCUGGUCCUGCCAGCUGUCCUCGCGAGGCCGGUCACGCCACCCUUGGCGAGGGCCACGGUCUUCCCAUCGUCCUCCACCUCUUCCUCCUCCUCGGCCAUAGCCCCGGUCGUUGCGCUCGGGGCGUCAGCCGGCACGCACGUCCCGCACGGCCCUGAGCUCUUGGCAUUCGUUGGUGUUGUGGGUGUGGAGGUCGUGGUACACGCAGUACCGGCUGCCCUUGGAUGACUCAGGCUGAUCCCUGCCUCGCUUGGUGUCCGGCUCUGCUGCAAGCAUAGUAGCCCCCUUGCGCUUCACGUCCUUGACCUUGGGCUUCUUCUCUUCUGGGUCGGCAGCCGGCAGCUCUAGGAGGGAAAGGCGUCCUUCCUCAGCCCUGGCACACUUGGUCGCCAAAUUGAACAGCUCCAGGGAGGUGCACAAGUCUUCAUGGAUCGCAAGCUCCUCCUUCAUCUUGAUGUCACGCACGCCGUCGGAGAAGGCUGAGAUGAUGGCCUCCUCAGACACCCUGGGGAUCUUAAGGCGAGUGUUGUUGAAACACUAGAUGAACUUCUGUAGGGUCUCUCUCGGCUGCUGCUUGAUGCGGCGCAAGUCGCUCAUGGCCGGGGCCGGUCGCGAGUGCCUUGGAAGUUGGCGAUGAAUCGGGUGCGCAUCUCGUCCCAGGAGGAGAUCGUGCCUGGAGCCAGGUUCAGGAGCCAGGUGCGGGCACCAUCCUUGAGCGCCAUGGGGAACCAGUUCGCCAUGACCUUCUCGUCCCCGUUGGCGGCUUCAAUGCCCAACUCAUAGAGCUGGAGGAACUCCGCAGGGUCAGCCGUGCCAUCGUAGCGCGGGGGCAGAUCUGGCUUGAACUUGCCCGGCCAGGCCACGCUGCACAGCUCGGUGGUGAAGGCACGGCAGCCUGUAGUGGCCGCGGGAGGCCUUUGGUAACGGAGAGCUUGAUCUUGGGAGUCUUUGUGCGCUGCCGCCAGGAGCAGCGCGGGGUCUUCACACGCUGGAGCAGGAGCGCGUUCGUGCCGGGCCGGUGCGGGGAGCACACAGGCAGCUUCUUGGGGACGAGGGAUCUCUUGGGAGCUCUUCUCUUGUUGUGCUGGCGUCGGACGGAAUGAGUUCCGUCCAGGGGCCACACGCCUUGGGGCCAAGGCGCCUUCUUGAGGGGGAGGUGGCUGGGGCGCCCCCGGAGCUUCAUCGCCCGCGCAGGGAGGGGCGCGGUGCAGCGAGAGGGAUGGCGCAGGGGAGCCCCAAGCGGCGCUGACGAGCUUGGUGACGCGGGCGAGCCACUCAUCGUAGAGGUCGUCGACGGGACGGUGGUGCAGGAGCUCUCGCGCCAGGAGCAGCGCGGCGUGCGCGUCCGCAGGAGCGCGACGGGCGUGGGACGAGGAACCGGCUGGAGUCAGCGACGGGGUGGCAGUGCGGCCUUCUCGCCGCACCGAAGGAUGCAGGGACGACACCUGCUGCUCGUUCCCCGCCGGGACGGUGGCAGCGUUGAUGGCAGGCGACGGGGAACGGCGGGGGCGUCCGCUAACGGGGGCCGUCUGGGCGACGCGAGUGGCAAGAGCGGCCCGGCGCUCGGCGCGGGCUGGGCAAGCGUCUGACAUGGACGCGACGGGUGGCGAAGCACAGGGCGGCGGAAAGCAGAUUCUAGUGCACCCCUACCUGGCACGCCAAAUGUCGGAUUUCGGGUUCUGGCAGACCCUAAAGGUUCGAACUCUGGGGUGCACGCGGUGAUCACACCUCCUGCCUACCUACGUCUCGUCGCCUCGCAAAGGAUCUAAACUACACGAAGAACAACACAAGGGACACGAGGUUUAUACUAGUUUAGGCCAACAUUGUGGUGUAAUACCCUACGUCUAGUUUGUGGUGUGGCGGAUUGCCUCAGGGGCUGAUGAUGAACAAUACAAGGGAAGAACAUCCUCGCGAGGGGCUGUUCUUGGGCUGGUGCGAUGAACUGCUUGGGUGAGUUCAGUCGCCUCUCUCGCUCUCUAGCCUGCCCAAAAUCUCGAUCCCUCACUCUGUGGUGGCUAGCUCUAUUUAUAGAGGGAGGCCCUGGGCCUCUUCCCAAAUAUUGAGAGGGAAGGGCGCCAAUAAUUGGCCAUUUUGAAGGGGAACAUCUAGUACACUUAUCCUGACUAAAGUUGGUCCUCGCCUGCCAAAGACUCUGACGAUGACGCCUUCCUGGGCUCCACGAUGACCUCCAUCCUGCCGUUCUGCCGGUCUUGGUCUUGUUGCACCGAAAUGGUUGCCUUUUCUUGAUACUCUUGCCUGCGCUUGCCCCCUUUGCACCAAAGAGGAAACAAGGACUCUGCGCAGGCGGCGCCCGCCUGGCCUCGGUCGUCAUGGCUUGCGUCAUGGGCACCUCGUGAGGUACCCUGCCUUGAUCUCUCUGCCUCCUCGCGAGUCAGCCUGACGAGGUUGUGCCCGAGGAAGCUUCUUGUCGUCCGCCCCGUGAGGCUUGGCCCCUCGCGAGGGUCUUGAGUAUGUGUCGAUGAAGAUUGGCCGUACUGGGCCACUCCCUAGGCUACGCUGCAGGCCGCAGGCGGGCAAGCCUGGGAACUCCCGUUCCCAAAACGCCGACAAAGAGAUUGUCCAUUUUGUACAUGAAGUGCAUCAAGUUUUUGCCAUAACCCUCGCAACUUUUUUGCACACAUUUAUAUACAUGGGGAGGGCAUCCCUAGAACACACAUCGAUUGUUCCUAACCGUAUGUGGCGCCCCCCUCCACAGUGAACACCUUGGUCAUAUCAUAGUAGUUCUUAGGCGAAGCCCUGCGCCAGUAACUUUGUCAUCACCGUCACCACGCCAUCGUGCUGACGAAACUCUCCUUCGGGCUCAACUGGAUCAAGAGUACGAGGGACGUCAUCGAGCUGAACAUGUGCUGAACACGGAGGUGUCGUACGUUCGGUGCUAGGAUCGGUCGGAUCGUGAAGACGUACGACUACAUCAACCGCGUUGAUAAAACACUUCCGCUUUUGGUCUACGAGGGUACGUGGACACACUCUCCCCUCUCAUUGCUAUGCAUCUCCUAGGUAGAUCUUGCUUGAAGUAGGAAAUUUUUUGAAAUUACUGCAUUCCCCAACAGUGUUACUAUCUACAAAGGUCGACUUGUCAUGAAAGGUUUUCGACAAGUUCAAGAAGUUGACUACGAUGAGAUUUUCUCACUUGUAGCGAUGCUUAAGUCUGUCCGAAUCAUGUUAGCAAUUGCCGCAUUUUAUGAAAUCUGGCAAAUGGAUAAAAAAAUUGCAUUCCUUAAUGGAUUUAUUAAAUAAGAGUUGUAUAUGAUGCAACCAGAAGGUUUUGUCAAUCCUAAAGGUUAGCUCCAGCGAUCCAUCUAUGGGCUGGUGCAAGCAUCUCGGGUUGGAAUAUACGCUUAGAUGAGCUGAUCAAAACAUAUAGUUUUAUACAGACUUGUGGUGAAGCCUAUAUUUACAAGAAAGUGAGUGGGAGCACUACCGCCUUUCUGAUAAGUAUAUGUGAAUGACAUAUUGUUGAUCGGAAAUGAUGUAGAAUUUUCUGGAAUGCAUAAAGGAGUAUUUGAAUGGAGUUUUUUUUUCAAAGAAUGACCUUAGUGAAGUUGCUUACAUAUUGGGCACCAAGAUCUAUAGAGAUACAUCAAGACGCUUGAUAAGAUUUUUCAAUAAGUACAUACCUUGACAAGAUUUUGAAGUAGUUCAAAAUGGAACAGUCAAAGUAGGAGUUCUUGCCUGUAUUGCAAGGUGUAAAGUUGAGUAAGACUUAAAACCCGACCACGGCAGAAAAUAGAAAAAGAGAAUGAAAAGCAUUCCCUAUGCCUCAACCAUAGGUUCUAUGAAGCAUGCUAUGCUGUAUACCAGACCUAUUGUGUACCUUGCCAUGAGUUUGGCAAGGGAGUAUGAUAGUGAUCCAGGAGUGGAUCACUGGACAACGAUCAAAGUUAUCCUUAUUACCUAAGGGACUAAGGAAAUAUUUCUCGGUUAUGGAGGUGAUAAAGAGUUUGUCAUAAAAAGUUACGUCGAUGCAAGCUUUUACACCGAUCCGGAUGACUCUGAGUCACAAUCUGGUUACAUAUUGAAAGUGGGAGCAAUAGCUAGAGUAGCUUGCUACGUCUUGAGCUUGCGUUGGUUUUCCUUGAAGAGGAAAGGGUGAUGCAGCAAUAGUAGCGUAAGUAUUUCCCUUAGUUUUUUAGAACCAAGGUAUCAAUCCAGUAGGAGGCUCCUCAAAAGUCCCACGCACCUACACAAACAAACCAAGAACUCGCAACCAACGCAAUAAAGGGGUUGUCAAUCCCUUCACGGCCACUUGAGAAAGUGAGAUCUAAUAGAGAUAGUAAGAUUAGAUAAAUAUAUUUUUGGUAUUUUAUAAUAUAGAUGCAAAAAGUAAAGAUGCAAAUAAAAGUAGAUUGAAAGCAAAUAUGAUAAGAGAUAGACCCGGGGGCCAUAGGUUUCACUAGUGGCUUCUCUCAAGAUAGAAUAAGUAUUACGGUGGGUGAACAAAUUAAUGUUGAUCAAUUGAUAGAAAAGCGAAUAAUUAUGAGAUUAUCUAGGCAUGAUCAUGUAUAUAGGCAUCAUGUCCGCAACAAGUAGACCGACUCCUGCCUGCAUCUACUACUAUUACUCCACACAUCGACGGACUCCUACCUGCAUCUAGAGUACUAAGUUCAUAAGAACAGAGUAACGCCUUAAGCAAGAUGACAUGAUGUAGAGGGAUAAAUUCAUGCAAUAUGAUAUAAACCCCAUCUUUUUAUCCUCGAUGGCAACAAUACAAUACGUGCCUUGCAACCCUUUCUAUCACUAGGUAAGGACACCGCAAGAUUGAACCCAAAGCUAAGCACUUCUCCCAUUGCAAGAAAGAACAAUCUAGUAGGCCAAACCAAACUUAUAUUUCGAAGAGACUUGCAAAGAUAACUCAAUCAUACAUAAAAGAAUUCAGAGGAGAUUCAAAUAUUUCUCAUAGAUAAACUUGAUCAUGAACCCACAAUUCAUCGGAUCUCGACAAACACACCGCAAAAAGAGUUUACAUCGAAUAGAUCUCCACAAGAGAGGGGGAGACCAUUGUAUUGAGAUCCAAAAAGAGAGAAGAAGCCAUCUAGCUAAUAACUAUGGACCCGAAUGUCUGUGGUAAACUACUCACAACUCAUUGGAGGGGCUAUGGUGUUGAUGUAGAAGAACUUCCGUGGUCGAUUCCCCCUCCGGCAGAGCGCCGGCGAAGGCUCCAAGAUGGGAUCUCGCAGAUACAGAAGGUUACGGCGGUGGAAAUUGUGUUUCGUUGGUUCUCUGGAUGUUUUUGGGGUACGUAGGCUUAUAUAGGAGGAAGAAGUACGUUGGUGGCCACCUGAGGGGCCCAUGAGACAUGGGGGCGCGCCAUAUAGGUGGGGGCGCUCUACCCUCUCGUGGCCUCCUCGGCUGCUUCUUGACUUGCACUCCAAGUCCUCUGGAUCACGUUCGUUCCAAAAAUCACGCUCCCGAUGGUUUCAUUCCGUUUGGACUCCAUUUGAUAUUCCUUUUCUUCGAAAUACUGAAAUAGGCAAAAACGAAUAGCAAUACGGGCCGGGCCUCCGGUUAGUAGGUUAGUCCCAAAAAUGAUAUAAAUGUGUAAAAUAAAGCCCAUAAACAUCCAAAAGGGGUAAUAUAAUAGCAUGGAACAAUCAAAAAUUAUAGAUACGUUGGAGACGUAUCAAGCAUCCCCCAAGCUUAAUUCCUGCUUGUCCUCGAGUAGGUAAAUGAUAAAAAUAGAAUUUUUGGUGUGGAAUUCUACCUAGCAUAAUUCUCAAGGUAAUUUUCUUUAUUGUGGCAUGAAUGUUCAGAUCCAAAUGAUUCAAAAUAAAAGUUCAUAUUGACAUAAGAAAUAGUGAUACUUCAAGCAUACUAAUCAAAGUAAUUAUGUCUUCUCAAAAUAACAUGGCCAAAGAAAGUUAUCCCUACAAAAUCAUAUAGUCUGGCUGUUGCUCUAUCUUCAUCACACAAAGUAUUUAAUCAUGCACAACCCCGAUGACAAGCCAAGCAAUUGUUUCAUACUUUAAUAAUCUCAAACUUUUUCAACUUUCACGCAAUACAUGAGCGUGAGCCAUGGACAUAGCACUAUAUGUGGAAUAGAAUGGUGGUUGUGGAGAAGACAAAAAAGGAGAAGAUAGUCUCACAUCAACUAGGCAUAUCAACGGGCUAUGGAGAUGCCCAUUAAUAGAUAUCAAUGUGAGUGAGUAGGGAUUGCCAUGCAACAGAUGCACUAGAGCUAUAAAUAUAUGAAAGCUCAACAAAAGAAACUAUGUGGGUGUGCAUCCAACUUGCUUGCUCACGAAGACCUAGGGCAUUUUGAGGAAGCCCAUCAUUGGAAUAUACAAGCCUAGUUCUAUAAUGAAAAAUUCCCACUAGUAUAUGAAAGUGACAACAUAGGAGACUCUCUAUCAUGAAGAUCAUGGUGCUAAUUUAAAGCACAAGUCUGGAAAAAGAGAUAGUAGGAUUGUCCCUUCUCUCUUUUUCUCUCAUUUUAUUUUUUUCUUUUCUUCUUUUUUUCUCUUUUUUUUUCUUCGGCCUUUCUUUUUUUGGACUUUUUUUUGUAAAGUCCGAAGUCUCAUCCCGACUUGUGGGGGAAUCAUAGCCUUCAUCAUCCUUUCCUCACUGGGACAAUGCUCUAAUAAUGAAGAUCAUCACACUUUUUUGGAUUUACAACUCAAGAAUUACAACUCAAAGCUAGAACAAGAUAUGACUCUAUAUGAAUGCCUCCGGCGGUGUACCGGGAUAUGCAAUGAAUCAAGAGCGACAUGUAUGAAAAUUAUGAAGGUGGCCUUGCCACAAAUACGAUGUCAACUACAUGAUCAUGCAAAGAGCAAUAUGACAAAAGUAAUGCAUGUCAUAUGAACGGAACGAUGCAAAGUUGCAUGGCAAUAUAUCUCGAAAUGGCUAUGGAAAUGCCAUAAUAGGUAGGUAUGGUGGCUGUUUUGAGGAAGGUAUAUGGUGGGUGUAUGGUACCGGCAAAAGUUGCGCGACACAAGAGAGGCUAGCAAUGGUGUAAGGGUGAGGGUGCGUAUAAUCCAUGGACUCAACAUUAGUCAAAAGAACUCAUAUACUUAUUGCAAAAAUCUAGAAGUUAUCAAAAACAAAGUACUACGCGCAUGCUCCUAGGGGAAUAGAUUGGUAGGAAAAGACCAUCGCUUGUCCCCGACCGCCACUCAUAAGGAAGACAAUCAAUAAAUAAAAUUGUGCUCCAACUUCAUCACAAAGCGGUUCACCAUAUGUGCAUGCUACGGGAAUCACAAACUUCAACACAAGCAUUCUUUAAAUUCAUAAUCACCCAACUAGCAUGACUUUAAUAUCAAUACCUCCAUAUCUCAAAACAAUUAUCAAGUAUCAAAUUGAUCAUAGCAUCCAUUUCACUUUCUAUGAUAGUUUUUAUUAUACCCAGCUUGGAUGCUCAUCAUUCUAGGACCAAAUUUGUAACCAUAGAAAAUACCAUGCUGUUAUAAAAGACUCUCAAAAUAAUAUAAGUGAAGCCUGUGAGACUAGCAAUUUCUUCAAAAUUAGGUCACCACCGUGCUCUAAAAGAUAUAAGUGAAGCACUAGAACAAAAACUAUCAAGCUCAAAAGAUAUAAGUGAAGCACAUAGAGUAUUCUAGCAAAUUCUAAUCAAGUAGGCUUCUCCCAAAAGGUGUGUACAUCAAGGAUGAUUGUGGUAAACUAAAAAGCAAAUACUAAUAUAAUACACGACGCUACAAGCAAAACACAUAUCAUAUGGCGAAUAAAAAUAUAGCUCCAAGUAAAGUUACCAAUGAACGAAGACGAAAGAGGGGAUGCCUUCCCAGGGCAUCCCCAAGCUUAGGAUUUUGGCUAUCCUUGAAUAUAUUGGGGUGCCAUGGGCAUCCCCAAGCUUAGGCUCUUGCCACUCCUUAUUCCAUAGUCAAUAAAAGCUUUACCCAAAACUUGAAAACUUCACAAUAAAAAACUCAACAGGAAAUCUUAUAAGCUCCGUUAGUGAAAGAAAACCAAACCACCACAUAAGGUACUGUAAUGAACUCAUUCUUUAUUUAUUUUGGUGUUAAACCUACUGUAUUCAAACUUCUCUAUGGUUUAUAAACUAUUUUACUAGCCAUAGAUGCAUCAAAAUAAGCAAACAACACACGAAAAACAGAAUCUGUGAAAAACAGAACAGUAUGUAGAAAUCUGUAACUAACGCAAACUUCUGGAACUCUAAAAAUUCUACCAAAGUAGGAAGUCCUGGAAAAUUUGUCUACUGAUCAGCAGCAAAAAGAAUCAACGCAAAACCACAUUUAUGUGAUUUAACAAAACUAAAUGCAUGCGCGCAAAGUUUCUGUUUUUCAGCAGAAUCAAAUCAACUAUCAUCAUAGGUUAUCCUAUAGGUUCUACUUGGCACAAACACUAAUUAAAAGAUAAAAACACAUCUAAACAGAAGGUAGAUACAAGAUUUAUUACUAAACAGGAACAAAAACAAAAAAUACAAAGAAAUUUGGGUUGCCUCCCAACUAGCGCUAUCGUUUAACCCCCCCUAGCUAGGCAUAAAAGCGAAGAUAGAUCUAAGUAGUGUCAUCUUUGGCACUAAAUUCAUAAGUAGCUCGCAGGAUAGAUUCAUAAGGUAAUUUGACUUUCUUUCUUGGAAACUGCUCCAUGCCUUUCUUUAAUAAAAAAUGGAAUCUAAUAUUCCCUUCCUUCAUAUCAAUAAUCGCGCCAAUCGUUCUAAGGAAAGGUCUACCAAUAAUAAUAGGGCAAGAAAGAUUGCGAUCUAUAUCAAGAACGAUAAAAUCUACGGGCACCAAAUUUCUAUUUGCAACAAUGAGAACAUCAUUGAUUCUUCCCAUUGGCUUUUUAAUGGGGGAAUCCGCAAGGUGCAAAUUUAAAGAGCAAUCAUCAAGAUCAUGUAAACCUAUAAUAUCACAUAAAGUUUUUGGAAUCGUGGAAACACUAGCACCCAAAUCACACAAAGCAAAACACUCAUGAUCUUUAAUUCUAAUCUUUAUAGUAGGUUCCCACUCAUCUUUAAGUUUUCUAGGUAUAAAAACUUCCAAAUUAAGUUUUUCAUCAUAAGAUUGCAUCAAGGCAUCAAUGAUAUGUUCGGUAAAAGCUUUAUUUUGACUAUAAGCAUGAGGAGAAUUAACAACGGAUUGCAACAAGGAAAUACAACCUUCUAAAGAACAAUUAUCAUAAUCAAAUUCCCUGAAAUCUGAGAUAGUGGGUUCAAUACUAUUUAAAGUCAUGACCUCUCCAAUCCCACUUUUACCAAAUUUAGCAUCAAGAUCUAAAAAUUCUGAAUUCUUGGGAUGCCUUCUAGGUAAAGUUGACUCAUCUUCAAUCCCAUAAUUAUCAAGAUUCAUAUUGCAAAACAAAGAUCUAAUAGGAGAUGUGUCAAUAACUUUAAGAUCUUCAUCAUUAUUUUCAUCUAACUUUUCUGGUUUGGCGGCCAUCUUAUUGACUAAGGUGGCUUGCUUAUCAGAAAUAUGGGCUAUAGCAUUUUCAAGCCGAGUAAUUUGAGAGUUCACAGCAUAAAAUUCUUUAUUCAUAUCAUCAAGCUCUUUGUUCAUAAACCCCAAAAAAUCUUUUUGUUCCUUAAGCUCUUUUCUGAAGAAAUUAUUAUGCUCAAAUUGCAAAUUCAUAAAGCUUCUAAUAUUUGAUUCAAUCUCUUCCAACCUUCUAAGAAGGUGGUCGGUACUCUUAGGAAAAGCCAUAAGGACAAACUAGCACACAAGCAAACAGAAAAAGGGCAAGCGAAAAGAGAGGGAGAGAUUGGGAAAGAGAGGGCGAAUAAAACGGCAAGGGUGAAGUGGGGGAGAGAAAAACGAGAGGCAAAUGGCGAGUAAUGUAAAUGCGAGGGAGAUGGGUUUGUGAUGGGUACUUGGUAUGUCUUGACUUGAGCGAAGACCUCCCCGGCAACGGCGCCAGAAAUCCUUCUUGCUACGUCUUGAGCUUGCGUUGGUUUUCCUUGAAGAGGAAAGGGUGAUGCAGCAACAGUAGCGUAAGUAUUUCCCUCAGUUUUUGAGAGCCAAGGUAUCAAUCCAGUAGGAGGCUCCUCAAAAGUCCCACGCACCUACACAAACAAACCAAGAACUCGCAACCAACGCAAUAAAGGGGUUGUCAAUCCCUUCACGGCCACUUGCGAAAGUGAGAUCUAAUAGAGAUAGUAAGAUAAGAUAAAUAUAUUCUUGGUAUUUUAUAAUAUAGAUGCAAAAAGUAAAGAUGCAAAUAAAAGUAGAUUGAAAGCAAAUAUGAUAGGAGAUAGACCCGGGGGCCAUAGGUUUCACUAGUGGCUUCUCUCAAGAUAGCAUAAGUAUUACGGUGGGUGAACAAAUUACUGUCGAGCAAUUGAUAGAAAAGCAAAUAAUUAUGAGAUUAUGUAGGCAUGAUCAUGUAUAUAGGCAUCACGUCCGCAAGAAGUGGAUCGACUCCUGCCUGCAUCUACCACUAUUACUCCACACAUUGACCGACUUCUGCCUGCAUCUAGAGUAUUAAGUUCAUAAGAACAGAGUAACGCCUUAAGCAAGAUGACAUGAUGUAGAGGGAUAAAUUCAUGCAACAUGAUAUAAACCCCAUCUUUUUAUCCUCGAUGGCAACAAUACAAUACGUGCCUUGCAAUCCUUUCUGUCACUGGGUAAGGACACCGCAAGAUUGAACCCAAAGCUAAGCACUUCUCCCAUUGCAAGAAAGAUCAAUCUAGUAGGCGAAACCAAACUUAUAUUUCGAAGAGACUUGCAAAGAUAACUCAAUCAUACAUAAAAGAAUUCAAAGGAGAUUCAAAUAUUUCUCAUAGAUAAACUUGAUCAUAAACCCACAAUUCAUCGAAUCUUGACAAAACACACCGCAAAAAGAGUUUACAUCGAAUAGAUCUCCACAAGAGAGGGGGGAACAUUGUAUUGAGAUCCAAAAAGAGAGAAGAAGCCAUCUAGCUAAUAACUAUAGACCCGAAGGUCUGUGGUAAAUUACUCACAACUCAUCGGAGGGGCUAUGGUGUUGAUGUAGAAGCCCACCAUGGUCGAUUCCCCCUCCAGCAGAGCGCUGGCGAAGGCUCCAAGAUGGGAUCUCGUGGAUACAGAAGGUUACGGCGGUGGAAAUUGUGUUUCGUUGGCUCCCUGGAUGUUUUUGGGGUAUGUAGGCUUAUAUAGGAGGAAGAAGUACGUCGGUGGCCACCCAAGGGGCCCACGAGAUAGUGGGACGCGCCCUAUAAGGGGGGGGCGCCCUACCCUCUCGCGGCCGCCUCGGCUGCUUCUUGACUUGCACUCCAAGUCCUCUGGAUCACGUUCGUUCCAAAAAUCACGCUCCCGAAGAUUUCAUUCCGUUUGGACUCCGUUUGAUAUUCCUUUUCUUUGAAAUACUGAAAUAGGCAAAAAAAAACAAUGAUACGUCCAUUUUGCAUCAUGCUUUUAUACCAAUAUUUAUUGCAUUAUGGGCUGUUAUUACACAUUAUAUCUCAAUACUUAUGGCUGUUCUCUCUUAUUUUACAAGGUUUACCAUGAAGAGGGGGAAUGCCGGCACCUGGAAUUCUGGCUGGAAAAGGGGCAAACAUUGGAAACCUAUUCUGCACAACUCCAAAAGUCCUGAAACUCCACAAAGCAACUUUUUGGAUUUAAUAAGAAUUUAUGAGCGAAAGAAAUAGGCUAGGGGGCCCACACCCUGUCCAGGUGACAGGAGGGCGCCCCCCUGUAGGGCGCGGCCCCCUAUCUCCUGGGCCCCCUGGUGGGCCUUUGGCAUCCAUCUUCUGCUAUAUCAUCACUUUUACCCUGGAAAAAAUCAUCGGCAAGCUUACGGGAUGAAACUUCACCGCCACGAGGCGGAACCUUGGCGGAAUCAAUCUAGGGCUCUGGCGGAGCUGUUCUGCCGGGGACACCUCCCUCCGGGAGGGGGAAAUAAUCACCAACGUCAUCACCAACGAUCCUCUCAUCGGGAGGGGGUCAAUCUCCAUCAACAUCUUCACCAGCACCAUCUCCUCUCAAAACCCUAGUUCAUCUCUUGUAUCCAAUCUUGUAUCAAAACCACAAAUUGGUACCUGUGGGUUGCUAGUAGUGUUGAUUACUCCUUGUAGUUGAUGCUAUUUGGUUUACUUGGUGGAAGAUCAUAUAUUCAGAUCCUUUAUGCAUAUUAAUACCCCUCUGAUUAUGAACAUGAAUAUGCUUUGUGAGUAGUUACAUUUGUUCCUGAGGACAUGGGUGAAGUCUUGCUAUUAGUAGUCAUGUGAAUUUGGUAUUCGUUCGAUAUUUUGAUGAGAUGUAUGUUGUCUUUCCUCUAGUGGUGUUAUGUGAACGUCGACUACAUGACACUUCACCAUUAUUUGGGCCUAGAGGAAGGCAUAGGGAAGUAAUAAGUAGAUGAUGGGUUGCUAAAGUGACAGAAGCUGAAACCCUAGUUUAUGCGUUGCUUCGUUAGGGGUUGUUAUGGACCCAUAUGUUUAAUGAUGUGGGUAGGUUUACCUUAAUACUCCUUUUUGUAUUUGCGGACGCUUGCAAUAGGGGUUAAUCAUAUGUGGGAUGCUUGUCCAUGUUAGGGCAGUACCCAAGUGCCGUUCCACCCACAUAUCAAAUUAUCAAAGUAGCGAACGCGAAUCUUAUGAACGUGAUGAAAACUAGCUUGACGAUAAUUCCCAAUGUGUUCUCGGGAGCUCCUUCUUCAUUAUUAGAAUUUUUCCAGGCUUAUCCUUUGCUACAUAAAGGAUUGGGCCACCUUGCUGCACUUUAUUUACUUUAUUUACUUUUUGCUCGUUACUAUUUAUCUUAUCACAAAACUAUCUAUCACCUACUAUUUUAGUGCUUGCAGAGAAAACCUUACUGAAAACCGCGUAUCAUUUCCUUCUGCUCCUUGUUGGGUUCGACACUAUUACUUAUCGAAAGGACUACGAUAGAUCCCCUAUACUUGUGGGUCAUCAAGACUCUUUUCUGGCGCCGUUGCUGGGGAGCGUAGCGUUUUUGGUGAGUUGAACUUGGUAAGGAAACAUUUAUAUAGUGUGCUGAAAUUUUCUGUUACUUGUCACCAUGGAAACUAAUCCCUUGAGGGGAUUGUUUGGGGUAUCUUCACCCCAACCAGAAGAGCAAAGAGAUGCUCCUCAACCUACUGAACUUUAUGAAAAUAUUCACUUUGAGAUUCCUUCGGGUAUGAUAGAAAAACUGCUAGCUAAUCCUUUUGCAGGAGACGGAACAUUGCAUCCCGAUUUACACCUUAUCUUUGUGGAUGAAGUUUGUGGAAUAUUUAAGCUUGCAGGUAUUCCCGGUGAUGUUGUCAAAAGGAAGGUCUUCCCUUUAUCUUUGAAGGGAGAUGCAAUGACAUGGUAUAGGCUAUGUGAUGAUACGAGAUAUUGGAAUUAUAAGCGAUUGAAGUUGGAAUUUCACCAGAAGUUCUAUCAUAUGCAUCUUGUUCAUCGUGAUCGUAAUUACAUAUAUAAUUUCUGGCCUCGCGAAGGAGAAAGCAUCGCUCAAGCUUGGGGGAGGCUUAAGUCAAUGUUAUAUUCAUGCCUCAAUCAUGAGCUCUCUCGGGAAAUGAUUAUUCAGAAUUUUUAUGCUCGGCUUUCUCUUGAUAAUCGCAACCUGCUCAAUACUUCCUGUGCUGGUUCUUAUAUGCUGAAGACUAUUGAUUUCAAAUGGGACUUAUUGGAAAGAAUUAAACGCAACUCUGAAGAUUGGGGUUCCAACGAUGGUAAGGAGUCAGGUAUGACACCUAAGUUUGAUUGUGUUAAAUCUUUUAUGGAUACCGAUGCUUUCCGUGGAUUUAGCUCUAAGUAUGGACUUGACUCUGAGAUAGUAGCUACUUUUUGUGAAACUUUUGCUACUCAUGUUGAUCUCCCUAAAGAGAAGUGGUUCAAAUAUAAUCCUCCUCUUGAAGUGAAAGUAGUUGCACCUAUUACAGUCGAAGAAAAGAUUAUUACAUAUAGUGAUCCCAUUGUUCCUACUGCUUAUGUUGAAAAACCUCCUUUUCCUGUUAGGAUAAAAGAUCAUGCCAAAGCUUCGACUGUUGUUCAUAAGAGUAAUACUAGGACCUAUACACCUCCUAAACAAAUUAAUGUUGAACCUAGUAUUGCUAUGGUUAAAGAUCUCUUGGACAAGGAUUUAGAUGGGCAUGUUAUUUCUUUCUUGGGUGAGACUGCUAAUAUUCCUAGACCUGAUACUAAGACACCUAGACCUAUUAUAGGCACGCCUGUUAUUUCUGUUAAAAUAGGAGAUCAUUGUUAUCAUGGCUUAUGUGCUAUGGGUGCUAGUGCUAGUGCAAUACCUUAUGAUCUUUAUAAAGAAAUUAUUCACGAUAUUGCACCUGUUGAAUUAGAAGACAUUGACGUUACUAUUAAGCUUGCCAAUAGGGAUACCAUCAAACCUAUUGGGAUUGUUAGAGAUGUUGAAGUUUUGUGCGGGAAGGUUAAAUACCCUGCUGAUUUUCUUGUUCUUGCUUCCCCACAAGAUGAUUUUUGUCCCAUUAUUUUUGGUAGACCCUUCUUGAAUACUGCUAGUGCUAAGAUUAAUUGUAAAAGGAAGGUCGUCACUAUUGGCAUAGAUGGUAUGUCUCAUGAGUUUAUUUUUUCUAAGUUUAGUAGACAACCUCGUGAAAGGGAACCACCUAGUAAGGAUGAAAAUAUUGGUCUUGCCUCCAUUGUUGUUCCUCCAACUGAUCCGUUAGAACAAUAUUUGCUAGACCAUGAAAACGAUAUGUUUAUGAAGGAACGGGAAGAAAUAGAUGAAGUGUUCCUUAAACAAGAACCUAUGCUGAAACAUAACCUUCCCGUUGAAAUUCUUGGGGAUCCCCGUCCACCCAAGGGUGAUCCCAUUUUUGAACUCAAACCAUUACCUGAUAAUCUUAAGUAUGCUUAUCUUGAUGAAAAAGAAAUAUAUCCUAUUAUUAUUAGUGCUAACCUUUCAGAGAAAGAAGAAGAAAGAUUAUUGAAAACUAUGAAGAAGCACCGAGCUGCUAUUGGAUAUACCCUGGAUGAUCUUAAGGGCAUUAGUCCCACAUUAUGUCAACACAAAAUUUCAGUGGAGAAAGAUGCCAAACCAGUUAGAGAUCCUCAAAGAUGAUUAAAUCCCAAAAUGAAGGAAGUGGUAAGAAAGGAGAUUCUAAAACUCCUUGAGGCAGGUAUUAUUUAUCUCGUUGCUGAUAGUGAAUGGGUAAGCCCUAUCCAUUGUGUCCCUAAAAAGGGAGGUAUUACCGUUGUUCCUAAUGAUAAAGAUGAAUUGAUCCCGCAAAGAAUAAUUACAGGUUAUAGCAUGGUGAUUGAUUUUCGUAAGUUAAAUAAAGCUACUAAGAAAGAUCAUUACCCUUUACCUUUUAUUGAUCAAACUAGACCAUGAUGACGCGUGUUGCUGCGCCCGCCAAUUUUAAUGAUCCAAAUAGGAGUUUGUGUAAAUUUUAUGAAGGUAAAAGAGAUUUCAACUCCAUAUAUCAUUCAUGCAAGCUUAUGAUGUCCAUCUUCGGCUUACAAAGCUUACACCCACACCAUCAUUUGUUGAAAUUCAUUCUGCUAGGCGGAACAAUUUUUCGUAAUAGCUAAAUGGCCAUAUUGUGAGGCAUGUAACUGGAAUAUGCUACAUGCUUAUUCAUAAUCUACUAAUGGUGUAAAUGAAAUAAUCAUUUUUAUCUCAGUUUCAUAUAGUAUAAAAGGCUACACCUGUAUAGACCGAUGCUUUUUUAUAGGCACCUGCAUGGCCGCUGUCGAGAAGUUUGUUAUUUAAGAAUUAUGCAAAAGUAGCUUAUCAAUUUAGCGCAACCUGGGAGCAAGGUGCCAACAGUAUAUCGUGGACCUUUAAUAUUUUAUAAUGUGCCAGUAUAACCUGGGAGCAGGGUGUCAACAUAAUCUCUUAAUGUCCAGAAGUUUAUUAAGUAAACCCACAUCUUUUAACAAAAACUGAGAAGUAAAGGAACAAACGUUUGUGCACUCGAGGACAACAGAUGAGUUUAAUCAAUCAUGUCCGCGGUGUGGUUAUUAUCCCAUCUCAUAAUAGAGAUAUGGGAGAACGCGUAGAGCAAGGUCAGGAAGGAAGAGAAGAUUCAAGACCAUAGGGAAAAGGGAAAUGAAGGUGGCAGCAUGGGGCAAGGAAAAUGAAGGAAAUUAAGACUGCUAGCAAGAUCCGGGAGCUUCGUAGCCAGGCUUGUGCCAUCAGAUCGACCGGUUGAUUUAGUAACACACCUUUAUAAUCAUAUUAUUAACGGGAACUCCAAGGGACGCACCGAUGAAAUCCGGAGGCAGUACGGCGACAGCAUGCGCCGCUGCGUCUUGGAUUUCUUUUGAGGGGACGCUGCGUCGUGGAUGAAUAGUCGUUUUUUGAGGAGGAUUCGAGGGGAGCAGCGACGGAGAUACAGUAAAUGGGCCAAAGUUUUACUUUGCUGGGCCUGUACUUGCACAACCCGAUUAAGGAGAUGACGACCAGGUCCACCUGUGGAGCAGCGGCCCGAUAAUGUUGGCCGAGCGGGGUACACAGGUGACGGGGAAAAGUAAGUCAGAAUCUACCCGAGGGCGACCGUUGAUGAGCAUAAUCGGACGGUUAGCACACUUAAAUCGCUGUGGGGGGCCGUAGGUAGCCCCGUUUUACUGUUCAGUAAUGCUAGAAAGGCUAUCCAAACACACACAUUUUUGCUUUCUAGAUGGUUAUUCUGGUUUUUCUCAAAUACAUGUGUCCGCGAAGGAUCAAUCUAAAACUAAUUUUACUUGCCCUUUUGGUACUUUUGCUUAUACACGUAUGCCUUUCAGUUUAUGUAAUGCACCUACUACCUUUCAAAGAUGCAUGAUGGCUAUAUUUUCUGAUUUUUGUGAAAAGAUUUGUGAGGUAUUUAUGGAUGACUUCUCCGUCUAUGAAUCCUCUUUUGAUGAUUGUUUGAGCAACCUUGAUCGAGUUUUGCAGAGAUGCGAAGACACUAGUCUCGUCCUGAAUUGGGAAAAGUGUCACUUUAUGGUUAAUGAAGGCAUUGUCUUGGGGCACAAGAUCUCCGAGAGAGGUAUUGAAGUUGAUAAAGCCAAAGUUGAUGCUAUUGAAAAGAUGCCAUUCCCAAGGACAUAAAAGGUAUAAGAAGUUUCCUUGGUCAUGCCGGCUUUUAUAGGAGGUUCAUUAAGGACUUUUCUAAAAUCUCUAGGCCUCUGCCUAAUUUAUUGCAAAAAGAUAUUCCUUUUGUCUUUGAUGAUGAUUGUGUAGAAGCAUUUGAAACACUUAAGAAAGCUUUGAUCACUGCACCUAUUGUUCAGCCACCUGAUUGGAAUUUACCUUUUGAAAUUAUGUGCGAUGCUAGUGAUUAUGCUAUAGGUGUUGUUUUAGGGAAAAGAGUUGAUAAGAAAUUGAAUGUUAUCCAGUAUGCUAGUAAGACUCUUGAUACUGCCCAGAGAAAUUAUGCUACUACUGAAAAAGAGUUCUUAGCAGUUGUGUUUGCAUGUGAUAAGUUUAGACCUUAUAUUGUUGAUUCCAAAGUUACUAUUCACACUGAUCAUGCUGCUAUUAAAUAUCUUAUGGAAAAGAAAGAUGCUAAGCCUAGACUCAUUAGAUGGGUUCUCUUGCUCCAAGAAUUUGACUUGCAUAUUAUUGAUAGAAAGGGAGCUGAGAACCCUGUUGCAGACAACUUAUCUAGGCUAGAGAAUGUUCUUGAUGACCCACUGCCUAUUAAUGAUUGUUUUCCUGAUGAACAAUUAGCGGUUGUCAAUGCUUCUCGUACUGCUCCUUGUUAUGCUGAUUAUGCUAAUUACAUUGUUGCUAAAUAUAUACCGCCUAGUUUCACAUACCAGCAAAAGAAAAAGUUCUUUUAUGGUUUAAGACAUUACUUCUAGGAUGAUCCUCACCUUUAUAAAGAAGGAGUAGAUGGUAUUAUUAGAAGUUGUGUGCCUGAGCAUGAACAAGAACAAAUCCUACGCAAGUGUCACUCUGAAUCUUAUGGAGGACACCACGCUGGAGAUAGAACUACACACAAGGUACUACAAUCUGGUUUUUAUUGGCCUACUCUCUUCAAAGAUGCUCGUAAGUUUGUCUUAUCUUGUAAUGAAUGUCAAAGAAUAGGUAACAUUAGUAGACGUCAAGAAAUUCGUAUGAAUUAUUCUCUUGUUAUUGACCCGUUUGAUGUUUGGGGCUUUGAUUAUAUGGGACCUUUUCCUGCCUCCAAUGGUUAUACACAUAUUUUAGUUGAUGUUGAUUACAUUACUAAGUGGGUAGAAGCUAUUCCAACUAGUAGUGCUGAUCAUAACACUUCUAUUAAAAUGCUUAAAGAAGUUAUUUUUCCAAGGUUUGGAGUCCCUAGAUAUCUUAUGACUGAUGGUGGUUCACACUUUAUUCAUGGUGCUUUUCGUAAGAUGCUUGCUAAGUAUGAUGUCAAUCAUAGAAUCGCAUCUCCUUAUAACCCGCAGUCUAGUGGUCAAGUAGAGUUGAGCAAUAGAGAGCUCAAAUUAAUUUUGCAAAAGACUAUGAAUAGAUCUAGAAAGAAUUGGUCCAACAAACUUGAUGAUGCAUUAUGGGCCUAUAGAACUGCAUACAAAAAUCCUAUGGGUAUGUCUCCAUAUAAGAUGGUUUAUGGAAAAGCAUGUCAUUUACCUCUUGAACUUGAACAUAAAGCAUAUUGGGCUAUUAAAGAGCUCAAUUAUGACUUCAAACUUGCCGGUGAGAAAAGGUUAUUUCAUAUUAGCUCACUUGAUGAACGGAGAACCCAAGCAUAUGAGAAUGCCAAGCUUUUCAAAGAAAAAGUCAAACACUGGCAUGAUAAGAGGAUACAAAAGCGUGAGUUUAACGUAGGAGAUUAUGUGUUAUUAUUCAACUCUCGUUUAAGAUUUUUUGCAGGAAAACUUCUCUCAAAAUGGGAAGGUCCCUACGUUAUCGAGGAGGUCUAUCGAUCUGGUGCUAUAAAAAUCAACAACUUCGAAGGUACAAAUCUGAGGGUGGUAAAUGGUCAAAGAAUUAAACAUUAUAUUUCAGGUAAUCCUAUCAAUGUUGAAACUAAUAUUAUUGAAACCAUAACCCCUGAGGAAUACAUAAGAGACACUUUCUAGAACGUUCGAGACUCCGAAAAGGCAUAGGUACGUGGUACGGUAAGUAAACCGACUCCAAAACAACUCUAAUGGCAAUUUUCAUCAGUUUUCGAUUAUUUAAGAAUUUUAGGAAGAAAGAAGUUGUCCGAAAGGGACACGAGGCUCCCACGAGAGAGGAGGUCGCGCCCCCCUGUAGGGCGCGCCCCCUGUCUCGUGGGCACCUGGUGUGCCUCCCGGACUCCGUUUUCUUGUAUGUUACGUAUUUUGGUCGAUAAAAAUUCAUUAUAUAUACUCUCGAAGGUUUUGACCACCCUAUCACACAAAUAUCCUCUGUUUUUGUUUCGAGCUGUUCCUGUUGCAGAAUAAAGCAAGAUGUCUUCUCAGGAGUCAGUUGGGGAGAGCCGGGUGUCUCACCCAAUGCCAGGUCCAGGAGCAAAUAGCGACGCCUAUCAUUUUGGACCAUCAACGGAGGAUGAGAUGGAGGCUGGUUUGAAAAUAAUAGAUGCCAUGGAGGAGGAUCAAGAAGUUACCUCUCGUCUUCGAGCAGAAUUCACUAUGGGGGAACUACCUAGCCUGGCUGUCCCUACUUAGGUCACUCCUUCCAACUCUAGAUUUCUUUCUUAUGAAAAUAUGAAAAAGAGUUUCACUUGUUCUCCAGAAGCUAUGCAACAUCCUUGGGUAAAAGGAGCCUUGACCGUUACGGGCAAGCUCCGUAAGGAAAAUAUGGACCUCAAACAACAAGUCAAUAAGCUCGAGGAGGAGAACCGUAUCCUGAAGGGCAUAAUCGCCAAGAAGAUCAUAACACCAACCGUGAAGAAGAAGAAAUAAUCACAUGGGUAUUGGCACUCCCUUUGGCGACUGCCAAGCUUGGGGGAGGUGCCCCGGUAUCGUAUCACCAUCACACUCCUAUUUUUACCGCUUUAUUUAGUUCGAUCCUUUUAGUAGUAUCUUGAUCUAGUAGUUUGAAGUUUUUGAUAUCAAGUAGCUUUGAGUUUUGCAUUGUGAUCUCUUUAUGUAAUCGAGUCCAUGUGCUAUCUAUAAUAAAGAUUAGUGUUGAGUCAAGGGCUUUGCUAUGUUGCUAUGAUAUUGAGAAAGUAGAAAGAAUAAAAGAGUUCAUAUUCACACAUAGAAAGUAUGAGGCAUAAAAAUUGUUGAGAGUUGAUGAACGCAGUGUUGGUCAUCCUUGCAAUUAAUAGGAAGUGAUAAGGAAAGAGGGGUUCACAUAUAAAUAUAUUAUCGUGGACAUUUUCUAUAAUUGGGAGCACUCAUUAGGUAUGACAUGCUAAAAGAGUUGACGUUGGACAAGGAAGACAACGUAAUGGUUUAUGUUUUCCGACAUCUCAGUUAAAGUAUAUUGUCAUUGACCUUCCAAACAUGUUGAGCUUGCCUUUCCCCCUCAUGCUAUCCAAAUUCCUUGCACCAAGUAGAAAUACUACUUGUGCUUCCAAAUAUCCUUAAACCCAGUUUUGCCAUGAGAGUCCACCAUACCUACCUAUGGAUUGCGUAAGAUCCUUCAAGUAUGUUGUCAUCGGUGCAAGCAAUAAAAAUUGCUCUCUAAAUAUGCAUGACUUAUUAGUGCAGAGAAAAUAAGCUUUGUAUGAACUUGUUGUGGAAGUAAUAAAAGCGACGGAUUGCAUAAUAAAGGUCCACAUACAAGGGGCAACAUAAAGUGACGUUCUUUUCCAUUAAGAUUUUUUAUAUCCAACCCUAAAAGCGCAUGACAACCUCUGCUUCCCUCUGCGAAGGGCCUAUCUUUUAUUUUAUGUUUUUACUUUAUGCUUGAGUCAAGGUGAUCCUCACCUUUCCCUUUUUCAAUUUUAUCCUUUGGCAAGCUCUUCGUGUUUGAAAGAUCAUGAUAUAUAUAUCCAAUUGGAUGUAAGUUGGCAUAGGCUAUUAUUGUUGACAUCACCUAAAGGUGAAUACGUUGCGAGGCAACACAAGAAGCCCCUAUCUUUCUCAGUGUCCGGCUGAAACUCUAUAACCACAAGUAUUGCGUGAGUGUUAACAAUUAUGGGGGACUACGAGAUAGUUGAGUAUGCGAGCUUGUUGAAAAACUCUAUUAUUGACUCUUUCUGAUGUUACGAUAAAUUGCAAUUGCUUCAAUGACUGAGAUUAUAGUUUGUUAGUUCCCAAUGAAGUUUUUGAACCAUACUUGACAUUGUGAAUUCUUAUUACUUGAGCAUAGGAAAUCAUAUGACAAAAUCUAUAUAUGUUGCUUUUAUUAGAAUGAUCAUGAUGCCCUCAUGUCCGUAUUUUAUUUUUAUCGACACCUCAUCUCUAAACAUGUGGACAUAUUUUUCGAUUUAGGCUUCCGGUUGAGGACAAGCGAGGUCUAAGCUUGGGGGAGUUGAUACGUCCAUUUUGCAUCAUUCUUUUAUAUCAAUAUUUAUUUAUGGGCUGUUAUUACACAUUAUAUCUCAAUACUUAUGGCUAUUCUCUCUUAUUUUACAAGGUUUACCAUGAAGAGGGGGAAUGCCGACAGCUGGAAUUCUGGCUGGAAAAGAGCAAACGUUGGAAACCUAUUCUGCACAACUCCAAAAGUCCUAAAACUCCACGAAACAACUUUUGGGAUUUAAUAAGAAUUUAUGAGCGAAAGAAAUAGGCCAGGGGGCCCACACGCUGUCCAGGAGACAGGAGGGCGCCCCCCUGUAGGGCGCGACCCCCUAUCUCCUGGGCCCACUACUAGAAAAACCGCUACUAAUGGCGCACCUAAUUUGGCCAUUAAUGGCGCAUCACUGGUGCGCCAUUACUAGCACGCCAUUAGUAAUUUUUACUAAUGGCGCACCAGUGGUGCGCCAUUAGUAUCUGGUAUACUAAUGGCGCACCACUGGUGCGCCAUUAGUAUAGGCCACGGUGCACCAUUAGUAUGCCUCCCAGGGGCCAUGUAUACCCAGGUGCUUUGGCAUACUAAUGGCGCAUGACCAUGGGAUGCGCCAUUAGUAACCGCGGCAUACUACUAAUGGCGCACUGUCAUGUGAUGCGCCAUUAGUAUGAAUAUUAGUUUUUUUUUAUUAUUUUCUGUUUUUUGCACAGGUUACAAAAUGUAUAAUUUGACAAAAUAUAGACAUCACACAUAAACAACAGAUUCAUCGAAUACAAUAGAAGAUUAGUCUGUGAAUACAACUAGAUGACCAGUUGCGCCAAUGGCGCAAAGGCCGAGAGUAAGCCAUGUAUUGAAAGAGUAACAUUAAUAUUAUUCAGACACAUAUUGAAACAUAUGAAAAUAAGUACUUAUUGCUGGUAGAUAGAUACUUAGUAAUGAUACAUAGUGUUCUAAGAAGCUUAUGAUUAAUUAUUUACAAUGUUAUUAGCAAACAAAGUAGAUAGUCACAUAUAGGCGCUAUGAAGUGAUAAACAUUAGAUAGAGUCAUCGUUGCACCCUUGACCAUGGCACAAAAAGCGAGAGCGAGCCAAGCAUUCAAAGUAUGUGUAUGAGAUUGAUUUAGAAUCAACUUAUAAAGAUACUUAUAUUCCAUUACAUGAAAGCUAUGCUUGAAAGAAAAUAUUCCGAUCAAUUGGUGAUAGCAUACAUUGGCUUUAAAAGACAUGCUAUAUUAGCAUAGAUGAAUGGUGUAUAUAGUGCUUGCCCAUUAACCAUUGCUCGAGUCUUGUACCUGCCAUCAACAGGAAGGAAAGAACCUAUGACCCAGGCGGACGAACAACCUAGCCGUACACUGCAGACAGGACCAGAGGCCUAUAGAGGAACAAAAAUAAUCAAGCGACUGUAUGUAAAACAAUAAGCAGAUGGUACGCCACUGGGAGAGACUGUAUUUGAUACAUAUAACAAUUGAGCAUAUUUUUGGAACACCAACUGGACCAUGAAACAAACAUAUAUAGCAAGCCAAGAAAAGGAGGAAUCAUGAUGCCACAAUGAAAAGAGUAAGUCCAAUGGACACAACUACAGAAGUACAUGUCAUAGGACAAGAUGCAAAAUCUAUAUAUCAAUUAGAUAUAGAAACAAAAACAGGAAAGAGUAAUCAUAAUGAUCUGAGUAUGUUGUAGAUUUCCUACUGAAAUUAUAAUUUAAUAAAUUUAAUGUCAAGAGAAAUGCAAUGAGGAAAGGGCCUGUAACAUGGAGUUGGUCCAACCCAGCCUCUCUAAUUCAUGAAACAGUAAGUUAAUUGUCACAGUCUUCUAGUUAUUAAUGGUCCUGCGUCACUAAUCUCAACCAACGCCAAAAGUUUGUGAUCCCAUGAAUGUACUAAGCGAUUUCCAUCAAGCCUGGACCAGCUCUCUUAGAUACCCCUGCCAAAAAUAGGAAAAUGGAACUUUGAAUACUCUCAGCUUACACAAAAUAAAAAACUAUGCAGGACAUGAUAGACACUUAAAAUUGCAAAGUUCAUUCGAUGUCAUAAAGCAAAAGACUAAGAACCAUUAUGUACCAACCUGGACGUUGCCUCUUACUCCCUUAGAUAUCAUGGUUCAACAAAUAAACCUCUUACUCCCUAGAAAUAGUAAAUCCCGCCUUCAUCAAUUACAGGGAGGAGCUUCCAACUGGAUUUGAAGUACCAUUUGUAUUAUACCCUCCCUAUACCAGUAUAAAAAACAACAAUCUUUUCACCAUCAAUAGUUAUCCUGCAACAUCAUUUAACUCUCACAUGAUUUAGAGAGAGUAGUAAUGAAGCACAGAUAAUAACAUUUGUCAGAAAAGAGUAGGAGAGAAACAAACAGAGUACAAUUUGAAUGCUCAGAACAAUCAAAUUAAACACUACAGGGAAAACUAAGAACAAUCAACCUUAACUACUGUAGGGAAGAUAAAAGUCGUCUCAAAUUAACUGCUAUUGGCUUUACUAAUCUACUAUUGUUCAGACUGAUUAUCAACUACUACAGGAAAAACCAAGAACAAUUGACCGCAACUAUUGCAUGAAAGAUAAAGCAUUCUCAAAUUCUUUUUUCUUUCCGAGUUGAAUGACUCCAUCCAGACCAAAUGACCAAGCUGGUCAUAAAAAGGGACAUAAAAAAAUGUCGAUAGAAGUGAAUCAGUAAAAACAAAAACCAAAAACUGUAUGCGAAUAAUCAAGAUGGGAUGAGUGCUUUUAAGCACCAUGUCAAGAACCAGAGCCAUGGCGAAAAUUCUGGUGAUUUCAUAUGCAGAUAAAUGUGCAAAAGUAGCAAGAUGACUCAGACUGACAAACAAAUCUCUUGACAGUGCUCUUUGGCAAGUGCUGCAGAGAUGGAUAAUACUCAAUCAGUCUCUAUACCAAUGUCUCCUGUAGGCUGGGUGUAGUACACAGCUUUUGGGAGCUAUAGAGUGUGUUCAGCAUAGCAUCCAAAAUAACCCUUGGUGGAAUGUGUACAGGAUCCAUUAGGAAAUCCUAAGAUGAUUUUAUAAAUGUUAGAUUAUCGCUCAUAAAAAAGGCCAUAUAAGGAUUAUUGCCAUUGAUCAGUACUAUGCAUAUGUAGUAUGGUCAAAGAAGAUAGAUAUGAACAAUUGGUGUUAGCUACCAUGUCAGACUAAAACUAAAAGAACUUGUUGAGUAAUCAUAGAUAGCAGGAAAGUCUAUGUUGGUUGCAUUUAAUUAUUCAGUUUUAGUACAGGUGCUGUUCAAGAAUGGCAGAACCAUUUUCUACCAAAGCUCACUAUACUAAAGGCUUAUCCAAUGCCAUAGCAGAGCCGAUCAAAGAGGCACUAACGGACAGGGGUCUCGCAAAGUACAUCAUGAAUUUCCAUGUCUCAAUCUGGCAGUGUAAAACUGUAGGUUCCAUGGCUCAAAAAUAGCUAAGUGAUUUGAAUCUAAAAUAAACCUAGGUUUAUUACCUAUAAGGCCAUCCCCAGGAAUAUCAAUCUCUACACCAGCAAGCACAUGACCAUUCCCGUCGAUCUCACACAAGUAAAAAGGCGGAAGCAAUGCACAUUGUGCUGCCACAGUUCCAAAAUUGGAAGAACAAAGGACACCAGAGCACACAUUCUAGGUAAACGAAGUAAUUACACAAUACGAAGCAGGAAAGAAUAUAUGUAAGCACACAAAUAAAUAGUAUAAGGUGAGAGGAUAAAACAUUCCAUGCACAAUAAAACCGUUCUACCAAGAACGCUAAAGACACUAUGUUAGAGGAACAAAAUGUAUUGAAACAGUAAACAAUUAGCAGGGAAAGUACUAAUAAUAAUCACCUUCACAAGAUGAAAGAAAGCAGAUGAGGCCCUUGACGAGAUCAACAGCACUAGAAUCCCAAGAACAGACCUAGAAGAAAACAGUUCAUAAAUCAGGACACAACCAAGCUUUCUACCCACAAGGAAACUCUUCUACCAAGAAUGCUAAAAACAGUAUAUACAACAGCACGAGCAGAAGGGAAUAGGACAGAUCUUAACCCCAAACAGAAAAAGGAUUCUAAGCACGACCGCAUUUCAUCGAACAGGUAGAAAGCAAGCGGGGAAAAAGUGGCUUACCUCUGACGAAACAUAAAUCGCACAGUUCAGACCGACACAAGAAUCAAGAAUUAGAUCCUGCAAAGAAGAGAGAGGAAUCAGUUACACUUGGGUUGUUUUUUCUCUUAAAGAGGAUUGAAUCCUAACCCUAGAGCGAGAGGAAAAAAGAGAGAAGGAGAGGCAGGGGCGAAGAGGCAUAGCAGAGGAGGAGCAUGAGGAGCAGGCCUCCACAGCCAGAGCGCCGCCGACCGCCAUGGGAGAGAUUAGAUCCUGCAAAGAAGAGAGAGGAAUUAGUUACACUUGGGCGGGCGCGUCGCCGCCUGGUCGUCCUCCUUCUCAUGCAUCUGCCCCCUCCCUCUUCUCAUGCGACGGUGGUGUCGGGGCGGCGCUGGGGCGGCGGGGCGACGGUGGCGUCGAGGGCGGCGGGGUGACGGUGGUGUCGGGACGGGGCGACGGUGGCGUCGAGAGCGGUGGGGCGAUGGUGGUGUCGGGGCGGGGCGACGGUGGCGUCGGGAGAGGAGAUCGGGGAAGGGGAUCGCGGGCGAGGGCGAGGGAGAGAGAGGGGAUCAGUACGAAGUAGGGGCGCCACAAUACUAAUGGCGCACCACCCCUCGGUGCGCCAUAAGUACAUACAUGCUAAUGGCGCACCGCGGGUGAGUGCGCCAUUAGUAGUUUUGUAGAAAAAGGAAUAAAAAAUAAUAAAAAAACAACAUUAGUGGCGCACUUUCUGACUGGUGCGCCAUUACUAGUUACCACUAGUAAUGGCGCACUUCCUAUGGAUGCGCCAUUAGUAUGUUUGGACAGGCGCACUAGUUAAAAAAAAUUUGAUACUAAUGGCGCACCAUGGGCCAGGUGCGCCAUUAGUAGUUUCAACACUAAUGGCGCAUCAGAAGGUGGUGCGCCAUUAGUAUAUACUAAUGGCGAACCACUUGUCUGGUGCGCCAUUAGUGCCAAUCCCAUCUAUAGCCCUUUUUCUAGUAGUGGCCCCAUGGUGGGCCUCCGGCGUCCAUCUUCUGCUAUAUCAUCACUUUUACCCUGGAAAAAUCGUGGGCAAGCUUACGGGAUGAAACUCUGCCGCCACGAGGCGAAAUCUUGGCGAAAUCAAUCUAGGGCUCUGGCAGAGCUGUUCUGUCAGGGACACUUCCCUCUGGGAGGGGGAAAUCAUCACCAACGUCAUCACCAAUGAUCCUCUCAUCGGGAGGGGGUCAAUCUCCAUCAACAUCUUCACCAGCACCAUCUCCUCUCAAAACCCUAGUUCGUCUCUUGUAUCCAAUCUUGUAUCAAAACCACAAAUUGGUACCUGUGGGUUGCUAGUAGUGUUGAUUACUCCUUGUAGUUGAUGCUAUUUGGUUUACUUGGUGGAAGAUCAUAUGUUCAGAUCCUUUAUGCAUAUUAAUACCCCUCUGAUUAUGAACAUGAAUAUGCUUUGUGAGUAGUUACGUUUGUUCCUGAGGACAUGGGUGAAGUCUUGCUAUUAGUAGUCAUGUGAAUUUGGUAUUCGUUCGAUAUUUUGAUGAGAUGUAUGUUGUCUUUCCUCUAGUGGUGUUAUGUGAACGUCGACUACAUGACACUUCACCAUUAUUUGGGACUAGAGGAAGGCAUAGGGAAGUAAUAAGUAGAUGAUGGGUUGCUAGAGUGACAGAAGCUUAAACCCUAGUUUAUGUGUUGCUUCGUUAGGGGUUGUUAUGGACCCAUAUGUUUAAUGUUGUGGUUAGGUUUACCUUAAUACUCCUUUUUGUAGUUGCGAAUGCUUGCAAUAGGGGUUAAUCAUAAGUGGGAUGCUUGUCCAUGUUAGGGCAGUACCCAAGUGCCGGUCCACCCACAUAUCAAAUUAUCAAAGUACUGAACGCGAAUAUUAUGAACGUGGUGAAAACUAGCUUGACGAUAAUUUCCAAUGUGUCCUCAGGAGCUCCUUCUUCAUUAUUAGAAUUUGUCGAGGCUUAUCCUUUGAUACAUAAAGGAAUGGGCCACCUUGCUGCACUUUAUUUACUUUAUUUACUUUUUGCUUGUUACUAUUUAUCUUAUCACAAAACUAUCUAUCACGUACUAUUUCAGUGCUUGCAGAGAAAACCUUAUUGAAAACCGCUUAUUAUUUCCUUCUGCUCCUCGUUGGGUUCGACACUCUUACUUAUCGAAAGGACUAUGAUAGAUCCCCUAUACUUGUGGGUCAUCAAACAGUAAUACGGGAUGGGCCUUCGGUUAGUAGGUUAGUCCCAAAAAUGAUAUAAAUGUGUAAAAUAAAGCCCAUAAACAUCCAAAAGGGGUAAUAUAAUAGCAUGGAACAAUAAAAAAUUAUAGAUACGUUGGAGACGUAUCAUAGCUCCAUGCAGAGCAUUGUAGACAUAGAAAAUUUCCAAAAUACAUAAGGCUCUGAAUGUGACAGACCCGUUGACUAAACUUAUCUCACAAAUAAAACAUGAUCACACAUUAGUACUCUUUGGGUGUUAAUCACAUAGCGAUGUGAAUAAGAUUAUUGACUCUAGUAAACCCUUUUGGUGUUAGUCACAUGCCGAUGUGAACUAAUCACAUAAAGAUGUGAACUAUUGGUGUUAAAUCACAUGACGAUGUGAACUAGAUUAUUGACUCCAGUGCAAGUGGGAGACUGGAGGAAAUAUGCCCUAGAGGAAAUAAUAAAGUUGUUAUUUAUAUUUUCUUAUAUCAUGAUAAAUGUUUAUUAUUCAUGCUAGAAUUGUAUUAACUGGAAACUUAGUACAUGUGUGAAUACAUAGACAAAACAGAGUGUCCCUAGUAUGCAUCUACUUUACUAGCUCGUUGAUCAAAGAUGGUUAUGUUUCCUGACCAUAGACAUGUGUUGUGAUUUGAUGAACGACAUCACAUCAUUAGAGGAUGACGUGAUGGACAAGACCCAUCCAUUAGCUUAGCAUAAUGAUCAUUUAGUUUUAUUGCUAUUGCUUUCUUCAUGACUUAUACAUGUUCCUCUGACUAUGAGAUUAUGCAACUCCCGAAUACGGGAGGAACACCUUGUGUGCUAUCAAACAUCACAACGUAACUGGGUGAUUAUAAAGAUGCUCUACAUGUGUCUACAAAGGUGUUUGUUGAGUUGGCAUAGAUCAAGAUUAGGAUUUGUCACUCCGUGUAUUGAAGAGGUAUCUCUGGGCCCUCUCGGUAAUGCACAUCACUAUAAGCCUUGCAAGCAAUGUGACUAAUGAGUUAGUUGCUGGAUGAUGCAUUACGGAACGAGUAAAGAGACUUUCCGGUAACGAGAUUGAACUAAGUAUGAUGAUACCAACGAUUGAAUCUCGGGCAAGUAACAUACCGAUGACAAUGGGAAUAACAUAUGUUGUUAUGCGGUUUGACCGAUAAAGAUCUUCGCAGAAUAUGUAGGAGCCAAUAUGAGCAUCCAGGUUCCGCUAUUGGUUAUUGACCGGGAAUGUGUCUCGGUCAUGUCUACAUAGUUCUUGAACCCGUAGGGUCCGCACGCUUAACGUUCAAUGACGAUUUGUAUUAUGAGUUAUGUGUUUUGAUGACCGAAGUUUGUUCGGAGUCCCGGAUGAGAUCACGGACAUGACAAGGAGUCUUGAAAUGGUCGAGAGGUAAAGAUUCAUAUAUUGGAAGGUUAUAUACGGACAUCGGAAUGGUUCCGAUAAGGUUCGGGGAUUUAUCGGAGUACUGGGAGGCUAUCGGAACCCCCCGGGAAGUUAAUGGGACUUAUUGGGCUUUAGUGCACAGAGGGAAGAAGGGCCACAAGGUGGCGCGUGCCUCCCCCUGCCCAAACGAAAUUGGACAAGGGGUGGGGGCGCGGGCCCCCCUUUUUCCUUGUCCCUCUCCCUUUUUUCCCCUUUCCCCUCUCCGUAAGAUGGAAGGAGGGGGGCCGAAUCCCACUAGGUUUGGAGUCCUAGUAGGACUCCCUCCAUGGUGUGCCCCCCUUGGUCGGCCUCCUCCUCCCCCUCCUUUAUAUACAUUGGCAGGGGGCAGCCCAAAGGACAACAGAAAAUCUCUUAGCCAUGUGAUGUGCCCCCCUCCACAGUUUAACACCUCGUUCAUAUCGUCGUAGUGCUUAGGCGAAGCCCUACGCCGGUAACUUCAUCAUCAGUGUCGCCACGCUGUCUGAUACGUCUCCAACGUAUCUAUAAUUUAUGAAGUAUUCAUGCUAUUAUAUUAUCCAUCUAUGAUGUUUUAUAUGCAUUUAUAUGUCAUUUUAUAUGAUUUUUGGGACUAACCUAUUAACCUAGAGCCCAGUGCCAGUUUGUGUUUUCUCCUUGUUUUUGUGUUUUACAGAAAAGGGAUACCAAACGGAGUCCAAUUGACGUGCCAAUUUUUGAGGAUUUUUUAUGGACCAAAAGAAGACCACAGAGCAUCGGAGUUGGGCCAGAGGAGUCCCGGGCUGCCCACGAGAGUGGGGGCCACGCCCUCCCCCCUGGGGCGCGCCCCCUAUCUCGUGGACAGCCCGGAGACCUUCCUGACGUGAAACCAAUGCCAAAAAUUCCUAUAAAUACAGAAACCUUUGGGAAUUAACCUAGAUCGGAAGUUCCGCCGCCGCAAGCCUCUGUAGCCACGAGAAAUCAAUCUAGGCCCUCUCUGGCACCCUGCCGGAGGGGGCCAUCAUCACCGGAGGCCAUGGAGGAGGAUCUCGGAGGGGCCAUCAUCUCCAUGAAGGCCAAGGACCAGAGGGGGAAAGCAUGGAGGAGGAAGCACAAGGGGGAGAAACUCUCCUCCUCUCUCUUGGUGGCACCGGAGUGCCAUCGGGAGGGGAAUCAUUGUCGCGGUGAUCGUCUUCAUCAACAUCACCAUCAUCAUCACCAUCUUCAUCUCUUUUACGCGGUCCACUCUUCCGCACUCCGCUGUAAUCCCUACUUGAACAUGGUGCUUUAUGCCACAUAUUAUGAUCCAAUGAUGUGUUGCCAUCCUAUGAUGUUUUGAGUAGAUAUCUUUUGUCUUUGGGUUGAUUGAUGAUCUAGAUUGGUAUGAGUUGUAUGUUUUAUUUUGGUGCCGUCCUAUGGUGCCCUCCGUGUCACGCAGGCAUGAGGGAUUCCCGCUGUAGGGUGUUGCAAUACGUUCAUGAUUCUCUUAUAGUGGGUUGGUGAGUGACUGAAACACAAACCCGAGUAAGAGGGGUUGUUGCGUAUGGGAAUAAAGAGGACUUGAUGCUUUAAUGCUAUGGUUGGGUUUUACCUUAAUGAUCUUUAGUAUCUGCGGAAGCUUGCUAGAGUUCCAAUCAUAAGUGCAUAUGAUCCAAGUAGAGAAAGUAUGUUAGCUUUUGCGUCUCCCUCAUAUGAAAUUGCAAUAGUGAUUACCGAUCUUGUUAACAAUUGCCUAGGACAAUUCCGCACAUCGAUCCACCAUUAUUCCACACUCGCUAUUUAUAUUAUUUAGUAUUAUAUUCUAACUCUAUGAUAACAGCACCUACUUUUAUAUUUUAGCUCUCCUAUAUCAUACAAAGUUAUCCUCUUUAUACCCACAACACAUUUUUAUUUCUUGUUUCUAGUUGGAAGCAAAUGUUCGGUGCACGUAGAGUCGUAUUAGUGGCAGAUAGGGCUUGAGAGAAUAUUGAUCUUACCUUUAGCUCCUUGUGGGUUUGACACUCCAUAUUUAUCACUUCCACCUUUGGAAAUUGCUAUGAUGAUUCCCUGCACUUGGGGAUUAUCAAGCUCUUUUCUGGCGCCGCUGCCGGGGAGGAAUAGCGUGGGGUUGAUAUUCUCGUGUGUGCUUGUUUGCUUUCUUUACUUAGUAGAUUUUGUUUUUCCUUUUUGUUUCUGUUUAGUUGUGGGUGAAACAUACAAUUUUUUUAAAAAAGAAUGAAAAUACCAAAAAUUAUUUACUUGCCUCUCAUGCCUAAAAAAAGGUUUUUCAAAAAGAGAAGUGAUUGGAAAGUUAUGCAUUGAAGAAGUGAGGGUCGACCUUGAGCACUUGUGUUCAUGCUCACGGAAACAAUGUAGAAUAUUUCAUGGAAGUUUCUCUGUAAAUAAUUAUCCCCUCGUAUAUAUCCUUUGUAUUAUAAAAAUAAUGUGCCAAUCUUUGGUUCUAGUAUGAUAAGAUCGCUUGCUUACUAUGUGCAGAACAAAAACAGAAACUUUGGCUGUAGUGCAUGAAUUUACAUUUUUUUACUGGAAAGUCAAAUGGGUCUGAGACAUUUUGCACAUUACUUCUGUAUAAAUGUUUCAAAUUUUAAAAUUUAUUUCAUAAUUUUAGGAGUUACAGAAGUUUACUAAACUUCCAGAUUACUACAGACUGUCCUGUUCUUGACAGAUUCUGUUUUUCGUGUGUUGUUUGCUUAUUUUGAUGCAUCUAUGGCUAGUAUGUGGAGGUAUGAACCAUAGAGAAGUUGGAAUACAGUAGGUUUAACACCAAUAUAAACAAAGUAUGAGUUAAUUACAGUACCUUAAAGUGGUAGUUUGCUUUAUUACACUAACGGAUCUCACAAAGUUUUUGUUUAAGUUUUUGUGAAUGAAGUAUUUGAAGAACGAGGAGUUACCGAUGUGAGAAGAAUAAAGAGAGACAAGAGUUCAAGCUUGGGGAUGCCCAAGGCACCCCAAGUAAAUAUUUCAAAGGAUACUCAAGCAUCUAAGCUUGGGGAUGCCCCGGUUGGCAUCCCAUCUUUCUUCUUCAACAAAUAUCGGUAUACCUCGGUUUUUGUUUUGUUCACAUGAUUCGUGUCCUUUGCGUUUUUGUUUUUCUUUAAGAAUCAUGCUAGUAUAAGAUAGCUCUUCAUUGAUUUAUAGAAUACUUCAUGUGCUUCACUUAUAUCUUUUAAGUAUGGUCUUAUAGAAUUGCUCUUUGUGCUUCACUUAAAUCGUUUGAGUAUGGUUCUAUAGAAUGCUUCGUGCGCUUCACUUAUAUAUUUUGAGCUUGGAUAUUGGCUAUUCUAUAUUAAUUGUAGAAUGCUCCAGGAAAUUCACUUAUAUCUUUUGGAGUUUGAAUAAUACUAUAAUUAAAAGUGGGUUUGGAAGAGUGUCAACUUUAGGAAUUAGUGAUCCCACUAUCUUGGAGGGUGUUGAAUCUUUGUACGAUAUUUAUGAAAGUGGAAUUGGAAUAGUGUCAACUUUAGUUAGUAUUCCACUACUUCGGAAGAGGUUCCAAUUGAGUAUGAGAACAAGUUGCUAUCUAGGAUUCUACUGAAAAUUAUUAUGAGGGAGGAAUAUGUGCUUGUAGGAGUUGCAAUAAUAUCAAGCUUCCUCUCUAUGUGCUUAAAGUUUUGUAGUUAUACUUGUUUUGCCUUCCUAUGCUAGUUGACUUUUGUUCCUAUAAUUUGUGUGCUCACAAAAUCCCUAGGCAUAGGAAGUGAGUUAGAUUUAAAUGUGCUAGUCAUAUUCUUCAUGAUGCUCUCUUUGUGUUUCAACUCUUUUCUUUUAUGCGAGCAUCAUUGAAACCAUCAUGCCUAGCCAAAAGGCAUUAAAGAAAAGCGCUUGUUGGGAGACAACCCAAUAUUUACCCUUACUGUUUUUGUGUGUCUACAUGAUUAAGCUACUGUAGUAAUCAUGUUUUAUGCUUUUUGUUUCAAUAAAGUGCCAAGUAAGACCUUUGGGAAGACUUGGGUGGAAGUUAAUGUGAUCUUGCUGUAAUAAAUAGAAAUUUUGCGCUCACGAGAUUAGCUAUAAUUUUUUAAAUAAGAGUGAUUUUGAGUUGAUUCUUUUUGCAGAAGAUUAAUAGACAAAUUUCUCACGUCCACCAAUUUAUUUAAUAAUUGUUGGAGUAGCAGAAGUAUGGUUAUUGUUCAGAUCAUUACAGACUGUUAUGUUUCUGACAGAUUCUGUUUUCAUUGCAUAGUUUGCUUGUUUCCUAGUUUCUAUGGCUUAUAUUUCCCAAUAUAAAUUGUAGAAAUGAUAUGUUACAGUAGGCAUUAUGUGAAAACAAAUAUGAACCUUGUCUUUUACAGUACCAAAGUGCAUGGUUUACUCUUUAUCAUACUAACCUAUCUCACGAAGUUCCAUUAAGUUUUGUGUGAUUGAAGUUUUCAAGUUUUGAGUGAGAUAUCGAUAUGAGGAGAAUAAGGAGUGGGAAGACCCUAAGCUUGGGGAUGCCCAAGGCACCCCAAGGUAAUAUUCAAGGAAGAAUCAAGUGCCUAAGGUUAGGGAUGCCCCGGAAGGUAUCCCCUCUUUCGUCUUCAAAACUAUCGGUAUACCUUACUCGAAGCUAUAUUUUUAUUCGUCACAUGAUAUGUGUUUUGCUUGGAGCGUCAUUUUCUUUUUGCUUGCUGUUAUUUAGAUAGUGUUUUGCAUCUUUAGUUUCAAUAAAAAUAUCAAGGAUAGCUGAGGGAGUCUUGGAUUAGGGGUUGUCCAGAUGGCCGGACUAUGACCUUUGGCCGGACUCCCGGACUAUGAAGAUACAAGAUUGAAGACUCCGUCCCGUGUCCGGAUGGGACUUUCCUUGGCGUGGAAGGCAAGCUUGGCGAUACGAUAUGAAGAUCUCCUCCCAUUGUAACCGACUCUGUGUAACCCUAGCCCUCUCCAGUGUCUAUAUAAACCGGAGAGUUUUAGUCCGUAGCACGAACAACAAUCAUACCAUAGGCUAGCUUCUAGGGUUUAGCCUCUCUGAUCUCGUGGUAGAUCAACUCUUGUAAUACCCAUACCAUCAAUAUUAAUCAAGCAGGAGUAGGGUUUUACCUCCACCGAGAGGGCCCGAACCUGGGUAAAAACAUCGUGUCCCUUGUCUCCUGUUACUAUCUGCCUAGACGCACAGUUCGGGACCCCCUACCCGAGAUCCGCCGGUUUUGACACCGACAUUGGUGCUUUCAUUGAGAGUUCCUCUAUGUCGUCGCCUUUAGGCCCGAUGGCUUCUUUGAUCUUCAACCAAGACGCGGUCCAGGGUGAGACUUUUCUCCCCGGACAGAUCUUCGUGUUCGGCGGCUUCGCACUGCGGGCCAACUCGCUUGGCCAUCUGGAGCAGAUCGAAAUCUACGCCCCUGGCCAUCAGGUCAGGUUUGGAAGUUUAAACUACACGGCCGACAUUCGCGGGGACUUGAUCUUCGAUGGAUUCAAGCCACGGCCGAGCGCGCCGCACUGUCUCGAUGGGCAUGAUCUAGCUCUGCCGCCGGACAGUGCCCAGAGUGCCGCUCAGGAUUCCGCUCCGACCAUUAGUUCGGAGCUGACUGCGCUAACCAGGGACGGACGGUUGGACGCCGCCCCAGGAGCCGCAAUCUCUACGGCGAUAGAGCCGAAUACCAGCCUAGUCCUUUGCAAGGCCCGUGACUCCAAGGUGUCGGACUCCGUUCCGGACUCCGAAUCUUCAGCACCCCUUCCGAUCGAACCCGAUUGGGCUCCGAUCAUGGAGUUCACCGCCACGGACGUCUUUCAGCACUCGCCCUUUGGAGAUAUCCUGAAUUCACUAAAGUCUCUCUCUUUGUCAGGAGUGCCCUGGCCGAACUACGGUCAGCAUGGUUGGGAUACGAACGACGAAGAAAUUCGAGGCCCACCCACCACCCACUUCGUAGCCACUGUCGACGAUUUAACCGACAUGCUCGACUUCGACUCUGAAGACAUCGACGGUAUGGACGCCGAUGAAGGAGACGACCAAGAACCAGCACCUAUAGGGAACUGGAAAGCCAUCUCGUCAUAUGACAUAUACAUGGUGGACACCCCCAAAGCAGGGGAUGGCGAGGAAAAAACGGAGGAUGACCCCUCCAAGAAGCAACCCAAGCGCCAACGUCAGCGGCGCCGCUCUAAAUCCCGCCAAAGCAAGAACGGCGAAUCCGGCACCGGAGAUAACAACACACCAGACAGCGCCGAAGAUAACCCCCUCCAGCAGGAUUCAGUGCAGGAGGACGAAAAAGCCAGCCCUCAUGAGAGAGCGGCGGACAGAGAGGUUGAGGACGACAACUAUAUGCCUCCCUCCGAAGACAAGGCAAGCCUCGACGAUGACGAAUUCGUUGUGCCAGAGGAUCCCGUCGAACAAGAGCGUUUCAAACACAGGCUUAUGGCCACGGCACGAAGCCUCAAGAAAAAACAUCAGCAGCUUAGAGAUGACCAAGACUUGCUAGCCGACAGAUGGACCGAAGUCCUGGCGGCUGAAGAGUAUAAACUCGAGCGCCCCUCCAAGAGCUACCCAAAGCGCAGGCUGCUACCCCAACUUGAAGAGGAAGCAACUAAACCUACAUCACCAGCGUACGAUGUGCCCGAUCGGCCACCCCGGGGCCGCGACAGAGAGGCCUUCAGGCCCUCGGCCCAAGACGCACCCCGACACCGCUCAAAACAUGCCAGAGUAUGGGGAGAUGCAACAGACCUAUGAGACAUAUUGGAGAACAAGGCAAGGCAAGAAGAUCGAUCUACGGAUCGCAUGGGCGCCCCGCAUCACGUGAUGAUAACCGUCACACCGGAUAUGAUAAAUACGGCCAGGCCGAAUACAACAGACCAAGCUCAUCCGAGCUCCGCCGCGAUAUAGCCCAGUACAGGGGAGCCGCACACCCACUAUGCUUCACAGAUGAAGUAAUGGAUCAUCAAAUCCCCGAGGGUUUUAAGCCCGUAAACAUUGAAUCAUACGACGGCACAACUGAUCCCGCGGUAUGGAUCGAGGAUUAUCUCCUUCAUAUCCACAUGGCCCGCGGUGAUGAUCUACACGCCAUCAAAUACCUCCCGCUCAAGCUUAAAGGACCAGCACGACAUUGGCUUAACAACCUGCCAGUAGAGUCAAUUAGUUGCUGGGAGGACCUGGAAUCCGCAUUCCUUGACAACUUCCAGGGCACUUAUGUGCGACCACUAGACGCUGAUGACCUAAGCCACAUAAUCCAGCAGCCAGAAGAAUCGGCCAGACAAUUCUGGACACGGUUCCUAACCAAGAAAAAUCAAAUGGUCGACUGUCCGGACGCCGAGGCCCUUGCAGCCUUCAGGCACAAUAUCUGAGACGAAUGUCUUGCCCGGCACCUAGGACAGGAAAAGCCGAAAUCUAUGGCAGCCCUUACGACACUCAUGACCCGCUUCUGCUCGGGCAAAGACAGCUGGCUAGCUCAUAGCAAUAACAUAACAAAGAGCCCUGGUAAUUCGGAUACCAAGGACAACAAUGGCAGGUCACGUCGCAACAAGCACAAGCGCCGCAUUAACGGUGAUAAUAUCGAGGAUACAUCAGUCAACGCCGGAUUCAGAGGCUCUAAACCCGGUCAGCGGAAGAAGCCAUUCAAAAGAAACCCUCUGGGCCCAUCCAACAUAGACCGGAUACUCGACCGCUCGUGCCAGAUACACGGCACCCCCGAACAACCAGCCAACCACACCAACAGGGAUUGUUGGGUGUUCAAGCAGGCAGGCAAGUUAAGUGCCGAAACCAGAGACAAGGGGCUGCGUAGCGAUGUCGAGGAGGAGCCCCGGCCGCCGAACAACAGAGGACAGAAGGGAUUCCCCCCGCAAGUGCGGACGGUGAACAUGAUAUACGCAACCCACAUCUCCAAGAGGGAGCGGAAGCAUGCUCUCAAGGACGUCUAUGCAUUGGAGCCAGUUGCCCCAAAGUUCAACCCAUGGUCCUCCUGCCCGAUCACAUUUGAUCGAAGAGACCACCCCACUAGCAUCCGUCACGGCGGAUUCGCCGCAUUGGUCCUAGACCCAAUCACUGACGGAUUUCACCUCACCAGAGUCCUCAUGGACGGCGGCAGCAGCCUGAACCUGCUUUAUCAGGAUAAGUGCGAAAAAUGGGUAUAGACCCCUCAAGGAUCAAACCCACAAAGACAACCUUUAAAGGUGUCAUACCGGGUGUAGAAGCCAGCUGUACAGGCUCAGUUACACUCGAAGUGGUCUUCAGAUCCCCGGAUAAUUUCUGAAGCGAAGAGUUAAUCUUCGACAUAGUCCCAUCCUGCAGUGGCUAUCACGCCCUGCUUGGACGAACCGCAUUUGCAAAGUUCAAUGCGGUGUCGCACUACGCAUAUCUCAAGCUCAAGAUGCCAGGCCCUCGCGGAGUAAUCACGGUAAAUGGAAACACCGAACGCUCUCUCCGAACGGAGGAGCACACAACGGCCCUGGCGGGGAAGUACAGAGCAGCCUCUCAAGGCAGCUCUCCAAUCCGGGUAUCAAACGUCCGGACAACGUCAAGCGCGCCUGAAGCAACCUACAACAGAGCUGGCUGGCACGAUCCAAGCAAGCAUAGCAGUGCGGCCCCAGCCCCAGCCCUCGUCAGAUGGUGCUAUCGGUACCACGCGUACAUAAUUACGCUUUGAAAAUACCAUGGGCAUAAGGGGAGGGGCACAAUUACGGCACGCCCAGAAUGCGGCUCAACCGCACUUAGGGCCUCCCUAUUUAGCCGUUUUCCUUUUUUAUAUAUACUUUCAGGACCCAACUACUCAGAAGGCCUGUCCGGCAAUACACUCGCCGAACACACGAUGCAACAGCCAGGGUGAGGACAAGCCGCGUCGAAUGUCCAGGUGGCCUCUAUAAUGAGUUAAAUACCUAUUUUUACUUACAAAACCCGCAGCUUGCCCCUGGAGGGGGACAUGUCAAAUAAUCCCAUCUCUUGCUUAUCGCACUAUUUGUAUCGUUCUGAUUUCAUAGCAGCCCCCUAAUAAUAAACAAUACAUAGCUUCUAUCUAUUAUUGUAUUCCUUUUUUAUAUAUAUGUUCAAUCAUGACAUUAUGCAGUCGUACACUUUGGUACAGCCAAUACACCAGGGGCUUAAGCACCCCAUUACAUGGUGUGAGAAGACCGAACACUCUCAUGCGUGCGGCACCCCGAACUUAUAGCACUAUAUGCAUCGGCUCCGAAUCAUGUCUUUGGUCAAUAGUUGGGUUUGCCCGGCUCCCAUGUUUUGGUACCUUACGUUCCGCAUUAUUGGCUAAGGUAGCGUUGGGAGAACUACUGCGAUUGUGCCCCAGUUGAGCUGGGUUAACACCUCAGUAGAGAAAGCUAAAACUGACUGUCAUGAUAGUGCGAGAGACCGGUCACUGUUCGCGAGGUUUUUCGAGUCCUUAAAGACUUAUGCCGCUUAGAGCGAGGAACCGGACUUAUCCGGCCUAGGCGUGGAUAGCGCCCCGAACUCGGUCUUCCGAAUACUAGGGGCUUCGCCGAAAUUUAAAAUUAUAGAAUUCUAUGGCUAAGUGAGAGUGAUUGUCACAUCCCUAGUUCUGGUAUGCUCAAGGCUAGCUAGUCAUUUGUGCAUCAUGUUUAAAUUCCAUUUAAUUUGAAAUGAGGAUUUGUGAAACCCUCAGAAUCAUUUUUGGAAAUGACCUAAAUAAAAAUUGCUCCAAAAAGGUCCAAGAAAAUGUUCAUGUUGCUCUCUGAAAAUAUUGGUCAGAGGUAAAAUUCAAACAAAUAUUUUAGGAGCUCAUGGAUAUUUAUUUUGGCCAUUUGGACUAAUCCGAUAAUUAUUUGCAUUGGAUAUAUGUAUGUCAUAUUUAUAAUAUAUGUCCAAAAAUUAUGCCAUUUGCUGAGGAGCUUUGGAAUAAUAUAGUUAGCUCCUGCAAAAAUUGGCAUAAGGUAAUAAAAUGAUUUAAUAUUUUAAUUAAAUCAAAACAAAUGUCAGAAAAAUAGAAAAGAAAACAAAAAUGUAAAAUGCUUACCUGUGCAGCCCGGCAGCAGCCAGCGCCGGCCCAGCCCACUGGCCCCUCCUCUGUCGUCUUCGUCCUCGACAGGAGGAUGGGCGCGUGCCCGACGCGCGCGCGUGCCGCCGCGCCACGCCACCAGCCUCCCUGCCUGCCUGCCCUCUCCCCUCCUCGUCUGGAUGCCCCGGGAGACGCCACGCGGCCCCUCGACCCUCUCCCACUCUCCCGUGUCUCUCCCUCGUCUGCUCUCUCCCUCCCGAGCACCACCGAGCGGAGCUCGUCGACGCCGCUCAUCGCCUACGUAGCCACAGCCUCCCCCUCGCCUCUCCGACACGCACAGAAGCUCCGCCACGACUUCCUCGUCUCCUCCGUCGAGCCACAAGACGCCGGACGCCCUGUGGAGCCGCCGUCGCCAUCGUCUUCCUCCUCGGACGCCGCCGACCGUCGACUCCGAUUCGCCGUCUCCAGUGCGUCCCCGAGCCCGCUUCGACGCCCGCUGCAACCGCUGUGAGCUCCGCCGCACUUUACCCCUAAUCUCGCCCUUGAUUUUGCCCUCUAACCCGUCGGGCCAUCAUGCCUGAGAGCUCGCCACCGCCGGCUAUGUCGCCGUCGCGGCUAGAGCGCACACGCGUCAUGCCUGAGCGCGUCACCGAGCUCAGCGCGGAUCCAAGAGCACGUAUCACCCAUCCGUUCAUCCAGAGGCGCUCUAUAGCGAGUCGCCGAUCCUGGCCGAGCUCCGGCCACCACCAAGGUCGACGCCGUGCCCAAGUCCGGCCACCUCGUGCCCUCCCCCUGCCACCGUUGGAUGCGCACGAGCCCCAGCUCCUCGUAGAUGGGCUCGGCCAUCGAUUUGAUCGCCGGAGCCGCUGUUCCGAUCAGCGCCGCCGCGUCUGUGUGCUCGCCGGCGUUGAACUCCGGUGAGAUGACGUGGCCCGCCAUUAGCAGCUAACAGCCCGCUUAAUUAACCCCCUGAGGCUGACAUGUGGGCCCCAGUGCCCCCUAAUCUUUUAAUUAAGCUAAUCUAACCCUCUGUUUACCCUGUGUCACUGACGUGUGGACCCCACACGUCAGAUUUGACCUGUUCAGCACCGUUGACCUGCUGACGCAGGCAUGACGUCAUGCUGACGCAAUUAUUUAUUUUCUGGUUUAAAUUUAAAUCAGGAAAUUCCAGAAAUUAGCAAAACUUCUAAAAUUCAUAGAAAUUCAACCGUAGCUCAGAUUGAAAUAAUUUAUAUAUGAAAAAUUAUGAGAAAAAUGCAAUCUUUCCAUCUGUACUAGUUUCAUGCAUGACAAACCAACUUAUACAUGUUGUAUAAGUGAAACACUAUAAUGGCUUAUAUAAAGAGCUUAUUUUGGAGAUGCAUUUGAACCUUUGGUUCAAAUGGACUUCAUCCAAAUAUAAUGCUAGCUGCAUUAGCACAAUCAGCAUCACAUCUUCAUGCCAUGUUCAUGCAUCAUUGUGUUGCAUAUGCUUGUGUUUUGAUUGUUGGCACUGUUCCUUCUCGAUAGGUCCUACUCCGGAGACGUUCCAGAGUACCUGUCUGUGAAGCAGUGCCUCCCUUGUUGAUUUACCAGGCAAGCAAACCCCCUUGUUCAUUCCGAUAUAAUCCUACUCUCUCGCUCCUGCUCUUUGUUAUUCCAUUAGGACAACAACGAUUCAUCUGCUACUUUGUGCUGCGGUAGUUGAACCCAUUCCUCUGCAUGACCUGUCAUUGCCAUAGUAAAUAGUUGAAACCCACUAGCAUGUGUAGGAGUUGAUUGAAGCCACUGAUGUGUUCCUACCAUGCUAUGCCUGCUAUUGCUUAGAGUUGUGUCAGGUCUGAUUCAUUGGGAAUGAAUUGGAGUGUUACGAUAUGUUCUGGUGCUAAGAGUUAAGUGUGUGAACACGAUUUGGUAAAGGUAGCGGUGAGAGGCCAUUUAGGAGUACAUGGUGGGUUGUCUCACUGGAACCGUCCUUAAGCACUGAGUUCUAUGUAUGUUGUCCAAUGACUCGAUACUACCACACAUUGGGCUCCGGGCGCUCCAAGCCCUCUCGACUUAUUAACCAACUUGAUCUCUGUCCAGGAGUCGCAACUAGUUUCUGGUGUUUGUAGGUAGUGCUAUUUUUCUACCAAGUGGCACCCGGCAGGGUGGGCUUGGGACAGACUAGGCACACGUGGCCUGGUGUACCGAGUGGCACCCGGAUGGUGGGCUCGGGAACCCUGCACACAUUGUUUGGGGCCGUGAGCGAAACCCCGGCCGGAUCUCCUUGCGGAUGGAACCCGAAUAGGCGAUAAACCUGGACUAGAGUCUUGUGUGGUUAGUCAGGUCGUGGCCGACACCCUCGCCAGGCUUCCGCUUGAAGGUUGCCGAGAUACAUGACGUGUACAUGGCGGUAAGUGGCGAGAGCGUGUGUGAAGAAGUACACCCCUGCAGGGUUAACAUGAUCUAUUCGAAUAGCCGGGUCCGCAGUUAUGGACUUCUUGGAUGCUUACAUGGUACAUAGACAACUUGAAGUGUAUACUCUAAAAAGCUCAAGACAAGUGUGAGUGCUAUGGAUGGCCUUCUCGUAGGGAGACGGGGAUGAAUCCAUAGUAGUGUAUUGUGUGGUGAUUAGUGGACUCGUGUGCGCCAUAUCACCUCAAGAGUUUCUGGUAGUCGUAGAAUAAGAUAGCCACUGAGUCAAAGCUGGCUUGCUGCAACUAAACCCCACAUUACCUUCUUGAUACACAUGCAUGUAUGAUAGGAUCUGAUGUAAGUCUUGCUGAGUACCUUUGUACUCAUGUUGCUUUAUUUAUGCUUUUGCAGCGGAGACUUCGGUCUUACUAGUGUUCCCGUGGACUUCGAUGAGUAGUUUGUACCUCAGCUACGAUCUUGAUCGGAUGUUGUAGAUAGUCAGGCUCUUCAGCCUUUUUCAUUUGUAGAUGUCUGUACCCAGACAUGUAAUGCUUCCGCUUGUUGCUUGUAUGCUCUGUAUGAUGGGUCUUGUGACCCCUGUUUGAAAUAAAGGCUAUGAUGGCUCUUUGAGCUUUAUCUAUGUGAGUUAUUGAGUUAUGCUGUGAUGCCAUGUUGUACAACACAUACUUGCAUGUUAUGCGUACGUGUAACGUGUAUUGCUAUGUGUGGGAUCUGACUAUCUAGUUGUUUAUCCUUAGUAGCCUCUCUUACCGGGAAAUGUCUCCUAGUGUUUCCACUGAGCCAUGGUAGCGUGCUACUGCUCCGGAACACUUAGGCUGGCCGGCAUGUGUCCUUCGUUCCUGUGUCUGUCCCUUCGAGGAAAUGUCACGCGAUGAAUACCGGAGUCCUGUUAGCCCGCUACAGCCCGGUUUACCGGAGUCCUGUUAGCCCAGUUGCUACAGCCCGAAUUCACUCGCUGAUGACCGACACGUUCGAUGCUGGGUCAUGUAUGCCUGUCCCUGUAAGUUAGUGCCACUUUGGGUUCACGACUAGCCAUGUCAGCCCGGGUUCUCUGUCAUAUGGAUGCUAGCGACACUAUCGUAUACGUGUUCAAAAAGGCGCAAACGGUCCCGGGCAUGGUAAGGCGACACCCAUGGGAAUACCGUGCGUGAGGCCGCAAAGUGAUAUGAGGUGUUACAUGCUAGAUCGAUGUGACUUAGGAUCGGGGUCCUGACAGCCUUGGUAUCAGAGCCUGACUGCCUGUAGGAUUACCAAGCCAAACUGGUCGAAGUUGAGUCUAGAAAUUCUUUAGUUAUGUAAGGGAAUUGAUUGUGGGAAGGAACGUAAGGCUCCUUUUACUCCGUUACCUCAUGGCCUUCUGAUCUGAGUCGUCCUAUCUUUCCUAUGGGGUUAAGGAACUAGGCUUUCUCUUCCGUCUAUUAGGAUCACGUGUUACUACUCUGUAGUCCCAUAGGAUUGGUUGAUCAGAGUCAUACCCCAGUUUUGAGUAUUUCCGGUGUAGUCUGUUUAGUAUGAUCUCAGAACCUUGAGUAAUGCUGAUGAGUAUGUUACCACCCCAUUUUUAGUAGGAUGUCUCAUUCUGAGCAUUUUACUACCGUUAUGCUGCCGGAAUUUCCCUAGGAGUUCGAGAGAUACUAAUUCCUUGUCCUACAUUCUACAGUCUAUAGUUGAUGCUGACUCCGUCCCUGGUUUCAUUUCUCAGGAUGUCAUCAAGUUCUAUUGUUCGUAGCCAGAACCAUGGAGAUGGUAGGGAUGAGGAUCCUCCCGACCCGCCUUCGUUGACACAGUUCAUGUUAGAAAUGGAGAGGAACAAGCGUGAGUCUAACCGUUUGUUGGCACGUAUCGAGGAGAACACCGCACAUCAGUCCAAUAAGUCUGCGACCAUUCAUGACUUCAUUCGCUUGCACCCACCUACCUUUCAUCAUUCCAUCGAGCCACUCGAUGCAGAUGACUGGCUCCGUAGCAUCACUCAUAAGCUGUGUUCCGCGAGCGUAGCUGAAGAUGACAAGGUCACUUAUGCCACAUACCACCUGGAAGGUCCUGCUAGUCUUUGGUGGCAGAACUAUGAGGCUAUGCUUCCAGCUGGCCAGAAUCCUACCUGGAGAGAUUUCGCUGAGGCUUUUCGCGAGCAUCACAUUCCUGAAGCCCUCAUCGAUCGCAAGAGAGAAGAGUUCUGUAGUUUCACCCAGAGUAAGAUGGCUGUUGAUGCUUAUAGUAGAGAGUUUGAGAACCUCGCUCGCUAUGCCACAGAAGAAGUGUCCACGGACGCCAAGAAGCAGGCUAGGUUCCGGAAGGGUCUCAACCCCAAGUUGCGUCGUGAUCUCCACCUGCAUCAUUGUGAUACAUUCCAAGCUCUUGUGAACAAGGCCAUCAAUGCAGAGACAGCUCAGCUCACUUACGAGGAGUCUCGUAAGCACACCCGUGAUUUGGGAUCCUCCUCUGGCUCUAGUUCCCAGAAGCGCCAGAUUUGGGUUCCAAACUCCGCUCUUCCUUCCGGAUAUGCACUGAGGCCAUCCCAUGUGGUGCCUCCCCCAGCUCAGCCAUAUGUUCCACCCAGGCCUACUGGUAGACCGCUUGUCAGUGCGGGUCCCCGUCCAACCUCAGGGACUUGCUUCACAUGCGGGAAGCCAGGACACUAUGCACGUGACUGCUCUCAGACUAGUUAUGCUCCACCCCAGCCCGAGAAGACUGUUGGCUGUGUUAAGCCAUCACGCAAGAUGAUCAGUGUCAAGUCAGCCCCCACUGAACGUGGACGUAUGCAUCACGUCUCAGCUAAAGACGCUCAUGAUGAUCCGGAUGUCGUCCUUGGUACACUCCUUGUCAAUUGUCACCCAGCAUCAGUUCUCUUCGAUACUGGAGCAUCUCACUCCUUCAUUUCUGAAGGCUAUGCUCGUUUGCACGACAUGUCAUUUUGUGAUAUGCCAACUCCGCUUGAAAUCCAAACCCAGGGUCUAGAUGGCAGACCACCAGAAUUAGCCAUGGAAAUGAAAUCCUUGUUGACAGACUUGUAUUCCUUGCAUCAUUUGUAGCCCUCAAGUCCUCAGAUAUUAAUAUCAUCUUGGGUAUGGACUGGAUGACAGCUCAUCAUGCCAAGAUUGAUUGUUACACAAGAUCUGUUCAGCUUACACACCCAUCUGGCAAGAUAGUCACUGUCUCCACUAGAGUUGCAAAGCGUCAGCUCUAUUCUCUUAAUGCCAGCCCUCUUCCAGACCUUGAAGAUAUCCCGGUAGUCCGUGACUUUCCGGAUGUCUUUCCAGAGGAACUGCCAGGUGUUCCACCUGACAGAGAUGUAGAGUUCGUCAUAGAUCUUAUCCCAGGAACUGCUCCAAUCUCUAGGAGACCCUACAAGAUGGCACCCUUAGAACUAGCCGAGCUUAAGAAACAACUUGAUGAGUCCUUGCAAAAGGGUUUCAUCCGUCCUAGUUCUUCUCCUUGGGCUUGCCCCGUCCUCUUUAUUAAGAAGGAUGGUACGGACCAGAUGUUUGUAGAUUAUCGUCCCGUUAAUUUGGUAACGAUAAAGAACAAGUAUCCGCUCCCCAGGAUCAACGACCUGUAUGAUCAGCUCGCUGGAUCCUUAGUAUUCUCCAAGAUGUAUUUGAGGUUAGGAUACCACCAAAUUAAGAUCAAAAAUGGGGACAUUCCCAAGACAACUUUUGUCACUCGUUAUGGCCAGUACGAGUACACCGUCAUGUCCUUUGGCCUAACCAAGGCCCCAGCCACAUUCUCCUGCUUGAUGAACUCGAUCUUCAUGGAGUACUUAGAUAAGUUCGUCGUGGUUUACCUCGAUGAUAUUCUUAUUUACUCGAAGAACGAGGAAGAGCAUGCCGAACAUCUUAGACUUGUGCUAGAAAAACUCAGAGAGCACCGCCUUUAUGCCAAGUUCUCCAAGUGUGAAUUUUGGUUGCCAGAAGUGACCUACCUAGGCCACGUAAUUUCUGGUAAGGGCAUUGCUGUCAAUCCCGAGAGAGUCAAGGCCGUUCUCGAUUGGACUCCACCUGAGACCGUUAAACAAGUUAGGAGUUUCCUUGGUCUAGCCAGCUAUUGUCGCCGCUUUGUUGAAAUUUUCUCCAAAGUAGCCAAACCCCUCACGGAACUUCUCAAGAAAGAUAAAAAGUUCGAGUGGUCCCCACAGUGUGAGUACAGUUUUCAGGAACUGAAAAGACGCCUGACUUCUGCUCCCGUACUUGUGCCACCGGAUUUCACAAAGGACUUUGUUAUCUAUUGUGACGCCUCACGACAGGGACUAGGUUGCAUUCUUAUGCAGGAUCGUCAUGUGAUUGCCUAUGCAUCUCGACAGUUUCAUCCACAUGAGGAUAAUUAUCCUACACAUGAUCUAGAGCUUGCAGCCGUAGUCUAUGCACUCAAGACCUAGCGACAUUACCUUCUUGGUAAACGUUGCGAGAUCUACACCGAUCACCAGAGUCUCAAGUAUAUCUUCACCCAACCGGAUCUGAACCUUAGGCAAAGACGUUGGUUGGAGUUGAUCACAGAUUAUGAUCUAGGGAUUACCUACACCCCAGGCAAAGCCAAUGUCAUGGCUGAUGCUCUAAGCCGUAAAUCCUAUUGCAACAAUCUCAUGUUGCAGCAAGGCCAACCACUUCUCCAUGAGGAAUUCUGUAAGCUUAAUCUUCACAUUGCUCCUCACGGAUUCCUUUGUACCUUGGUGGCGAAACCUGAUCUUGAAGAUCGGAUUGUCGCUGCUCAAAAGCAAGACACAGGAAUUUCUCGGAUCAAGAGAAACAUUAAGAAGGGAGUUGGUGGAUGUUUCUCUAUGGAUGAUCGUGGUGUUGUUUUCUUUGGGAAUCGCUUGGUGGUUCCCAAGAAUCAACAUCUGCGACAAUUGAUUCUUAAGGAGGCGCAUGAAUCUCCUCUCACGAUUCAUCCCGGUAGCACUAAGAUGUAUCAGGACCUACGCCAGAGGUUCUGGUGGACUAGGAUGAAGAGUGAAAUCGCCGACUUCGUUGCUAAUUGUGACGUAUGUCGUCGUGUUAAGGCAGAGCAUCAAAGGCCUGCUGGCACCCUUCAGCCUUUAGCUAUUCCUGAAUGGAAAUGGGAUAAAGUUGGUAUGGACUUCAUCACCAGCUUUCCCAGGACCAAGAGAGGGAAUAACGCUAUCUUCGUAGUCAUUGAUCGUCUUUCCAAAGUGGCUCACUUCCUUCCUGUUCGAGAGAGUAUCACUGCUAGUCAGCUUGCUGACUUAUACAUUUCUCGAAUAGUGUCACUUCAUGGUGUUCCACUAGAGAUCAAUUCAGACCGUGGCAGUCUUUUCACUUCUCAUUUCUGGGAGAGUUUCCAAACUGCCAUGGGAACCCAUCUUUCCUUCGGUACCGCUUUCCACCCUCAGUCGAGUGGUCAGGUGGAACGGGUCAACCAAAUUCUCGAAGACAUGCUUAGAGCUUGCGUUAUCUCAUUCGGUAUGGAUUGGGAGAAAUGUCUUCCUUUUGCCGAGUUUGCUUAUAACAAUAGCUAUCAAUCCAGCCUCAAGAAAGCUCCUUUUGAGGUUCUCUAUGGACGAAGAUGUCGAACACCUUUGAACUGGUCAGAAACCGGUGAAAGACAAUUCUUUGGACCGGACAUGAUCCAGGAGGCAGAAGAGCAAGUUCGCAUCAUUCGUGAGAACUUGAAAACAGCCCAGUCUCGUCAAAAGAGUCAGUAUGAUCGUCAUCAUAAGGAUAUGACUUAUGAAGUUGGCGAAAAAGCUUACCUUCGGGUUACUCCCUUGAAGGGUACCCAUCAUUUCGGUAUCAAGGGCAAGUUGGCUCCUUGUUACAUUGGUCCCUUUCGCAUUCUCGCUAAACAAGGAGAGGUUGCCUACCAGUUGGAACUACCCCCACAUCUUUCUCGAGUUCAUGAUGUCUUCCACGUCUCUCAACUCAGGCGUUGCUUCUCGGAUCCCAUCCGCGGAGUGGACCACGAAACGCUUGUUCUCCAAGAUAACCUCACAUACCGAGAGUACCCAGUUCGCAUUCUCGAUCAAGCAGAGUGUGUCACUCGACGUCAGAACAUCAAGUUUCUCAAGGUUCAGUGGUCUCAUCAUUCCGAGAGAGAAGCUACUUGGGAGCGAGAAGAUCGUCUUCGACUGGAGUACCCCGCUUUCUUUCCGUCGACCCCUGAAUCUCGGGACGAGAUUCUUUCAAGUGGGGGCGAGUUGUCACAUCCCUAGUUCUGGUAUGCUCAAGGCUAGCUAGUCAUUUGUGCAUCAUGUUUAAAUUCCAUUUAAUUUGAAAUGAGGAUUUGUGAAACCCUCAGAAUCAUUUUUGGAAAUGACCUAAAUAAAAAUUGCUCCAAAAAGGUCCAAGAAAAUGUUCAUGUUGCUCUCUGAAAAUAUUGGUCAGAGGUAAAAUUCAAACAAAUAUUUUAGGAGCUCAUGGAUAUUUAUUUUGGCCAUUUGGAUUAAUCCGAUAAUUAUUUGCAUUGGAUAUAUAUAUGUCAUAUUUAUAAUAUAUGUCCAAAAAUUAUGCCAUUUGCUGAGGAGCUUUGGAAUAAUAUAGUUAGCUCCUGCAAAAAUUGGCAUAAGGUAAUAAAAUGAUUUAAUAUUUUAAUUAAAUCAAAACAAAUGUCAGAAAAAUAGAAAAGAAAACAAAAAUGUAAAAUGCUUACCUGUGCAGCCCAGCAGCAGCCAGCGCCGGCCCAGCCCACUGGCCCCUCCUCUGUCGUCUUCGUCCUCGACAGGAGGAUGGGCGCGUGCCCGACGCGCGCGCGUGCCGCCACGCCACGCCACCAGCCUCCCUGCCUGCCUACCCUCUCCCCUCCUCGUCUGGAUGCCCCGGGAGACGCCACGCGGCCCCUCGACCCUCUCCCUCCCUCGUCUGCUCUCUCCCUCCCGAGCACCACCAAGCGGAGCUCGUCGCCGCCGCUCAUCGCCUACGUAGCCACAGCCUCCCCCUCGCCUCUCCGACACGCGCAGAAGCUCCGCCACGACUUCCUUGUCUCCUCCGUCAAGCCACAAGACGCCGGACGCCCUGUGGAGCCGCCGUCGCCAUCGUCUUCCUCCUCGGACGCCGCCGACCGCCGACUCCGAUUCGCCGUCUCCAGUGCGUCCCCGAGCCCGCUUCGACGCCCGCUGCAACCGCUGUGAGCUCCGCUGCACUUUACCCCUAAUCUCGCCCUUGAUUUUGCCCUCUAACCCGUCGGGCCGUCAUGCCCGAGAGCUCGCCACCGCCGGCUAUGUCACCGUCGCGGCUAGAGCGCACACGCGUCAUGCCUGAGCGCGUCACCGAGCUCAGCGCGGAUCCAGGAGCACGUAUCACCCAUCCGUUCAUCCAAAGGCGCUCUAUAGCGAGUCGCCGAUCCUGGCUGAGCUCCGGCCACCACCAAGGUCGACGUCGUGCCCAAGUCCGGCCACCUCGUGCCCUCCCCCUGCCACCGUUGGAUGCGCACGAGCCCCAGCUCCUCGUAGAUGGGCUCGGCCAUCGAUUUGAUCGCCAGAGCCGCCGUUCCGAUCAGCGCCGCCGCGUCUGUGUGCUCGCCGGCGCUGAACUCCGGUGAGAUGACGUGGCCCACCAUUAGCAGCUAACAGCCCGCUUAAUUAACCCCCUGAGGCUGACAUGUGGGCCCCGGUGCCCCCUAAUCUUUUAAUUAAGUUAAUCUAACCCUCUGUUUACCCUGUGUCACUGACGUGUGGACCCCACACGUCAGAUUUGACCUGGUCAGCACCGUUGACCUGCUGACGCAGGCAUGACGUCAUGCUGACGCAAUUAUUUAUUUUCUGGUUUAAAUUUAAAUCAGGAAAUUCCAGAAAUUAGCAAAACUUCUAAAAUUCAUAGAAAUUCAACCGUAGCUCAGAUUGAAAUAAUUUAUAUAUGAAAAAUUAUCAGAAAAAUGCAAUCUUUCCAUCUGUACGAGUUUCAUGCAUGACAAACCAACUUAUACAUGUUGUAUAAGUGAAACACUAUAAUGGCUUAUAUAAAGAGCUUAUUUUGGAGAUGCAUUUGAACCUUUGGUUCAAAUGGACUUCAUCCAAAUAUAAUGCUAGCUGCAUUAGCACAAUCAGCAUCACAUCUUCAUGCCAUGUUCAUGCAUCAUUGUGUUGCAUAUGCUUGUGUUUUGAUUGUUGGCACCGUCCUUCUCGAUAGGUCCUGCUCCGGAGACGUUCCAGAGUACCUGUCUGCGAAGCAGUGCCUCCCUUGUUGAUUUACCAGGCAAGCAAACCCCCUUGUUCAUUCCGAUAUAAUCCUACUCUCUCACUCCUGCUCUUUGUUAUUGCAUUAGGACAACAACGAUUCAUCUGCUACUUUGUGCUGCGGUAGUUGAACCCAUUCCUCUGCAUGACCUGUCAUUGCCACAGUAAAUAGUUGAAACCCACUAGCAUGUGUAGGAGUUGAUUGAAGCCACUGAUGUGUUCCUACCAUGCUAUGCCUACUAUUGCUUAGAGUUGUGUCAGGUCUGAUUCAUUGGGAAUGAAUUGGAGUGUUACGAUAUGUUCUGGUGCUAAGAGUUAAGUGUGUGAACACGAUUUGGUAAAGGUAGCGGUGAGAGGCCAUUUAGGAGUACAUGGUGGGUUGUCUCACUGGAACCAUCCUUAAGCACUGAGUUCUAUGUAUGUUGUCCAAUGACUCGAUACUACCACACAUUGGGCUCCGGGCGCUCCAAGCCCUCUCGACUUAUUAACCAACUUGAUCUCUGUCCAGGAGUCGCAACUAGUUUCUGGUGUUUGUAGGUAGUGCUAUUUUUCUACCAAGUGGCACCCGGCAGGGUGGGCUUGGGACAGACUAGGCACACGUGGCCUGGUGUACCGAGUGGCACCCGGAUGGUGGGCUCGGGAACCCUGCACACAUCGUUUGGGGCCGUGAGCGAAACCCCGGCCGGAUCUCCUUGCGGAUGGAACCCGAAUAGGCGAUAAACCUGGACUAGAGUCUUGUGUGGUUAGUCAGGUCGUGGCCGACACCCUCGCCAGGCUUCCGCUUGAAGGUUGCCGAGAUACAUGACGUGUACAUGGCGGUAAGUGGCGAGAGCGUGUGUGAAGAAGUACACCCCUGCAGGGUUAACAUGAUCUAUUCGAAUAGCCGGGUCCGCGGUUAUGGACUUCUUGGAUGCUUACAUGGUACAUAGACAACUUGAAGUGUAUACUCUAAAAAGCUCAAGACAAGUGUGAGUGCUAUGGAUGGCCUUCUCGUAGGGAGACGGGGAUGAAUCCAUAGUAGUGUAUUGUGUGGUGAUUAGUGGACUCGUGUGCGCCAUAUCACCUCAAGAGUUUCUGGUAGUCGUAGAAUAGGAUAGCACUGAGUCAAAGCUGGCUUGCUGCAACUAAACCCCACAUUACCUUCUUGAUACACAUGCAUGUACGAUAGGAUCUGAUGUAAGUCUUGCUGAGUACCUUUGUACUCAUGUUGCUUUAUUUAUGCUUUUGCAGCGGAGACUUCGGUCUUACUAGUGUUCCCGUGGACUUCGAUGAGUAGUUUGUACCUCAGCUACGAUCUUGAUCGGAUGUUGUAGAUAGUCAGGCUCUUCAGCCUUUUUCAUUUGUAGAUGUCUGUACCCAGACAUGUAAUGCUUCCGCUUGUUGCUUGUAUGCUCUGUAUGAUGAUUCUUGUGACCCCUGUUUGAAAUAAAGGCUAUGAUGGCUCUUUGAGCUUUAUCUAUGUGAGUUAUUGAGUUAUGAUGUGAUGCCAUGUUGUACAACACAUACUUGCAUGUUAUGCGUACGUGUAACGUGUAUUGCUAUGUGUGGGAUCUGACUAUCUAGUUGUUUAUCCUUAGUAGCCUCUCUUACCGGGAAAUGUCUCCUAGUGUUUCCACUGAGCCAUGGUAGCGUGCUACUGCUCCGGAAAACUUAGGCUGGCCGGCAUGUGUCCUUCUUUGUUCCUGUGUCUGUCCCUUCGAGGAAAUGUCACGCGAUGAAUACCGGAGUCCUGUUAGCCCGCUACAGCCCGGUUUACCGGAGUCCUGUUAGCCCAGUUGCUACAGCCCGGAUUGACUCGUUGAUGACCGACACGUUCGAUGCUGGGUCAUGUAUGCCUGUCCCUGUAAGUUAGUGCCACUUUGGGUUCACGACUAGCCAUGUCAGCCCGGGUUCUCUGUCAUAUGGAUGCUAGCGACACUAUCGUAUACGUGUGCCAAAAGGCGCAAACGGUCCCGGGCAUGGUAAGGCGACACUCGUGGGAAUACCGUGCGUGAGGCCGCAAAGUGAUAUGAGGUGUUACAUGAUAGAUCGAUGUGACUUAGGAUCGGGGUCCUGACAGUGAUAAAGCAUUAUAAGUCCGACGGCCUGGUUCGUUGUGCUGAGUGCCUCCCUAGAUGGACCCAAGAAUGGGAACAAGAGCGCUCAGGUUUAUCCCGAACACCCCAGCACUCAUGGCAUGGGGGUCGAAGCCGACGACUUGCAUCUCUCAGAUUUGAUAAAUGGCCGCAGAAAAGGUAAUAUUUUAAAUUAACAAGCGUUGCUUAACGCAUAUGAACAAAGUUUUCAGCAUAAUGGAUAACAGAUGCGAGCCUACUCAAAAAUUACAUCUUUGGAGCAUUCGUCCGCUAUACGGCGAGCACCCUUCAAGACACCCUUAUAAUACAUCUCGGGCGUGCGAUACUCCUUUCCCAGCGGUGGCGCGUCCGUCAAAAGCUUCUCAGCGUCCAGGUUGCCCCAUUGCACUUUAGCACGGGCAAGGGCCCGACGGGCACCUUCGAUGCAGACGGAGCGCUUGACGACCUCAAUCCACGGACACGCGUCCACCAGCCGCCGCACCAGACCGAAGUAGCUCCCAGGCAUGGCUUCUCCAGGCCAUAUCCGAGCUAUGAGGCCCUUCAUGGCCUGUUCGGCCACCUUGUGGAGCUCGACCAGCUGCUUCAGCUGGUCGCUCAGGGGCACCGGAUGUUCGGCCUCAGCAUACUAAGACCAGAACACUUUUUCCGUCGAGAUCCCCUCUUCGGCUCGGUAGUAUGCAGCGGCAUCAGACACACUACGGGGCAGAUAGGCGAACGCUCCUGGAGAGCUCCAGAUUCGGGUAAGUAGCAGAUAAUUAACUUUUAUAUUCGUGCUUUGCAUAAAGAAUGACUUACCGACCGUUAUUUUCUUCAUCGCCUCGAUCUCCUGGAGGGCCUUCUGGGCUUCGGCCUUAGCGUUUUUGGCACUCUCAAGAGCCAAGGCAAGCUCAGAGUCUCGAGUCUUUGAGUCACGCUCCAAACUCUCGUGUUUUUCCACCAGAGCCUGGAGCUCUUGCCGCACCUCCGCCACCCAUGCCUCCUGCUUCUCUCGCUCGGCGCGCUCCAGGGCUGCACUGUUUUCGGCCUUGGAGACCGCCUCCUUCAGGGUCGCCACCUCGGCCAUGGCCCCUGCAACAUUUAAGUUGGUCCUGUCAUUAUUUGCAACCAAGUAUUUCUAUAUACAUUUACAUGCAGUAUCACAUACCCUCCUUGUCCUCGAGCUGCUUCUUGGCACGGCCGAGCUUGUUCUCGGACCGCUCGAGGCUUCCCUUCAAUGCAUUGACCUCCGCAGUCAGUGCGGCAGAGGUCAGCAGCGCAGCCUGCAUUCCCAUAUGGACAUAUUUUUAUUAGACUCCUGCGUAUAUCUUUUUAGAUCCUCAGCUUGACUUUUCUUUCCGAACGCCGAAUCGAGCAUCAAGGGCUACUAUCUAUGCGGUAACAUUUUUAUAUGUUUUGAACACAUACCUCAAAGCCUGUUAACAGACUUGUACAGGCUUCUGUGAGCCCGCUCUUGGCGGACUGAACCUUUUGAAUCACCGCACUCAUAACAGUGCGGUGUUCCUCGUCGAUGGAGGCUCCGUUAAGCGCCUACAGCAAAUUGUCUGGCGCCUCCAGAUGGAUGGAGGUCGCCGGCGGCGUAGGCUUGCCCUUCUUAUGAAGGCGCCGCCCGUCGGACUCUGGAACCGCUGGUGGUUCCAGAGCAGUGUCCGGCCCGGGGCCGGACUUAGACCCCUCUGGGGCUUUACCCCCUUUGGGCCUGGAGUCUGGGAGGUCGCCUUGGGGCGCCUCCAGGACCACCUCCUCCUGGUUCGGUCCCUUUUGGGACUCCACCUCGGCAUCAUCCGCAGGGAGCGGGGAGGAGGCCGUCGGAAGUGAAGCGCUAUUCACAUCCGACGAAUUCAGGGAGCCGCUCGACGAAUUGCCGAGCUGAGCUCUGGGUGGACUGCAUGAUUAAAAUUCAGCGUUAGACAUUACCAAAUAAUAGAGGAGCGCGAUGAGUCAUUCGGGUAACCAGACACUUACGAUUUUGCCAGGGGCUUGACCCUGGAUGGCCAUUCCUCCCCGCUGUCUUCGGCAUCGGAGGCGUAGUCUGGGAGAAGGGUCUUCCCCUUCUUGGACCCUCCGGCCUCCCCAGUUGGGGCGGCUUUCCUUUUCUUUUCUCCCCCCGUUGGAGGGGGAGAGGCUUCUUCUUCUUCUUCUUCCUCCUCGUCUUCCAAGGCGGAGGGUGCAUCGGGGUUGUCGGGCGAUGAAUCCGACACCACCAGGCGCCGGGAGCUCUUUCGAGUCCCUGUGGCCUUCUUCUUGGCCUUCUUCUCUGGCACCACGUGAGGUGCCGGAACCAGCAGCCCCGUCAAUCGGGCGUCUGCUGGAUCUUCUGGUAAGGGAGCCGGACAGCUAACCUGUCCGGACUUCUUCAGCCAGUCCUGUCAAAGGUAGGGGAGUUUAGAUCCCGCAUAGAGUCAGACCAUGAAAGAAAAGAGUCCCGUAAAGGGUAGAAUAACUUACCUCGUUGGCUCGAUGCCACGAACUGAAUCCGCGAUCUUCGAUAGCGGAUGCGGGGGCCUCGGCACCCUUAAAACAGCACCUUCCAGGCAUCUUCGUACGUAGUAUCGAAGAGCCCGCUCAAGGCUUGGUGCUGUGCCGGAUCGAACUCCCACAAUUUGAAGGCCCGUUGUUGGCAUGGGAGGACCCGGCGGAUAAGCAUGACCUGGACUACGUUGACGAGCUUGAGGUUCUUGCUGACCAGCUUUUUGAUGCAGGUUUGGAGUCCGGUCAGAUCUUCCGAAUCUCCCCACGUUAAGCCCGUCUCUUUCCAGGAGGUGAGCCGUGUGGGAAAGCCAGAUCAGAAUUCGGGGGCCGCUUCCCAUUUGGGGUCGCGUGGCUCGGUGAUGUAGAACCACCCCGAUUGCCAUCCUUUUAUUGUCUCCACGAAGGAGCCCUCGGGCCAUAGGAAGUUGGCCAUCCGGCCCACCAUGGCACCUCCGCACUCCGCUUGGCAGCUGCUCACCACUUUCGUCUUGACAUUAAAAGUCUUCAGCCAUAAGCCGAGGUGGGGCUGGAUGCAGAGGAAGGCUUCACACACGACGAUGAACACCGAGAUGUUGAGGAUAAAGUUCAGGGACAGAUCAUGGAAGUCCAGGCCGUAAUAGAACAUGAGCCCCCGGACAAACGGGUGAAGAGGAAAACCCAGUCCGCGGAGGAAAUGAGGGAGAAAGGCAACCCUCUCAUGAGGCCUGGGGGUAGGGAUGAGUUGCCCCGCAUCUGGAAGCCGAUGCGCGAUGUCGUCAGACAAGUAUCCGGUCGUCCUCAACUUUUUGAUUUUCCCCUCCGUGACGGAGGAGGCCAUCCAUCUACCUCCCGCUCCGGACAUGAUUGGAGUAGGUUGAGGUGGGAAGUGCGGGCUUGGGCGUUGGAGCUUGAGCGCGCAGGGACGAAUAAGCAAAGGAGGAAGAAGGCGUGAAUGGAAAGGGCGGAUUCUUAUCCCCUUAUAUGAGCGGCCAAAACUACGAGCCCCCACCGGCCUAAUAAAACUCGCUUAUCUCCCAAGCGGCGCGGUUAAUGGUGCGGUUGGGUUACCCACGCCCGUAUUGAUGAGAAUACCGGAAUAAGGGGGCACGAUCUCUGCUUUGACAAGACAUGCCAAGGAAACCGCCUCGCUAAACGUGUUGAGGUGGAACGGUAAAAUGAAUAAAAGCCUGGCCGUGGCGUGAGGUCACGCUACGGAAUACGUUAGCAGAUUAGAUUGGUGCAAAUGUUAUUCUCUCUAUGGUGGCAUGUGGAACUUAUUUUGCAGAGCCGGACACUAUCCUGGUGUUCAACAUCUUCUAUGAAGUAUUCGGAGGAGGAACCCGCCUUGCAAUGCCGAAGACAACUUGCGCGCCGGACUCGUCGUCAUUGAAGCCUGGUUCAGGGGCUACUGAGGGAGUCCUGGAUUAGGGGGUGUCCGGAUGGCCGGACUAUGACCUUUGUCCGUACUCCCGGACUAUGAAGAUACAAGACUGAAGACUCCAUCCCGUGUCCGGAUGGGACUUUCCUUGACGUGGAAGGCAAGCUUGGCGAUACGAUAUGAAGAUCUCCUCCCAUUGUAACCGACUCUGUGUAACCCUAGCCCUCUCCGUUGUCUAUAUAAACCGGAGAGUUUUAGUCCGUAGCACGAACAACAAUCAUACCAUAGGCUAGCUUCUAGGGUUUAGCCUCUCUGAUCUCGUGGUAGAUCAACUCUUGUAAUACCCAUACCAUCAAUAUUAAUCAAGCAGGAGUAGGGUUUUACCUCCACCGAGAGGGCCCGAACCUGGGUAAAAACAUCGUGUCCCUUGUCUCCUGUUACCAUCCGCCUAGACGCACAGUUCGGGACCCCCUACCCGAGAUCCGCCGGUUUUGACACCGACAAUAGCCUUUACCAUGCCUAUUUCGCUAGUAUACAUGUUGCUGUUUGAAAACAGGAAGUUUACCGCUGUUGCAAAAAUUCCCUAGAAAAGUCAGAGAAUGAUAUAAUGUUGAAACUUUUUGGAUUUUGAUAUCUGAUAAAUCUUAUACAGCUUAGUAUUUUUCUCAUAAUUUUUUUAGUUAGGGAAGUAUGAUGAAUCUUGCAUUCUUUACAGACUAUACUGUUUUGGCAGAUUGCUGUUAUAGUUGCAUUGUUUGCAUAUGUUUGCUUGUUUAAUGAUUCUAUUUGAGGAUAGGAGUAUUAAAUAUGCAGAGGCAUUUAGUAUGCAAUGUUGAAUACUAAUUUUAGUGUUUUGUUACAGUAGAAAAUGAUAAGGUUUUGCAAUGGUUUAUACUAACCUAUCUCAUGAGUUCUUGUUGAGUUUGGUGUGGAUGAAGCUUUUGAUCAAAGAGAAACCAGGAUAUGAGAGGAAUUAAGGUGAUAUGAAAGUUCAAGCUUGGGGAUGCCCAAGGCACCCCAAGAUAAUAUUCCAAGAAGUCUCAAGCAUCUAAGCUUGGGGAUGCCCCGUUAGGCAUCCCACCUUUCUUCUUCAACAACUAUCGGUUAGUAUCGGUUGAACCUAAGCUUUUGCUUCUUCACAUGAGUUGUGCUAUCCUUGCAAUGUCAUUUUAUUUUGUUUUACUUGCUGUUUGAAUAAAAUCAUUGGAUCUGAAAUUUUGAAUAGAAAAGGAACCCUCCCAUGGCUAGUUAAUUAUUUGCCUACUCAGUAUCCUUCACUCAUAUCUUUUGGAGUAGUUUGUCAUUUAUUCAUGUGCUUCAUGUCUAUCCUAUGAGUAAAUGGGGGAAAUGAAUUGAAUGUCAUAAAUCUGAAUUUAUAUAUGUUUCAUAUGCUUAUAACAUGGUUAGUGAUGAUUUCACACAUAGAAAGAGGCAUAAAAGUUGUUGAGAGUUGGUAAACGUAGUUUUCGUCAUCGUUGCAAUUAAUAGGAAGUAAUAAAGAAAGAGAGGUUCACAUACAAAUAUAUUAUCUUGGACAUCUUUUAUGAUUGAGAGCACUCAUUAAGUAUGACAUGCUAAAAGAGUUGACGUUGGACAAGGAAGACAAUGUAAUGGUUUAUGUUUUCCAACAUCUCAGUUAAAGUAUAUUGUCAUUGACCUUCCAAACAUGUUGAGCUUGCCUUUCUCCCUCAUGCUAGCCAAAUUCCUUGCACCAAGUAGAGAUACUACUUGUGCUUCCAAAUACCCGUAAACCCAGUUUUGUCAUGCGAGUCCACCAUACCUACCUAUGGAUUGAGUAAGAUCCUUCAAGUAAGUUGUCAUCGGUGCAAGCAAUAAAAAUUGCUCUCUAAAUAUGUAUGACUUAUUAGUGCAGAGAAAAUAAGCUUUGUACGAUCUUGUUGUGGAAGUAAUAAAACCGACGGACUGCAUAAUAAAGGUCCACAUACAAGGGGCAAUAUAAAGUGACGUUCUUUUGCAUUAAAAUUUUGUGCAUCAACCCUAAACGCGCAGGACAACCUCUGCUUCCCUCUGAGAAGGGACUAUCUUUUACUUUAUGCUUUUACUUUAUGCUUGAGUCAAGGUGAUCCUCACCUUUCCCUUUUUCAUUUUAUCCUUUGGCAAGCUCCUCGUGUUUGAAAGAUCAUGAUAUAUAUGUCCAAUUGGAUGUAAGUUAGCGUGGGCUAUUAUUGUUGACAUCACCUAAAGGUGAAUACGUUGGGAGGCAACACAAUAAGCCCCUAUCUUUCUCAGUGUCCGGCUGAAACUCCAUAACCACAAGUAUUGCGUGAGUGUUAGCAAUUGUAGAAGACUAUAUGAUAGUUGAGUAUGUGGACUUGCUGAAAAGCUCUAUUCUUGACUCUUUCUGAUGUUAUGAUAAAUUGCAGUUGCUUCAGUGACUGAGAUUAAAGUUUGUUAGUUCUCAAUGAAGUUUCUGAACCAUGCUUGACAUUGUGAAUAGAUUGUUACUUGAUCAUGAAAAGUUUUAUGGGAUAAGCUACUAUUAUGACACAUAUUGAUGCUAGAAAAGGUGAUUGAAAUUAUCAUUGAUCAACUUGUGCACCUUCUAGCAUUCACACUUCAUAAAUUAUUUCUUUUAUCAUUUACCUACUCGAGGACGAGCAGGAAUUAAGCUUGGGGAUGCUGAUACGUCUCCAACCUAUCUAUAAUUUAUGAAGUAUUCAUGCUAUUAUAUUAUCCAUCUAUGAUGUUCUAUAUGCAUUUAUAUGUCAUCUUAUAUGAUUUUGGGACUAACCUAUUAACCUAGAGCCCAGUGCCAGUUUCUGUUUUCUCCUUGUUUUUGUGUUUUAUAGAAAAGGGAUACCAAACGGAGUCCAAUUGACGUGCCAAUUUUGAGGAUUUUUUAUGGACCAAAAGAAGACCACGGAGCAUCAGAGUUCGGCCAGAAGAGUCCCAGGCUGCCCACGAGAGUGGGGGCCGCGCCCUCCCCCCUGGGGCGUGCCCCCUAUCUCGUGGACAGCCCGGAGACCUUCCUGAAAUGAAACCAAUGCCAAAAAUUCCUAUAAAUACAGAAACCUUCGGGAAUUAACCUAGAUCGGAAGUUCCUCUGACGCAAGCCUCUGUAGCCAUGAGAAAUCAAUCUAGGCCCUCUCUGGCACCCUGCUGGAGGGGGCCAUCAUCACCAAAGGCCAUGGAGGAGGAUCUCGGAGGGGCCAUAAUCUCCAUGAAGGCCAAGAACCAGAGGGGGAAAGCCAUGGAGGAGGAAGCACAAGGGGGAGAAACUCUCCUCCUCUCUCUUGGUGGCACCGAAGUGCCAUCGGGAGGGGAAUCAUCGCCGCAGUGAUCGUCGUCAUCAACAUCACCAUCAUCAUCUCUUUUACGUGGUCCACUCUCCCGCACUCCGCUAUAAUCCCUACUUUAACAUGGUGCUUUAUGCCACAUACUAUGAUCCAAUGAUGUGUUGCCAUCCUAUGAUGUUUUGAGUAGAUAUCUUUUGUCUUUGGGUUGACUGAUGAUCUAGAUUGGUAUGAGUUGUAUGUUUUAUUUUGGUGCUGUCCUAUGGUGCACUCCGUGUCGCGCAAGCGUGAGGGAUCCCCGUUGUAGGGUGUUGCAAUACGUUCAUGAUUCACUUAUAGUGGGUUGGUGAGUGACUGAAACACAAACCCGAGUAAGAGGGGUUGUUGCGUAUGGGAAUAAAGAGGACUUGAUGCUUUAAUGCUAUUGUUGGGUUUUACCUUAAUGAUCUUUAGUAUUUGGGGAUGCUUGCUAGAGUUCCAAUCAUAAGUGCAUAUGAUCCAAGUAGAGAAAGUAUGUUAGCUUUUGCCUCUCCCUCAUAUGAAAUUACAAUAGUGAUUACCGGUCUUGUUAACAAUUGCCUAGGACAAUUCCGCACAUCGAUCCACCAUUAUUCCACACUCGCUAUUUAUAUUAUUUAGUAUUAUAUUCUAACUCUAUGAUAACAACACCUACUUUUAUAUUUUAGCUCUCCGAUAUCAUACAAAGUUAUCCUCUUUAUACCCACAACACAGUUUUAUUCCUUGUUUCUAGUUGGAAGCAAACGUUCAGUGCACGUAGAGUCGUAUCAGUGGCAGAUAGGGCUUGAGAGAAUAUCGAUCUUACCUUUAGCUCCUUGUGGGUUCGACACUCCAUACUUAUCACUUCCACCUUUAGGAAUUGCUACGAUGAUUCCCUACACUUGGGGAUUAUCACUGUCGUACUGACGGAACUCUCCCUCGACCGUCUACUGGAUUAAGAUCUCGAGGGACGUCAUCGUGUUGAACGUGUGCUAAACACGGAGGUGCCGUACAUUCAGUACUUGGAUCGGUUGGACCGUGAAGAUGUUCGACUACAUCAAACGUGUUAUUAAAUGCUUCCGCUUUCAGUCUACGAGCGUACGUGGACACACUCUUCCAUCUCGUUGAUAUGCAUCUCCUAGAUAGAUCUUGCGUGAUUGUAGGAAUUUUUUUGAAUUGCUACGUUCCCCAACAGUCAUGUAUGUGAUGCAUAUAUUCUUGAUCAUUGCCUUGGAUAUCUUCAUAACUUUGCACUUUUCUAUCAAUUGCUCCACAGUAAUUUGUUUACCCAUCGUAUGCGUUCUUCCAAGAGAGAACCCUCUAGUGAAAACUAUGGCCCCCAGGUCUAUUUUUAUCAUAUUAUUUUCAUAUCUAUAAAAUAAAAAACACAAAAAUAUCUUGCUACAAUUUAUUACCUUUUAUACCUAUCUCUAUCAGAUCUCAUCCUUGCCAGUAACACUGAAGGGAUUGACAACCCCUUUUUUGUGUUGUGUGCAAGUAUUUGUUUGUUUGUGUAGGUGCAACCAUUGGGGACUUGUGUGUUCCUCCUACUGGAUUGAUACCUUGGUUUGUAACUAAAGAAAAUACUUAUCUCUACUUUGCUGCAUCACCAUUUCCUCUUGAAGGGAAAAUCCAAUGCAAGCUCAAGAAGUAGCACCAGCUGUAGUAGCAUCGAAGUAAUUCGUGUGACAUGUUCAGCGCACCACUAACACUACUAGAAAAAGUCUUAUAAGUGGGCUCAAAUUAGUGGUGGGUAAAAAUGUCGCUAGACAAUAGCGGCGGACAAAAAAAGCUAGCCGCCACUCAUAAAUUUGUACAAAUUUAGCCAUGGCAUAAAAGAAUCAGUGACAGGCAACAACUUUAGCCCGCCAUUGGUUUUUCAUCUACCAGUGGCGGGCGAAAAGUUUGGCUGCCACAACAAUAUUUCUACUAGCCCGCGUCAAAUGUUUCAAAAUUUAGCAGUGGUGGGCGCCCAAGGAAGCCCGCCACAGAUAUAACAAGUAAGAAAUAUGGUUGAAAGAAAUCAUAUUUACUAAACAUAGAAUAAUUGAAAUGAUGUUGAAAAAUUGAGUUGUCUUUGGGAGGGGGUGGUUUCCGUUCGAAACUCUGAUACUUCAUUCGAGAGUGUUCAGUUUGUACACAAAGUGCAUCAAGUUUUUGUCGUAAUGCUCUCAAAUUUUAACAACUCCCUACAAGGGUCCUGUGAAGACACCAUGAAGACACCCUUUCCGGACUCUUUUGCAUGUUAUAUUGAAUGAAAAUGCGUUCUACCCUUUUUAGGGGCCGAGAAAUCAAGUAAUGCUUCAAAAAAUAGCAAACCAACUCAAAAAGUUCUAAAUUUUGAGAAUUGGAAUCCCAAUGGUGUGUCUUAAACAUAUUAAAACAUUGAAGUUGAAAUGAUGUGGAAAAUUUAGAUUUGUAUGAAAGACGAUGAUUUUUGUUUGAAACCUAACACUUCACCAGAGAGUGUUUAGUUUGUACAUGAAAUGCAUCUAAUUUUUGUCAAAACACUCUCAAAUUUUUACCACACCCUUCAUGUGUCCUAUGAAGAUACCAUAUGCCAAGUUUCACCCCUUUCCGAGCUUGUUUGCACAUUAUGUCGAAUGAAAAUGUGUUUAGUCCUUUUUAGUGGCCAAAAAAUCAGUUAAUGCUUCAAAAAUAGCAAACAACUCAUAAAGUUCUAGAAUUUGAGGAUGGGACUUCCAAUGUGUGCAUUAAAUAUAGUAAAAGAAUUAAGUCAAAAUGAAGUAGAAAAAUUGAGUUGUGUGUGGAAGGCGACGAUUUUCAUUUGAAAUGCUGAUACUUCGUAGGAGAGUGUUCAACUUGUACACGAAGUGCAUCAAGUUUUUGCCGUAUCGCUCUCAAAUACUUACCACACACCCUACAGGGGUCCUAUAAAACACUGAUACGUCUCCAAAGUCUCUAUAAUUUUUGAUUGUUCCAUGCUAUUAUAUUAUCAAUCUUGGAUGUUUUAUAUACAUUUACAAGCAAUUAUAUAACAUUUUUUGUGACUAACCUAUUAACUUAGUGCCCAGUAUCAAUUGCUAUUUUUUGCUUGCUUUCUAUUUCUCAAAAUAUCAGUACCAAACAAAGUCCAAAUGUCACGAAACUUUUUGCAGAUUUUUUCCUGGGCAUAAGAGACCCUGGAAGCUUCAUGAGGGGACAAGAAGAUGGAGCAGUGGCCCAUGAGGCACUAGGGCGCGCCUAGGGGGUAGGGCAUGCCCUGGUGGCUCAUGGGGCCCACGUGGCUCCGUUUGACCUAACUCAGCCUCUAUAAAUUCUCUAAAUCGGGAAACCAAUAGAGGAUUCCACGAAAUACUUUUUCCGCCGCCGCAAGUCUCUGUUCUCGUGAGAUCCCAUCUGGAGGCCUUUUCCGGCACUCUGCCGGGGGGGUCAAUCAUGGAGGGGCUCUAGAUCAACCUUGCUGCCCUUCCGAUGAUGCGUGAGUAGUUCACCAUGGACCUAUAGGUCCAUAGUCCAUAGUUAGUAGCAAGAUGGCUUCUUCUCUCUAUUUGAUCUUCAAUACAAUGUUAUCCUCGAUGUUCUUGGAGUCCUAUCCGAUGUAAUGACUUUUUGCGGUGUGUUUGUUGGGAUCCGAUAAAUUGUGAGUUUAUGAUCAGAUUAUCCAUGAAUAUUAUUUGAGUUUUUUCCAAUGUUGAUGAUAUCGUUAUCGUCUCGGUAAGCUAGGGAUUAGAGAUUAAUCGGAAAAUGGCCGAUUAGUCGAUUUUAUCGGCCGACUAUUAAUCGGAUAUUUUUGCAAAUCUCAGGUUCCCAACACUAAAAUAUGUUAUAUUCAACACCAAAAUAAUAUUGGAUAGAAGUGUUACCUUGAUUCCUAGCCUUUGAAUCCUCGUAUAAUGACAAACAAAAUAGGACAACAAUACAUAUUUCAUAACAAGGUCCACAAAACAUAAAUAAACAUAGUUUUUGCAAACAUAGUGCUAUGAAUAGGUCUGAUUUAUCGGCAGAUUCCCGAUAAAUUGCUUGUCAGAGCGAUAAAUCGGUCCAAAAGAUAAACGGUAAGGAUAAGGCAUAAUCUUAUCGGUCAUCCUCCAAUUAGCAAUAAAUCAGAAGAUUAAUCGCUGAAUCGGAAGAUUUUUUGAACAGUGGUUUUCUCUGAACUCUUUUAUGCUUGAUUGUUAUAGCUUCGUAUUUCUCUCUGAUCUGUUGAUUUGGAUUGGCCAACUAGAUUGAUUUAUCUUGCUAUGGGAGAGGUGCUUUGUAAUGGUUCGAUUUUGUGGUGCUCAAUCCCAGUGACAGAAAGGGACAUGACACGUAUGUAUCGUUGCUAUUAAGGAUAAAAUGUUGGGGUUUAUUCAUGCGUGAGUUUACUUUGUCUACAUCAUGUCAUCUUGUUUAAGGCGUUACUCCAUUCUUUAUGAACUUAAUACUCUAGAUGCAUGCUGGAUAACAGUCGGUGUGUGGAGUAAUAGUACUAGAUGCAGAAUUUGUCGGGGAUAUACCCCGCGGUGUAACCCGGCCGGAAGUAUAACCCGGCCGGACUCGGCGACUCACUAAUGACCUGCCCUGACUGGAUGAUACACUAAGUGACCCGCCCGAUCCUGGCGACUUAUGGGUGACCUGGCAAGCGGGUCAGAGGAGCGACAAGACCCGGGGGCCCAGGAGGUUCAAGGCCCAGAAGGCCGGCUUACAUUAUGGUAGGCUGGCUUAAGAGGAAAGGCGUGAGGAAUAUCUCCCUUACAAGGAAUCAAGACCCGGACUUGUAUCCGACUUGUAGUAGAAGAUAGGCUAGUCCAAAUCCUAUUUGGACUCCACAUGUAACCCGCCCAUCUAACUUAUAUAAGGAGAGGCGGGGCUCCCCAAAGAGGGACAGGCAACAAGAACAAUUUCUAGGGCUAGACACAAAGAGCCGGCUUACCGGCGACUUCCUCAUGAGCAUAAUGAGACCUAGCCUCAAACAGCAUGUAGGGCUACUACCGGAUGAUGUUUCCCGGGGCCCGAAGCUGUCUAAACCCUUGUCUUGCGUGUUGAUCCGCCCUGCAUCUCUCGUCCCACUCAACCCAUCUCAAGCUACCACAUAGAUGCGUUGGCCUCGCGACUAAGUCCUGACACUAAGGACAUCUGCCGUGACAAAUCCACGACAGUUGGCGCCCACCGUGGGGCAAGCGCACGGUGGUGUUGAGUUCUUGAAGAGAUUUUUUCUAGGGUUCAGAAGCUCGCGAUUAACCGGAUGGAGAAGAAAUGACGCGAACGGAUCUACAUUAAUGAUGAGCGGUCGGGCAGCAUACACAAGAUUUUGAGAUCGAGGCAAGCUAGGGUUGCGUAGACCACCGCAGGCGCCGUGGUGAUUCACCAGCCUCCACGCUCGCUGCUGCGCCUCAAACCGCGAGCUCGUUUUCAAUCGCCAUGUCUCUGCUUCCGGGCUGAGUCGCUAGGGCCUCGCGGUUGUUGCUUCUGAGAGCUGCCUAUUUACGAGUCGCCGGCGCCCCUUGUUUUCAGCCGCGCUCAACUUCCGAUCACCGACGCCGUGCGACCCGGCCGUCCGCUGGCUCCGGCUCCCGGCUCACUGCGUUGCCCCGAGGUGUCGCGCCGCCGCUACUGCUAUGGCCUUAACCCGUCAAGCCGCCUUCUCAUUGCUAUGAGCUGCCCGUGGCUUUGCUGUCGACGGGUGCUGCUCCUGGUUGAGCCACCUUCGUCGUUGCUACGACCAAGGGCUCACCUGCGAGUUGCCGCUCCAGCUGUCGCGCCUUCCGCCUGCUCGAACAGUCGUGGUUCGUCUCUGCACUCUGCAACCUUCAUCGUCACCUCCAUGGCCUGCCUAUAAGUCGCCCUUGUGCGGCCAUGCCUCCGAGAGGUUCAUGCGCCCUCAUUUCCACUACCGCGGUCCCCCGAUGAGUCGGCCGCACAAGUGAUCAUCUGCCGGGCUCGUUCAACUAGGUGUGGUUGUGUACACAUGCAAGUUUUCACAACAACAGGCAAAAUCAAAGGCGUUUUGUCAUUGGUAUUUUCCAUGUGAAGGCAGAGUUGGUCAAUCAGACUAGAUGGAGUACUAUUCCCUGGCGUAAAAGACCAAGGCCUGCAAAUAAAGAUGCACCUUUACACGGAGAGGCAAAUCUUACAAGGGCGCAGGUUGCAGUCUAAUCAUUAUUUAAAGCAAUACUACAGCUUAUAUCUGUUGAGGAUUUAUGCACAGCCUCAAAGAAAGACAAAGGAAGGCCUCUUGGGGCUACCGCUACAUUGUGUAAAUGUACAUCUAGACGGGUUAUCUUUUUCGUCCGGCGAUUACGUCCAGUAUCAUCCAACACCAGCAUAUUGUUCAUCCGACAAAAAUAUCAGGACCGUUAUUCCUUACAAAAGGUGUCGCAAAAGGGCGUGCGCCAAUAUUAUUUUUGCACUAGCAAUUGUCCAUGCCAUGCUGCUGGACGGAUACGUGUGCAUGUUGAUGUCCUCGCUACAUCAACACACCAACUAGCUCGUCGUCCGCGCCCGCGGCCGACUCACCCACGUCUGUGCUAUUUCUAACAUUGUGGCCGACUCUCCCGUCCGCGCCGGCUUACAACCCCGUGACUGACUCAUCUGUCUGCUUUCGCGGUUGACUCGCUCGUGAUUGGUUUCAACUUCACUGUAGUGAUCAUCAACUCCGCGGCGAAUAAUUUACAGCCUAACAUAUCAGGUGUGCUCAAGUCGCCGCCCGUGCAGCUUAAUCUACAUCAACCCGUCGGAGCUGCGAUGAGCCACCCUUGCCGCUUUGAGCCGCCGGGGUUAUAUUAAGUCGUCGGACUGCCUGAGUCGACGGAACUAUAUUGAGUCGAUGGUCGGCUUGAGCCACCUCUGUUGCGAUAAACGGAUCAUCCGUCGUCCAAACAAAUCAGGUGAUAUCCAUCCAAGUUUGUUUUAUUAGCACAUAUUGUUUUUUGUUAAAGAACAAGUUUAUCUUUGCCUUGGUCUGCAAUAUUGUUUAUGCAGGGCAAUUAUUUAUGACAAAAAGUGAUAUUAUACCGCGGAGAUGGAGGCACGCCAACAUCUUUUGGCACAGGUGGUCGUCGUUACUCAACGGACUCCCGCACCAGCUCACAACGCCGUGGCCAUCUCCCGCGACCACGCCGGCUUACAACAAGGAGGACAACCUUGCCCGUUCGCACCGGCUUACAAUGCCACGGCCGUUUUAUCUAUCUGUGCUGCCUCCGAUGUUGCAGUCGUCUUUACCGUCCGUCUCUCGCGGCCUGGUCUACAUCAACACACCGGGCCGCACUUGUCUGGAUAAGCUGUUUAUUGAGUAUGAGCAAGUCACUAUUUGGGAAGCCCGGUUUUCUUCCAACAAAUUGGAAGCAAAUUAUCAUAUAUUAUCAGCCGCCGUUUGCACUGGAUGGCUCAAUGGGUAGGCACACAAGUCGCCGCCACUGCAGUUUGGUUAACUACAAAUAGCCAGUUGGAAGGAGCCAUUGGCUGAGUUGCUGACAUGGCUCAUACGGGAUCAUUUAUAACCCGCCGCAGUCACCUCAACCUUCUGUGGAUUCACAUCGCGCUAUCAACGCCAAUGAUUUAUACCUUCUACUAUGGUCAAAUAUGGAGAAUCUCAAGCCAACUCCUCGAGUCGUCUUGAGACUCGGGGGUUACAAUGGUAUGACUCGGCAAAAUUAGCCGGUUUCAAUGAAUUCAAGAACUCCGGGUCAUUGAAGGGAAAAAUAACCCGGGCCCCAGAGAUUACUGCUAGAUCGAUGAAAAUUUAAAAGCCGUCAGAAGAUUUCCGGCUCAAAAUAAGGACUCUGGUUUAAAAUCUGGUUCAAGAGACAUCUUUCUCCCACAAAGCACUGAAGCUCUCAAAUCCGGUUCAAAAGCCGGCCCAGGGUAAAUUUGUCCCUCACAAAUUUCUGAAGCUCUCAUAUCCGGUUCAAAAUCCGGCCCAGGGUAAAUAUGUCCCUCACAAAUCCGGUUUAAAGUUCCGGUUCAAAAAGAAUUAAUCUCUCGCAGAGUUCUAAGAAAAAUUAAAGGUUGCUAAAAAGAACUUGCUGCCAUGAUGCGCGGUUCAAACAUAGGUAUCCUGCCUUACGGCUUAUCUUAUUAUCGUCACUUGGGGGCUUCCUGCUCAUCGAGCAUAGCUGUCGGUACCCUCUUGAUCGGUGCAAUGCUAAUAUAUGGUCACUUGGGGGCUUCCUGUUCAAACAUAGGUCGUAUUCGAACCAAAGAGAACAUAGCUGUCAAAACCCUUUUGGUCGGCACAUUGCCAAACUCACUAGGGGGCUUCUUGAUCGUAUUCAAAUCAUAGCUUAACCUCUUUUGGGUCCGACGUGGAUCAUAUUCGAAUCAGCGUCAUUAAACAACUCUCAAGGUCAUUUGGGGGCUUCCUGUUCAAACAUAGGUCGUAUUCGAACCAAAGAGAACAUAGUUGUCGGUACCCUCUUGAUCGGCAAUGCCAAAGCCACUGGGGGCUAUAUGAUCAUAUUCGAAUCUUAGCUCAACCCCUUUGGAACGGUUUUUUGAUCGUAUACGAAUCAGAAGCCUUAAGUUUUUUAAGUCUUUUUUGCGAACAAUUUUGGUUUUGACUUGAGACCUUUUUUGGAUUAUAUCUCAAAUGUAUAUAAGUGUUUUAUGCUUAACCCAGCUUGACUUUUAACUAUAAGUCACCAGCUUAUGACAAUCAUCAUCUAUGUGGAAGCAUUGGCUUCUAAAGAUUGGGUUAUCACCCUUACUGCACAGGUCAUGUAAACCGGCAGUACAAAUUCAAUAUCACCGUGGUUAUAUGUGAGGUAUUAUGACCCGCCCUGCGGUAAACCGCCAAGGGUUCUUGUGAUCUACUUGUGUGCAGGUAAGACUACAUUUGGGUGGUUACCCGCCCUGGCUCUUGCCGUUAAGUCACCGGGGCAUAUGUUGUUUAAACUCUAUGCAGGAUUUGCAGAACUAUGACUUAUAUAAAUGCUUCAGUCCAAGCUCAUCACUGAAAUUGGUGUCUCAAAAGGGUUAUAAAUUAUUGAUUUUCUCAAGGGCUAUAGGCCACCGGGUUACAAAAAUUCCGGCUUACAAUGAAUGUGCAUUAAGUCGUCAUCGGCCAAGAGCCGCCAGGUAUUUAAACUCCGGAUUUACUUGUCAACCGAUGAGGUAUUCAAAUUUUUAAUAGCCAAAACUGGUUGGAUUUUCAUGAUGAUAUUAAAUGAUUGAGGUUUUCAUACCGGAUUGUAUUAUUCAAAUCUUGAAUAGCCAAAAUGGCUAGAUUUCUAUUGUGAUUAUCAAUAACCAGUGUUAUGAUUGAGGUUUUCAAAGUCGCUUUAGCACAACGGCUAUUAUUUUUAUCAAUGGGCAUGAUUUAUUUUACAAUGGAGGAAAUAGUCCCGAGUCGUUGUAGGCUUAUGACCCGGCACUUGGGGGCUACAUUGUUCAAAUCGAGAUUACAUCGAAUAUACAAGUCCCAUGUCACUGCCAGCAUGCACCAUGGCACUUGGGGGCUAAUGCAAAGUCAUUUUUUUCUCAAUUUAUUGAAGACCCGACUCAUCACAUUUUAAAUGAGCCGGCCCUUGGGGGCUACCAAUUGCUCCUGUCAAAAAUUCAAGGUACACAAGCAUUAAUCCAUUAUAUUGAACGGUCCACUAUUCAGUUGGUGGAGUACAAAGCUCUUAACCUUGUGGACGUGGGUUCAAGCCCCAUGGUGGAGACUAUAUUAUAUGAUGUUAUUGUCAAUUAUAUACAAAGUCCCAGCUCAGUAUUAUCUUACUAAGCUAGCCCUUGGGGGCUACACAUUGUUGUUCAAAUUUACAUGGUUAUAUCUACAAAGUCCAUGUUCAUUAUUGCAUAAUGACCCGGCCCUUGGGGGCUACACUGCUUGAAGUUUUCAUGAGCAUAAAGCAAUUAGAAGUCCCAGGUUGCUGCAAGCAUGACAACCCGGCACUUGGGGGCUACAUGUGUGGAACAUUCAGUUUAUAUGAUUGAGAUGAAUAAACCGGAUUUCUUCAAGGUUGCAACAUUUAUUGGAGCAAGUUUUAAACCAUCACUUUGUUCUGCUCAAGACUUGGGGGCUACAGGUAAUAUGGAUAUAAGGGAGAAACAUCUUCAAAUUAUCAGUUUUGAGCAAAUCAGGAGGAUCAAUUACUUAAACCGGUAUCAACAACAAUUAUGACCCGGUAUCAUCUGUUUUAUAAUCCGGCAAUUUUUGGUAAUGAUAAGCCAGUAAGUUUUACAUCUUCAAGCCGGCUGAAUAUCAGAUGAGUAUUUGAAGACCAAAAUUAUUUAUCCCGGCGCCUUGCAAGCCGACUCAAGUGGAUUUUCUAGAUGAAGGAAAUGACAAUUGGACUUAAGGAUAAUCAGGUCCUGUCUCAGGAGAAUAUUUAACCCGGAGCGCAAGGAGUUAAGGAUGUUCAGGUGCCGGUUUACAAGAAUUCUUAACCUGGAGCACAACCUGUCAAAUUUGUUCUUGUGUUUAUUUUGCAGCAAAAGUUUACCAUGGAUAAAUCCAAGCUAAACUUGGGGGCUAAUGUCGGGGAUAUACCCCGCGAUGUAACCCGGCCGGAAGUAUAACCCGGCCGGACUCGGCGACUCACUAAUGACCCGCCUUGACCGGAUGAUACACUAAGUGACCCGCCCGAUCCUGGCAACUUAUGGGUGACCUGGCAAGCGGGUUAGAGGAGCGACAAGACCCGGGGGCCCAGGAGGUUCAAGGCCCAGAAGGCCGGCUUACGUUAUGGUAGGCUGGCUUAAGAGGAAAGGCGUGAGGAAUAUCUCCCUUACAAGGAAUCAAGACCCGGACUUGUAUCCGGCUUGUAAUAGAAGAUAGGCUAGUACAAAUCCUAUUUGGACUCCACAUGUAACCCGCCCCUCUAACUUAUAUAAGGAGAGGUGGGGCUCCCCAAAGAGGGACAGGCAAUAAGAACAAUUUCUAGGGCUAGACACAAAGAGUCGGCUUACCGGCAACUUCCUCAUGAGCAUAAUGAGACCUAGCCUCAAACAGCAAGUAGGGCUAUUACCGGAUGAUGUUUCCCGGGGCCCGAAGCUGUCUAAACCCUUGUCUUGUGUGUUGAUCCGCCCUGCAUCUCUCGUCCCACUCAACCCCUCUCAACCUACCACAUAGAUGCGUUGGCCUCACGACUAAGUCCUGACACUAAGGACAUCUGCCGUGACAAAUCCACGACAGAAUUGUUUCUGUCUAAUUGUCUCAGACUUGAUGACUAUAUACAUGAUCAUUGCCUUGGAUAUCGUCAUGAUUAUUUGUUUUUCUAUCAAUUGUCCAAUAGUAUUUUGUUUACCCAUUGUAUGCUAUUUUGAAGAGAGAAGCCUCUAGUGAAAACUAUGGCCCUCGGGUCUACUUCUGUCACAUAUUAAAAAUCCUAAAAAUACCUUGCUACAAUUUUAUUUUAUUUAUUUUAUUUUCUAUUUUUGUUUGAUCUAUCUAUCUAUCACCAUACAAUUUAAUCUUGCAAUUAACCGCCAAGGGAUUGACAACCCCUUGUUCGCGUUGGGUGCAAGGAUUUAUUAUUUUGUGUGCAGGUACUGCUAAUGAGUUAUUCCGUGAUUCUCUUACUGGAUCGAUAACCUUGGCUUCAUAACUAAGGGAAAUACUUAUCUCUACUAUACUACAUCAUCGCCUCCUCUUCGGGGGAAAACCCAACACAACUCACAAGUAGCAAAUGUUGUGCCAAGUUUCAUCCAUUUGUGAGCUCAUUUGUAUGUUAUGUUGAACGGAAAUGCGCUCUGCCCUUUUUAGUGCCUGAAAAAAGAGCUGAUGCUUCAAAAAUAGCAAACCAACUCAAAAAGUUUUAAAUUUAAGCAUGAGACUUCCAAUGGUGUGUAUCCCUGCCGCCGCCGCCUCCUCCAUCGCACUGCCCCCGUGCCCAUCCCUAUCGCCUCCUUCACCGUGUUGUCGUGGAAGUGCGCCUCCAGCGUCGUCGUGCAUGCCCAUGCCGCCUCCUCCACCACGCCGUUGUCAUGCCCGUGAGCCUAUUCUCUCUAGUGAGAAGAGCACCCUCUCCCUCUCCCUAUUCACUUCGGUAAUCAAUAGCAAGCUAUCAACUAGGGUUCUGCACCACCAUACCAAUUUGUGGUCCUCUACUAAUUUAAUUUGUGGAUGGUUUGAUUUGACAUGUUUAGAUGGUCUUGUGGAUUAUAAGACUAUCUAGAAGAGCAUGUUCUAGGCAUGCACUAGCUUUGCCUUCAAAAUGUAUAAAACUCCUUAAUUGACCCUUUUGAAUAAAUAGUGCAGGUAUGGUACAUUGUACAUUGCUUACUCACAUUCUCUCUUCUAGGAAUACACUUAAUGAGCUAAGUUCAUUAAACAAUUGACACAAAUAAAAGUUGAUUAAAAUGAGUGCUUGUGUUACUCGCGAUGGAUUCACGGUUUUUCUUUUCAAAUUUGCAAGUAUCAAGACGAGUGCCAAUGUUUUGGUGUGUAGGAUCGAAAGUAUGUCUAGAGGGGGUGAUUAGACUACUUGACCAAAUAAAAAUCUAGCCUUUCCCAAUUUUAAGUUUUGGCAGAUUUUAGCAACUUAGCACAAGUCAAGCAAUCAACCUACACAUGCAAUUCUAAGAGUAUAGCAGCGGAAUGUAAAAGAAUUGCACAUGAAGGUAAAGGGAGGAGUUUGGAGGGAGCAAACGCAAUGUCCACGGAGAUUUUUUAUCCAUGGUUCCGAUAGGUGGUGCUAUCGUACAUCCACGUUGAUGGAGACUUCAACCCACGAAGGGUAACGGUUUCCCGAGUCCACCGAGGGCUCCACCCAGGAAGGGUCCACAAAGAAGCAACCUUGUCUAUCCCACCAUGGCCAUUGCCCACGAAGGACUUGCCUCACUAGGGUAGAUCUUCACGAAGUAGGCGAUCUCCUUACCCUUACAAACUCCUUGGUUCAACUCCACAAUCUUGACGAUGGCUCCCAAGUGACACCUAACCAAUCUAGGAGACACCACUCCCCAAAAGGGAAUAGAUGGUGUGUUGAUGAUGAACUCCUUGCUCUUGUGCUUCAAAUGAUUGUCUCCACAACACUCAACUCUCUCUCUCACAGGAUUUGGAUUUGGUGGAAACAUGAUUUUAGUGGAAAGCAACUUGGGGAGGGCUAGAGAUCAAGAUUUAUGUGGUUAGAAUGGAUUAUCUUGACCUCAACACAAGUGUAGGUGGUUCUCUCUCAGAAAAUGUAUGUUGGAAGUGUAGGCAUGUUCUGAUGGCUUUCUCGACGAAUGAAGAGUGGGUGGAGGGGUAUAUAUAGCCUCCACAUAAAAUCUAACUGUUACACACAAACUACCAAACUCGGUGGGACCAAAUCAGAAAACUCGGUCAGACCGAUUUAGUUCAAAAUGUGAACAUUGGGAUUUUCGGUGGGACCGACAUGUCAACUCGGUGGGACCGAUUUCGUUAGGGUUAGGGCAUAACGUAAUCUCGGUGAGACCGAUUACAUAAACUCGGUGAUACCGGUUUUAGUUAUAAGCUAACCAGAGAGUUGGUCAGGCAAACUCAGUGGGACUGAUUCACUCAUCUCGGUUAGACCGAAACGUUACGAAGGGGAAAUAGAGAGUUUGCAUUGCAAUCUCGGUGGGACCGAUCGCUCAUCUCGAUUUGACCGAAACGUUACCAAGGGAAACAGAGAGAUUACAAUCCCAUCUCGGUGAAUCCAAGAUCCCUAUCGGUGAGACCUAAAAGACUAGGGUUUGUGGCAGUGGCUAUGUCAAUUGAACUCGAUGACGCCGGAUAGAAAGUUUCGGUGGGGCCUAGUUUGACUUUUGGUUUGGGACAUAUUUGGAUGUGAGAAAGUAGUUGAGGGUUUUUGGAGCAUAUCACUAAGCAUUUUGAGCAAGAACCUCAUUAAGCAACACCUCACCCCCUUUUAAUAGUAUCGGCUUUUCCUAUGGACUCAAUGUGAUCUUGGAUCACUAAAAGUAAAAUGUAGAGUCUUGUGCUUUGAGAUUGAGCCAAUCCUUUUGUCCUCACCAUUUUGAGGGGUCCACUUUCUAAUCCAUGUCGUGCCAAUCAUUGAGCUUUUUUGAAAUAUUUAUCUUGAACUAGCAUUAGCUCAAUGAGCUAUAUGUUGUUAGGAAUUACCAAAACCACCUAGGGAUAGUUGCACUUUCAAUCUCCCCCUUUUUGGUAAUUGAUGAGAACAUAUAGAUCAAAGCUUUGACAAAUGAUCAAAGGAUUGAAAAGCAUUGUCGCUUUGAGAAGUAUGUGAUCCUCUCCAAAUGAUAAUAAGAUUGAAAAACAUCAUCGCUUUGAGAAGUAUGUGAUCCCCCUAAAUUUGUGCACUAUUUAGAAUUUGCUUUAGAAUGCAAAUGUACAAUCGAUUAGGAUCAUGGGUUACUCUUCGAUGUCACAUACAUCUUGGUGGAGCGCUCAAAAUGAUAUAAUUUAAAAGCAUGCACUCAUCACCAAGCAAGUGAAUGAUCAUAUAUGAGAUAUGAAAGAUAAUAUCAUCCAAUAAGGUAGCAUAUGAUCAAACACAUGAUCAACCAAGUAUCACACAUAAGGAGAUAAUGUAGCAAGCAAACACACAAUAAAGUUCAACCAAAAUAGCAAGAGAGAUAAAAAGCAACACUCUCUGUCGAAGCCUAUGAUCUAUACAUUUUUCUCCCCCUUUGGCAACAAGUUACCAAAAAGUUCAAAAAUGCAUAGUGCUAAACGUAUCUCAGGCUUGGUCUUUGGGAGGUGGUGUAGAGAGAACUCCAAGGAUGAAGGCAUCCGUUGAAGUAGCUGGAGCUGGUGGAGUGGCUGCUGGAGGUGGCAUUGGUGCUAUAGCUGCUGGUGCUGAUGUGGUAGCUCUAGAAUCUGUCACUAGCACUAUAGCAGACCUCUGUCCUCUAGGCACUCGCUCAAAUGCAUCAGUAGUUUCCUUGCCUCUCUUCUCUUCUGCUUCCUCCUGAAGCUGCUCAACUGCUGUUUGAAUCUCAGUUACCUUUAGAUCAAGAUCAUAAAAUUCCUGCUCAAUGAUCCUCUCCAAGCUCUCCUGGUUUUGAGUCAGGGUGGCCAAGCCCUUCUCAAUCGUCAGUGUAGACUCGAUCACAUAUGCUUGCUCUUCAGGAAAACUUGAGAUGCCUCUUCAACACUUGGCAUCUUGGCAGCUUUCUCAGCCUUUGCCUUCUCUCUCUUCUCAUGUGCUUGCACAGAUGUGGGGUCUUCCUCAUUCAUCACAACAGUAUUAUCUUCAAAAUCAGGAUGCAGAGGAAGGUGCUCCUUGUCCAACAAGUAUGUACCUGUGCCCAUCUUAGAAUUAAUGAGCUCCUGAAUGUGUGGAGCAUACCCACAGCUUCUCUUCUGAUCGAUAGCUAUCCUCUUGAUUGUCUCUACAAUCAAACUCAUGACUUUGAACUUCUGAGGCACAUCAAACAAAUGUAGCAAAUUGAUAGCAUGUCCACUGAUCAUCUUGUGAUCUCCAUGCUUGGGUAGUAAUGUGUGCCUAAGGAUCCAGUUGAUGGUAGGUAGACCAGACAACAAGAAGUGUACAGAUCCAAGCUUGUGAGUUUCCAAGGCCUUAUCUGGGAUCUCCUUGUACAUGUGUGUCAUGGAGUUGUGGUCUUUCUUCUUUUUGGCAUAAAUAUCCAAGUCAUCCUCAUGCUCUUCAGGGGCAUUUAUCAGCUUGGCCCAUUCAUCAACUGUAGAUUAGUACCUAGUACCCUCUGACAUCCAUACGAUCUUCCCAUCUGGGUAAAAGUGAGCAGUGGAGUAAAACUGCAUGAUCAGCUCAUCAUCCCAUUUAGUGAGCUUCUGUCCAACAAAUUUGUCAACUCCACAUGCCUUGAAGCUAUCAAAAACUCCUGGAAAGUGAUCUUCAUUUUCCUUGAUGUAUUCCCAAUGCACCCAUCCCAUGUCACAUACAAUGGGCUUCUUGUCAAGCAAAAUAGUUUCAUAGAAGUCUUGUUGUUCCUUUGUGUGGAACCUAUAAUCAACUGUUGUUCUCCGCCUCAGAGCAUAAGGAUCAUACUGUCUCCACAAUCUCAGUCAUGCAUCUUUCCUGAUCCUCAUAUCUUCUGCAACAGGAUGUGCAUCAUUAUGGUCAGGGAUCUUUGGUUUUAGCUUCCUUAGCACUUGGGCAUUAGCUUCCUCUUCUUCAGUCUCAGGCACUAGGGCCUUGUUCUUUUCCUCAGCAGGUAUACUUCUGGUGUCGCUCUUGGGUUUUGGCUUGGGAGAAGCCUUGGGCUUUGAUGGAGCAGCCCCUAUCCUAAUGGCAUCUCCCAUAAGCUUCUGAGCUUUGGGUGCUGGUGCAGCAUCCUCCUCUUCUUCUUCUCUAUCAGAUGGAUCUUGCAUCAUGGAGGGCUUUCCAAUGACUCUUGCCAUGGAUUUCUUGACCCUCUCUUUCAUUUUCUUCCCUUCUUCAACUUCUUCAGCAGCUGAUUUUGGAGCUUCAAUAGUUGAUGCUCUGGCUUUUGACAUGGGAAUUAUCCUUGCUGGUGCUUUCUUAUUCAGACCUGGCUUACUUGCAGCAGCUGUUCCAUACUCCUUUUUCAGCACCUUCUUCUUGGAGCUUACUUCCUCCUCGGUGGCAACAUAAUCCUCAUCCUCAGAUUAUGAGGUUCUCUUCUUCCUGGAUCUGGUUGCUGCCUUUCGCAAGUUACUUGGUGUGCUCCUGCUGCCAUCAUCUGAAGUGCUAGAGGGAUCUGAGCCCUCACUCAUCUGCACCUGUUCCUCUGACCUGUUCUGACUGUCACUUUGAUCAGACAUCUCUGCAAACUUACUGACAGCAGACCAUGUGAAUAGAUAUAGAUGAGGUAGAGUAGAUGAGCAUCACAAAGUACAGAGGUUUUGCAAAACAAAUUGAGUCAAAAAGCUUAGUUUAAUUCUCUACAGAAGUGAUCUCGGAGCUACUGAAUUGACAAACUUGGUGAUACCGAAGCAACACUUGGAACCCAAACUAGUGAACUCGGUUGGGCCGAGUCACAGUUCGGUGGCACCGAGACUGCUAGGGUUUCAUAAAGAAUCAAACUCGGUCACACCGAUUUGCAGUUUUCGGUCAGACCGAAAAUGCAAGUGCAAUGGCCUAGGCAAAUUGGUGAGACCGAUUUCUACAAUUCGGUCGGUCCGAGAUGAGUUCGGCGGAGACCUAACCCUAAAAUUUUCGAAUCAAUCUAGACCUAAGGAAGUUUUAACUGGAUAGAUUAAUCACAUUCGUGGCAAGAAACAUGGCAUUGUCCUUGUGCUAGGAAUCAGAGUGAAAAAGACAGCACAAGGAGUCGAACACUUACCCUAGAGCGGCGAUUGUUCGCUACGGCGGCAACGGAGGGGCAGAAUUCCGUUGACGGUGAUGGAAACCAGUGCUGGGAGGUCGCUGGCGGUGAGAAGACGAUCCAGAGACCCGAUGCGGCAGAGCAGGAUAUGCGCGGGCUGAGAAGUUUCGAAGGAAUUUCCAAAAUCUCACACGUGGGUAUAUAUAUCCCGACCCUGUCAGUGUGACCGAGUGGAACGAAUCGGUGGCACCGAGAUGCAGAAUCGCAAGCGGUUACUGCAACUCGGUGUGACCAAAAAGUUCAAAUCGGUUGCACUGAGAUUGAAAACCUAGAUCAACUUAGUGAUCUCGGUGUGACCGAAUUGGAUGACUCGGUCAUACCGAAAUGCACAAAGAGGUUUUGGAAGUUUAAGUCUAUGAUGAAUCGGGGACUCCGAGUGCUCCUCACACAGAGUGGUUCGAAUCUGACUUGAUCAAACUUUGUGAUGUAGCAUGAAUAGAGUUUGAGACUAGAAAAGCAUAGAUAGCUAGAGGGAGUUCUUAGGCAUUCUUGUCCAUCCAUUUGGCAAAAAGGAAAAAUCCAAACAAUCAAAGCAACAAAUGGACGUCCUCAAAUGAGUAAAAUAUGCAAUCAACAUGCUCACACAAUAAAAUGACAAAUGAAAUAUGUGGCAAAGCAUGCACAAACACUCUAGCGUCUAUCAAGCAAUUUGGCGAUGACUAGGUCAUCUACAUAUGAGUAUAUUGACUUAGGAGUCAAAUAAGAACAUUUGAUCAUAGGUCAUACUCAUCGUUUAAGCACAAGUGGGGUUGCCAAGCAUUGUUGUGUUCACAUCAUUAGAGUUGCUUUAGCUCAAUUGAUUAGAGUAAAGCUCCCCCUAGAUGUGAUAUCCCCCCUAAGAGGGAUGAACUAACCUUGGGUUUUGUCGAUGAUGACUUCAUGUAGGUGUUGAAGAUGUGGAUGCUCAAUGUUAAUGUAGAUCAUUCGGAGCAAUCCUUUGGAGUGAGUUGCACUUUCAAUACCUACACGGGUUAGUCCCACAAGUUACAAACAAGGAUAUCCAUAGACAUAGAUUGAUGUUCACACAUGAUGAUGUCCAUGAAAGCAUUAGGUUACCUUGUCCCUAGUCUUACCAACAAGAGGGUUUGUGACUCCUUGAACUAGUGCAAGAUAUGGAAGUUGUUUGCACUUGUCCUUGCCAAAAUGAUAUGAGUGAAGUUUGUUGGCGGAGUCACCCUCAAGAACUCUCUAGUUCUUCUUCUUCGGGAUCCACAUCAUCUUGAUGGGAAUCCUUAGAGUUGUAGUCGUACUUGAUGAAGUAGAACUUGAUGUAGUCUUGGGAACCCACUUGACCAAGGCCUUGGGAGCUUCUUCAAAUGCAUCAAUCUCCUCUUGAAGCUUAUCCUUGCCUUUUUGCUUGUGGUCUUGUGGUGGAAGAUCAUCUUGAGCUUGUGUUCCUUUGAAAGAAGUGGGAUCAUACUUCUCUUGUUGAGGAACAAACUUCAUCUUGGGGUAUUAAUCUUCUUCCCACUCAACUCCAUUGGCAUUGAACUUUCGUUCAAAACCAACACCUUGAUUCUUCCGGUGUCUUCCUUGCUUGCGUACAAUUUCCUCAAAUUGCUUACUUCCGGCAAGACUCUUGUAAACACCUUUCUCUAUAAUUCCCUUCAAUAAGCUAUUUUCUUGCUCAAGUGUAACUUGGCUAAGAUAAUCAUUAGUGGAAUCAAGGGAACUACUAGAAGCAACAUUAUUGGAUUUAGCAUGAUUAAUGAUACUACUAGAAGAAGAAUCUUUCUUACUCUUGUUGCUAGAUUUAACUUGUGGCAUGUAAGUAGAUAAGAGUAAACGCUUGGCAAUGUAAAAAGAACUUUUCUUAUGAAGAUCAUCAUUGAUUGCUUUGAAGAACUCACGCUCUUGCUCAAGGUUAAGCUUUUCAAAGCGUAGCUUCUCAUGAGUCUUUAAAAGUUCUCGAUGAUCUUCCAAGGUAGUUUCAUGAGCUAACUUAAGAGUGUUUAGUUCUUUAGUUAGACGCUCAAUCUCCUUCUUAUGAUCGUCAUUCGCUUUAUCUUGAUUAUCAUGAUUAAUAGCAAGUUCAUCAUUGUUUUCAUAACUAGAGUUGUCAACAAGUAAAUCAUCAUCUCCUAGCAAAUCAUCUUCCUCACUAUUGAAAUCAACAUACUCGAGGUGUGUUACCUUUGGACCUUUAGCCAGGAAGCAUCUUCCAAUUCCUUCAUUCAGUGAGUCAAAUAUGUCAUAGGAGUUGGUUGACACAAGCGCUAGACCGGCAACACCUUCAUCUUGAGUAUAUUUGGAGUCGGAGUGAUAACUUCUUUCGGACUGAUGGUCAGAGUCAGAGCCAGAUACCCAUUCACCAACAUGAGCUUGAUGUCUUCUUUUUGUGUAGCUCUUUGAUGAUUUGUCCUUCCUUUCUGAAUCCUUGCUUCUUCGAGAGGAUCUUCGUUUAUAACGAUCAUCUCUACUCCUUCUCUCUCUUGGUGGUGAUUCUUCUCUCCUACUUCUUCUUUUGGGAGAAUCUUCUCAUCUUUUGUAGGGAGCCGUACGCUCAUUGGAAGAGUGUCCGGGUCUUCCACAAUUGUAGCAAUUACGCUCACGACUAGAAGAUCUUUUGUCAUUGUAGGACCUUGACUUGGAACUUCUUUCCUUGCUUCUACUCUUGUAGAACUUAUUGAAAUUCUUCACCAUUAGGCUCAAUUCUUCAUUGAAGGUUUAUUUCUCACUUGAUGAUGUGGGAGCAUCACAUGAGGCUUUGUAAGCACCACUUGACUUGUUGUGGAGCUCUUCCUUAUCCUUAAGUGACAUCUCAUGAGCAACAAAUCUUCCAAUGACUUCCGUAGGCUUGAGAUCUUUGUAAUUGGGCAUCAUUUGGAUCAAUGUGCACACGGCAUCAUAUUUUCCAUCCAAGGCUCUUAGGAUCCUCUUGAUGAUGAAUCUAUCGGUCAUCUCUUCACUUCCUAAGCCGGCAAUCUCAUUUGUGAUGAGAGCAAGCCUAGAGUACAUUUUAGCGACACCUUCACCAUCCUUCAUUUUGAACUUGUCAAGCUGACUUUGAAGCACAUCCAACUUGGAUUCCUUGACGGAGUCGGUACCUUCGUGCAUAUCAAUCAAAGUAUCCCAAAUUUCCUUUGCAUUAUCAAGACGGUUGAUUUUAUUGAACUCUUCGGGGCACAAUCCGUUGAAGAGGAUAUCGCAAGCUUGAGCAUUGUAUUGCAGCAUCUUCAACUCUUCUGUGGUAGCUUCAUGGUUCGGUUCUCUCCCAUCAAAGAAUUCACCUUGCAAGCCAAUACACACAAUAGCCCAAACGGCGGGGUUAUGUCCAGGAAUAUGCAUUUUCAUCUUAUGCUUCCAACUAGCAAAAUUAGUACCAUCAAAGUAAGGUCCUCUAUGGUGGUAAUUUCCCUCGCUAGAUGCCAUACUCUCCAAGGUUGUGAAACCAAGGCUAUGAUCACCAAAAGCUAUGGAAAUCAAAGCAAAUGGAUACCAAAGCUUUGAUGCCACUUGUAGGAUCGAAAGUAUGUCUAGCGGGGGGGUGAUUAGACUACUUGACCAAAUAAAAUUCUAGCCUCUUCCCAAUUUUAAGUUUUGGCAGAUUUUAGCAACUUAGCACAAGUCAAGCAAUCAACCUACACAUGCAAUUCUAAGAGUAUAGCAGCGGAAUGUAAAACAAUUGCACAUGAAGGUAAAGGGAGGAGUUUGGAGGGAGCAAACGCAAUGUAGACACGAAGAUUUUUUAUCCGUGGUUCCGAUAGGUGGUGCUAUCGUACAUCCACGUUGAUGGAGACUUCAACCCACGAAGGGUAACAAUUUCUCGAGUCCACGGAGGGCUCCACCCAGGAAGGGUCCACGAAAAAGCAACCUUGUCUAUCCCACCAUGGCCAUUUCCUACGAAGGACUUUCCUCACUAGGGUAGAUCUUCACGAAGUAGGCGAUCUCCUUACCCUUACAAACUCCUUGGUUCAACUCCACAAUCUUGACGAUGGCUCCCAAAUGACACCUAACCAAUCUAGGAGACACCACUCCCCAAAAGGGAAUAGAUGGUGUGUUGAUGAUGAACUCCUUGCUCUUGUGCUUCAAAUGAUUGUCUCCCCAACACUCAACUCUCUCUCACGGGAUUUGGAUUUGGUGGAAAGAUCAUUUGAGUGGAAAGCAACUUGGGGAAGGCUAGAGAUCAAGAUUUAUGUGGUUGGAAUGGAUUAUCUUGACCUCAACACAAGUGUAGGUGGUUCUCUCUCAGAAAAUGUAUGUUGGAAGUAUAGGCAUGUUCUGAUGGAUUUCUUCACGAAUGAAGAGUGGGUGGAGGGCUAUAUAUAGCCUCCACACAAAAUCUAACCAUUACACACAAAUCACCAAACUCGGUGGGACCGAAUCAGAAAACUCAGUCAGACCGAUUUAGUUCAAAAUGUGAACAUUAGGAUUUUCGAUGGGAACGACAUGUCAACUCGGUGGGACCGAUUUAGUUAGGGUUAGGGCAUAAAGUAAUCUUGGUGAGACUAAUUACACAAACUCGGUGUGACCGAUUUUGGUAAUAAGCUAACCAGAGAGUUGGUAGGCAAACUCGAUGGAACCGAUUCGCUCAUCUCGGUUAGACCGAAACGUUACGAAGGGGAAACAGAGAGUUUGCAUUGCAAUCUCGGUGGGACCGAUCGCUCAUCACGGUUUGACCGAAAUGUUACGAAGGGAAACAGAGAGAUUACAAUCCCAUCUCGGUGAGACCGAGAUCCAUAUCGGUGAGAUCGAAAAGACUAGGGUUUGUGGCAAUGGCUAUGUUAAUUGAACUCGGUGGCGCCAGAUAGAAAGUUUCGGUGGGCCUAAUUUGACUUUUGGUUUGGGACAUAUUUGGAUGUGAGAAAGUAGUUGAGGGUUUUUGAAGCAUAUCACUAAGCAUUUUGAGCAAGAACCUCAUUAAGAAACACCUCACCCCCUUUUAAUAGUAUUGGCUUUUCCUAUGGACUAAUGUGAUCUUGGAUCACCAAAAGUAAAAUGUAGAGUCUUGUGCUUUGAGCUUGAGCCAAUCCUUUUGUCCUUAGGAUUUUGAGGGGCCACUUUCUAAUCCAUGCCAUGCCAAUCAUUGAGCUUUCCUGAAAUAUUUAUCUUGAAAUAGCAUUAUCUCAAUGAGCUAUAUGUUGUUAGGAAUUACCAAAACCACCCAUGGAUAGUUGCACUUUCAUGGUGAAACAUCGAUUAAGUUAUGUCUCGCCAAAUUUUUAGCACUCGUUAUGUCCAAUUUUUUCGUCGAUAUUUUGUUUAGGGUCAAUUGGAGUAAUGUUGGUUUGUAUUUGCAGGGAUCAAAAUGAGUGACAAUGUUUUGGCAAACAUUGAUUAUUUUUAUUUUGGCAAAUUUCUGGCACUCAUUAUGUUUAAAUUUGUAGAAACAAUCAUGCCUAAUUUUUCCGUCAAUAUUUUGCGUACGGUCAAUUGGAGUACUAUAGGUGUCCUUGGAGAAAAGACAGAGAACCUUUCUACUAUCCAAACUGAAUAUUAAGGGCAUCAGGGAGUUGUUCUUUUUUUGAAAGGAGGACUACCCCUGGCCUCUGCAUCAAGAGAUGCACAUAAUGAUUUAUUUAACUGAAUGAAGUAUCAAACUAUGAGUAACAUAUCAAAGUAUGUGAACAAAAUUAAGAAUGUAAAUAGCCACAAUUGGCCAAAAAAAUAGGACACAACCCCUAUCAUAUUAUUGGACCGCCAUCCAAACUGAUUGUAUAUAGCCCGUGCUAUUGUCUUCCAUCGGUUGCACCCAAAGGCCAUAUGCUCCAUCUCCUCAGCGUGGCGUAGAAGUAAUUAUCAUGCACGGAUCCAUCUAGACGCCUGAUAGAUAAUCUGCAAAAAGUUUGUGAUAUUUGUCCUAUUAAAUACAACAUCAUUCCUUCAGUUUUAAGUAACCCAAAAUAAUGUACAAACUCCCACACGAAUUCAUGAUCAUGUAUUAACUCAAUCCCACCUAACCAAUUGCUAAACAAAUGAAAGAUACUAGUGACUGGAGAAACAUUAAAGGACACAUGUAUUGACAAAGGUAAAUAAUUUGAUGAGUGGGCUCCUUAAAUAAAAAAUGUAAUGGAUGACCAUCAACAAUGUAACUCAUCCAAGCGUCACAAAAGAUUAACCAAACAAUUCAGUCAAAUCAUUGUAUACUAGCAAGCUGCUGAUCCAAAUGUGGAUGAGCCACCGCCAGUCGUCCGAGUGGCACGUUGUGGCUGGUGCACCGUGCAGGAAGCCGGGCUAUUAGAGCAACUCCAAACGUAAGUAUCCAUUUCCUCCACCGCUGUCCAUUUGGGUCGGCUCGGAUAAAAAUAAAGACCCAACGCAUCGACCAAUUCGUAAAAUGUGUCUGCUUCACGUCCAUGCCAACACAUUUGCGUCCCAAAUUUACAGCAGAAAUGUGUCAGCGCAAACGCGAAACGGACGCAUCGCGCGCCUUCUCGGUGUCUGCCGCGUCCCCAUCUAGCGGCCAUCCAAUUACCGCGGUCAGCUUAAUUUAUGACGACCGCCCACCUCGGACCCACACGUCAGUGACGGCGGUCGGCCUUUUUUAAUGCGAGCGUGGGGCAGGGGGAGUCCUCAUCUGCUUCCAGAAGCCCCCCAUCCCCAUCUCGCCACCCUCUGCUCCCCCGUCGGCGGCAACCCUAGCCACCGUAAGGAUGGGUUUCUUCUCAGGCAAAGUGGCACUGGGAAAACCUCGUCCCUCUCCCCUACCCCGACGUCAUCCUGCCACACGUAUGGCACUUGGAUUCGGAGAGGACACCAGUGCCGGCGGUGCCGCGGUCGGCCAGGGUGCACGCGGAAGGAGGUACGACGUCGACUCGCUCUAUUGGGGGCGUUGGUUCCCCUUCGAGCAUGAGGAGGCCAGGUGGCGCGGCGUCUGUGACGUCUCGCAUGGCUCCCCACCGCCGCCCCUCGUCGUUCACGACGAGGACCGGGCAGCCCUGGCGGCUAUCCUCGGGGAGAGUGAGGAGGAAGAGCGGCGUAGGGAGGAGGAGGAGGAGGCGACGUAUGAGGCGCGCAUGGCAGAGGCCAUGGCGCUAUCUGCAGCCGGCGAUUGCGUAGUGCCGCCGCUCGCCCCGCUGUCCCCAGCCAAGGCCUAGCCGGAGCCGAUCCCUAUCGAGUGCUACUCCUAGACUGGAGUGGUGCACGAGUGGUUCAGUGCGCCGCUGGUCUAGAUGCGGGCGACGAAGGUGCAGGAGGCGGCCUACCUUGAACUGUGGUGCCAGCGACGGCUGGCCGAGGAGCGCCGCGAAGGUGAGUACUUCGAGCAGCUGGAGCGCCAUGCCGAGGAGGAGCGCCGCGAGGCCGAGGAGGAGGCGCGCCGUGCCCAGCCGGCGGCGGACGCCCCCGCCUGAAACACUGCGUUCCCCUGGGCCGGCCAUGCGCUGACGCUGAUCGACCUCACCGGCCCCGACGAUGACGACGAGGACGCAUAGGGCAGCGCGUCGCCUCGUAGUUUUGUUUUAUUAAUAUUUAAUUAAUGUAAAUGUGGACGUGUGGACUCUCGCCGGCCUUUGUGACCGUCAUUAAUGUUUUUUCAUUUUUGAAAUAUUUGUGUUCAAUUUUUUUCGCGCGCCGUAAAAAAGGAUCGGGCCAGCGUUAAGCGCAUGUGUAACGCCCCAGAUAUACUUUCCAUAUUUGUAUCCAACUCUUGCCGUCUCCGGCUCUAAGUUGUAUUUAUUUCUCGGGUUUGGGUCUUUGUCUUUGUGUGUUGUUUUUCUUUUUCGUGCAUCUUUUAUCAUGUCAUCACGUGCAUUGCAUUUGCAUACAUGUUCAUCUCAUGCAUUCGAGCUUUUUCCCCGUUGUCCGUUUUGCAUUCCGGCGCUUCGUCCUCCUCCGGUGGUCAUUUCUAGUCUUCUUUCGUGUGUGGGGUUUAAACAUUUCUGGAUUGGACCAAGACUUGCCAAGCGGCCUUGGUUUACUACCGAUAGACCACCUGUCAAGUUUCGUAUCAUUUGGACUUCGUUUGAAACUCCAACGGUUAACCGAGGGAUCGAAAAGGCCUCGUGUGUGUUGCAGCCCAACACCCCUCCAAAUUUGGCCCAAAACCCACCAAACUCUGCUCCAUCGUCUCGGUCGUUCGAUCACGAUCGUGUGGGCGAAAACCGUACCUCAUUUGGACUCUCCUAGCUCCACUUAUGCCUAUAUAUACACCCCCUCCGAAAUCCACGGUUCUUCUCCCCCCUAACCCUAGAUCCAACUCCUACCGCCGCCGCCGGACAAAAAUCGCGUGCCGGACGUGUCCGCCUGGCUCCGCGGGACGAAUCCGCCGCCGCCACGUGUCCCGGGGCCGGUCCCCAGUUCGCCGCCGCCCGCGGGCCCGCGAGGCCCGUGCGGGGCCCUCCCGGCCCGCUACGCCGCCCGCCUCCUCCUCCAGUCGCCGCCCCCGAGCCCGGCGACGCUCGCCCGCUCCGGCCGCCGUGGCGCCAUUGCCGGCCGCCGCNNNNNNNNNNNNNNNNNNNNNNNNNNNNNNNNNNNNNNNNNNNNNNNNNNNNNNNNNNNNNNNNNNNNNNNNNNNNNNNNNNNNNNNNNNNNNNNNNNNNNNNNNNNNNNNNNNNNGGAGCACCUCGCCCCGCCGCCCCAAGCCCUCGCCGGCGCCCGCGCCAGGGAGAGGAGCUCCCGGCUCCGGCGACCGCCCGCCGCGCCGCUUCCUCCUCGCCGUCCGGCCCCCCUCCCCGCUCCGGUUACUUCCUCUCCGGCCGCCGCCGUCGUCUACAGGAAUCCCGGCGAGAUCCGCCGCCGUCUCGGGCCGCGUGCCCGAACCCUAGAUCUGGAUCCUGGGGUAGUUUUUUUUCACUAAGUCCCUAGAUUUUUACUCCAUAUGCUCCUGUUCGAGGACCCGUAUCUCCACAUCCGUAGCACCGUUUUGGGCAUAUGAUAUGUCAAAAUCUUCGCUUCGACAUGUACAUCACUUCAUUCCAUUGCAUCAUUUGCAUUUGAGGUCAUCUUGAUCCCCAAAAUGCUGUUAGAAGGAGGCUUCGUGAGUUAAAUUGCAGAUCCGUUAGUUCAUCAUGCACUUUUGUCAUUUUUGCUAUGUUUAAUUCGUGCAUGAUAUGCCUGUGCCCCUUUGGGAUGAAUUGUUAAGCAUUUUGUCUUCUUUCCAGAGGUGUCACCCAUGCAUUUUUAGGAUGUGUGUGUUGUCUUGUGCAAACUUGCGAAGAGAGGUACCUGAGAAUGCAGAUUUCAGGGACUUAGUGAUUUUCACUAAGUCUGGGAUAUUUUAGUUCAUGAUGCUAUAUGUCCAGCUUGUUUCCUAGUGAUCUGUGCCUCUUUUGAGGAUGAUCAGUAAGGGAGUUUUGAUAUUUAAGUUAUGCUCUAUCUAUCCAUGUCUUUGUUUGCAUAUGUGGAGUGCUCUAGGUUUACUCAAUCGAGCUCAACUUUUGCUUCGUUGUUAAUCUGGGCAGAUCGUCAACUUGUUUGCGAUUUUGCCGAUGCUACCGUUAGUGUUCCAUGCAUGCUAUGCCUUCGUUCUUGCCAUGUGUAGCUAGCACAUUGUGCCUUCUUGCUGGUUAUAUGCUUUCCUUGCCAUGACUUGCACCGUAGUGAGUGCAUCGAGCUCGUUUACAUGCCUUCGUGAGUUAUAUUUCAGCGUGUCUCAGUUUUCACUAAGUCUGAAAACUGAUUGUGUUCGAGCUAUGUUCGUGAGCUCGGUAGAGUAUUUUGUGAACCCUUUUGGCCCCAGGUCACUUUGGGUGUUUUGUUAAGCUUGUUGAGUAGCUCCAUGCCAUGUUCUUACUUGUCAUGUUCAGGUUUUCUAUCAUGUUGUUUUGCUGCUCCGAAGAGAGCAUCGUGAUCUGAAAUUUCAGACUACUGUUAAUUUCACUAAGUCUGGAAUCUGUUUUGCAUUUGCGUUUUAGCCAUGCUUGUUUGAACCUCUUAAUGGAUGAAUUUGCCUAUGGCUCAGUGCUAGUGUUUUGUCAACCAUCUUGUGUACAUCAUUGCCAUGUAUUUUGUUUUCAUGUUUGGUGGUUGUAGCAUGUUCAUUUUGUUGCAUUUAGAUGCCUACUUGCUGUAAAUCGCAGACCGGUGUCAUAUCUUAAAACGCUUGCCAUUUCCAAACCGUAGCUCCGAUUCCUAUGAUCUUUAUAUCGUUUUCAAGCGAUUUCAUCCCCUCUAUCCAGUGGCACACUUGGUUUUUUCCAAGUUGAUGCCAGGUUCAUGCAUUUCCUGUCAUAUCUCGCAUUUUGCAUCCCGCAUCGCAUCCCGCAUAGCAUAUCGUCAUUUCAUCAUAUUGCUUGGACUUGCCCGUGGUUGAUUGUAUCCUUGUUGCUUGUUUGUCUUGUUGGGUAGAGCCGGGAGACGAGUUCGCUACCGAGGAGCCCGUUGAGUUUGCUUGUGAGGAUCCAGUCAACUCUGACAACUGUGCAGGCAAGAUGAUCAUACCCUCGAAAUCACUACUAUCUUUGUUAUGCUAGAUUGCUCGCUCUUUUGCUUUGCCACUGCUACGAUGCCUACCAUUUGCUUGUCAGCCUCCCAAUUGCCAUGUUGAACCUCUAACCCACCAUUGACCUAGCAAACCGUUGAUUGGCUAUGUUACCGCUUUGCUCAGCCCUUCUUAUAGCGUUGUUAGUUGCAGGUGAAGGUUGGAGCCGUUCCUUGUUGGAACAUUUAUUUUACUUGUUGGGAUAUCAUUAUAUUGCUAUGUUAUCUUAAUGCAUCUAUAUACUUGGUAAAGGGUGGAAGGCUCGGCCUCUCGCCUAGUGAUUUGUUCCACUCUUGCCGCCCUAGUUUCCGUCAUAUCGGUGUUAUGUUCCCGGAUUGUGCGUCCCUUACGCGGUUGGGCUAUAAUGGGAACCCCUUGAUAGUUCGCCUUGAUUAAAGCUUUUCCAGCAAUGCCCAACAUUGGUUUUACCAUUUGCCACCUAGCCUCUUUUUCCCUUGGGUUUCCGGAGCCCGAGGGUCAUCUUAUUUUAACCCCCCGGGCCAGUGCUCCUCUGAGUGUUGGUCCGAACCAGGCAGCCUGCGGGGCCACCUCGGGGAAACUCGAGGGUUGGUUUUACUCGUAGCUUGACCUAUCCGAGCGUGCCCUGAGAAAGAGAUAUGUGCAGCUCCUAUCGGGAUUUGUCGGCACAUUCGGGCCGUGUUGCUGGACUUGUUUUAACCUGUCGAAUCAUCUUGUUGUACCAAGAUACCGAGUAUGAUCGUUGUGUCUUGGGUGGAGGUCUAUUCCUUCGUUGACCGUGAGAGCUUGUUAUGGGCUAAGUUGGGACCCCCCUGCAGGGAUUGAUCUUUCGAAAGCCGUGCCCGCGGUUAUGGGCAGAUGGAAAUUUGUUAAUGUCCGGUUGUAGAUAACUUUAACUUAACUUAAUUAAAAUGAAUCAACCGUGUGUGUUACCGUGAUGGCCCCUUCUCAGCGGAGUCCGGGAAGUGGACACGGUGUUGGAGUUAUGCUUGUGCAGGUUGUUCCUUUAGCUUCUCGCUCGUGCUUCGCCUUCUCUUCUCGCUCUCUUUUGCGUAUAAGUUAGCCACCACAUAUGCUAGUCGCUUGCUGCAGCUCCACAUAUAUUUGCCUUAUCCAUUCCUAUGAGCUUAAAUAGUUUUGAUCGCGUGGGUGUGAGAUUGCUGAGUCCCUAUGGCUCACAGAUACUACAACUCCAGAUGCAGGUCCAGGUGUUUCUGCUCCAGUUGACGAUUACGAGCUCAAGUGGGAGUUCGACGAGGACUCUCAGCGAUACUACGUAUCUUUUCCGGAUGAUCAGUAGUGGUGCCUAGUUGGGGUUAUCGAUUCAGGACCUUGUCGCUCGUUGGGUUCUUUUCUAUUUUGGCGCCGUAGUCGGGCCAUGAGUGUUUGUUUGAUGGAUGUUAUUUAUGUACUCUGAUGUGACGUGGCGAGUGUAAGCCAACUAUGUUAUCUCCCGCUUUUAUUAUAUAUUACAUGGGAUGUUGUAAUGAUUGCCUGACUUGCGACAUUGCUUUCAAUGCGGUUAUGCCUCUAAGUCAUGCCUCGACACGUGGGAGCUAUAGCCGCAUCGAGGGCGUUACAAGUUGGUAAUCAGAGCCUUCCCCGACCUUAGGAGCCCCAUUGCUUGAUCGUUUUUAGCAGCCGAGUUGUGUCUAGAAAAAUGUUUUGAGUCAUUUAGGAAUUAUAUAUCGGAGAGUUAGGAAUUCUUUUUACUUCCCAGUCUCCUCAUCGCUCUGGUAAGGCAUCCUGGCGUAGAGUUUUGACUCUUCUCUUCUCAAAUUUCACUAAAAAAAUUUUAGGAUCACGCGAGUAUCUUGGUUUUGUUCCAAUGGUUUUGUGACGAGAACAUUGUUCUUGGUGCCUCCUGUCUUUAGGGGUUGUGGCAGUGUCCCGGGGAGUUGAGCUCCGAGGUGUUGUCGUCACAAUUUUAUCGUUGCAAUUCUGGUAUACUUGAGAUAUGUUCGCCGACAUCGAAAAUCUCUUUUAUGCAGUUCGUUGGUGAGAUAACCUCGACGCCACCCAGUACUGGGGCGGGAGUUCGGGAGUAUCGCCAUAACUUGUAUAACGGAUGCUUUUCGAAGGUUGAGGUAGAUGGUUUCCGAAGUUUUCUUGGUUAUGUGUUGAAGGAUGGAUACAGCUGGAUGUAGGAUUUGCUAGUUUGGGUGAGAUAUUGUGCUUCCCCUGUAUCCCCAACACCUGAUUGCAUAACCGGAAAGGUUCGGGAGUUUCAUAGGUGGGAAUUCUAGUAGCUCUAGUUCUUCUUCCACGGAUAUUGGUUUGAGAUUGGGAUUUCUUACCGAUUAUUCGUUCUUGAUCCGUACCUUGUUGAAUUAUUUCUCUUCCUUAAUUCUUCGUGGCUUCUCAAUUUAUGGAUAUGUGACCAUUUGAAGAGGAAUGCAUUCGUUCAUUUUGUUCGGAUGUGAAGACUAUAUGUUGCAAUUUUCAUUCCGUUGGAUUCAGCUUCUAUAUUGUUGUCUAUCUAUGUGCUAAUGGUGGUCAACCUCUUCAGGAUGGCUCCUCCAACGCGCACGACUCCGAAUCCUGAUCCGCCUCCACCUCCGCCUCCUCCGGAAGCAUGGCAAGCUGUGAUGGCCGCUACUAAUGCAAAUACACAGUUGAUCAUGCAAAUCCUCCAAGAGCGCAAUCAAGGCAGUCAAGGGAAUCAAGGCCACAAUCAGCACCACUUUGCUACUCUGAACCAGUUCCUCGCAAAUGGCCCAAAGACGUUCAGCGGUUGUGUUGAGGCUACCGAUGCUGACGAUUGGCUAGUGGAUCUGGGCAAGCAUUUUGAAUGCAGCAAUGUCAGGCCUGAAGAUUUCGUCAAGUUCGCUUCUUUCCAGCUCAAAGAUCAGGCUGCAGAGUGGUUCCAGCAGUACAAGGAUUCCAGAGGUGGACGUGUUAUCACUUGGGACGAUUUCCGUCAAGAUUUCCGCGCUCAUCACAUCCCUCAAAGUGUGGUUGAGAGUAAGCGUCAGGAAUUCCGCAAUCUGAAGCAAGGCUCUUUGUCUGUCUAUGACUACAACAAGUUGUUCCAGAAGCUCGCCCGUUUUGCCAAGCAGGAUGUUCCUGAUGAGAAGAGCAUGAUCUAUCAGUUCAGGGGUGGUCUUCGUGAGGAAAUUCAGCUCGCUCUUGUCCUCUUUGAGCCGUUGAGAUACGAUGAGUUCUACAACAUGGCACUGAAGCAAGAGGCUGCUCAGAUGAGGUGUGAUGCUUCCAGGAAGCGUGCCAGAGAUGUUACUCCGUCUUCCUCUACUCAAGUGGUCAAGCAGCAGAAGUAUUGGCUUCCUCCUCCUCCGUUCCGUCAGCCGUAUCAGCAGAAGAGUAAAGGUGGCAGUGGUUUCUCCCACCCACCCAACCCAGGCUUUCAGAACAAGUCUUCGUCUCAAGCUCCAAGAUCGAGUGCUCCGUAUCACCGUCCGCUUUCAGAGGUCACGUGCAACAAGUGCCAACAGAAGGGUCACUAUGCCAACAAGUGUACCAACCAGAGGCGUCUUCCUCCUCCUCCUCCUGUCAGAUCGGCAAGUACAGCUGUGGUCAAGCACAAUCCCAAGCACGCCAAGGUCAAUAUGCUGAAUGCAGCUCAGGCUGAGGAUUCUUCAGAUGUCAUUAUGGGUAACCUUCCUAUUAAUGAUAUUCCUGCAAAAGUUCUUUUUGACACGGGUGCAUCGCAUUGUUUCAUGUCAAAGCCAUUUUUUACCAAGCAUGAGUUCGUUUCUUCUCAUUUGGGUAAACAUAUGGAUAGCAUUUCUCCUGGCAAACGUUUGAGCGCAAGUCUGGAGGUGCCAGAUGUCGCUAUCACGAUGGGAGAUUUCAAGUUUCUUGCUUCUCCUAUGGUUCUUGGUAACUCGGAUAUCGAUCUUAUUCUCGGGAUGGACUGGCUCUCUAAGCAUAAAGCUCAGCUUGAUUGUGCAGCCAGGCAGAUUCAACUGACUCAUUCGUCUGAGGAUGUCAUUGUCUUUGCCGCUCGGGAUAAUUACAUCCGGUUGUUUUCUCUCAAUGAGAAGGGUGAAUUGGAUGCUAUUUCGCAGAUUCCGGUUGUUUGUGAGUAUCAAGACGUUUUUCCAGAAGAACUUCCAGGAAUGCCUCCGCACCGGCCAGUUGAAUUUGUUAUUGAACUUGAGCCCGGUACGGAACCUGUGUGCAAACGUCCUUACAAGCUCGGCCCCGAAGAGUUGAAGGAGUUGAAGAAACAACUCGAUGAGCAAGAAAGAUUGGGUCUCAUUCGGCCUAGUACUUCUCCGUGGGGUUGUGGUGUUCUUUUUGUGAAGAAGAAGGAUGGAAUGAGUCGACUUUGUGUUGAUUACCGUCCAGUAAACAAGAAGACCAUCAAGAACAAAUACCCACUUCCCAACAUCAAUGAGCUGUUCGAACAACUCAAGGGUGCUCAAGUAUUCUCCAAGCUUGAUCUCCGUAUGGGUUAUCAUCAGAUUCGUAUUCGUGAGCAAGAUAUUCCCAAGACGGCGUUCAGAACAAGCUUUGGUUCAUAUGAAUACACCGUCAUGUCUUUUGGCCUCGCCAACGCUCCUCCGACGUUCUCUCGCAUGAUGAACUUCAUCUUCAGCCCCUACACCAAUGAAUUCGUUUUGGUCUAUCUCGACGACAUUCUGGUUUUCUCGAAGAACAAGGAAGAUCAUGCCAAGCACUUGCGUUUGGUACUUGACAAGCUCAGAGAACAUCAGUUCUACGCCAAGUUCUCCAAGUGUGAAUUUUGGCUCGAUGAAGUUCUUUAUCUUGGUCAUAUCAUCUCUGCCAAGGGCAUUUCCGUGAAUCCUGAGAAGGUGUCUGCAAUUGUGAAUUGGGAACCUCCUCAGAACGUGAAGCAACUCCGAAGUUUCCUCGGUCUCGCAAGCUAUUGCAGAAGAUUCGUUGAAAACUUUUCUAAGAUCGCCAAGCCUCUCUCAAAUCUUCUUCAGAAGCACGUCAAGUACGUUUGGUCUCCGGAGUGUGAUAUUGCUUUCAACACUUUGAAAGAGAAAUUGAUCACUGCUCCAGUUCUGACUCCGCCUGAUGAAACCAAGCCGUACGAGGUCUUUUGUGAUGCCUCUCUCCAAGGUCUCGGUGCUGUACUGAUGCAAGAGAAGAAAGUUGUUGCUUAUACCUCUCGCCAGUUGAAGCCUAAUGAGAAGAACUACCCCACUCAUGAUCUUGAGUUGGCGGCAGUUGUGCACGCUUUGUUGACUUGGAGACAUCUUCUAUUGGGAAGGAAAGUGGAUAUUUUCACUGAUCACAAGAGUCUCAAGUACAUCUUCACACAGCCUAAUCUCAACCUCAGGCAGACUCGAUGGGUCGAAAUGAUUCAAGAGUACAAUCCGAGUAUCGAGUAUACUCCAGGCAAGGCUAAUGUGAUUGCUGACGCGUUGAGUAGAAAAGCAUAUUGCAACAGUCUGAUUCUCAAGCCUUAUCAACCCGAGCUUUGUGAAGCUUUCCGCAAGCUUAAUCUGCAAGUUGUUCCUCAAGGUUUCCUCGCCAACCUUCAAGUUUCUCCUACCUUGGAAGACCAGAUUCGCCAAGCCCAACUUCUUGAUGCUAUGGUGAAAAAGGUGAAGAUUGGUAUUGCAAAGAGUCAGUCCAAGUACAAGUGCUACCGACUUGAUGACAAGGACACUCUCUUCUUCGAGGAUCGAAUUGUUGUGCCCAAAGGUGAACUUCGUAAGGUGAUCAUGAACGAGGCUCACAACUCUCUCCUCUCCAUCCACCCUGGUAGUACGAAGAUGUAUCAGGACCUCAAGCAAACUUAUUGGUGGACUCGAAUGAAGCGCGAGAUCGCUCAAUUCGUGAACGAGUGUGAUGUCUGCAGAAGAGUGAAGGCAGAACACCAAAGGCCAGCAGGUCUCCUCCAACCUCUUGCCAUUCCAGAAUGGAAGUUUGACCACAUUGAAAUGGACUUCGUGACUGGGUUUCCAAAGUCCAAGCGUGGCAAUGAUGCUAUAUUCGUCGUCAUCGACAAGCUCACCAAAGUGGCUCACUUUCUGCCUAUCAAAGAGUCAAUCACUGCAGCUCAAUUGGCGGAACUCUAUACCUCUCGCAUUGUCUCUCUGCAUGGUAUUCCUCAAGUGAUAUCUUCAGACCGUGGUAGCAUCUUUACCUCCAAGUUUUGGGAUUCUUUUCAGAAGGCCAUGGGCACCAACAUCCGCUUCAGCACAGCUUUCCAUCCUCAAACGAGCGGUCAAGUCGAGCGUGUCAAUCAGAUUCUUGAAGAUAUGCUCAGGGCUUGUGUGAUCUCCUUCGGCAUGAAGUGGGAGGACUGUCUUCCUUAUGCUGAAUUCUCAUACAACAACAGCUUUCAAGCAAGUUCGGGCAAAGCCCCUUUUGAAAUUCUAUAUGGCAGGAAGUGCCGUACCCCUCUCAACUGGUCUGAAACCGGUGAACGUCAGCUGCUGGGCAAUGACCUAAUCACAGAGGCAGAAGAAAUGUGCAAAGUCAUUCGUGAUAACCUCAAAGCAGCCCAGUCCCGCCAGAAGAGCUACUAUGAUAGUAAGAACCGUGAAUUGGCUUUCGAGAUCGGAGAUCACGUUUACCUCCGCGUCUCUCCUAUGAAAGGUACUCGUCGCUUCGGUAUCAAAGGGAAGCUUGCCCCUAGAUACGUGGGACCUUUCAAGAUUGUCAGCAAGAGAGGCGACCUCGCCUAUCAACUCGAGCUUCCUUCAAACUUUGCAAAUGUUCAUGAUGUGUUCCAUGUCUCUCAGCUUCGAAAGUGCUUCAAGACUCCUGACCGCACCGUCAACUUCGAGGACAUUGAGCUCCAAGAAGAUCUCUCCUAUCGUGAGCACCCAGUUGCUAUUCUUCAAGAGACUGAACGCAAGACUCGCAACAAGUCAAUCAAAUUCCUCAAAGUCAAGUGGUCUCACCAUUCCGACCGUGAAGCUACCUGGGAACGCGAGGAUCACCUCCGUUCUGAGUACCCGGAGUUCUUUCAGUCCUAGAUCUCAGGAUGAGAUCUUUUCGUAGUGGUGGAGUGUUGUAACGCCCCAGAUAUACUUUCCAUAUUUGUAUCCAACUCUUGCCGUCUCCGGCGCUAAGUUAUAUUUAUUUCUCGGGUUUGGGUCUUUGUCUCUGUGUGUUGUUUUUCUUUUUCGUGCAUCUCUUAUCAUGUCAUCACGUGCAUUGCAUUUGCAUACAUGUUCAUCUCAUGCAUUCGAGCUUUUUCCCCGUUGUCCGUUUUGCAUUCCGGCGCUUCGUCCUCCUCCGGUGGUCAUUUCUAGUCUUCUUUCGUGUGUGGGGUUUAAACAUUUCUGGAUUGGACCGAGACUUGCCAAGCGGCCUUGGUUUACUACCGGUAGACCACCUGUCAAGUUUCGUAUCAUUUGGACUUCGUUUGAAACUCCAACGGUUAACCGAGGGACCGAAAAGGCCUCGUGUGUGUUGCAACCCAACACCCCUCCAAAUUUGGCCCAAACCCCACCAAACUCUGCUCCAUCGUCUCAGUCGUUCGAUCACGAUCGUGUGGGCGAAAACCGUACCUCAUUUGGACUCUCCUAGCUCCACUUAUGCAUAUAUAUACACCCCCUCCGAAAUCCACGGUUCUUCUCCCCCCUAACCCUAGAUCCAACUCCUCCCGCCGCCGCCGGACAAAAAUCGCGCGCCGGACGUGUCCGCUUGGCUCCGCGGGACGAAUCCGCCGCCGCCACGUGUCCCGGGGCCGGUCCCCAGUUCGCCGCCGCCCGCGGGCCCNNNNNNNNNNNNNNNNNNNNNNNNNNNNNNNNNNNNNNNNNNNNNNNNNNNNNNNNNNNNNNNNNNNNNNNNNNNNNNNNNNNNNNNNNNNNNNNNNNNNNNNNNNNNNNNNNNNNNNNNNNNNNNNNNNNNNNNNNNNNNNNNNNNNNNNNNNNNNNNNNNNNNNNNNNNNNNNNNNNNNNNNNNNNNNNNNNNNNNNNNNNNNNNNNNNNNNNNNNNNNNNNNNNNNNNNNNNNNNNNNNNNNNNNNNNNNNNNNNNNNNNNNNNNNNNNNNNNNNNNNNNNNNNNNNNNNNNNNNNNNNNNNNNNNNNNNNNNNNNNNNNNNNNNNNNNNNNNNNNNNNNNNNNNNNNNNNNNNNNNNNNNNNNNNNNNNNNNNNNNNNNNNNNNNNNNNNNNNNNNNNNNNNNNNNNNNNNNNNNNNNNNNNNNNNNNNNNNNNNNNNNNNNNNNNNNNNNNNNNNNNNNNNNNNNNNNNNNNNNNNNNNNNNNNNNNNNNNNNNNNNNNNNNNNNNNNNNNNNNNNNNNNNNNNNNNNNNNNNNNNNNNNNNNNNNNNNNNNNNNNNNNNNNNNNNNNNNNNNNNNNNNNNNNNNNNNNNNNNNNNNNNNNNNNNNNNNNNNNNNNNNNNNNNNNNNNNNNNNNNNNNNGGAGCACCUCGCCCCGCCGCCCCAAGCCCUCGCCGGCGCCCGCGCCAGGGAGAGGAGCUCCCGGCUCCGGCGACCGCCCGCCGCGCCGCUUCCUCCUCGCCGUCCGGCCCCCCUCCCCGCUCCGGUUACUUCCUCUCCGGCCGCCGCCGUCGUCUACAGGAAUCCCGGCGAGAUCCGCCGCCGUCUCGGGCCGCGUGCCCGAACCCUAGAUCUGGAUCCUGGGGUAGUUUUUUUUCACNNNNNNNNNNNNNNNNNNNNNNNNNNNNNNNNNNNNNNNNNNNNNNNNNNNNNNNNNNNNNNNNNNNNNNNNNNNNNNNNNNNNNNNNNNNNNNNNNNNNNNNNNNNNNNNNNNNNNNNNNNNNNNNNNNNNNNNNNNNNNNNNNNNNNNNNNNNNNNNNNNNNNNNNNNNNNNNNNNNNNNNNNNNNNNNNNNNNNNNNNNNNNNNNNNNNNNNNNNNNNNNNNNNNNNNNNNNNNNNNNNNNNNNNNNNNNNNNNNNNNNNNNNNNNNNNNNNNNNNNNNNNNNNNNNNNNNNNNNNNNNNNNNNNNUUCAUUCCAUUGCAUCAUUUGCAUUUGAGGUCAUCUUGAUCCCCAAAAUGCUGUUAGAAGGAGGCUUCGUGAGUUAAAUUGCAGAUCCGUUAGUUCAUCAUGCACUUUUGUCAUUUUUGCUAUGUUUAAUUCGUGCAUGAUAUGCCUGUGCCCCUUUGGGAUGAAUUGUUAAGCAUUUUGUCUUCUUUCCAGAGGUGUCACCCAUGCAUUUUUAGGAUGUGUGUGUUGUCUUGUGCAAUCUUGCGAAGAGAGGUACCUGAGAAUGCAGAUUUCAGGGACUUGGUGAUUUUCACUAAGUCUGGGAUAUUUUAGUUCAUGAUGCUAUAUGUCCAGCUUGUUUCCUAGUGAUCCGUGCCUCUUUUGAGGAUGAUCAGUAAGGGAGUUUUGAUAUUUAAGUUAUGCUCUAUCUAUCCGUGUCUUUGUUUGCAUAUGUGGAGUGCUCUAGGUUUACUCAAUCGAACUCAACUUUUGCUUCGUUGUUAAUCUGGGCAGAUCGUCAACUUGUUUGCGAUUUUGCCGAUGCUACCGUUAGUGUUCCAUGCAUGCUAUGCCUUCGUUCUUGCCAUGUGUAGCUAGCACAUUGUGCCUUAUUGCUGGUUAUAUGCUUUCCUUGCCAUGACUUGCACCGUAGUGAGUGCAUCGAGCUCGUUUACAUGCCUUCGUGAGUUAUAUUUCAGCGUGUCUCAGUUUUCACUAAGUCUGAAAACUGAUUGUGUUCGAGCUAUGUUCGUGAGCUCGGUAGAGUAUUUUGUGAACCCUUUUGGCCCCAGGUCACUUUGGGUGUUUUGUUAAGCUUGUUGAGUAGCUCCAUGCCAUGUUCUUACUUGUCAUGUUCAGGUUUUCUAUCAUGUUGUUUUGCUGCUCCGAAGAGAGCAUCGUGAUCUGAAAUUUCAGACUAGUGUUAAUUUCACUAAGUCUGGAAUCUGUUUUGCAUUUGCGUUUUAGCCAUGCUUGUUUGAACCUCUUAAUGGAUGAAUUUGCCUAUGGCUCAGUGCUAGUGUUUUGUCAACCAUCUUGUGUACAUCACUGCCAUGUAUUUUGUUUUAAUGUUUGGUGGUUGUAGCAUGUUCAUUUCGUUGCAUUUAGAUGCCUACUUGCUGUAAAUCGCAGACCGGUGUCAUCUCUUAAAACGCUUGCCAUUUCCAAACCGUAGCUCCGAUUCCUAUGAUCUUUAUAUCGUUUUCAAGCGAUUUCAUCCCCUCUAUCCAGUGGCACACUUGGUUUUCCAAGUUGAUGCCAGGUUCAUGCAUUUCCUGUCAUAUCUCGCAUUUUGCAUCCCGCAUCGCAUCCCGCAUAGCAUAUCGUCAUUUCAUCAUAUUGCUUGGUCUUGCCCGUGGUUGAUUGUAUCCUUGUUGCUUGUUUGUCUUGUUGGGUAGAGCCGGGAGACGAGUUCGCUACCGAGGAGCCCGUUGAGUUUGCUUGUGAGGAUCCAGUCAACUCUGACAACUGUGCAGGCAAGAUGAUCAUACCCUCGAAAUCACUACUAUCUUUGCUAUGCUAGAUUGCUCGCUCUUUUGCUUUGCCACUGCUAUGAUGCCUACCAUUUGCUUGUCAGCCUCCCAAUUGCCAUGUUGAACCUCUAACCCACCAUUGACCUAGCAAACCGUUGAUUGGCUAUGUUACCGCUUUGCUCAGCCCUUCUUAUAGCGUUGUUAGUUGCAGGUGAAGGUUGGAGCCGUUCCUUGUUGGAACAUUUAUUUUACUUGUUGGGAUAUCAUUAUAUUGCUAUGUUAUCUUAAUGCAUCUAUAUACUUGGUAAAGGGUGGAAGGCUCGGCCUCUCGCCUAGUGAUUUGUUCCACUCUUGCCGCCCUAGUUUCUGUCAUAUCGGUGUUAUGUUCCCGGAUUGUGCGUCCCUUACGCGGUUGGGCUAUAAUGGGAACCCCUUGAUAGUUCGCCUUGAUUAAAGCUUUUCCAGCAAUGCCCAACAUUGGUUUUACCAUUUGCCACCUAGCCUCUUUUUCCCUUGGGUUUCCGGAGCCCGAGGGUCAUCUUAUUUUAACCCCCCCGGGCCAGUGCUCCUCUGAGUGUUGGUCCGAACCAGGCAGCCUGCGGGGCCACCUCGGGGAAACUCGAGGGUUGGUUUUACUCGUAGCUUGACCUAUCCGAGCGUGCCCUGAGAAAGAGAUAUGUGCAGCUCCUAUCGGGAUUUGUCGGCACAUUCGGGCCGUGUUGCUGGACUUGUUUUAACCUGUCGAAUCAUCUUGUUGUACCAAGAUACCGAGUCUGAUCGGUGUGUCUUGGGUGGAGGUCUAUUCCUUCGUUGACCGUGAGAGCUUGUUAUGGGCUAAGUUGGGACCCCCCUGCAGGGAUUGAUCUUUCGAAAGCCGUGCCCGCGGUUAUGGGCAGAUGGGAAUUUGUUAAUGUCCGGUUGUAGAUAACUUUAACUUAACUUAAUUAAAAUGAAUCAACCGUGUGUGUUACCGUGAUGGCCCCUUCUCAGCGGAGUCCGGCAAGUGGACACGGUGUUGGAGUUAUGCUUGUGCAGGUUGUUCCUUUAGCUUCUCGCUCGUGCUUCGCCUUCUCUUCUCGCUCUCUUUUGCGUAUAAGUUAGCCACCACAUAUGCUAGUCGCUUGCUGCAGCUCCACAUAUAUUUGCCUUAUCCAUUCCUAUGAGCUUAAAUAGUUUUGAUCGCGUGGGUGUGAGAUUGCUGAGUCCCUGUGGCUCACAGAUACUACAACUCCAGAUGCAGGUCCAGGUGUUUCUGCUCCAGUUGACGAUUACGAGCUCAAGUGGGAGUUCGAUGAGGACUCUCAGCGAUACUACGUAUCUUUUCCGGAUGAUCAGUAGUGGUGCCUAGUUGGGGUUAUCGAUUCAGGACCUUGUCGCUCGUUGGGUUCUUUUCUAUUUUGGCGCCGUAGUCGGGCCAUGAGUGUUUGUUUGAUGGAUGUUAUUUAUGUACUCUGAUGUGACGUGGCGAGUGUAAGCCAACUAUGUUAUCUCCCCCUUUUAUUAUAUAUUAAAUGGGAUGUUGUAAUGAUUGCCUGACUUGCAACAUUGCUUUCAAUGCGGUUAUGCCUCUAAGUCGUGCCUCGACACGUGGGAGCUAUAGCCGCAUCGAGGGCGUUACAGCAUGUGCCGACCCAAACACGGAAGCGGGCGUGGGUGUCCGUCGAGCCGACCCAAACGGACAAAAGGUGAACAAAAUCGACGUCCGUUUGAGUCGGCGCGUUGAAGUUAGCUCUUAUUACAUGCGUAUGCAGUAUGCUAACUAGACUAGAAAUCGCACUAGUUUGAAACUUGAAACUGACCGUGCAGCUCAUUAGAAAGAGCAGGCUAGCUAGGUUUUCACUGCACCGUAUCCGUAUGCAUGUGCGCGUGCUAAGUUUUUACGUUUUUGUCAAUCUGCAAAGAAAUUGAGUGUGCCACACGCCCACACCUCAUUGCCAAAGAGGGUAUGGGUGUUUCGCGGUAGUUUCCUUCGUCACUGCCAUGAGAUGAACCGGACACUCCUUCCUGUUUUUUUAGAAAAGGAGGAAGCACCCCCGGCCUCUGCAUCUGGAUGAUACAUACGGCCACUUUAUUAAUUAUUAAGCACAAAAGACCUUACAAAGUAAUACAUCAAUAAGCCUGAAGCCACCAUCUAGGCAACAUCUAUCGCUACUCCUACCCCUUGAUGCAGUGGUGCCGAAUGUCCGAGUCUAAUACCAAAGACGUCGCACCAAAUUCUAACAUCUAAUGCCGGAUGCCCCAUCCUAGCCACAUACCAGGACUGGGUCACACGCCGGUCCGGCGCACUCACCGAGGCUGCCGCCGCCUUCUUCCACCGAUCCAUCUCCAGAGCAGGUACUGACGCACAGACCUUGCCAGACCUGCCGUCGACGCCACCAUGGCGCCAGACAGCUCGACCACCCUGCGCUCGUCCAUCCAGCCGCAUCCGUCGUCGAUAUGCAGCUACACCAUGCUGCCACCACUCGUCGUCAAAGACGCGGUAGAUACAACACCGCACCACCUGGCAACCUCCACACCAUCGCCACUGCUGGAGCUACUCGGAGCCCACCAUCCACGACAUCUCUCCCCCGAACAGCAGUUCCUCCCAAGACGGCGCCUCCAUGGAGGAUACGACGCGCAGGACGCCGCCGCCGCCCAAUCCAGACUGAAUUUUGGACAUUCGUCCGGGAGGGGUUCGGGGGUGGAUAGGGGGGACCUCGGCUUCGCCUCCAGGAAGGGUAAUGGCGUCAAGUGACGUCGCCGAUGCCGGGCCAAACACGCCGACCAAAGUUUCCUCCGGUCCCCAUCCUAUGCCACCAAACCUCCGUGUACUCCGGAUCCGGCAAGCCACGAUCCGAAACCCGCGAAGAUGAAAGAGCCAUGGGGCUCAACUCACCAGAAAGGAGGAUCGAGAAGAGCUCCUUGUAGAUCUCUAGACGCCGAAUCUAACGAUCCGACGUGGCCAGCGACGAUCAUCACCACCCCGCCGCGGCCGACGGAGUCCGAAGAAAGGAUCCAGAUGUUACCCCUAAUCUAGAGCUCGAUCUAUGGCGAUGAGAAAGGAGGGAGUCUGAACUUUUGUGCAGCGCACUAAACUGCUGCGUUUUCUUCUUCCUUUAUUCACUGAUAAACUGGGAAACCGGAUCGAGGACCAUCCCCUCUACUGGAUGGUGCCAUCCCACGAUCAGGGGCGUGCUCUCGCCGUGAGCUGCGGCCGCGGGAUCGCACAGAUUGCGUCCUCGGGCUCUCUAACUGAAACCGAUAAAACAGCUAACUAACCUGACAGCUAACUAAAAGUACUAGGCUGCCGUGGCAGCCCUGACUACUUGUCACGCUAGAUUAUUAGCCAACGAUCUCCCCCUAAGCUAGUCGUGACAUAAAACUUAAACUUCAACCAUACCAAUGCAUGCACGAAGCUGCUGAAACCGCGUGCGCCCUAGUGACUUUGUGAAGAUGUCCGCAAGCUGAUCACCCGUGGUGAUGUGCUCUACCAUGAUCUUGCCUUCUUCCACACACUUGCGGAUGAAAUGGAAUCGAACGUCGAUGUGCUUGCUGCGAUCAUGGAACACCGGGUUCUUGCACAACUGAAUUGCAGACUUGUUGUCGAUGAGGAUGGUGGUGGCACCGGCCUCCUCUUUCAGCAAGUCCCUCAUGAGCCUGACCAAAUCGCUUGAUAUGCCGCCGUAGUUGCUGCCACAUACUCCGCCUCACAUGAUGACAAAGCGACGAUCUUCUGUUUCUGUGACUGCCAGGUGAUCGGUGCUCCUCCCAGGAAGAAAAGAUUGCCGGACAUGCUCUUGCGGUCGUCGAUGUCGCCGGCCAGGUCCGAGUCACUGUACCCAAUGAGCUUUCCCUCACUCUUCUUGACGUACCUGCAGCCAAACUCGCAUGUGCCUGCAAUGUAGCGCAGCAGAUGCUUGACGGCGGCGAGGUGCGCCGUGGUCGGCGCCUCCAUGAAGCGGCUUACGUACCCCACUGCAAACGUGAUGUCCGGGCGUGUGUGCGUGAGGUAGCGAAGCCCUCCGAUGAUCCUGCGGUAGUGGGUGGCGUCCACCCGCGACUCUGGCCCCUCCUUGCUCAGCUUAAGACGCGGCUCCAUGGGGACAUGCACAGGAUUGCAGUCAGCCAUGCCCGCGCGCUCCAAGAGCUCGCCGGCGUACGCCGCCUGUGACAGGGUGAUCUCCCCGUCCCCCUGCUUCACCUCUAUGCCAAGGUAGAAGCUGAGCAGGCCGAGGUCGCUCAUGCGGAACCUGCCCAUCAUCUCUGUCUUGAAGCCCUGAAUCGCCUUGGUGUCGGCUCCGGUGACGACAAGGUCGUCGACGUACACGCCAACCAGGAGCCGAGCUUUCCCUUCGCCGCGCGUGUACAUGGCAUGUUCUGACGGGCAGCUCGUGAACCCAAGUUGCUGCAUAGUGAGGUCGAGCUUGGCGUUCCAGGCCCGCGGUGCCUGCCGCAGCCCGUAGAGUGCCUUGUGGAGGCGAUAAACCUUGUGCUCAUCGCCGCUCCGCACGAAACCAGGGGGUUGCUUGACGUAAACCUCCUCCUUGAGCUCGCCGUUGAGGAAGGCCGACUUGACGUCGAGGUGGUGCAGCUCCCAGCCACGCUGAGCCGCCAUGCCCACCAUGACACGCACGGAGUCCAGUCUGGCCACGGGCGCGAACGCGUCAUCGUAGUCCACGCCCUCCUUCUGCACGAAGCCUCUCGCCACAAGCCUCGCCUUGUGCUUGACCACGACAUCGGUUGCGUCUUUCUUCACUUUGAAGACCCACUUGAGCCCGAUUGCCUGGUGACCUGCUGGCAAGUCAGUCAGUGUCCAUGUAGCAUUCUCCUCGAUCGAAGCCAGCUCAUCUAGCAUGGCACGCCGCCAACAAUCGUGUGGCUCAGCAUCAGCAAAGCAGAGUGGCUCCUCCUCCACUAGCAGUAGCUCCUCGGCCAUCUGCACCAGCUCGUUUGCCCUGUGCAAGACGUCCGAGACGCGGCGGAACCGGUGCGCAAUGGCCGGAUCGUCGUAGGCGUCGAAGAGAUUUGGCUGCAUGGUCGGCGGCGUGACGAAGCCUACUCCCUCCGGGGUGUCCAUGGGCAGCACGCUGCCGCCGGGCGAGUCCACCGUGGAUGCGCUCGUAGCAGUCUGGAGCUCAACUGGUGUCCCCAGCGUCCUGACAGCGGUCUUGGACGCGGCCAGAGUCGCUCCCGUGUCACCAUUGCCUCCUUCGCUCAGGUUGUCCCUGUGUCGUGCAUUCUGUGUGCUCCGGUGACAGACGGGAGCUUGUGAUGGACGACGAGCGGCUCAGCAAUGGGCUCGCCGCCAGCGCCCCAAUCCCAGCUUGCUGCCUCGUCGAACACCACGUCGUGUGAUGCGUACACCCGCUUGGUCAAGGGGUCAUACACGCGGUACGCCUUCGAACCCUCCUCGUAGCCGAUGAAGAUCAUCUUCGUGCUGCGAUCGUCGAGCUUCUUCAGCCCGGGCCGCGUGUUCUUGACGUAGGCGAUGCAGCCGAAGACACGCAGGAAGUGCACAUCGGGAUUCUUGCCGUGCCAAGCCUCGUACAGGGUCUUGCCAUCGACGAUGCGGGUGUACGAUCGGUUGAGGAUGAACACCGUAGUGGCCACGGCCUCCCCCCAAAAGCAGCUCGGCAUAUUCUCCGCCUUGAGCAUGCUCCUGGCCAUGCCCACGACGGUCUGGUUGCAUCGUUCCACGACGCCGUUCUGUUGCGGCGAGUAGGGCGCCGUCAGGUGCCGCUGGAUGCCUUGGUCCGAGAAGUACUCACCGAGCGCUGUCGACGUGAACUCGCCGCCCCGGUCCGUCCGGAACGUGUGCAGCUUAGCUCCCCGCUCUGCCUCUGCUGCGGCGACGAAGUGUCUGAUGCUUGCCGCAGCGGCGUCCUUCGCCGGCAGCAUCAUGGCCCACAUGUAGCGGCUGUGAUCGUCGACGAUGCGCAUGAAGUAGCGCUUGCCUCCCGGAGUGCUCGGGGUGAUUGGCCCGCAUAGAUCGGCGUGCACCAGCUCGAGCGGGUCCUGCGCUCGGUAGCGCGCCUGUGAGGGGAACGGCGCACGCUGCUGCUUCCCCACCAAGCACGCGUCGCACAACUCCUCGGCAUGCUGCACGAGGGGCAUCCCGCGCACCAAGUCCGCGUGCCCCAUGCGCCGGAGGGCGUCGAAGUGUUGGUGACCGAGCCUUGCGUGCCACCUCCAUGCCUCGUCGCCAGCGUGUGCCGCCAGAGAAAUAGGGUGUGAAAUGUCCGAGCGAACCACAUAAAGGCAUUUGCCAUUUUGGCGUACCUGGGCCAGCUCGUGUUGAUGACGAUCGUACAGAGUCAGGAGGCCGCCUUGGAUCUUGACGAUGCAGCCGUGCUCAUCAAGUUGCCCGAGGCUGAUGAUGCUGGAUUUCAAACGCGGGAUGAAGUAGACGUCUGUCAGAGCGCGCUGAUCGCCACUGCGCACGGUGAACGUGAUCGUGUCGUGGCCUUGGAUGGCCACGCUUGAGCCAUCACCAAACCUGACACUUCCAGUGACGGCCUCGUCCAGCUCUGCGAACGCCGUGCAAUCGCCGGUCAUGUGGUUGGACGCGCCGGUGUCCAGGAACCACCGGCCAUCGCACGGCUCCUCGUCCGUGCCUAGGUUCACCUCUGCGCGCUCCUCGUUGAGCGUGAUGUGCUUCCCCGCGGUCGGUGUCGAGUCCGUAGCGAUCACCGCCAUCAGGAGCAUCGGGUCGUCAUCGGGCCCGUCCGCGGCGUGCUCGCCCUGCUCGGCGAGGUUCGCCUCCUCGCGGAUGCGUGUAUGGCACUCACGUGCCCAGUGCCCGUACUUCUUGCAGUGGCGACACUGAUCAGUAGGCUUCGCGCGGCUGCCGGUGUCGCGCCCACCACUGCGUCCACGGCCUCGUCCGUGACGUCCCCCUCCGCGCCCUGACCCGGAGCCACAGCCUCCGGAUCCGUCAUUCUUGUGGCGCCCGAGGCGCGCAUUCCACUCCUCCUCCGUCAUGAGGAGUUGGCCGCCGCUGGUGUUGACGAAGUCGAGGCUGUAGCGCUCCUCCGCCACCUUGAGCCGCCCGACGAGCUCCUCCAUCGGGAGUGUGUCAAGAUCAACAAGCAUCUCAAUAGAGAGCGCGAUCUGGGAGAACUACCGAGGCACGAUAGAGAGAAACUUGCGGACGACCUUCUUCUCUGGAAUCGUCUCUCCAAGGAGACUGAGCUGGUUCACCAUACCUGUCAGACGCAUGGCGAAGUCAUCGAUGCACUUGCCGUCGUUGAACGUCACGACGGUGUACUGCUUGCUGAGAGUCGCUGCCUUGGCCUCCCUCACACGCGCCACGCCAAGGCGCAUGGUCUUGAUGGCCUCCCAGGCCUCCUUUGUCGUGCUCUUGGCCGCAAGAGUCGCCACCUGUCGGUGUCAAAACCGGCGGAUCUCGGGUAGGGGGUCCCGAACUGUGCGUCUAGGCGGAUGGUAACAGGAGACGAGGGACACGAUGUUUUACCCACGUUCGGGCCCUCUUGAUGGAGGUAAAACCCUACGUCCUGCUUGAUUGAUAUUGAUAUUGUGGAUGUUUACAAGAGUGGAUCCACCACGAGAUCAAGGAGGCUAAACCCUAGAAGCUAGCCUAUGGUAUGAUUGUUGUUGUUGUUGUUGUGUCCUACGGACUAGGGCCAUCCGGUUUAUAUAGACACUGGAGAGGGCUAGGGUUACAUAGAGUCGGUUACAAUGGUAGGAGAUCUACAUAUCCGUAUCGCCAAGCUUGUAUUCCACGCCAAGGAAAGUCCCAUCCGGACAUGGGGCGAAGUCUUCAAUCUUGUAUCUUCAUAAUCUUGGAGUCCGGUCGAUGAUGAUAGUCCCGCCGAUGAUAGUCCGGCUGAUGAUGGUAGUCCGCCUAUCCGGACACCCCCUAAUCUAGGACUCCCUCAGUAGCCCCUGAACCAGGCUUCAAUGACGAUAAGUCCGGCGCGUAUAUUGCUUGGCAUUGCAAGGCGGGUUCCUCCUCCGAAUGAUAGAAGAUUGUGAACACCAGGAUAGUGUCCGGCUCUGCAAAAUAAAUUCCACAUUUCACCAUAGAGAGAAUAAUAUAUACACAAGUUCGAUCUGCUGACGUUUUUUGUGGCAUGAUGUCACGCCACUACCAAGCCAUUACUUGAAUCGUUUUUUACUCUACCACCUCAGCGCAUUUAGCGAAGCGGUUUCCUCGGCACGUCUUGUCGAAGCAGAGAUCGUGUUCCCCCUUAAUCCGGGAUUCUCAUCAAUACAGAUGUGGGUAACCCAACCGCGCCAUUGAUGGUGACGCUUGGGGGAUAAGCGAGUUUUACCAGGCCGGUGGGGGACGCAUAGACUUCGCCCUCCCAUAUAAGGGAUAAGGAUUCACCUUUUCACCUACGCCUUCUUCCUCCUUUGCUUAUCCAUCUCCGCACACUCGAGCUCCAGCGCCCAAGCCCGCACAUCCCGUCUCAACCUUCCCCAGUCAUGUCUGGAGCGGGAGGCAAGUGGAUGACCUCCUCCGUUACGGAGGAGCACAUCGAAAGACUGCGCAGCGCCAGAUACCUGUCCGGCGACAUCGCGCACCGGCUGCCCGACGAGGGGCAGCUCAUCCCCACCCCCAGGCCCCAUGAGAGGGUCAUUUUUCUUCCCCACUUCCUUCGCGGACUGGGCUUUCCACUUCACCCCUUUGUCCGGGGGCUCAUGUUCUAUUACGGCCUGGAUUUCCAUGAUCUGGCGCCGAACUUCAUCCUCAACAUAUCGGCAUUUAUCGUCGUGUGCGAGGCCUUCCUCUGCAUCCAGCCCCACUUCGGCUUGUGGCUCAAGACCUUCAAUGUCAAGCCGAAGGUAGUGAAGGGCACUCAAGCGGAGUGCGGAGGCGCCAUGUUGGGCAAGAUGCCCAACGUCCUUUGGUUCGAAGGGGCCUUCGUGGAAUCCGUCAAGGGGUGGCAAUCGGGGUGGUUCUAUAUCACCGAGCCGCGCGACCCUAAGUGGGCGGCGGCCCCCGAGUUCAGAUCUGGUAUCCCCGCGCAGCUCACCUCCUGGAAAGAGAAGGGCUUGCUGUGGGGUAGUUCGGAGGAGGUGACGGGACUCCAAGCCUGUAUCUAGAAGCUGGUGAAGAAGCUCAGGCUGGUUAACGUGGUCCAAGUCAUGCUCGUCCACCGGAUUCUCCCAUGCCAAGAGCGGGCAUUCAAUCUGUGGGAGUUCAAUCCGGAACAGCACCAGGCGCUGAGCGGGCUCUUCGACACGACGUGCGAAGGCGCCUGGAGGGUGCUGUUUAAGGGCGCCGAAGUCCCCGCAUCCGCGACUGAAGAUCGCGGAUUUCACUCGCAGCGCCAAGCCGACGAGGUAAGUGAUUCUACCCCUUUACGGGACACUUGCUUUUCAUAGUUUGACUCUAUGCGGGUUUUAAUUUCCCCUUUUCCUUUGACAGGACUGGAUGAGGAAGGCGGAGCAGAUUAUCUGCCCGGCCCCUAUGCCAGAAAACCCAGUAGACACCCGUCCAGCGAGGCUGCUGGUUCCGGCACCGCACGUGGUGCCGGAGAAGAAGGCCAAGAAGGAGGCCACGGGUGCUCGAAAGAGUUCCCGUUUUCAGGUGUCCGACGACUCCGGGGCGGACUCCUCCCCCGAAAACGAGGAGGAGAAAGUGGACUCUCUCCCAGAGGGGGGAGAGAGGAAGAGGAGGGCUUCCCCCACAGGGGAGGCCGAAGGGUCCAAGAGGGGAAGGACUAUUCCCCCGGACAGCUCCGCCAACAUCAACGUUGGCGAGGAAGAAUGGUCUUCAAGGGCCAGGCCUCCGGCGAGAUCGUAAGUAUCUGGAUUCCUGAAUGAGUUAUAAUUUCUUUUUAUGCGUCACAUAGUGUCAUUCUGAUGCCGCAUGCUGCCUGUAGUCCGGCCAAUGAUGAUCUCCCCGCUUCAUCGAGCGGGUCGUUGGCUCCGUCGGAGGUAGACUCCAUCCCGACCGCCUCCACCCCUCGCGACACCGAGGACGCCGAGGUGGGAUCCCAAGAAGGGGCCCAUCAGGGGGAGGCUCCGGAGGCGCCACGAGGUGGCCUCACGGACUUUGCGCCGGACUCCAUAUCAGAACCCGCAGUGGCUCUGGAGUCCGGCUGGCGGCCCCUUUGCACGAAGGGCAAGACCGUGACGCCGGCGGCUUCCGUCCAACCGGACGCGCCGGAUAAGUUGUUGGAGGUGCUCCAGAGCGCUUCCAUCGAGGAAGAACACCGCACUAUUAUGAGUGCGGUGAUUCAGAAGGUACAGCUUGCCAAGAGCGGGCUGACCGAAGCCUGCAGUAGCCUUCUAUCAGGCUUUGAGGUAAGAAGUUAAAAAUAUACAAUGUAAUACCGCAUAGACAGUAUCCCCUGAUGCUCGAUUCGGUGUUCGGAAAGAAAAGCCGGACUAAGGAUCUGGAAAAAAAAGAUAUACGCAGGGUUGCUAAAAAAUUAUGUCAAUAUGGGUUGCAGGCUGCGCUGCUGACCUCUGCCGCACUGACUGCGGAGGUCGGUGCUUUGAAGCAGGAGCUCGAGUGGUCCGAGCAAGAGCUCGGCCGCGCCAAGAAGCAGCUCCAGGACAAAGAAGGUGAGUGACACCACUUUGAACUUGUACCUUACAGAAAAGGAUUUAGGUUGCAACAAAAGAUAACAAGGAUAACAUGGGUACUGCAGGGGCCACGAACGAGGUGGCGACCCUAAAGGAGGCCGUGUCUGCGGCCGAACGCAAUGCGGCCGCGGAACGAGCAGAGCGAGAAAAGCAGGAGGCGCGGGUGGCGGUGGUUCAGCAAGAGCUCCAGGCUCUCAUGGAAAAGUAUGAGAGUUUGGAGCGUGACUCAAAGACUCAAGAGUCCGAGCUUGCCUCGGCUCUCUAAAGUGCCAAGACUGCCAAGGCCGAUGCCCAUAAGUCCCUUCAGGAGAUUGAGUUGGUCAGGAAGAUAGCGGCGGGUAAGGCAUUUUUCAUGCAAAGCAAGCAUGUGAAUGUAAAUUACGUGUUACUUACCCGUAUUCGGAGCUCUCCAGGGGCAUUUGCAGAUCUGCCUCGCAGUGUAUCUGAUGCCGCCGCAUUCUAUCGAGCCGAGGAGGGGAGCUCAACAGAGAAGGUCUUCUGGUCUCAGUAUGCUGAGGCCGGCCAUCCAGUGCCCCCUAGCGACCAGCUGAAGCAGCUGGUCAAGCUCCACAAGGCGGCCGAGGAGGGCAUGAAGGGCCUCAUAGUCUGGCUGUGGCCUGGAGAGGCCAUGCCUGGGAGCUACUUCGGCCUCGUGAGACAGUUGGUGGAUGUGUGCCCCUGGGUGGAGGUUAUCAAGCGCUCCGCCUGUACUGAAGGUGCUCGUCGGGCCCUUGCCCGCGCAAAAGUGCAUUGGGGCAAGCUGGAUGCGGAGAAGCUAAUCACUGACGCGCCACCAGCGGGCAAGGAAUAUCGUACGCCUGAAAUGUACUAUAGGACUGUCCUGAAGGGUGCCCGCAAGAUUGCGGAUGAGUGCCCCAGGGAUGUAAUUAUUGAGUAAAUUCGCAAUGUUAUCCUGUGCGCUGAAAACUUUGUUCAUAUGCGCUAAGCAACGCUUGUUAAUUUAAAAUAUUACCUUAUGUGCGGCCGUUUAUUAAAUCUGAGAGAUGGCAAGUCGUCGGCUUCAGCCCCCAUGCCACGAGUGCUGGGGUGUUCGGGAUAAACUUGAGCACUCUUGUUCCCAUUUUUGGGUCCAUCUAGGGAGGCGCUCAACACAACGAACAAGGCAACCGGACUUAUAGUGCUUGAACACUCUCACUUAGCCAUAGAAUUCUAUAAUUUUAAAUUUCGGCGAAGCCCCUAGUAUUCAGAAGACCGAAUUAGGGGCGCUAUCCACGCCUUCGUCGGACAUUAUCCGGAACUUCGCUCAAACCGGCGUAGGUCUUUAAGGACCCGAAAGGACCUCUCGAACAGCGACCAGUCUCUCGCCUUAUCAUGACAGUCAGUUUUAGCUUUCUCCACUGAGGCGUUAACCCGGCUCAACUGGGGCGCAAUCACAGUGGUUCUCCCAGUGCUACCUUAGCCGAUAGAACGGAACGUAAGGUGCCAAACAUGGGAGCCGGGAAAACCCAACUAUUGCCCAAGACAUGAUUCGGAGCCGAUUCAUAUAAUGCUAUAAGUUCGGGGUGCCGCACUUGUGAAAGUGUUCGGACUUUAUCACACCAUAAUGCGGGGAACAUAAGCCCCUGGUGUAUUUGGCCGUACCAAAAUGUACGGAUGCAACAUGUCGUAAAUGAACAUAUAUAUAUAAGGUAAUGCAAUUAUGGGCAGAAAGUGCUGCAUUUUAUUCGAGAAGAUCUGUUAUGAGUACGGAAUGAUACAAAUAGUGCGGAAAGCAAGGGAUUGGACGAAUUAAAGGCGUCUCCCUCCAGGGGUAGGCCACGGAAUGGUGUAUUUAACAAAUUUAAUGCUCGUAAUGGAGACCACCUGAGUGUUCGUCGCGGCCUUUGUCCCUCCCUGGCUGUUGCAUCAUGAGUUCGACAGGUUCGCCGCCGGACAGAGUUCUGUAUAAAAGAGAGAGAAAUAAAAGAUAAAAAGAGAGACACACUUGGGAGCCCCUGGUGUGGUCGAAUCGCACUCUGGGUCUGUUGUGGUUGCGCCUCUCCCCCUAUGCCCAUGGUAUCUCCAGGGCGUAAUUAUGUACGCGGAGAGUUUGUCUUACAAUUGAGCGAGGGCUGGGGUUGAGGCCGCAUUGCUACGCGUGCUCGGAACGUGCCAGGUGGUCUUGGUUGAUGUUGCUCCGGGCGCGUUUGGCCGUGUCCGGUCAUUUAACGGCUGGACUCGAAAAUUGCCUUAAAAGGCUGCUCUGUACUUCUGCCGCGAGAGCCGCUGUAUGUUCCUCCGUUCGGAGGGAGCGUUCGGUGUUUCCAUUAACCGUGAUGACUCCACGAGGGCCUGGCAUCUUGAGCUUAAGGUAUGCAUAAUGCGGCACCGCGUUGAAUUUUGCGAACGCGGUUCGUCCGAGCAGAGCGUGAUAGCCACUGUGGAACAGGACGAUGUCGAAGAUUAACUCCUCGCUUCGGAAAUUAUCCGGGGAUCCGAAGACCACUUCCAGUGUAACUGAGCCUGUACAACUGGCCUCGACACCUGGUAUGACGCCUUUGAAGGUUGUCUUUGUAGGUUUAAUCCUUGAAGGGCCUAUGCCCAUCUUGCGCACUGUAUCCUGAUAAAGCAGGUUCAGGCUACUGCCGCCGUCCAUCAGGACUCUCGUGAGGUGAAAUCCAUCGACGAUUGGGUCUAAAACCAAUGCGGUGAAUCCGCCAUGGCGGAUACUAGUCGGAUGGUCUCUUCGAUCGAAAGUGAUCGGGCAAGAGGACCAUGGGUUGGAUUUUGGGGCGACUGGCUCCAUCGCGUAUACGUCCCUUAGUGCACGCUUCCGCUCCCUCUUGGGAAUAUGCGUUGCGUAUACCAUGUUUACCGUCCAAACUUGAGGGGGGAAUCCCUUUUGUCCUCUGUUUUUCGGCGGCCGGGUCUCUUCCUCGUCAUCGCUGUGUAGCACCUUGUCACUGUUUUGGGCGAUCAAUUUGCCUGCCUGCUUGAAUACCCAACAAUCUCUGUUGGUGUGGUUAGCUGGCUUUUCGGGGGUUCCAUGUAUUUGACAGGAGCGGUCGAGUAUUCGGUCCAAAUGGGACGGGCCCGGAGUGGUUCUUUUGAAUGGCUUCUUCCGUUGACCGGGCUUGGAGCCUCGGAAUCCGGCGUUGACUACCGUAUCCUCAUUGUUGUCGCCAUUAAUGCGGUGUUUGUUUUUGUUUCGACGCAACCUGCCAUUCUGGUCCUUGGUAUCCGGACUGCCAGCAUUUUUGCUGAGGUUGUUGCUGCGAGCUGGCCAGCUAUCCUCUCCGGCACAGAAGCGGGUCAUGAGUGAUGUGAGGGCUGCCAUGGAUUUCGGCUUCUCCUGUCCUAGGUGCCGGGCCAGCCACUCGUCGUGGAUGUUAUGUUUGAAGGCAGCGAGGGCCUCUGCAUCCGAACAGUCGACGAUUUGAUUUUUCUUUGUUAGGAACCGUGUCCAGAAUUGCCUGGCCGAUUCAUCUGGCUACUGGAUUAUGUGGCUUAGGUCAUCUGCGUCCGGUGGUCGCACAUACGUGCCCUGGAAGUUGUCGAGGAAUGCGGCUUCCAGGUCUUCCCAGCAUCCAAUUGACUCUGCGGGCAGGCUGUUAAGCCAUUGCCGAGCUGGUCCUUUAAGCUUGACCGGGAGAUAUUUGAUGGCGUGAAGAUCGUCGCCGCGGGCCAUAUGUAUAUGGAGGAGAUAAUCCUCAAUCCAAACCGCGGGGUCUGUUGUGCCAUCGUAGGAUUCGAUAUUAACAGGUUUAAACCCUUCAGGGAUUUGAUGAUCCAUUACUUCGUCAGUGAAGCAUAGUGGGUGUGCGGCGCCUCUGUAUUGAGCAAUAUCGCGACGUAGCUCGAGAGAGCGUUGUCUGCUGUGUUCGGCCCGGCCGGAGUAGUUGUAUCCGGCGCGACGGUAUUCGUCGUGGGUCUUGGGGCGCCCACGUGAUCCAUAGAUAGAUCUGGAUUGUCUCACCUUGUCCUCCAAUAUAUCUCGCAAGUCCGACGCGUUCCCCCGUGGCUUCAUGCUUUUUGAGCGAUGCCGGGGUACGGUUUUGGUGGAGGGCUUGCAUGCCUCUCUGUCGCGGCCACGAGGUGGUCGGUCUGCCGUAUUGUGCGCUGGUGAUGCAGGUUUGUACGCUUCCUCCUCUAGUCGGGGGAGCAACUUGCGUUUUGGGUAACUUUUGGAGGGGCGUUUGAGUUCAUACUCUUUGGCCGCGAGGACCUCGGUCCAUCUGUCGGCUAGUAGGUCUUGAUCAGCUUGAAGCUGUUGCUGCUUUUUCUUUAGGCUGUUUUGCCAUGGCCAUUAGCCUGCGUUUGAAACGCUCUUGUUCGACGGGAUCCUCAGGCACGACGAAUUCAUCGUCGUCGAGGCUUGCCUCGUCUCCGGAGGGAGGUAAGUAGUUAUCAUCCUCGACCUCUUCGUCUGCCGCCCUCUCGUGAGGGCUUGCUUCUGCCUCCUCCUGCGUUGGAUCGUGCUGGAGGGGGUUGUCUUCGGCACUUUCCGAGGUGCUAUUAUCUCCUGUGCCGGAAUCUCCAUUCUUGCUGUGGCGGGAUUUAGAGCGGCGCCGCUGACGUCGGCGCUUGGGCUGUUUCUUUAAGGAAUCGGCCUCCGCUGCUUCUUUGCCAUCCCCAUCUUUUGGGGUGUCCACCAUGUAUAUGUCGUAUGACGAGGUGGUCUUCCAGUGUCCUGUAGGCACUGGUUCUUGAUAGUCUCCGGCAUCGUCGUCCAUACCGUCGAUGUCUUCGGAGUCGUAGUCGUGUACGUCGGUUAGAUCGUCGACGGUGGCUACGAAGUGGGUGGUGGGUGGGCUCUGAAUUUCUUCGUCGUCCGCGUCCCAACCGUCCUGGCCGUAGUUCGGCCAGGGCUCUCCGGAUAGCGAGAGAUGCUUCAGCGAAUUUAAGAUAUCGCCGAAGGGUGAGUGCUGAAAGAUGUCCGCAGCGGUGAAUUCCAUGAUCGGCGCCCAAUUGGAUUCGACUGGCGGGGGCGCAGAAGGUUCGGAGUCCGGCAGAGAGUCCGGCACCUCGGAGUCAUGAGCUUUAUGCAGGACAAGGUAAGUGUUUGGCUCCAUCGCCGUAGAAGUUGUAGCUCCCGAGGCGGUGUCCAGCCAUCUGUCCUCGAUCUGAGCAAUCGGCUCCGGACUAUGGGUUGGAGCGGAUUCGUGUGCGGCCUCCAAGGUGAUGUCCGGCGGCAGAGUUAGGUCGUGCGAAUCGUGACAGCGCGGCAUGCUCGGCUGUGGCUCAGGUCCAUCGAAGUUCAAGUCCCCGCGGAUAUCGGCCGUGAAGUUUAGGCUUCCAAACCUGACCUGACGGCCAGGGGCGUAGCUUUCGAUCUGCUCCAGAUGGCCAAGUGAGUUGGCCCGCAGUGCGAAGCCGCCGAAUACGAAGAUCUGUCUGGGGAGAAAAAUCUCACCCAGGACUGCUUCGUUGUCGAUUGAAGAGGCCAUCAAGCCUAUCGAUGACGACACAGAGGAACUCUCAAUGAAAGCACCAAUGUCGUUGUCAAAACCGGCGGAUCUCGGGUAGGGGAUCCCGAACUGUGCGUCUAGGCGGAUGGUAACAGGAGACGAGGGACACGAUGUUUUGCCCACGUUUGGGCCCUCUUGAUGGAUGUAAAACCCUACGUCCUGCUUGAUUGAUAUUGAUAUUGUGGAUGUUUACAAUAGUGGAUCUACCACGAGAUCAAGGAGGCUAAACCCUAGAAGCUAGCCUAUGGUAUGAUUGUUGUUGUUGUUGUUGUGUCCUACGGACUAGAGCCAUCCGGUUUAUAUAGACACCGGAGAGGGCUAGGGUUACAUAGAGUCGGUUACAAUGGUAGGAGAUCUACAUAUCCGUAUCGCCAAGCUUGCCUUCCACGCCAAGGAAAGUCCCAUCCGGACACGGGGCGAAGUCUUCAAUCUUGUAUCUUCAUAGUCUUGGAGUCCGGUCGAUGAUGAUAGUCCGGCCGAUGAUAGUCCGGCUGAUGAUGGUAGUCCGGCUAUCCGGACACCCCCUAAUCCAGGACUCCCUCACCACCAUCUCAGGCGGCACCCCGGACAAGAUCGCCUCCAUGGCGAGCCUGUCGUCACUGCGCACUGCCGUGCCGGUCUCGAUCGCCUCCCACAGGUGCCGCCCCUCGAGCUUCACCUGCAUCAGGAGGGCCCAGUCCCCAUAGUUGGUAUGGGUGAGCACCGGCCACGGCGAUCCGCCGCCUCCCUCACGCACUACCCGAGUCUGCACGAUCAUCCCCGGCUGCUCAUCGCCGUCGGUGAUCUGCGCUCGCGGUGUGACGCCCGAGGUCUGCGGCGACUUGGACUUGUCGUCGUUCGCCAUCCCUGAACCUGGCUCUGGUGCCAAUUGUUGCCCCUAAUCUAGAGCUAGAUCUAUGGCGAUGAGAAAGGAGGGAGUCUGGACUUUUGUGUAGCGCACUAAACUGCUGCGUUUUCUUCUUCCUUUAUUCACUGAUAAACUGGGAAACCGGAUCGAGGACCACCCCCUCUACUGGAUCGUGCCAUCCCACGAUCAGGGGCGUGCUCUCGCCAUGAGCUGCGGCCGCGGGAUCGCACAGACUGCGUCCUCGGGCUCUCUAACUGAAACCGAUAAAACAGCUAACUAACCUGACAGCUAACUGAAAGUACUAGGCUGCCGUGGCAGCCCUGACUACUUGUCACGCUAGAUUAUUAGCCAACACCAGAUGGAUCCGAUCUGAAUCCGGCGGCCCCGCGACCACCGGUCAGGCCAACGCAGCCACCACCUCACGACACACAGGUCGCCACCGCCGCGCCACGCACGACACCGAUGGGAGACCCGUCCGCCGCGCCGCUGGACCCCACGUUUGCCCACGUUCCUCUGGAUCCCGCUCUCCCGCGCCAGCCAGGAAUGAGAGGAUGGGGACAAGCCCCGCCGCCGUCCAGCCGGCCAGGCUUCGGCCGGCGGCGCUAUGGACGGCGGCGAGGAGGGGGAGAGGAGAAUGAGAGGCGGCGGCUAGGGUUUUCCCCCUCAGGUCGCCCGCGUGCGUGUGUGUGUGUAGUCGACGGCUAUGUAGCCGACUGCUGUGCUGAAGGUGUUGAGAAGCGCCAAUCCAGAGGCGUAGCAGUCAGCACAGCAGUCGGCUACCAACCCGUGUACUGCCCUCCGAUGCUUGACAUUUUGACCGAUCCAUCAUGCGCCCUCUGCACUGCAGUCCUCCUUCAUUCUGCCGUGCAUCGAGCUGACGGACGCGGAGGAAGCCAGGGUAAGCGCCCUCUGGAUUGGGAUGCUGUGCUGCGCCUCAUUACAGGCGGCCGCGGCGGCGCUGGCACUGCUGCUCCCAGGCCACCGUCGCUGGGCCCGCUGUGCGUCGCCUACCUCGCGCUCGCGGUCACCGUCCUCGACCAUUGCAUGUACGCCAGCACCGUUUGGGUCUUCCUCGCCGCCGACCCAGGAUUUAUCUUCGGCAAGAUCUACUUCACCACGGGCUUCUGCUUCUUCGUGGUGGGCGACCUCCUCAGCUUCCGGGCCCUCCUGGGAGGUGAUGGGUGCGGCAUGAAGUACGUAGCCUAUUUCUUCUGAUCAUGUUCGUGGAUCAGCUCACCAGGUACUGAUGAGAGCGUAGAGUAUGCAUUCAUUCUGCUGUCACGAUUGCUGGAGUGUCAGUAUCCAGAUCGACUCUAGUAGUUAUAUUACUCCAUUUGGGCAAUGCUCGCUGGCUGUAUAAUUAGUGGAUGGAUUGUGGUUAUCUUUGCUGUAUUCGACCUUAAUUUUCUCUCUAUGUGAUCGUCAGACAUGAGUUAUAUGCUAUGUUGGUGAAAUUGUCGCUGCAGUGCAUAUCCAUGCACACAUGUUUUUUUUAUAAACACCUCCUUUAUUAAUUGGCUACAAUUGUAGCAUCUGAUACAAUUAAAGGAAUGAUAGCCGAAGGGGCCUCAUCCAUCCAAACGUUAGGAGGAUUGAAUCUAGCUAGACUAACUAAUUCAUGUGCUACCUUAUUAUUCUCUCUAAAACAAUGCUCAUAAACAAUAUGACUAAAGUCUAAGGACAUGAAGUAACAAUCAUCAAAAAUCGCACUGGCUACCGAAGAUGGAUAGCCUUCUCUGAGCGCUUCAACCACGUCCACAUUAUCUGAAUUCACCUCAACUUUGCUACAUCCAGUGGUGCGAGCAAGAUUUAGACCAAAUCUGAUGGCAAUUACCUCUGCAGUAAAUCCAUGCACACAUGUUGUUUCUGGUGUUAAAGAUUGUUUUUUUCAUUCAUUCCGGCAUCUGCUGGCGUAUCCUCUAGGCUUAGAUUGAGUGACCCAUGUGACCAUGCAAUCACGGUUGGAUGUACGGGACGCUAUGGCUUGGAACGCCCUCGUGCCAAGUGAGGUCCUUCUUUUGAUGGCCAUUUUUCGUUUGGAAUCCACAUCCCAACAUUUGACUUGUAUGUGCUAGCGUAGCCACAUCCGGUUGACGUUUUUAUAAAAAAAGAAAAUAAACACAACAAUCAUCCUUAGACCUUCAAAAAUUAAGUUUCUUCGGUCUGAUCAUGGAGUCGAAUAUCUGAGUCUUAGCAAUUAUGUAAAGAGUUGCGAAAUUGUUCCACGACUUACACCUUCCGGAACACAUCAAUGAAUGGGUAUCCGAAAUGUGUAAUCAAACUUUGCUAGACAUAUAUAGCUUUUUUUUUACAUCAUUAAACAUUUUUUUACAUCAUGCUAGACAUAUAUAGUUCACUCAAGGGAGAUGUGCAUAGUUCAAUUUUCAGCUCAUGUCCUAGUCUAAUUUACAACCUCAACUCCAAACCCGGUUAGGACACUACCCUAAACUUUCGACAUCGUUUAGUUUGCUGGCUAAGACGAUUGGAGGGUAAUUUUGCAUGCAUGCUGUGGCAUCUAGGCUGGCUAGUGACCGUUGAUGUCGCAUCUGAGCCAUAGAAAUAUUAGUGUACACUAGCUUGCUGCUCAAAAAGUGGACGACCACCUCGAGUCAUUGGAGUGGUGUGGCUGUUGUAAUGUGCACGAACCAGGGUUAUUACACGCGUAUGCCGGAGAAAUCACGUUAGUUGAAACUUUUUUUUUCAGGAAAUUACUUGUGUAUUAUUGACAUGGAGAACUACAUUUUCUGACGGCCUUAUCAGGCCAGAAUUUUUUCUCGUACCCCCUCGCGUCGCCUCCCUGGGCGACGCCAGGGGGCCAAAAAACCAGCGCCGCCAGCCUCCGUCGGCCAUCCUCCUGCCGCCGGCGAGGUCCGCGGUGGCGGCGGGCCCAGUGCCAAGGCGCUAGGGCGGGCGGAUCUGCAGCGGGAUCCCCUUGAGGCGGCAGGGGCGUCUCUUGUGGUGCGCCCGUGGGCAGCAGGCAGGGCGGCGCCGCCUGUGCGGCGGCGGCCAGCGGUCCAGGACGGCGAUGUGCUUCCCUUCGGUCAUGGAUGGUGGCAGCACUCCAUGGAUGAACUGGUGGAUGGCUCUGCUUGAAGAUGGGUCGCGGCAGCCGCGGAUCUAGCGUCCCAUCCAGAUCCGCCGCGGCGUGGUCUUGGCCGGCCGGCGGUUCAUGGAGGGACCGGUGAGGGUAUAGAGGAUCUCUGCCGGAGUACCAGCGGCGGCAUACGUCUUCAUGGGGAGACUCCGCGUGGUUCUAGCCAGCCACGAGAUCAGGACGACACGGCUUCCGAUGAAAAUAGCGCCUGACUGCGGUCUUGGCGGACAAUGGCGGCGUCUCUGACGUCGUUUUCUUCUCGAGGCAUCGUCAUUGCAGGUCACGUCAACCUGAUCGGGAGGUUCCGGGGGAAACCCUAGAUCUGGGUCUACCGGAUCGGACGAUGACGACGUUUCGAUGUCGUUCUCCCUCCUAGGUGCAUCGUUUUGGACCAAGUGCUGGCUGGAGGGGACAAGAGGAGGAGCGGCAUGGCAUCUGACACGUCGACAACGGCGGGUCUCAGCGGCAUGGAGCAGCGGGGUCUCGCCGAUGGGCGUGUGAUGAUGGACGAACGCAGGAUGGUGGCGUUGUCUGGCGUCAUGGUGGCGUCGAUGGCAACUAGACUGGGCAAGGUUGAUGCAGCAGUACAGUACUAAAGAUGGAUUGGUGGCAGGUGUCUGCGGCGGCCUCAUACCCGGCAGGCGUCCUGGUUGAGGAGUGCGCCGGACUGGUGGGUGCCCCAUACCCGGCAAGCGUCCUGGUUGGGACCUCAGGUCUUAGAUAUUUGGUUUGGCUGCGAGGUCUAUUUGGUAUUAGGCCCGGACUAUCAGCAUCCCUUCAUCAACUGGAUAGGAGUAGCGACAAAUGUCGCCUAGACGGCUUUAGCCUUACUGUUGUAUGGCUUUGUAAGGUAUUAUGUGAAUAAUUAAUAAAGUGGCUGCAUGCAUCGUCCAGAUGCAGAGGCCGGGGGUCCUCCUCCUUUUCGAAAGAAAAUGGCUUACAAAGAUUUUGACUACGUCAUGUCGGAGUAAUACAAAUUUUUGGUUAUCCCAUGAACAAUUGAAUCUACACAAACAAUGAAGCCGUGCCCGUGCAGCUAAUUAUAAAGAGCUGGCUAGGUAGCUUUUUACUACCAUGUCCACUACAAAGAAAUUAAGCGUCCCAACGGUUAGCUAGCUAGUUUGUCAUCGCCAUUCAUUCACAUGUGCGUACGUCUGCUCAGAAAUUAACGAUACCCCACUGCAUUGUCAUAGAGGGUAUGGAUGCUUUAUGCCUUGGUGAAAAAUCGUGGAUGUCGCCUGAAGGGCAGGGGUGAAUAGGUGUUUUAAAAUAAUUACGGUAGAGACUUGAACAAAUGCGGAAUAAACCUAGCGGUUAAUUUGUCAAGCACAAAACCUACAACAACUAGGCUCACCUAUGUGCACCAACAACUUAUGCUAAGCAAGAUAAGCAACUAUGUGAUAGCAAGAUAUAUGACAAAGAACAAUAUGGCUAUUAUAAAGUAAAGUGCAUAAGUAAAGGGCUCGGGUAAAAGAUAACCGAGGCACACGGAGACGAUGAUGUAUCCCGAAGUUCACACCCUUGCGGAUGCUAAUAUCCGUUUGGAGCGGUGUGGAGGCACAAUGCUCCCCAAGAAGCCACUAGGGCCACCGUAAUCUCCUCACGCCCUCACACAAUGCAAGAUGCCGUGAUUCCACUAAGGGACCCUUGAGGGCGGUCACCGAACCCAUACAAAUAGCGACCCUUGGGGGCAGUCACCGAACCCGUACACUUUGGCAACCCUUGGGGGCGGUCACCGGUACCCGUCAAAUUGCUCGGGGCGAUCUCCAUAACCUAAUUGGAGACCCCGACGCUUGCUCGAAGCUUUACACCACAAUGAUUGAGCUCCGAACACCACCAACCGUCUAGGGCGCCCAAGCACCCAAGAGGAACAAGCUCAAGGGCACCAAGCACCCAAGAGUAAUAAGCUUCUCAACUUGUAACUUUCACGUAUCGCGUGGAGAACUCAAACCGAUGCACCAAAUGCAAUGGCAAGGGCACACGGAGUGCCCAAGUCCUUCUCUCCCAAAUCUCACCAAAGCAACUAAUGCUAGGAAGGAAAAUGAGAGGAAGAACGAAAGAAGAACACGAAGAACUCCAAGAUCUAGAUCCAAGGGGUUCCCCUCACUUAGAGGAGAAAGUGAUUGGUGGAAACAUGGAUCUAGAUCUCCUCUCUCUUUUCCCUCAAGAACUAGCAAGUAUCCAUGGAGGGAUUGAGAGUUAGCAAGCUCGAAGAAGGUCAACAAUGGGGAAAGAACACGAGCUCAAAGGAUUAGGUUCAUUGGGAAAGAAGACCCCCUUUUAUAGGAGGAGGGAAAUCCAACCGUUAUGUGCUCAGCCCGCACACAAGCGGUACUACCGCUUGGGUGGAAGAAGCAGGGAAACGGAGCAACAAAACAAGAACCUUGGGGCGGUAGUACCGUAUAUAAGCGGUACUACCGCUCACGAGCGGUACUACCUCUCCUACUGCCGCUACUACAGCCGCUGAACCCGACACGAGAAAACCACGUCUCGAGUCGAGGUGGUACCAGCGCGGAACCGGAGCCGUACUACCGCUUAUGGCCAUGGGCGGUACUACCGCUGUGGGACAACGAUACUACCGCUUGUGGCGAUAAGCGGUACUGCUGCUCCGGCCCAGCGGUACUACCGCUGGCGCCAUCCUCAUUCCACUACUUUGAAAACAAAGUAUACUCCAAGGAAAACCAGAACUGCCAUAACUUCUGCAAAUGUGCUCCGAAUUGAGCAAACUCAAGCUUGUUUGAAGCAAGACAACGAGUAGCAUCAAAACAACAAACAAAGGAGUGACACCUCCAAUAGAGAAGAACCGGCAUACCCUCCAACAUCGAAAACAUCAUAGAAGAUGCAUGUGAACUCCAUUUUCGAUGAACUCGAGCUUGUCAUAAAAAUGACCAUAAGCUCCAAAUCUCACAAGGAGAAUAACCAAACAAGAACCAAUAAAGAUGAUGCAAGGAUGCAAUGGUUUGAGCUCUCUACGAACGAUACGAUCAAGCAACUCAUCGAGAGUCCCCCUUGAUAGUACGGCAAUCGAUCCUAUAACCCGGUCUCCCACAACUACCGUGAGACCGGUAAAAUAGAAAACCUAUCAAGGGCAAACCUUUGCCUUGCACAUGAUCCACUUGAGCUAGAUGUUGACGAUCUUCUCCUCCUCAAGAUGGACCACCUUUCUUGAUUGCGUUGGCUCGAUGAAGACUAGUAGAUUGCUCCCCCAUACUCCAUUAUGGGUGAGCCACUCUUCAGCAGAUCUUCACAAGUCCAUUGUCGCCACAAUGGACGGCAUGCUUCAAGCAUAUGAUCUCUUCGUGAUGAUCCUACUUGAACUUGCACACCGCAACCUAACCCCACAAAGAACUCUCACGAAGACCAUGGGUUAGUACACAAAGCGUAAUUGACCAUGCUUACCAUACCAUGGGAUCGCUUGAUCCCUCUUGAUACAUCUUCUAUGCUUUGUGUGUUGAUCAACUUGAUUCAUUCUUUGACUUAGUCUUGAUCAACCUUGAAUCUUUCCAACUUUCUUCAUUUGGAUGAUGUCUUGAAGGUAAACAUGAAUGAUCACACACUCUUCUUCUUCAAGACAUGCUUGAUUUAAGCUCAAUACUCAUAAGACCAAUCUUUGGAUAAUUCCUUAAUAGCACCUUGGUCAUCACAAACUCUCCUUGAAACCAACAAAUGGACUCCAAGAAAAGCCUAUGGAAAAACCCUUCAAAUAUAACUCAAGGCAACCAUUAGUCCAUAGAGAUUGUCAUCAAUUGCCAAAACCAAACAUGGGGGCACCGCAUGUUCUUUCACUUGGCAAAUGCAUGUCGCCAAUCAAGAUUUUCUUUCUUUUGCCAAGUGUCAAGUUGAACCAUGUAGGCCUUUGGUGAGCCUUCUGGUUGAAUGAGCUCCUAUACUAUAAAUCACAUGAUCAAGUAGUUGAAAAUGGGCGUGCAGCUAAUCAGGAAGAGCUGGCAUGCAUGCAUGUGCGCGUGCUGAGUCUGAUGGGCGUCGUCCCACCACUGCAUUGCCAAACAGGGUAUAGGGGCAACUUCGCGGCAGUUUCUCUUUGUCAUUGCCAAGGGAUGAGACCGUCACAUGCUUGCUUCUUUACAUGUCGAACCGCACCGCACCAGACUCUCCUCACUGUGUGUGUGUGCAGUGGCGGAGCUAGCCGAAAAUCCCUCGGGGGGGAAACACAAAUAAUCAGUGCUUGGGGGGUCAAAUGCUAGAAAAAUUCCAAUCUAAGCCCUAUUUUGUUUUUUUCUUCAGAAAUUGAUCCUUGGCUUGGGGGGGCAGCACCCCACUGGCCUCAACAUAGCUAGGCCCCUGUGUGUGUGCGCGCGCGCGUGUGUGUGUGCAGCUCACGCCGUGACUGCUCGACACGUAGUGGGUGUUGGGCCAGCCCCACGCCGAUCGAGUCGCUUUGCUUCUCUCUUUGGCUGCUCGGCCAUUUAAACAUCCCAUCCACCACUAGCGUGGUCGCUGUGCUCUGCAAUUGCAGCUCGAACCCCUUCAGGAAAGAAGCACACCAAGCGAUCGAAGAACCUCGGUGAGUCCCCUUUGUUGGGGAAUUGGCAUACAAAUGCACUUGUGGUUAACUGAAAACUGCAGCGGAAACAAGUAAUCUCAGCACCACAUCAUGUACUAACUCAAGGAUCGUUGCUUAGCACGGAAGGAAACAUAUGUAGCAGCAUAUAUGGAGGCAGAAAAUGUUACUCAGCAGGCAAGACACUCCUCAGCCUAGUGUCUUGUGGUAGGAGUAAGUUUCUGAACAGCACCACGCAUCAACAAAGAGACACCAGAUUUUACGUGGAAAACCCCCCAACCUGAGGGGAAAAACCACUGGCCGAAACCACCCAAAUCCUCUCCCACUAUUAUCAAAUGUGGGAUACAACAAGUUCUUCUCUAGACAGCACUAGAGGAUCUCAUACAUCAAGAUUUCUGAAUCUUGGAUGAACAUAACAAGAUUUGGGGCUCAAGAACUAGGGAUUGGAACAAUCUCACCAAAGAUGGUGGAACCGAAGCUUGAAGGAGACAACGUAGUGGAUCUGGACCAUCGCAACCUUGGGGAUGUUGGGGAACGUUGCAGAAAACAAAAAUUUUCCUACUCGUUUCACCAAGAUCAUCUAGGAGUUCAUCUAGCAACGAGUGAUUAGAUGCAUCUACAUACCUUUGUAGAUCGCGAGCGGAAGCGUUCAAAAGAACGGUGAUGAUGUAGUCGUACUCGACGUGAUCCAAAUCACCGAUGACCAGCGCCGAACGGACGGCACCUCCGCGUUCAACACACGUACGGAACAGCCACGUCUCCUCCUUCUUGAUCCAGCAAGGGAGGGAGGAGAGGUUGAGGGAGAUGGCACCAGCAGCAGCACGACGGCGUGGUGUUGAUGGAGCUGCAGUACUUCGGCAGAGCUUCGCUAAGCACUAUGGAGGUUGAGGAGGUGUUGGGGAGGGAGAAGGAGGCAACCAAAGGCCGAGGCGUUCAGGUAUGAAGUCCCUCCUCUCCCCCACUAUAUAUAGGGGUGCCAAGGGGGGGUGGCCGACCCUAGGAGAUCCAAUCUCCUAGGGGGUGCGGCGGCCUAGGGGGGGUUUUCCUCCCCCCCAAGGCACCUAGGAGGUGCCUUACCCUCCUAGGACUCUUCCCCUUCUAAACCCUAGGCGCAUGGGCCUAUGUGGGGCUGGUGCCAUUGGCCCAUUAGGCCAAGGCGCACCCCCUUACAGCCCAUGUGGCCCCCCGGGACAGGUGGACCCACCCGGUGGAUCCCCGGGACCCUUCCGGUGGUCCCGGUACAAUACCGAUAACCCCGAAACUUGUCCCGAUGCCUGAAACAAGACUUCCCAUAUAUAAAUCUUUACCUCCGGACCAUUCCGGAACUCCUCGUGACAUCCGAGAUCUCAUCCGGGACUCCGAACAACAUUCGGGUUACUGCAUAUACAUAUCCCUACAACCCUAGCGUAACUGAACCUUAAGUGUGUAGACCCUACGGGUUCGGGAGACAAGCAGACAUGACCGAGACGACUCUCCGGUCAAUAACCAACAGCGGGAUCUGGAUACCCAUGUUGGCUCCCACAUGCUCCACGAUGAUCUCAUCGGAUGAACCACGAUGUCGAGGAUUCAAUCAACCCCGUACGCUAUUCCCUUUGUCUAUCGAUAUGUUACUUGCCCGAGAUUCGAUCGUCGGUAUCCCAAUACCUCGUUCAAUCUCGUUACCGGCAAGUCACUUUACUCGUACCGUAAUGCAUGAUCCUGUGACCAGACACUUGGUCACUCUGAGCUCAUUAUGAUGAUGCAUUACCGAGUGGGCCCAGUGAUACCUCUCCGUCAUACGGAGUGACAAAUCCCAGUCUUGAUCCAUGUCACCCAACAGACACUUUCGGAGAUACCCGUAGUCUACCUUUAUAGUCACCCAGUUACGUUGUGACGUUUGGCAUACCCAAAGCACUCCUACGGUAUCCGGGAGUUACACGAUCUCAUGGUCUAAGGAAAAGAUACUUUGACAUUGCAAAACUCUAGCAAACGAACUAUACGAUCUUGUGCUAUGUUUAGGAUUGGGUCUCGUCCAUCACAUCAUUCUCCCAAUGAUGUGAUCUCAUUAUCAAUGACAUCCAGUGUCCAUAGUCAGGAAACCAUGACUAUCUGUUGAUCAACGAGCUAGUCAACUAGAGGCUCACUAGGGACAUGUUGGUGUCUGUUAUUCACACAUGCAUUACGAUUUCCGGAUAACACAAUUACAGCAUGAAUAAAGACAAUUAUCAUGAACAAGGAAAUAUAAUAAUAAUGCUUUUAUUAUUGCCUCUAGGGCAUAUUUCCAACAGUCUCCCACUUGCACUAGAGUCAAUAAUCUAGUUACAUUGUGAUGAAUCGAACACCCAUGGAAUUCUGGUGUUGAUCAUGUUUUGCUCUAGGGAGAGGUUUAGUCAACGGAUCUGCUACAUUCAGGUCCGUAUGUACUUUACAAAUCUCUAUGUCUCCAUCUUGAACAUUUUCACGAAUGGAGUUGAAGCGACGCUUGAUGUGCCUUGUCUUCUUGUGAAACCUGGGCUCCUUGGCAAGUGCAAUAGCUCCAGAGUUGUCACAGAAGAGCUUGAUCGGCCCCGACGCAUUGGGUAUGACUCCUAGGUCGGUGAUGAACUCCUUCACCCAUAUUGCUUCAUGUGCUGCCUCCGAGGCUGCCAUGUACUCCGCUUCACAUGUAGAUCCCGCCACGACGCUUUGCUUGCAACUGCACCAGCUCACUGCCCCACCAUUCAAAAUAUACACGUAUCCGGUUUGUGACUUAGAGUCAUCCAGAUCUGUGUCGAAGCUAGCGUCGACGUAACCCUUUACGACGAGCUCUUCGUCACCUCCAUAAACGAGAAACAUUUCCUUAGUCCUUUUCAGGUACUUCAGGAUAUUCUUGACCGCUGUCCAUUGUUCCUUGCCGGGAUUACUUUGGUACCUUCCUACCAAACUUACGGCAAGGUUUACAUCAGGUCUGGUACACAGCAUGGCAUACAUAAUAGAACCUAUGGCUGAGGCAUAGGGGAUGACGCUCAUCUCUUCUAUAUCUUCUGCCGUGGUCGGACAUUGAGCUGAGCUCAAUUUCAUACCUUGCAACACAGGCAAGAACCCCUUCUUGGAUUGAUCCAUAUUGAACUUCUUCAAUAUCUUAUCAAGGUAUGUGCUUUGUGAAAGACCUAUGAGGCGUCUUGAUCUAUCUCUAUAGAUUUUGAUGCCUAAUAUAUAAGCAGCUUCUCCAAGGUCCUUCAUUGAAAAACUUUUAUUCAAGUAGGCCUUGAUGCUGUCCAAGAGUUCUAUAUCAUUUCCCAUCAAAAGUAUGUCAUCUACAUAUAAUAUGAGAAAUGCUACAGAGCUCCCACUCACUUUCUUGUAAACGCAGGCUUCUCCAUAAGUCGGUGUAAACCCAAACGCUUUGAUCAUCUCAUCAAAGCGAAUGUUCCAACUCCGAGAUGCUUGCACCAGCCCAUAAAUCGAGCGUUGGAGCUUGCACACUUUGUCAACAUUCUUAGGAUCGACAAAACCUUCCGGCUGCAUCAUAUAGAAUUCUUCCUUAAGGAAACCAUUAAGGAAUGCCGUUUUGACGUCCAUUUGCCAUAUUUCGUAAUCAUAGAAUGCGGCAAUUGCUAACAUGAUUCGGACGGACUUCAGCUUCGCUACCGGUGAGAAAGUCUCAUCGUAGUCAACCCCUUGAACUUGUCGAUAACCCUUAGCGACAAGCCGAGCUUUAUAGAUGGUCACAUUACCAUCCGCGUCUGUCUUCCUCUUAAAGAUCCAUUUAUUUUCUAUGGCUCGCCGCUCAACGGGCAAGUCAGUCAAAGUCCAUACUUUGUUUUCAUACAUGGAUCCUAUCUCGGAUUUCAUGGCUUCCAGCCAUUUGUCGGAAUCCGGUCCCGCCAUCGCUUCUUCAUAGUUCGAAGGUUCACCGUUGUCUAACAACAUGAUUUCCAAGACAGGGUUGCCGUACCACUCUGGUGCGGAACGUGUCCUUGUGGACCUUCGGAUUUCAGUAGGGGCUUGAUCAGAAGUAUCUUGAUCAUUUUCAUUAACUUCCUCUCUAGUCGGUGCAGGCACCUCAGGAACAUUUUCUUGAGUUGCGCCAUUUUCCGGUUCAAGAGGCAAUACUUCAUCAAGCUCUACUUUCCUCCCACUUACUUCUUUCGAGAGAAACUCUUUCUCCAGAAAGGACCCAUUCUUGGCAACAAAGAUCUUGCCUUCGGAUCUGAGGUAGAAGGUGUACCCAAUAGUUUCUUUUGGGUACCCUAUGAAGACGCAUUUUUCCGAUUUGGGUUCGAGCUUUUCAGGUUGAAAUUUCUUGACAUAAGCAUCGCAUCCCCAAACUUUUAGAAACGACAGCUUAGGUUUCUUCCCAAACCAUAAUUCAUACGGUGUCGUCUCAACGGAUUUCGACGGAGCCCUAUUUAAAGUCAAUGCGGCAGUCUCUAAAGCAUAGCCCCAAAAAGAAAGCGGUAAAUCGGUAAGAGACAUCAUAGAUCGCACCAUAUCUAACAGAGUGCGAUUACGACGUUCGGACACACCAUUACGCUGAGGUGUUCCAGGCGGCAUGAGUUGUGAAACUAUUCCACAUUUUCUUAAGUGUACCCCAAACUCGUGACUCAAGUAUUCUCCUCCACGAUCUGAUCGUAGAAACUUGAUUUUCCUGUCACGUUGAUUUUCAACCUCACUCUGAAAUUCCUUGAAUUUUUCAAAGGUUUCAGACUUGUGUUUCAUUAAGUAGAUAUACCCAUACCUACUUAAAUCAUCAGUGAGGGUGAGAACAUAACGAUAGCCACCGCGAGCCUCAACACUCAUCGGACCGCACACAUCAGUAUGUAUGAUUUCCAAUAAGUCGGUUGCUCGCUCCAUUGUUCCUGAGAACGGAGUCUUGGUCAUUUUACCCAUAAGGCAUGGUUCGCACGUGUCAAAUGAUUCAUAAUCAAGAGACUCUAAAAGUCCAUCAGCAUGGAGCUUCUUCAUGCGUUUAACACCUAUGUGACCAAGGCGGCAGUGCCACAAGUAUGUGGGACUAUCAUUAUCAACCUUACUUCUUUUGGUACUCACAUUAUGAAUAUGUGUAGCAUCACGUUCGAGAUUCAUAAGGAAUAAACCAUUCACCAUAGGAGCAUGACCAUAAAACAUAUCUCUCAUAAAAUGGAACAACCAUUAUUCUCAGAUUUAAAAGAGUAGCCAUCUCGAAUUAAACGAGAUCCCGAUACAAUGUUCAUGCUCAAAGCUGGCACUAAAUAACAAUUAUUAAGGUUUAAAACUAAUCCCGAAGGGAGAUGCAGAGGUAGCGUGCCGGCGGCGAUCACAUUGACCUUGGAACCAUUCCCGACGCGCAUCGUCACCUCGUCCUUUGCCAGUUUCCGCUUAUUCCGCAGCCCCUGCUUUGAGUUACAAAUGUGAGCAACUGCACCAGUAUCAAAUACCCAGGAGCUACUACGGGCACUAGUAAGGUACACAUCAAUUACAUGUAUAUCACAUAUACCUUUUGUUUUGCCGGCCUUCUUAUCCGCUAAGUACUUAGGGCAGUUCCGCUUCCAGUGACCGCUUCCCUUGCAAUAAAAGCACUCAGUCUCGGGCUUGGGUCCAUUCUUUGGCUUCUUCCCAGCAGCUUGCUUGCCGGGCGCGGCAACCUCCUUGCCGUCCUUCUUGAAGUUCUUUUUACCCUUGCCUUUCUUGAACUUAGUGGUUUUAUUGACCAUCAACACUUGAUGUUCCUUUCUGACUUCUACCUCUGCUGAUUUCAGCAUAGCAAAUACUUCAGGAAUGGUCUUUUCCAUCCCCUGCAUAUUGAAGUUCAUCACAAAGCUCUUGUAGCUUGGUGGAAGCGACUGGAGGAUUCUGUCAAUGACCGCAUCAUCCGGGAGAUUAACUCCUAGCAGAGUCAAGCGGUUAUGCAACCCAGACAUAGUGAGUAUGUGCUCACUGACAGAACUGUUUUCCUCCAUCUUACAGCUAAAGAAUUUGUCGGAGACUUCAUAUCUCUCGACCCGGGCAUGAGCUUGGAAAACCAUUUUCAGCUCUUCGAACAUCUCAUAUGCUCCAUGUCUCUCAAAACGCUUUUGGAGCCCCGGCUCUAGGCUGUAAAGCAUGCCGCACUGAACGAGGGAGUAGUCAUCGAAACGUGCCUGCCAAGCGUUCAUAACAUCUUGUUCUGCAGGGAGAACGGGUGCGUCACCAAGCGGUGCUUGUAGGACAUAAUCUUUCUUGGCAGCUAUGAGGAUGAUCCUCAGGUUCCGGACCCAGUCCAUAUAGUUGCUGCCAUCGUCUUUCAGCUUAGUUUUCUCUAGGAACGCGUUGAAGUUGAGGACUACGUUGGCCAUUUGAUCUACAAGACAUAUUGCAAAGAUUUUAGACUAAGUUCAUGAUAAUUAAGUUCAACUAAUCAAAUUAUUAGUGAACUCCCACUUAGAUUAGACAUCCCUCUGGUCAUCUAAGUAUUACAUGAUCCGAGUUAAACUAGACCGUGUCCGAUCAUCACGUGAGACGGACUAGUCAACAUCGGUGAACAUCUUCAUGUUGAUCGUAUCUUCUAUACGACUCAUGCUCGACCUUUCGGUCUUCUGUGUUCCGAGGCCAUGUCUGUACAUGCUAGGCUCGUCAAGUCAACCUAAGUGUUUGCAUGUGUAAAUCUGUCUUACACCCGUUGUAUGUGAACGUCUGAAUAAAACACCCGAUCAUCACGUGGUGUUUUGAAACAGCGAACUGUCGCAACGGUGCACAGUUAGGGGAAACACUUCUUGAAAUUAUUGUGAGGGAUCAUCUUAUUUACUACCGUCGUUCUAAGUAAACAAGAUGCAAAACAUGAUAAACAUCACAUGCAAUCAAAUAAUAAACGUAACAUGAUAUGGCCAAUAUCACAUAGCUCCUUUGAUCUCCAUCUUGGGGCUCCAUGAUCAUCUUGUCACCGGCUUGACACCAUGAUCUCCAUCAUCAUGAUCUCCAUCAUCGUGUCUCCAUGAAGUUGCUCGCCAACUAUUACUUCUACUACUAUGGCUAACGCGUUUAGCAAUAAAGUAAAGUAAUUUACAUGGCGUUUCUUGAUGACACGCAGGUCAUAUAAAAGAAUAAAGACAACUCCUAUGGCUCCUGCCGGUUGUCAUACUCAUCGACAUGCAAGUCGUGAAUCCUAUUACAAUAGCAUGAACAUCUCAUACAUCACAUAUAGAUCAUUCAUCAUUCAUCACAACUUUGGCCAUAUCAUAUCACAAACCACUUGCUGCAAAAACAAGUUAGACGUCCUCUAAUUGUUGUUGCAAGUUUUACGUGGCUGAAUUAGGGUUCUAGCAAGAACGUUUUCUUACCUACGUUAAAAGCCACAACAUGAUUUGUCAACUUCUAUUUACCCUUCAUAAGGACCCUGUUCAUCGAUUCCGCUCCAACUAAAGUAGGAGAGACAGACACCCGCCAGCCACCUUAUGCAACUAGUGCAUGUUAGUCGGUGGAACCGGUCUCACGUAAGUGUACGUGUAAGGUUGGUCCGGGCCGCUUCAUCCCACAAUACCGCUGAAGCAAGAAAGGACUAGUAACGGCAAGAAAGUUGACAAAUCUACGCCCACAACAAAUUGUGUUCUACUCGCGCAAGAAGAACUACGCAUAGACCUAGCUCAUGAUGCCACUGUUGGGGAACGUUGCAGAAAACAAAAAAAUUUCCUACUCGUUUCACCAAGAUCAUCUAGGAGUUCAUCUAGCAACGAGUGAUUAGAUGCAUCUACAUACCUUUGUAGAUCGCGAGCGGAAGCAUUCAAAAGAACGGUGAUGAUGUAGUCGUACUCGACGUGAUCCAAAUCACCGAUGACCAGCGCCGAACGGACGGCACCUCCGCGUUCAACACACGUACGGAACAGCCACGUCUCCUCCUUCUUGAUCCAGCAAGGGAGGGAGGAGAGGUUGAGGGAGAUGGCACCAGCAGCAGCACGACGGCGUGGUGUUGAUGGAGCUGCAGUACUCCGGCAGAGCUUCGCUAAGCACUAUGGAGGUUGAGGAGGUGUUGGGGAGGGAGAAGGAGGCAACCAAAGGCCGAGGCGUUCAGGUAUGAAGUCCCUCCUCUCCCCCACUAUAUAUAGGGGUGCCAAGGGGGGGUGGCCGGCCCUAGGAGAUCCAAUCUCCUAGGGGGUGCGGCGGCCUAGGGGGGGUUUUCCUCCCCCCCCCCAAGGCACCUAGGAGGUGCCUUACCCUCCUAGGACUCUUCCCCUUCUAAACCCUAGGCGCAUGGGCCUAUGUGGGGCUGGUGCCCUUGGCCCAUUAGGCCAAGGCGCACCCCCUUACAGCCCAUGUGGCCCCCCGGGACAGGUGGACCCACCCGGUGGACCCCCGGGACCCUUCCGGUGGUCCCGGUACAAUACCGAUAACCCCGAAACUUGUCCCGAUGCCCGAAACAGGACUUCCCAUAUAUAAAUCUUUACCUCCGGACCAUUCCGGAACUCCUCGUGACGUCCGGGAUCUCAUCCGGGACUCCGAACAACAUUCGGGUUACUGCAUAUACAUAUCCCUACAACCCUAGCGUAACCGAACCUUAAGUGUGUAGACCCUACGGGUUCGAGAGACAAGCAGACAUGACCGAGACGACUCUCCGGUCAAUAACCAACAGCGGGAUCUGGAUACCCAUGUUGGCUCCUACAUGCUCCACGAUGAUCUCAUUGGAUGAACCACGAUGUCGAGGAUUCAAUCAACCCCGUACGCUAUUCCCUUUGUCUAUCGAUAUGUUACUUGCCCGAGAUUCGAUCGUCGGUAUCCCAAUACCUCGUUCAAUCUCGUUACCGGCAAGUCACUUUACUCAUACCAUAAUGCAUGAUCCCGUGACCAGACACUUGGUCACUCUGAGCUCAUUAUGAUGAUGCAUUACCGAGUGGGCCCAGUGAUACCUCUCCGUCAUACGGAGUGACAAAUCCCAGUCUUGAUCCAUGUCACCCAACAGACACUUUCGGAGAUACCCGUAGUCUACCUUUAUAGUCACCCAGUUACGUUGUGACGUUUGGCAUACCCAAAGCACUCCUACGGUAUCCGGGAGUUACACGAUCUCAUGGUCUAAGGAAAAGAUACUUUGACAUUGCAAAACUCUAGCAAACGAACUAUACGAUCUUGUGCUAUGUUUAGGAUUGGGUCUCGUCCAUCACAUCAUUCUCCCAAUGAUGUGAUCUCGUUAUCAAUGACAUCCAGUGUCCAUAGUCAGGAAACCAUGACUAUCUGUUGAUCAACGAGCUAGUCAACUAGAGGCUCACUAGGGACAUGUUGGUGUCUGUUAUUCACACAUGCAUUACGAUUUCCGGAUAACACAAUUAUAGCAUGAAUAAAGACAAUUAUCAUGAACAAGGAAAUAUAAUAAUAAUGCUUUUAUUAUUGCCUCUAGGGCAUAUUUCCAACAGCUUUGAGUUACAAAUGUGAGCAACUGCACCGGUAUCAAAUACCCAGGAGCCACUACGGGCACUAGUAAGGUACACAUCAAUUACAUGUAUAUCACAUAUACCUUUUGUUUUGCCGGCCUUCUUAUCCGCUAAGUACUUAGGGCAGUUCCGCUUCCAGUGACCGCUCCCUUGCAAUAAAAGCACUCAGUCUCGGGCUUGGGUCCAUUCUUUGGCUUCUUCCCGGCAGCUUGCUUGCCGAGCGCGGCAACCUCCUUGCCGUCCUUCUUGAAGUUCUUUUUACCCUUGCCUUUCUUGAACUUAGUGGUUUUAUUGACCAUCAACACUUGAUGUUCCUUCCUGACUUCUACCUCUGCUGAUUUUAGCAUAGCAAAUACUUCAGGAAUGGUCUUUUCCAUCCCCUGCAUAUUGAAGUUCAUCACAAAGCUCUUGUAGCUUGGUGGAAGCGACUGGAGGAUUCUGUCAAUGACCGCAUCAUCCGGGAGAUUAACUCCCAGCUGAGUCAAGCGGUUAUGCAACCCAGACAUAGUGAGUAUGUGCUCACUGACAGAAUUGUUUUCCUCCAUCUUACAGCUGAAGAAUUUGUCGGAGACUUCAUAUCUCUCGACCCGGGCAUGAGCUUGGAAAACCAUUUUCAGCUCUUCGAACAUCUCAUAUGCUCCAUGUCUCUCAAAACGCUUUUGGAGCCCCGGCUCUAGGCUGUAAAGCAUGCCGCACUGAACGAGGGAGUAGUCAUCGGAACGUGCCUGCCAAGCGUUCAUAACAUCUUGUUCUGCAGGGAGAACGGGCGCGUCACCAAGCGGUGCUUGUAGGACAUAAUCUUUCUUGGCAGCUAUGAGGAUGAUCCUCAGGUUCCGGACCCAGUCCGUAUAGUUGCUGCCAUCGUCUUUCAGCUUAGUUUUCUCUAGGAACGCGUUGAAGUUGAGGACUACGUUGGCCAUUUGAUCUACAAGACAUAUUGCAAAGAUUUUAGACUAAGUUCAUGAUAAUUAAGUUCAACUAAUCAAAUUAUUAAUGAACUCCCACUUAGAUUAGACAUCCCUCUAGUCAUCUAAGUAUUACAUGAUCCGAGUUAAACUAGACCGUGUCCGAUCAUCACGUGAGACGGACUAGUCAACAUCGGUGAACAUCUUCAUGUUGAUCGUAUCUUCUAUACGACUCAUGCUCGACCUUUCGGUCUUCUGUGUUCCGAGGCCAUGUCUGUACAUGCUAGGCUUGUCAAGUCAACCUAAGUGUUUGCAUGUGUAAAUCUGUCUUACACCCGUUGUAUGUGAACGUCUGAAUAAAACACCCGAUCAUCACGUGGUGUUUUGAAACAGCGAACUGUCGCAACGGUGCACAGUUAGGGGGAACACUUCUUGAAUUUAUUGUGAGGGAUCAUCUUAUUUACUACCGUCGUUCUAAGUAAACAAGAUGCAAAACAUGAUAAACAUCACAUGCAAUCAAAUAAUAAACGUGACAUGAUAUGGCCAAUAUCACAUAGCUCCUUUGAUCUCCAUCUUGGGGCUCCAUGAUCAUCUUGUCACCGGCUUGACACCAUGAUCUCCAUCAUCAUGAUCUCCAUCAUCGUGUCUCCAUGAAGUUGCUCGCCAACUAUUACUUCUACUACUAUGGCUAACGCGUUUAGAAAUAAAGUAAAGUAAUUUACAUGGCGUUUCUUGAUGACACGCAGGUCAUAUAAAAGAAUAAAGACAACUCCUAUGGCUCCUGCCGGUUGUCAUACUCAUCGACAUGCAAGUCGUGAAUCCUAUUACAAUAGCAUGAACAUCUCAUACAUCACAUAUAGAUCAUUCAUCAUUCAUCACAACUUUGGCCAUAUCAUAUCACAAACCACUUGCUGCAAAAACAAGUUAGACGUCCUCUAAUUGUUGUUGCAAGUUUUACGUGGCUGAAUUAGGGUUCUAGCAAGAACGUUUUCUUACCUACGUUAAAUCCACAACGUGAUUUGUCAACUUCUAUUUACCCUUCAUAAGGACCCUGUUCAUCGAUUCCGCUCCAACUAAAGUAGGAGAGACAGACACCCGCCAGCCACCUUAUGCAACUAGUGCAUGUUAGUCGGUGGAACCGGUCUCACGUAAGCGUACGUGUAAGGUUGGUCCGGGCCGCUUCAUCCCACAAUACCGCUGAAGCAAGAAAGGACUAGUAACGACAAGAAAGUUGACAAAUCUACGCCCACAACAAAUUGUGUUCUACUCGCGCAAGAAGAACUACGCAUAGACCUAGCUCAUGAUGCCACUGUUGGGGAACGUUGCAGAAAACAAAAAUUUUCCUACUCGUUUCACCAAGAUCAUCUAGGAGUUCAUCUAGCAACGAGUGAUUAGAUGCAUCUACAUACCUUUGUAGAUCGCGAGCGGAAGCGUUCAAAAGAACGGUGAUGAUGUAGUCGUACUCGACGUGAUCCAAAUCACCGAUGACCAGCGCCGAACGGACGGCACCUCCGCGUUCAACACACGUAUGGAACAGCCACGUCUCCUCCUUCUUGAUCCAGCAAGGUAGGGAGGAGAGGUUGAGGGAGAUGGCACCAGCAGCAGCACGACGGCGCGGUGUUGAUGGAGCUGCAGUACUCCGGCAGAGCUUCGCUAAGCACUAUGGAGGUUGAGGAGGUGUUGGGGAGGGAGAAGGAGGCAACCAAAGGCCGAGGCGUUCAGGUAUGAAGUCCCUCCUCUCCCCCACUAUAUAUAGGGGUGCCAAGGGGGGGUGGCCGGCCCUAGGAGAUCCAAUCUCCUAGGGGGUGCGGCGGCCUAGGGGGGGUUUUCCUCCCCCCCCCAAGGCACCUAGGAGGUGCCUUACCCUCCUAGGACUCUUCCCCUUCUAAACCCUAGGCGCAUGGGCCUAUGUGGGGCUGGUGCCCUUGGCCCAUUAGGCCAAGGCGCACCCCCUUACAGCCCAUGUGGCCCCCCGGGACAGGUGGACCCACCCGGUGGACCCCCGGGACCCUUCCGGUGGUCCCGGUACAAUACCGAUAACCCCGAAACUUGUCCCGAUGCCCGAAACAGGACUUCCCAUAUAUAAAUCUUUACCUCCGGACCAUUCCGGAACUCCUCGUGACGUCCGGGAUCUCAUCCGGGACUCCGAACAACAUUCGGGUUACUGCAUAUACAUAUCCCUACAACCCUAGCGUAACUGAACCUUAAGUGUGUAGACCCUACGGGUUCGGGAGACAAGCAGACAUGACCGAGACGACUCUCCGGUCAAUAACCAACAGCGGGAUCUGGAUACCCAUGUUGGCUCCCACAUGCUCCACGAUGAUCUCAUCAGAUGAACCACGAUGUCGAGGAUUCAAUCAACCCCGUACGCUAUUCCCUUUGUCUAUCGAUAUGUUACUUGCCCGAGAUUCGAUCGUCGGUAUCCCAAUACCUCGUUCAAUCUCGUUACCGGCAAGUCACUUUACUCGUACCGUAAUGCAUGAUCCCGUGACCAGACACUUGGUCACUCUGAGCUCAUUAUGAUGAUGCAUUACCGAGUGGGCCCAGUGAUACCUCUCCGUCAUACGGAGUGACAAAUCCCAGUCUUGAUCCAUGUCACCCAACAGACACUUUCGGAAAUACCCGUAGUCUACCUUUAUAGUCACCCAGUUACGUUGUGACGUUUGGCAUACCCAAAGCACUCCUACGGUAUCCGGGAGUUACACGAUCUCAUGGUCUAAGGAAAAGAUACUUUGACAUUGCAAAACUCUAGCAAACGAACUAUACGAUCUUGUGCUAUGUUUAGGAUUGGGUCUCGUCCAUCACAUCAUUCUCCCAAUGAUGUGAUCUCGUUAUCAAUGACAUCCAGUGUCCAUAGUCAGGAAACCAUGACUAUCUGUUGAUCAACGAGCUAGUCAACUAGAGGCUCACUAGGGACAUGUUGGUGUCUGUUAUUCACACAUGCAUUACGAUUUCCGGAUAACACAAUUAUAGCAUGAAUAAAGAAAAUUAUCAUGAACAAGGAAAUAUAAUAAUAAUGCUUUUAUUAUUGCCUCUAGGGCAUAUUUCCAACAGGGGAGGGGCUCCCUUUUCUUCUUCCUUCAAUCUUUCUCUUCUUCCCUUGCUCUCUUGGUUUUCUCUCUUCUUCUCUCUUGGAGGAUGAACUGAUUUUCGUCCCUCUUGGUGGUGGCUGCUAGAUGGAGGGUAAAGCAUCCCCAUCCACUCAUGUGCAAAGUCCAAAAUUACCCUAGAUCAUAACCCUAAUGGGUAGUGGGCUUCUGCACCUCUUUGGGCUACCUAAAAGGCCUCAAAUGGUCAUCUCCUCACAGCCCACAUGAGGAGGAUAUCCAAUGUGGUGCUGAGAUUACUUGUUUCCGCUGCAGUUUUCAGUUAACCACAAGUGCAUUUGUGUGCUAAUUCCCAACAGAGUGGCAUCAGAGCCUUGGUUGCUUAGAAGGUUGCAAAUCCCAGUUGCUUGAUUGUUGCUGGAAGUGCUUCUCACAAUGGCUUUGGAAGAAAGCGCUACUACAAGUGGCAUGAUAAAACUUGAUUCUUCCAAUUACUCAUUAUGGAAGCCCAUGAUGGAAGACAUCCUUUAUUGCAAGGAUUUGUAUGUGCCAAUUGUGAAAUACAAGAUACCCACAGGUGUCACGGAAUAAGAAUGGAGAGUGUUGCAUAGAAAGGCAGUAGGUAUGAUUCGGUUGUACAUCAACCACAAUAUUUUCCACCAUGUUGCAAAUGACACAAAUGCAUAUGAGAUAUGGCAGAAGUUGGAGUCUAUGUAUGAGAGGAAGACAUCAAUGAACAAGGCCUCGGUGAUCAAAAGACUUGCAAAGCUUGAAUACCGAGAUGGCACAAGUGUGAUUGAGUACUUAAAUGUCUUUCAAUGCCAUAUAAAUCAACUUUCAGCCAUGAAGAUCAACUUUGAGGAUGAGGUGCAAGCAUUGUUGCUGCUGAGUUCCAUGCCUGAUAGUUGGAACAUGCUUGUUGUGUCACUUAGCAAUUCAGCUCUGGAUGGGAAGCUGACUUUGGAGAUGGUGAAGAAUAGUAUGCUGAAUGAAGAAGACGGAAAGAAGGAAAAGGGUGAUGCCUCUUCUUCUGAUGCGUAUGUGGCUGAAACCCAUGGGAAGAAUGAGAACCAUGGACGCAGCAAUACAAGAUUUCAGCAAGGCAAAAGCAAAUCAAGGGGGAGAUCAAAGUCAAAACAGAGAAAAGAUAUUACUUACUUUCAUUGUGGCAAUCCGGGACACAUAAAGAGCGAGUGUAGGAAGUACAAAAGAGAGCUUGGAGAGGAGAAACUCACAAAGAAAACCGAGCAAAAGGCUGAGAACAGUUCAGCCAUGACCGCAACAGAUGAGGACUAUCUAGUCAUUGAAGAUGAAGAUUGCUAUAGUGUUGUUCGUGAUGAUUCCAUGAGUAGGGUUGUGGACUCAGGUGCGUCCUUCCACAUCACAUCACACAAGGAGUAUUUCACAUCUUACACUAGUGGUGUUACUGGCCAAGUGAGGAUGGGAAAUAGUGGUUCGUCAGCAAUUGUUGGCAAGGGCUCUAUAUGCAUUGAAACAAACACAUAUUGCAGAUUGGUGCUCGAUGAUGUGAGGCAUGUUCCCGACAUAAGUCUGAAUUUGUUGUCAAUGGGCAAGCUUGAUGAUGUCAAACAUCCUAAUUAUUUUGGUGAAGGAAAAUAGAAGCUCACCAAAGGCUCUUUGAUUGUGGAUCAAGGAAGUAAGCAAGGUAAUCUCUAUGUGACUAAAACCAAGUUGUGCAAUGAGGUGUUGAACAUUGCGAAAAAAGACACUUCGGUUGAAUUGUGACACAAGAGGCUUGGGCAUAUGAGUGAGAAGGGCAUGCAUGCUCUUGCUCGCAUGGAGUACCUCCCUGAGUUGAAAGGUAUAUCCUUGAAACCCUGUGCACAUUGUUUUGUUGGCUAACAACAUAGGGCUGCAUUUCAUACACUCCCUCCACAUCGUGCAGAAAAUGUUCUUAAUAUUGUGCACACUGAUGUUUGCUCCAUGAUGGAAAAAUCUCAUGGUGGAGCAUUAUACUUUGUGACUUUUAUUGAUGACCAUUCCAGAAAGGUUUUUGUGUAUGUGCUGAAACACAAAUACGAGACGCUUGAAGCCUUCAAGGAGUUCCAUGCCAAGGUUGAAAGAGAAACUGGCAGGAAAUUGAAGUGCGUGAGAUCAGACAAUGGUGGUGAAUACAUAGGUCCUUUUGAAAGGUAUUGCAGAAAUGUUGGUAUCAGGCUUGAGAAGAGUCCACCAAAGGCACCUCAGCGCAAUGGUCUUGCAGAGAGAAUGAACAGGACACUCACAGAGAGGGUCACAGCUAUGCUCUCUCAUGCUCAUUUACCUAAUUCAUUUUGGGCUGAAGCAUUGAUGAAUGCUAUGUAUGUGGUUAAUGUAUCUCCCUCAGUUCCUCUUGCAGGUGAUAUUCCUCAGAGAGUUUGGUCAGGGAAGGAGGUAUCAUACAAGCACUUGAAGGUCUUUGGUUGCAGGGCGUUUGUACAUGUUCCAAGGGACGAGAGAUCCAAGCUUGAUAGCAAGACAAAGCAGUGCAUCCACCUCAGCCAACCAAGUAAAGAGUUUGGCUACAGGUUGUGGGAUCCAGUAAAUAGGAAGAUUGUGAGAAGCCGAGAUGUGGUGUUUAUUGAAGAUGAAACAAUAAAAGAUAUUGGGAAACCAGAGAAGCCAAUGACCAACACACCUCAGGUUGAUAUGGAUCCAAUCCGUUCUCCUCUCGUGCACAAUAAUCAUGAGGGAGAUGAUGACACUGAAGACACUGGAGAUGCAACUGAUCAAGGCAGUACAAGUUAAAGUGACGAGCAGCCAUGAAGUGAUGAUGAUGAUGAAGUUGGUAAUGAUGAUGCCAAUGAAAAUCCACCUAAUUCACCACCAGUGCAGCAGCAAAGAAGAAGUGAAAGAGUUCACAUUCCUUCUUCUAAAUAUCCACCACAUCAAUAUGUGUUGAUGACAGAUGCAGGUGAGCCCUCAUGCUAUGAGGAGGCAAUGUAUGAUGAGAACAAAGAAGAAUGGUCAGAAGCCAUGCAGGAUGAGAUGAAUUCCCUGUAUGAGAAUGAUACUUUUGAGUUGGUGAAUCUGCUAAAAGGCAAGAAAGCACUCAAGAACAAGUGGGUGUAUAGAGUGAAGACUGAAGAAAACAUCUCACAUCCAAGGUACAAGGCCAUAUUGGUUGUGAAAGGAUUCAGUCAGAAAAAGGGCAUUGAUUAUGGUGAGAUAUUCUCUCCGGUGGUCAAGAUGUCUUCGAUCCGAGUUGUGCUUGACAUGGCUGCCACCAUGGACUUGGAAAUUGAACUACUUGUUGUGAAGACUGCAUUCUUACAUGGUGACCUAAAGGAGGAGAUAUACAUGGAGCAGCCGGAGGGAUUCAUGGUUGCAGGCAAGGAGCACUUAGUUUGCAAAUUGAAGAAGAGCUUGUAUGGCUUGAAGCAAGCUCCUUGGUAGUGGUACAAGAAGUUUGAGUCUUUUAUGACUGGGCUUGGUUACCAUAAAGCACAACCUGACCAUUAUGUCUUUAUGAAGAGGUACGCCAAGGGUGACUUCAUUAUUCUCUUGUUGUAUGUUGAUGAUAUGCUGAUUGUUGGAAAUGGCACAAAGAGGAUUGCUCUCCUCAAGAAGACAUUGAGUAAAUUAUUUGCCAUGAAGGAUUUAGGACCAGCUAAGCAAAUACUUGGCAUGAAGAUCUCCCAUGAUAGAUCAAAGAAGCUGCUUUGGCUCUCACAGGAAAGAUACAUUGAGAAGGUACUUGAAAGGUUUAAUAUGAAAGAUGCAAAAUCUGUUAUCUCUCCACUUGCAGGCCAUCGCAAACUGAAUUCUAAACAAUGUCCUACAAGCAAGAAGGAGAAAGAAGAAAUGAGGAAAAUACCUUACCAAUCUGUUGUGAGCAGUUUGAUGUAUGCCAUGGUAUGCACUAGGCCUGGCAUUGCCUAUGCAGUUGGAGUUGUUAGCCAGUUCAUGACAAAUCCAGGUAAAACUCACUGGGAAGCAGUGAAGUGGAUUCUCAGGUAUCUCAAGGGUACUUCUACAUCUUGUCUAUGCUUUGGAAAUGGUGAUCCUGUAUUACAGGGCUAUACAGAUGCAGAUUACGCAGGUGACAAGGAUCGUAGGAAGUCCACAUCCGGAUACCUGAUGACUUAUGCAGGGGGAGCAGUGUCAUGGAAAUCAAGAUUGCAGAAAUGUGUUUCUAUAUCAACUACAGAAGCUGAGUACAUUGCAGCAGUUGAUGCUGGCAAGGAAGUUUUGUGGAUGAAGAACUUCUUGCAAGAGCUCGGCAUGAAGCAAGAGAAGUAUGUUCCAUUUUGUGACAGUUAGAGUGCUAUUCAUCUUGCCAAGAAUUCAAGCUAUCACUCUCGAACCAAGCACAUUGAUGUGAGGUACCAUUGGAUUCGAGAUGUUGUGAGUUCCAAGUUGCUGAAACUUGAGAAGAUCCAUACCGACGACAAUGGUUCAGAUAUGAUGACCAAGAUAUUGCCAAAUAAGAAGCUACAAGCAUGUUGCAAGGUANNNNNNNNNNNNNNNNNNNNNNNNNNNNNNNNNNNNNNNNNNNNNNNNNNNNNNNNNNNNNNNNNNNNNNNNNNNNNNNNNNNNNNNNNNNNNNNNNNNNNNNNNNNNNNNNNNNNNNNNNNNNNNNNNNNNNNNNNNNNNNNNNNNNNNNNNNNNNNNNNNNNNNNNNNNNNNNNNNNNNNNNNNNNNNNNNNNNNNNNNNNNNNNNNNNNNNNNNNNNNNNNNNNNNNNNNNNNNNNNNNNNNNNNNNNNNCUCAUGAGUCGGAGGGCGAGAUUUGUUGGGAUAUCCUCCUCAUGUGGGCUGUGAGGAGAUGACCAUUUGAGGCCUUUUAGGCAGCCCAAAGAGGUCAGAAGCCCACUACCCAUUAGGGUUAUGACUUAGGGUCAUUUUGGACUUUGCACGAGUGGAUGGGAUGCUUUACCCUCCAUCCAGCAGCCACCAUCAAGAGGGACGAAAAUCAGUUCAUCCUCCAAGAGAGAAGAAGAGAGAAAACCAGGAGAGCAAGGGAAGAAGAGGAAGAUUGAAGGAAGAAGAAAAGGGAGCUCCUCCCCAAGGUUGCGAUGGUCCAGAUCCACUACCUUGUCUUCUUUAAGUUUCGGUUCCACCAUCUUUGGUGAGAUUGUUCCAAUCCCUAGUUCUUGAGCCCAAAUCUUGUUGUGUUCAUCCAAAAUUCAGAAAUCUUGAUGUAUGACAUCCUCUAGUGCUGUCUAGAAAAGAACUUGUUGUAUCCCACAUUUGAUAAUAGUGGAAGAGGAUUUGGAUGGCUUCAGCCUAUGGUUUUUCCACUCAGGUUGGGGGGUUUUCCACGUAAAAUCUGGUGUCUCUUUAUUGAUGCUUAUUACCGUUCAGAAACUUACUCCUACCACAAGAUACUAGGCUGAGGAGUGUCUUGCCUGCUGAGUAAUAUUUUCUGCCUCCAUAUAUGCUGUUGCAUAUGUUUCCUUCCGUGCUAAGCAACGAUCAUUGAGUUAGUACAUGAUGUGGUGCUGAGAUUACUUGUUUCCGCUGCAGUUUUCAGUUAACCACAAGUGUAUUUGUGUGCUAAUUCCCCAACAACCUCGAUCUCCGGCCACCUUGCUAAUGUGUUUUUCUUCUUCUUUCCUGUUGAAUGGCCACAUGAAAUUAGAGAGGGGCAACUAACCUACGUUGUUACUGAUCUCGUCCUACUCCUACCUAGCUGCCUCAUCAACGGACCUCCAUGGACCCCAACACGCCUCAUCCGCUGCGUCUGAGCGCAGCCCAAUAGCAGAUCCGAGAUGAUGUCCCACUGGUCUGCGCAUGGGCGCUCAUCAACGCCUUCGCCAUCGCCUGCGGCCGAGCAUUCGACUACUAGCUGUCCACUUCAACCUCCCGUGCAUCCAGGUAAUUAAUUAUAGGAAAACGAUUGUAUUCAGCCGGAUGAAAACCAAAAAUGCUAGACAUACAAAAAUUUACACGCUUUUACACGCUCCUUCCAUCUAACAACCAAUCACAAACCUCUCCCCUCUGAUUUUCAGGGGGGGUGGACCGCCCUGCUCACCUAUUGACCAAUCAAGAUUAACCAUCCUGUAAAAGCCUGUAAAUCGUUUGUACGUGUAACAUUGCCGGGAUGAAAACAACAAACGCAAGCCGCGUGCGUUGCUCAACACGUGUUCCCUGGGCCCAUCCAUCGCUUCUCCCUCGAGUCUGCCUUAUCUCUUCGCACGGGCUCUCCACCGCACGUCGCAAUUUUUCACCUUUUUCUCGUCUGGGCUCCCAUGGCGACGCCGUCCAGCCGCCUACACUUCUGCAAUCCGAAGAGGAGCGACGUGCGGCGAGUCCUCUGGCGCAAUACGAACGGGACGAGCGGCCGUCGCCGGCGAUGUGAUGCCUUGCUCGUCGGCUCCCGUCGGUGCUGCAACGCAGCAACUCAACCAUGGCCAUGGGUGCUGCGACGCAGCAAGUUGACCACGGCCAUGGGAGCUGCGACGCAGCAUCUCGUCCACGGUCGCCGUGUUGCGAUGCAACCUCGCCGGCGUGCUGGCGUUGCGAUGCAGCCUCGUUGGCGUUACUGGUGCUGCAGUCGCCGGCGGUAUAGCUGCAAUGGAGCGCUCGUCGGCAGCAACUCGUGCUCUAAUGCAGCCCUCGCGAGGGCGGCUCCCGGUGCUGCUGCAGUCCAGCGCUCGCCGGCGGCCCUCUCGGAGCUCGGUGCUGCAAUGGAGCUUCGCACGGCGGCAUCCUGUGCUCCGGUGCAGAGCUCGCCGGUGGCCCUCUCGGAACCUCGAUGGUGCAACGGAGCUUCGCACGGCGGCACCCUAUGCUCCGGUGCAGCGCUCGCCGGCGGCCCUCUCGGAGCUUGGUGCUGGCGUGCUGCAAUGGAGCUUCACAUGGCGGCUCCCUGUGCUCCUGUGCAGCGCUCGCCGCUGGUGCUACAACGCGGCUUGAAGGAGGAGGGCGGACGCCGCGGCACUCGUUGUUCUGUUGCAACGCAGCACAUAAGGGGGUAGCUGGGAGCAGGCGGCAUUCGCCGCCGGUGCUGCAACUCGUACUCGUCGGCGGCUCCCCGUGAUCCGAUAGCAGCACUCACCGACGGCUUCCGGUAAUGCAUCGUAGCACUCGCGGGGCGACUCCUGGUGCUGCAAGAUCGAAGCAGAGAGGAGGACUGGUUGUGCGAUGCGAGGGGAGUCGUGCUUGUGUCGACUAUUCCACGGGCUCGGAGAAAGGAUAGGACGGUGCUGUCAGGCUGAUCAAAUGGUCAGCGAGGCAGCUUAAAAUAUCUCGACAUCAGCCGGAUGAUUUGUAGCAGCCGCCAAUUUUAACACCAGAAACAACAUGUGUGCAUGGAUAUACACUGCAGCAACAAUUUCACCAGCAUAGGAUAUAACUCAUGUCUGACGACCAUAUACAGAAAAUUAAGGUCGAAUACAUCAAAGAUAACCACAAACUAGUAUAGUCGAUCUUGAUAUUAUUAACACUACACGGCUACUAGAUUCACUCAUACGGCACUAGUCCAUCAAUCGUCACAGCAUGAGUACUGCAUACUCUACGUUAUUUCAUAGAACUAGGCCCUCAUCAGUACCUCAUCAGCUGAUCCACCACGAACAUGAUCCCUUGCAGGUUGCUUUUUGCUGCUAGCUGAACUAAUAGGCUGCGUACUGCUUGCCCCACCCAUCACCUCCAAGGAGGAGGCCCAGGCAGCCCAGGUCACACACCACCAUGACGCAGAUGACCACGGUGUAGAAGACCCUGCCGACGGUGUAUCCUGGGUCGGCGGCGAGGAGGACCCAGACGGCGCUGGCGUACAUGCAAUGGACGAGGAUGGUGACCGCGAACGCGAGGUAGGCGAGGGCACGACGAGCCCAGCGACGGCGGCAUGGGAGCAGCAGUGCCAGCGCCGUCGCGGCUGCCUGGGCUGCGGCGCAGCACAUCAUCCCGAUCCAGAGGGCGCUUUCCCUGGCGGCCUCCGCGUCCGUCAGCUUGACGCACCGCAGAAUGAACGACGACUGCACCAUACCAGCUUGCCGCGUGAUGGAUCGGUCGCAAUGUCAAUCAUCCGGCUGAAUACAAUCGUUUUCCGUUAAAAUUUGGUUUUCAUUCAUUCCGGCAUCCGCUGGCAUAUCAGUGCAGAGUGACCUGACCCGGCCCUCUGGGUUGGGCUUCGCGCGGGUCCUCUAGGCUGCUGAGAAGAGAUUGAGUGACCCCGUCCCGACCGAUUUGACCAUGCAAUUGUGGUUGGAUGUAUGGGACACCAUAGCUUGGAAUGCCUUCUUGCCAACUGAGGUCCUUCUUUUGAAGCCCAUUUUUCCUUUUGAAUUCACACCCUGACACUUGACUUGUAUGAACACUUUCUUUUGGCACCGAAUAUUUGAGUCACGCGAAUAGCAAUCAUCUCAAGAGUUAUGGAACCGUUCCACAACUUACACCUCAAAUUAAUGGGGUAAUACAAAAGGCGUAACCGAGCUGUCUCCGGUGGCCCGUUUUUAUAUGUUUCUUCGAGUUUUUGUUAUGGUUUGUGUCCUGCUCAGGAAGACUAGACGGCAGCGUCUCUUUGAAGAUGGAAUAAGAUUCUCCCUGCCUAACCCACACUCCGUUGAUGCGUCUAGCAUCGUUGAUGGGCAUGUGUGCAGGUGUGUCUCCAGUGGAUCUAUCUUUGGUGGAUUCGCUCGGAUAUGUUCGUCGUUUGUCUACAUUUGUGUGUCUUGAGAUUGGAUCCUUCCAAUCUACGCCACUCUUCAUCGGUGGUGGUUGCUAUUCUGAUGCCCUGGUCCUAUGGGGCCUUAGCACGACGACUUUUCGACUGUCUACUACAACAAGUUUUGCCCAGCUCACUUCAGUGUUUACAAAUCUGGAUGUAAUUUUUAUUAUUUCUGGUGUUUGUUGUACUGCCAUGAUGGUGGGUGGAGAUGGGGGAGGACGCAGAGUCGCGGACCAUGCGGGAAAGGUCACCAGCUAUUGACCAACAACGAUGGUGCUCCAUGGGAAGGAUGUGGUUUGUGUGUAGAACGGGACUGCUGAUGCGAGGAUCAAUGCAGCUCGUCUAGCGGCGAGUUGAAGAGCGGGCUCCGGGGGGCGUCACUUCAAGUUGCGGUGGUAUCAUUCCCAACGGCAACGAAUCGGUAGCGUAGCUUCAAGCAGUGGUGGCGGCUGAAAGAACCCCAACUCGCACGGAGAAGAAAGGGAAAUCCCUAUCCUUUUGGUGUUUUGCAAUUUAACCUUUGGAUUGCUUAUUUACUAUGCAUUACUCCACAAUGUUUGUAUGUGUUACCAUGACAUGUGGGAGCGUGUGACGCCUCCGACUCGACCGUACACUAAUCAUACACACAAACGUGUACGAUCAGGGACCCACGGGAAGAUAUCACAACACAACUCUAAACACAAAUUGAAAAGAUACAAGCUUCAUAUUACAAGGCAGGGGCCUCGAGGGCUCGAAUACAUAGCUCUAUACAUAAGAGUCAGCGGAAGAAACAAUAUCCAAAAACAGACAUAAGUUAGACAAGACUGCCUUAAGAAGGCUAGCACAAAAGCAACAUGAUCGUAGAGGCAAGGCCUCCUGCCUGGGACCUCCUAACUACUGCUGGUCGUCGGCGGUCUUCGUGUAGUAGCAUCCGUCGGUGGUGGCAUCUUGCUCCAAGGAUCCACCAUCUGGUUGCAUCAACCGGAAAGAAGAAGAAAGGGGGAAAAGGGGUAGCAAAGCAACCGUGAGUACUCAUCCAAAGUACUCGCAAGGAUCAGAUCUAUACUAAGUAUGCAUUGGUAUCAAAUGGAAGGGUUGUAUCUGUGGACUGAACUGUAGAAAGCCAGAAUAGAGGGGAAUGCCUAGCCUAUCGAAGACUAGCAUCUUAAAGUAGCUCCAAGCAUCUUGCAGCAUGUCGAAGAGUAAAGAAUGGCAUUUUAUAAUUAACAAGCAUGUUGUAGCAUUAGUGCCCAUAGAUCCUUCCUCGACUCCCUGCGAGGAAGCAAUCCCAGGGCCACAUAUCUCAAGUAUCCAUUUCUAGUUGUAAUAGAUCAGGAUAUAAGUCUGAGCGUCCGUUACCGUGGACCCGGCUAUUAAUAGAUAAUCUUCCCUGCAGGGGUGCACCAUGUUUUCCAACACGCUUGAUUACUCUGGUCGGACACACUUUUCUGGAUCAAUGCCCGGCCUCGGAAGAUCAACACGUCGCAGCCCUACCUAGGCUCAGCAGAGAGGUCCCCGCCGGGCUAAAUCCUAAGCACUCCGGGGUCUUGGGCCCCUCGCCCGGUGCACUCCGGGUCGUUGCACGUAGGGCAGGUCCAGGCUCCACCACUACAUGAUGGUGCCGGCACAGCCGUGCCGACAUGCUGAACUGGACGUCUGACAAAGCUUCGGCUGAUACUAUGACGUCGAGGCCCAUAACUAUUCUCGCGUGGUGGUUAGUGCGUAAAGACCGAAGGCCAACUCAGAACAAAUACCCAAACCAUAGUGUAUUAUUAGUUUGCGGAGACGAGCAGAGACUCACGAUAAUGUGACCCCGUCGCCCCAUCUUGAGGAAAUACGGCAAGGGCUAGAACAACCCACUCGGGGGCGGCCUACCUGCCCGGUCGUGCCUCGUAACCAUCUUGCGGGUGCUCUUCGGGCCCGCACGACUUUCCCAAAGGUCUCAAGUAAAGUCAAGGUAACCGUGUGUUCAAACAUCAAGGGGAAAACCCGAGGAAUCACCCACCGAGGAUUCCACUCGAUGUAAUCAUCAAGGUGAACGUAAGAGGAUCCACCUCGAGGUUCACACUUGAGGUGUUGCACGAUAGAGCCGUAUCGAGAAUGGUGAACGAGGAACCACCCUCGUUGACCACGACUGGAUAGCUACACUACAGAAUUAUCAUCAGGAGUGUGUUAUGAGGGAUCACCCUCGGCACUCGAUAGUAGCUGUGCAAAGUCGAGCAACUAAACGGGCGUGAUGUGAUGUGAGGUGUCAGGCUCUGGUCAUCAAUCACGUUGAUCGAGUCGUCAAAGAUGAAGCGGGGGCAACAAGGACAAGGUGGGGGUCACUGAUGGAUCACUAACCAACCUAUACUAAGCAGUUUAGGAUAAGCAUGUAAGGUACAAUGAGCAGGUUACAAAAGCAGGCUAUGCAUCAGAAUAGGAACAAACAAUAACAGUAGCAAAGUCUAAUGCAAGCAUGAGAGAAUGGAAUGGGCGAUUUCGGGAUGAUCAAAGGGGGGCUUGCCUGGAAGCUCCGCUGAAAUGGGAGAAGGGUCGUCGUCGACGUAGUCGAUCACAGGGACAUCAGCAGCGGUCUCGGGGUCUGCCGGAGAGAAGAGGGUGAAGAAACAAUAAAUACAGAGCAAACAAGUGCAAAACUAUGCAUGACAAGACAAUAAGCAGUGUUAGGGAUGUUCUAACGCAGGGCUACACGAUACCGGCGAAGGGGGAAAACAUUCGUGAAAGUUUUCCCGAAGUUUGGCAUUUUCGGACAGAUGAAACGGAGGGGGAAGGUUGCACGUUUGCUAUGCUAGGGAUGUGUGGCGGACGAAUGGACUGCGUAUGCGGGUUCGUCUCGUUGUUCAGAGCAACUUUCAUGUAUAAUACUUUUUCAUCCGAGUUACGGAUUAUUUUAUACGAAUUUCUGAAGAUUUAAAAAGUUAUUUGGGAGUCCUGAAAAUUGGCUGUCUGAGAAUUGUUCAGACUUUAAACUUCACUAGUUGUUUUCCAGAGGCUAUAACUAGUGUUCUGCCCAUCCUUUGGAGUAGUUUCUUAUAUCAAUCUUGAUCAAUUUUCUGUGAUCUACAAGAUGGUAUCAAUUGCAUCUCUAUUAGAUCCCUAUAACUUGUUCAUUUUCUGCUCUAAAGUAGCUACCACAGUAACUCUGUUUCAGUCUUUUCUGUUAACAGAACAUAGACUUUUGUCAUUUUCAUAGGAUUUAAUCCAUGAAUCAAAUGGAUUUGGCCUAGUGGGGUAAAAUGAAGUUUGACAAGUGUACUACCUGCCCAUACUAUUUUUACCCCAGUUAACAGUUGUUUAACUGAUGCUUAGGGGAUCUCUAUGGGGUUAGCCAGCAUAGAAUUAGCAAAGCUAGCUAGUAGCGGCUAUAGUAACUAGUAGUAGUACAUUCAGCAGAGCAGCAACAACAUGCACAUGAGUUGGGCGUGGGGCGCGGCGCUGGACGGCGUGAGGCUUGGCCGGUGAGCGACGCGGGGCGAGGGGCGAGGCAGACCGCGGUUGCAGGGUGGCGGACCAGGGGGCAGCGGCCGGCAAGCAGCAAUCAGAGCAGCGCGGCAGUGGCCGCCGCAGGCAGCAACGGUAGUGGCAGAAGCAGUAGGAAGCCGCAAGUGUGGCAGCAGUUCAAGGCAGCAGCAGCAGCUGGCAGAGCAGCAGCGGCAUCGAGCAGCAGGCGGCGCGGGAGGCCGUGCGCGAGCUCGCGACGCAUGCACAAGGCGAGGCCUGCUACGUCUUGAGCUUGCGUUGGUUUUCCUCGAAGAGGAGAGGGUGAUGCAGCAAAGUGUAGGCGUAAGUAUUUCCCUCGGUUUUGAGAACCAAGGUAUCAAUCCAGUAGGAGGCUCCUCAAAAGUCCCACGCACCUACAAAAACAAACUGAGAACUCGCAACCAACGCAAUAAAGGGGUUGUCAAUCCCUUCACGGCCACUUGCGAAAGUGAGAUCUAAUAGAGAUAGUAUGAUAAGAUAAAUAUAUUUUUGGUAUUUUAUAAGAUAGAUGCAAAAAGUAAAGAUGCAAAUAAAGGUAGAUUGAAAGCAAAUAUGAUAAGAGAUCGACCCGGAGGCCAUAGGUUUCACUAGAGGCUUCUCUCAAGAUAACAUAAGUAUUACAGUGGGUGAACGAAUUACUGUCGAGCAAUUGAUAGAAAAGCGCAUAAUUAUGAGAUUAUCUAGGCAUGAUCAUGUAUAUAGGCAUCACGUCCAUAACAAGUAGACCGACUCCUGCCUGCAUCUACUACUAUUACUCCACACAUCGACCGCUAUCCAGCAUGCAUCUAAAGUAUUAAGUUCAUAAGAACAGAGCAACGCAAGCAAGAUGACAUGAUGUAGAGGGAUAAACUCAUGCAAUAUGAUAGAAACCCCAUCUUGUUAUCCUCGAUGGCAACAAUACAAUAUGUGUCUUGCAACCCUUUCUGUCACUGGGUAAGAACACCGCAAGAUUGAACCCAAAGCUAAGCACUUCUCCCAUGGCAAGAAAGACCAAUCUAGUAGGCCAAACCAAACUGAUAAUUCGAAGAGACUUGCAAAGAUAACUCAAUGAUACAUAAAAGAAUUCAGAGAAGAUUCAAAUAUUAUUCAUAGAUAAACUUGAUCAUAAACUCACAAUUCAUCGAAUCUCGACAAACACACCGCAAAAAGAGUUUACAUCGAAUAGAUCUCCACAAGAGAGGGGGAGAACAUUGUAUUGAGAUCCAAAAAGAGAGAAGAAGCCAUCUAGCUAAUAACUAUGGACCCGUAGGUCUAUGGUAAACUACUCACAACUCAUCGGAGGGGCAAGGAUAUUGAUGUAGAGGCCCUCCGUGGUUGAUUCCCCCUCCGGCAGAGUGCCAACGAAGGCUCCAAGAUGGGAUCUCGCGGAUACAGAAGGUUACGGCAGUGGAAAUUGUGUUUCGUGGUGCUCUUGGAUGUUUUCGGGGUAAGUAGGUAUAUAUAGGAGGAAGAAGUAGGUCGGUGGCCGCCCGAGGGGCCCACGAGACAGGGGGCGCGCCCUAAAGGGGGGGGCACGGCCCCCUAUCUUGUGGGGCCCUCGGGAGCUUCUUGACUUGCACUCCAAGCUCUCUGGAUCAGGUUCGUUCCAAAAAUCACGCUCCCGAAGGUUUCAUUCCGUUUGGACUCCGUUUGAUAUUCCUUUUCUUCGAAAUACUGAAAUAGGCAAAAAAAACAGCAAUAUGGGCUGGGCCUCCGGUUAGUAGGCUAGUCCCAAAAAUUAUAUAAUUGUGUAAAAUAAAGCCCAUAAACAUCCAAAAGAGGUAAUAUAAUAGCAUGGAACAAUCAAAAAUUAUAGACACGUUGGAGACGUAUCAAGCAUCCCCAAGCUUAAUUCCUGCUCGUCCUCGAGUAGGUAAAUGAUAAAAAGAUAAUUUUUGAUGUGGAAUGCUAGCUAGCAUAAUUCAUAAUCUAAUUCUAUUUAUUGUGGCAUGAAUGUCCAGAUCCAAAUGAAUACAAAAUAAAAGUUCAUAUUGACAUAAGAAAUAGUAAUACUUCAAGCAUACUAAUCGCAGUAAUCAUGUCUUCUCAAAAUAACAUGGCUAAAGAAAGUUAUCCCUACAAAAUCAUAUAGUCUUGCUAUGCUCUAUCUUCAUCACACAAAGUAUUUAAUCAUGCACAACCCCGAUGACAAGCCAAGCAAUUGUUUCAUACAUUAAUAAUCUCAAACUUUUUCAACUUUCACGCAAUACAUGAGCGUGAGCCAUGGACAUAGCACUAUAUGUAGAAUAGAAGGGUGGUUGUGGAGAAGACAAAAAGGAGAAGAUAGUCUCACAUCAACUAGGCAUAUCAACGGGCUAUGGUGAUGCCCAUUAAUAGAUAUCAAUGUGAGUGAGUAGGGAUUGCCAUGCAACGGAUGCACUAGAGCUAUAAAUAUAUGAAAGCUCAACAAAAGAAACUUAGUGGGUGUGCAUCCAACUUGCUUGCUCACGAAGACCUAGGGCACUUCAAGGAAGCCCAUCAUUGGAAUAUACAAGCCAAGUUCUAUAAUGAAAAAUUCCCACUAAUUAUAUGAAAGUGACAACAUAUGAGACUCUCUAUGAAGAUCAUGAUGCUACUUUGAAGCACAAGUGUGGAAAAAGAGAUAGUAGCAUUGUCCCUUCUCUCUUUUUCUCUCAUUUUAUUUAUUUUUUUCUUUUUUUCUUUUCUUUUCUCUUUUUCUUUGGCCUUUCUCUUUUUUUUGGCCUUUCUCCUUUUUUUUCUUCUUUUUUUUUCUUUUUUUUAAAGUCCGAAGUCUCAUCCCGACUUGUGGGGGAAUCAUAGUCUUCAUCAUCCUUUCCUCACUAGGACAAUGCUCUAAUAAUGAAGAUCAUCACACUUUUAUGGAUUUACAACUCAAAGCUAGAACAAGAUAUGACUCUAUAUGAAUGCCUCCGGCGGUGUACCGGGAUAUGCAAUGAAUCAAGAGCGACAUGUAUGAAAAUUAUGAAGGUGGCCUUGCCACAAAUACAAUGUCAACUACAUGAUCAUGCAAAAAGCAAUAUGACAAAAGUAAUGCGUGUCAUAAGAACGGAAUGGUGGAAAGUUGCAUGGCAAUAUAUCUCAGAAUGGCUAUGGAAAAGCCAUAAUAGGUAGGUAUGCUGGCUGUUUUGAGGAAGGUAAAUGAUGGGUAUAUGGUACCGGCAAAAGUUGCACGGUACAAGAGAGGCUAGCAAUGGUGGAAGGAUGAAAGAGUGCGUAUAAUCCAUGGACUCAACAUUAAUCAAAAGAACUCAUAUACUUGUUGCAAAAAUUUAGAAGUCAUCAAAAAUCAAAGCACUACGCGCAUGCUCCUAGGGGGAUAGAUUGGUAGGAAAAGACCAUCGCUCGUCCCCGACCGCCACUCAUAAGGAAGACAAUCAAUAAAUAAAAUUGUGCUCCAACUUCAUCACAAAGCGGUUCACCAUACGUGCAUGCUACGGGAAUCACAAACUUCAACACAAUCAUUCUUUAAAUUCAUAAUCACCCAACUAGCAUGACUUUAAUAUCACUACCCCCAUAUCUCAAAACAAUUAUCAAGCAUCAAAUUGAUCAUAGCAUCCAAUUCACUUUUCUAUGAUAGUUUUUAUUAUACCCAACUUGGAUGCUCAUCAUUCUAGGACCAACUUUAAGAUCAUAGCAAAUACCAUGCUGUUCUAAAAGACUCUCAAAAUAAUAUAAGUGAAGCAUGAGAGACUAGCAAUUUCUUCAAAAUUAAGACACCACCGUGCUCUAAAAGAUAUAAGUGAAGCACUAGAGCAAAACUAUCAAGAUCAAAAGAUAUAAGUGAAGCACAUUGAGUAUUCUAGCAAAUUCUAAUCAAAUAGGCUUCUCCCAAAAGGUGUGUACAGAAAGGAUGAUUGUGGUAAACUAAAAAGCAAAGACUAAUAUAAUACAUGACGCUCCAAGCAAAACACAUAUCAUGUAACGAAUAAAAAUAUAGCUCCAAGUAAAGUACCAAUGAACGAAGACGAAAGAGGGGAUGCCAUGGGGUGCCAUGGGCAUCCCAAAGCUUAGGCUCUUUCCACUCCUUAUUCCAUAGUCCAUAAAGGCUUUACCCAAAACUUGAAAACUUCACAACACAAAACUCAACAGGAAAUCUUAUAAGCUCCGUUAGUGAAAGAACACAAAACCACCACAUAAGGUACUGCAAUGAACUCAUUAUUUAUUUAUAUUGGUGUUAAACCUACUGUAUUCCAACUUCUUUAUGGUUUAUAAACUAAUUUACUAGCCAUAGAUGCAUUGAAAUAAGCAAACAACACACGAAAAACACAAUCUGUCAAAAACAGAACAGUAUGUAGCAAUCUGUAACUAACGCAAACUUCUGGAACUCUAAAAAUCCUACCAGAAUAGGAAUUCCUGGAAAUUUUGUUUAUUGAACAUCAACAAAAAGAACCAACACAAAAGCACGGUCCUGUGAUUUAACAAAAUUAUAUUCGUGCGCGCAAAGUUUCUGUUUUUCAGCAGAAUCAAAUCAACUAUCAUCGUAGGUUAUCCUAUAGGUUCUACUUGACACAAACACUAAGUAAAAUAUAAAAACACAUCUAAACAGAAGGUAGAUGCAAGGUUUAUUACUAAACAGGAGCAGAAAAACAUAAAGAAAAUUGGGUUGCCUGCCAACUAGCGCUAUCGUUUAACGCCCCUAGCUAGGCAUAAAAACAAAGAUAGAUCUAACGAGUGCCAUCUUUGGCACUAAAUUCAUAAGUAGCACGCAUGAUAGAUUCAUAAGGUAAUUUUACUUUCUUUCUUGGAAAGUGCUCCAUGCUUUUCUUUAAAGGAAAUUGGAAUCUAAUGUUCCCUUCCUUCAUAUCAAUAAUCGCACCAAUCGUUCUAAGGAAAGGUCUACCAAGAAUAAUAGGGCAAGAAAGAUUGCAAUCUAUAUCAAGAACGAUAAAAUCUACGGGCACCAAAUUUCUAUUUGCAACAAUAAGAACAUCAUUGAUUCUUCCCAUAGGUUUUUUAAUGGUGGAAUCCGCAAGGUGCAAAUUUAAAGAGCAAUCAUCAAGAUCAUGGAAACCUAGAAUAUGACAUAAAGUUUUCGGAAUCGUGGAAACACUAGCACCCUAAUCACACAAAGCAAAACACUCAUAAUCUUUAAUUCUAAUCUUUAUAGUAGGUUCCCACUCAUCAUUAAGUUUUCUAGGUAUAGAAACUUCCAAAUUAAGUUUUUCAUUAUAAGAUUUCAUCAAGGCAUCAACAAUAUGUUUGGUAAAAGCUUUAUUUUGACUAUAAGCAUGAGGAGAAUUAACAACGGAUUGCAACAAGGAAAUACAAACUUUUAAAGAGAAAUUAUCAUAAUCAAAUUCCUUGAAAUCCGAGAUAGUAAGUUCAAUAUUAUUAGAAGUUGAGGAUUCUCCAAUCUCACUUCUACCAAAUUUAGCAUCAAGAUCUAAAGACUCCGAAUUUUUGGGACGCCUUCUAGGCAAAGUUGAUUCAUCAUCACUCCCAUAAUCAUCAAAAUUCAUAUUGAAAAACAUAGAUCUAAUCGGAGAUGCAUCAAUAACUUUAAGAUCCUCAUCAUUAUUUUCAUGAAGACUAGAAGAACACGCUUUUAUAAAGCUUUCUUUUUUAGCACGCAAUCUUGCGGUUCUUUCCUUGCACUCGUCAAUGGAAAUUCUCAUUACUUUGAGAGACUCAUUUAUAUCAUGCUUAGGAGAAGAAGAUCCAAGUUUAAGAGAAUUAACAUCAAGCGAAAGUCUAUCAACGUUCCUAGCCAAAUCAUCAACUUUGAGCAAUUUUUCUUCAAGCAAAGCAUUAAAAUUCUUUUGAGAUAUCAUAAAUUCUUUCACACUAUUCUCAAAAUCAGAGGGCAUCUUAUUAAAAUUACCAUAAGAAUUAUUGUAGGAAUUUCCAUAAUUAUUAGAGGGAUUACUAGGGAACGGUCUAGCAUUAAAAUUUCCUCUAUAAGCAUUAUUUCCAAAACUAUUCCUACCAACAAAAUUCACAUCCAUAGAUUCAUUAUUAUUCUCAAUAAAGGAAGACAAAGUCAUAUCAUUGGGAUCAAGAGGAGUGUUUUUAGUAGCAAACAACUUCAUAAGUUCAUCCAUCUUUCCACUCAAAACAUUAAUUUCUUCUAUAGCAUGCACUUUUUUACUAGAAGAUCUUUCGGUGUGCCAUUGAGAAUAAUUAGCCAUAAUAUUAUCAAGAAGUUUUGUAGCAUCUCCUAACGUGAUUUCCAUAAAAGUGCCUCCUGCAGCCAAAUCUAAAAGAUUUCUAGAAGCAAAGUUCAAACCGGCAUAAAAAUUUUGUAUGAUCAUCCAUAAAUUCAAACCAUGAGUAGGGCAAUUGCGAAGCAUUAAUUUCAUUCUUUCCCAAGAUUGGGCAACAUGUUCAUGAUCAAGUUAUUUAAAAUUCAUAAUAUCGUUCCUAAGAGUGAUGAUCUUAGCAGGAGGAAAAUACUUAGAGAUAAAAGCAUCUUUGCACUUGUUCCAAGAAUCAAUACUAUUUUUAGGCAAAGACGAAAACCAAACUUUAGCACGAUCUCUAAGUGAAAACGGAAAUAACUUCAAUUUGACAAUAUUGUUAUCCGUAUCUUUCUUCUUUUGCAUAUCACACAAAUCAAAAAAAAUUGUUUAGAUGAGUAGCGGCAUCUUCACUAGGAAGGCCGGCGAAUUGAUCUUUCAUAACAAGAUUCAGCAAAGCGGUAUUGAUUUCACAAGACUCGACAUCAUUAAGAGGAGCAAUCGGAGUACUAAGAAAAUCAUUAUUAUUGGUAUUCGAGAAGUCACACAACUUGGUAUUAUCUUGUGCCAUGGCAACAAGUAAUCCAACACACAAGCAAACAGAAAAACGACAAGCGAAAAAGAGAGGACGAGAUUGGGAAAGAGAGGGCGAAUAAAAUGGCAAGGGUGAAGUGGGGGAGAGGAAAACGAGAGGCAAAUGGCAAAUAAUGUAAAUGCGAGGGAGAUGGGUUUGUGAUGGGUACUUGGUAUGUCUUGACUUGAGCGGAGACCUCCCCGGCAACGGCGCCAGAAAUCCUUCUUGCUACGUCUUGAGCUUGCGUUGGUUUUCCUCGAAGAGGAGAGGGUGAUACAGCAAAGUGUAGCAUAAGUAUUUCCCUCAGUUUUGAGAACCAAGGUAUCAAUCCAGUAGGAGGCUCCUCAAAAGUCCCACGCACCUACACAAACAAACUGAGAACUCGCAACCAACGCAAUAAAGGGGUUGUCAAUCCCUUCACGGCCACUUGCGAAAGUGAGAUCUAAUAAAGAUAGUAUGAUAAGAUAAAUAUAUUUUUGGUAUUUUAUAAGAUAGAUGCAAAAAGUAAAGAUGCAAAUAAAGGUAGAUUGAAAUCAAAUAUGAUAAGAGAUCGACCCGGGGGCCAUAGGUUUCACUAGAGGCUUCUCUCAAGAUAGCAUAAGUAUUACGGUGGGUGAACGAAUUACUAUCGAGCAAUUGAUAGAAAAGUGCAUAGUUAUGAGAUUCUCUAGGCAUGAUCAUGUAUAUAGGCAUCACGUCCAUAACAAGUAGACCGACUCCUGCCUGCAUCUACUACUAUUACUCCACACAUCGACCGCUAUCCAGCAUGCAUCUAGAGUAUUAAGUUCAUAAGAACAGAGCAACGCAUUAAGCAAGAUGACAUGAUGUAGAGGGAUAAACUCAUGCACUAUGAUAUAAACCCCAUCUUGUUAUCCUCGAUGGCAACAAUACAAUACGUGUCUUGCAACCCUUUCUGUCACUGAGUAAGAACACCGCAAGAUUGAACCCAAAGCUAACCACUUCUCCCAUGGAAAGAAAGACCAAUCUAGUAGGCCAAACCAAACUGAUAAUUCGAAGAGACUUGCAAAGAUAACUCAAUCAUACAUAAAAGAAUUCAAAGAAGAUUCAAAUAUUAUUCAUAGAUAAACUUGAUCAUAAACCCACAAUUCAUCGGAUCUCGACAAACACACCGCAAAAAGAGUUUACAUCGAAUAGAUCUCCACAAGAGAGGGGGAGAACAUUGUAUUGAGAUCCAAAAAGAGAGAAGAAGCCAUCUAGCUAAUAACUAUGGACCCGUAGGUCUAUGGUAAACUACUCACAACUCAUCGGAGGGGCAAGGAUGUUGAUGUAGAGGCCCUCUAUGGUUGAUUCCUACGGCGGUGGAAAUUGUGCUUCGUGGUGCUCCUGGAUGUUUUCGGGGUACGUAUGUAUAUAUAGGAGGAAGAAGUACGUCGGUGGCCGCCCAAGGGGCCCACGAGAUAGGGGGGCACGCCCUAUAGGGGGGCGGCCCCCUAUCUCGUGGGGCCCUCGGGAGCUUCUUGACUUUCACUCCAAGCUCUCCGGAUCAGGUUCGUUCCAAAAAUCAUGCUCCCGAAGGUUUCAUUCCGUUUGGACUCCGUUUGAUAUUCCUUUUCUUCGAAAUGAUGAAAUAGGCAAAAAAAUAGCAAUAUGGGUUGGGCCUCCGGUUAGUAGGUUAGUCCCAAAAAUGAUAUAAAUGUGUAAAAUAAAGCCCAUAAACAUCCAAAAGAGGUAAUAUAAUAGCAUGGAACAUUCAAAAGUUAUAGAUACGUUGGAGACGUAUCAAGGCCAUGGGCGGUGAGCUCGCGAACGAGGCUGUUGGGGGCGCGGCCACGACCAGAGGGCACGGGCGGUGAGCGCGAGCUCCACGGAGCAUGGCUCGGUGGUGGUGGCGACGUACGACGAUGAAACCAACGGGGAAACAGGGGGAACAGCGUGGCUAUGAGUGGCGCGGGAUCACCGGGCGCGAGGAUGCGCGGGCAAAGGCAGCUGGCGCAGCGACCGCGAGCUCCUCGGGAGCUCGGGUGUGACGGCGGGGGCGAUCUACGGCGACGAUGGAGAUGGCGUUCUCGGCCACUAAUUGGCCCGUGGAAAAGAUGCUACGGUUCCUGCUCGACAUGGUGAAUAUGGCGGUGGCACGCACGGGACCAAAGGUCACUAGUGGCCACGCCAGAAACAAGCGCGGGUGGUGGCAAGUUUGGCAAUAGCGGCUACGAGGCCUAUGGCACGGGAACGAAGAAAGGUGGGUUUCGAGAAGGGCGUGUGCUCACGGUGAGGCGGUAGUGGAGGAUAGCGAGCUUGGGGAGGCUUGACGGCGUCGGAGUCGAAGAAGAACGUCAGCGGAUCCCUAGGUUGAAGAUGAGGUCGGGGUGGCAUUGCAGGGGCCGUCCAACACCGUGUGGCUCGACGUAGAUGAUGAGGGUGACGCUACGGUGCUCCUGGACUCGUUGGGGAGGGUAGGGGUGGACGGUGGCCGCGGGAUCGAAGCGGGCGCGGCGGCGAUCAUGUCGGCCUCCUCUCUAGAUCGAUGGAGAGGGAGAGGUGGAGAAGGAGAGAAGAGGGGCAAGUGGGAGAGUGGAUGGAGCAGGCGGGAACCCGAGGGGGCAAGUGGGGACAGGUGGGAUCGAGGGGUCGGGGCGUGGUGCCCUUAUCCCCUCCCGGCGUCGGCGCCAGCGAGGUGGUUCGGGGCGACCAAGCCCCUGUAGCGACAUGGUCACGUGAACAGGGGAGAGAGGAUGGUUCGGUGAGGAUGGGUCGGUCUGAUGGCUUAGUGGGCCAAAGCCCAGGGGGAAAAUAGCUUUGCAUUUGUUUAUUAUUUAAAGUCAUUUAGUAAUUGUUUUAGUCGUUGUUUUAUUCACCAAAGAGCAUUUAAAUACUUAUACAAAAAUGUUGGGUCAGCACCAUAAUUGGUUAUGGAAUAUUUGCCACACUUUGAACAUUUUAUUUGGCAGGUUUGAGAAAUUUGUAUUUUGGACUUUAAUUUGAAUUUGAAUUUGAAUCAUGAUUUGAAUCAAGCGAGGAUUAGUAACAGUAAUGUGAUGACAUGGCAUCGUUAGCGGGGGAUUACUAUAGCUUAAUUAUUCGGGUGUUACAAUUCUCCUCCACUACAAGAAAUCUCGUCCCGAGAUUUUAGAAGGUAGAUGGAAACAAAACGAGGUAUUCAUCUCUAAGACAAUCCUCGAGUUCCCAAGUGGCUUCAUCUUCAGAAGGAUUUGACCAUUGAAAUUUUAGAAUUUUGAAAGCCCUCUGACGGUGCGACGUUCAGUUUGAUCGAGAAUGCGGACCGGUGCUAUGUGUAAGUGAGAUCAUCGUGCAGGGGUUGAGCUAUAUAAGCCAUGGGGUUGUUGCAAUAAGACUUGCGACUCGGGGCAUCGGCUGUGAAAUAGCCUUGCCAGGGGUAUAAGAAAUACCAUAGUCAUAUUCUGUAAUUGUUUCCAUACAUCGCUGCAGACGGAGAUCCAAAUCUAGCUGAGUAAAAAGAUACUUCAGACUUUGAUGAUCGGUGAAGACCUCGCAACGAUUACCAAAAAAAGGAAAUGCCACCACAAAUUCAGUGCAAAUUUAUCUACAGCAAGUUCAAGGCCAUGGACUGGGUUGUUCUUUUGGAAAAGCAUCUUGGAAUUCACAAACAAUUGGAGCAUUUUCAAUUCUCAUAAGAUAAGCGUUUACGCGUUCAAGGAAUAAAUCCGUGCUUCGAAACAAGAUGAGCAUGGUAGCUUACUAUCUCACUCGAAGGAUGGAGUAGAUGGACGGUUUAAGUGGCGCAAAUGAUAGAAGCGGUAUGUGGUUUAAACCAUUCCAUUCUUAGAAUGAGGUCGAUAUUGGAUGACUUCAAAACAAUGGGGGAAACAUGGAAUUCCAACCGUUCAAGUUCAACGGGGACGUUGUGACUAAUCAGGGUGGUUCGACAUUGGCCCGCGGAAUGCAGCUUGGAAUUUUGGCCAAGUGAUGGCGGUUCCAACAGGUAAGGAACGCCUGUGGACGUCCCACAAUUGAGUAGCGGGAACUUUAAGGUAGUAAGCCGCAAGAUGACAUAGUUGGCAGGGGCUACAUCAACAGACUCCAACUUAAAAGUGAUGUCACGGAGCCAGUCAUCAGCAUCAAGUGGAUGAGUUGAGCUGCAGUAGAUGGUUGGGUUGAGAUGCAAAGUCUUGCAGAGUCACUGGGGCUGGUUGCUGAUUCAUAUUGGGGCGUGGGAACUGAGCCAUGACUCAUACCAUGAACUGGCGAUUCAACAUCAAACUGUUGUAUCAUUCCGGCCAUGUAUUCGGGAGGUGGUGGAUUGUCACCACCACGGCAAUAACUAGUGGGUCUAACCAUCCUGCUCAAAACAUCAGGGAGCGGUUUAACAAGGGUUGGAGCAGGUGUAUGGAGUUAUUGAUGCUGUAAUCAGAACACCGAGCAAAGGCACAGUAUGUAGAAAGCAGUAGUCAUUGAAGACAUACACAUACAUAUACGGGGCUAGUUGCAUGCUGUUCGUAUGAGUUCGGACAAGAGAAACAUCUUAAACACACUAGACGGCACACAUGCACGCGAUGGAGGGAUACCUCAACGGGACAUAGCGAAGGCUACAUCAACGUCGGGGAAAACCACUAGAGUGAGGGAUUUGCAAGUGACGACGCAGGGAGCGGUCGAUAAGAGGAUCCUGCGGUCAGUGAACAAUGUGAAGCAGAUCUCGGCCCUCAAUUCAAGAAAGGUAAUACAAACCUUCGGGUGGAUGUGAUCACGAGAUCCUAAUGUUAGAUUUAGCAAAAUCAUUUAACCCAAAUAAAAGAGAGAUCAGAGUCCCAGAAUAUAGACGACGAUUAAAAGAUCCUAAUACCACCCAGUGGCGACAUGGGCCCAUAAGCCACACAGCCAAGUUAGUAAACCAGUUUUUCAAAGACUAGACUCAACUUCGGCCAAGGAGUUGGAAAGGGGGAUCCUACAGGCAGUCGGCUCUGAUACCAACUUGUGACGCCCCCGAAAAAGACUCGACCAUACAUUAAUCAUACACACAAACAUGUACGAUCAAGAUCAGGGACUCAAUGGGAAGAUAUCACAACACAACUCUAAACACAAAUUGAGAAGAUACAAGCUUCAUAUUACAAGCCAGGGGCCUUGAGGGCUCGAAUACAUAGCUCGAUACACAAGAGUCAGCGGAAGCAACAAUAUUUGAGUACAGACAUAAGUUAGACAAGACUGCCUUAAGAAGGCUAGCACAAAAGCAACACGAUCGUAGAGGCAAGGCCUCCUGCCUAGGACCUCCUAACUACUCCUGGUCGUCGGCGGUCUUCAUGUAGUAGCACCCGUCAGCGGUGGCAUCUGGCUCCAAGGAUCCACCAUCUGGUUGCAUCAACCGGAAAGAAGAAGGAAGGGGGAAAAGGGGUAGUAAAGCAACCGUGAGUACUCAUCCAAAGUACUCGCAAGCAUCAGAUCUAUACUAAGUAUGCAUUGGUAUCAAAUGGAAGGGUCGUAUCUGUGGACUGAACUACAGAAAGCCAGAAUAGAGGGGAAGGCCUAGCCUAUCGAAUACUAGCAUCUUCAAGCAGCUCCAAGCAUCUUGCAACAUGUAGAAGAGUAAAGAAUAGCAUUUUAUAAUUAACAACCAUGUUGUACAAUUAGUGCCCAGAGAUCCUUCCUCGACUCCCUGCGAGGAAGCAAUCCCGGGGCCACAUAUCUCAAGUAUCCAUUUCUAGUUGUAAUAGAUCAGGAUAUAACUCUGUACGUCCAUUACCGUGGACACAGCUAUUAAUAGAUAAUCUUCCCUGCAGGGGUGCACCACAUUUUCCAACAUGCUUGAUUACUCUGGCUGGACACACUUUUCUGGGUCAAUGCCCGGCCUCGGAAGAUCAACACGUCGCAGCCCUACCUAGGAUCAGCAGAAAGGUCCCCGCCAGUCUACAUCCUAAGCACUCCGGGAUCUUGGGCCCCUCGCCCAGUGCACUCUGGGUCGUUGCACGUAGGGCGGGUCCAGGCUCCACCACUACAGGAUGGUACCGGCCCAGCCGUGCCGCCAUGCUGAACUGGACGUCUGACAAAGCUUCGACUAAUACUACGACGUCGACGCCCAUAACUAUUCUCGCGUGGUGGUUAGUGCGUAAAGGCCAAAGGCCAACUCAGAACAAAUACCCAAACCAUAGUGUAUUAUUAGUUUGCGGAGACAAGAGAAGACUCACGAUAAUGUGACCCCGCCGCCCCGUCUCGAGGAAAUACGGCAAGGGCUAGCCCAGCCCACUCGGGGCGGCCUGCCUGCCCGGCCGUGCCUAGUAACCAUCUUGCGGGUGCUCUCCGGGCCCGCCUGAUUUUCUCAAAGGUCUCAAGUAAAGUCAAGGUAACCAUGUGUUCAAACAUCAAGGGGAAAACCCGAGGAAUCACUGAUGUCUACUACACAACCUUCUUCUUGUAGACGUUGUUGGGCCUCCAAGUGCAGAGGUUUGUAGGACAAUAGGAAAUUUCCCUCAAGUGGAUGUGAUAACCCACAAGUAUAGGGGAUUGCAACAGCUUUCGAGGGUAGAGUAUUCAACCCAAAUUUAUUGAUUUGACACAAGGGGAGCCAAAGAAUAUUCUUGAGUAUUAGCAGUUGAGUUGUCAAUUCAACCACACCUGGAUAACUUAGUAUCUGCAGCAAAGUAUUUAGUAGCAAAAGUGGUAUGAUAAUAAUAGUAAUGAUAGCAAAAGUAAAGAUAAAUGUUUUGGGUUUUUGUAGUAGUUGUAACAGUAGCAACGGAAAAGUAAAUAAGCGAAGAACAAUAUGUGAAAAUCUCGUAGGCAAUGGAUGAGUGAUGGAUAAUUAUGUCGGAUGCGAUUCCUCAUGCAAUAGUUAUAACAUAGGGUGAUAUAGAACUAGCUCCAAUUCAUCAAUGUAAUGUAGGCAUGUAUUCCGUAAAUAGUCAUACGUGCUUAUGGAAAAGAACUUGCAUGACAUCUUUUGUCCUACCCUCCCGUUGAAGCGGGGUCCUUACGGAAACUAAGGGAUAUUAAGGCCUCCUUUUAAUAGAGAACCGGAACAAAGCAUUAGCACAUAGUGAAUACAUGAACUCCUCAAACUACGGUCAUCACCGACAAGUAUCUCGAGUAUUGUCACUUCGGGGUUGUCGGAUCAUAACACAUAAUAGGUGACUAUAGACUUGCAAGAUAGGAUCAAGAACACACAUAUAUUCAUGAAAACAUAAUAGGUUCAUAUCUGAAAUCAUGGCACUCGGGCCCUAGUGACAAGCAUUAAGCAUAGCAAAGUCAUAGCAACAUCAAUCUCAGAACAUAGUGGAUACUAGGGAUCAAACCCUAACAAAACUAACUUGAUUACAUGGUAAAUCUCAUCCAACCCAUCACCGUCCAGCAAUCCUACGAUGGAAUUACUCACGCACGGCAGUGAGCAUCAUGAAAUUGGUGAUGGAGGAUGGUUGAUGAUGACGACGGCGAUGAAUCCCCCUCUCCAGAGCCCCGAACGGACUACAUAUCAGCCCUCCCGAGAGAGAUUAGGGCUUGGCGGCGGCUCCAUGUCGUAAAACGCGAUGAAACUUUCUCUCUGAUUUUUUCUCCCCGAGACGGAAUAUAUGGAGUUGGAGUUGAGGUCGAUGGAGGUCCAGGGGGCCCACGAGAUAGGAGGUCGCGCCCUAGGGGGGGCGCCCCCUGUCUCUUGGAGAGGCUGUGGGCCCCCUGGCAUUAAUUUUUUCGCCAAAAAUUCUUAUUAAUUCCAAAAAGUGCCUCCGUGGAUUUCCAGGACAUUCCGAGAACUUUUAUUUUCUACACAUAAAACAACAUCAUGGUAGUUCUACUGAAAACAUCGUUAGUCCGGAUUAGUUUCAUUCAAAUCAUGCAAGUUAGAGUCCAAAACAAGGGCAAAAGUGUUUGGAAAAGUAGAUACGUUGGAGACGUAUCAACUCCCCCAAGCUUAAACCUUUGCUUGUCCUCAAGCAAUUCAGUUGAUAAACUGAAAGUGAUAAAGAAAAACUUUUACAAACUCUGUUUGCUCUUGUUGUUGUAACAUGAAAAGUCAGCAUUCAAGUUUCAGCAAAUAUUAUGAACUAACCAUACUCACAAUAACACAUAGGUCUCACAAUUACUCAUAUCAAUAGCAUAAUCAGCUAGUGAGCCAUAAUAAUAAAACUCGGAUGACAAUACUUUCUCAAAAUAACUAUAACAUGAUAUAACAAAAUGGUAUCUCGCUAGCCCUUUCUGAGACCGCAAAACAUAAAUGCAGAGCACCUUUAAAGAUCAAGGACUGACUAAACAUUGUAAUUCAUGGUAAAAGAGAUCCAGUCAAGUCAUACCCAAUAUAAACCAAUAAUAAUGAAUGCAAAUGACAGUGUGCUCUCCAGCGGGUGCUUUUAAUAAGAAGGGUGAUGACUCAACAUAAAAGUAAAUAGAUAGGCCCUUCGCAGAGGGAAGCACGGAUUUGUAGAGGUGCCAGAGCUCGAUUUUAAAAUAGAGUUUGAGUAACAUUUUGAGCGGCAUACUUUUGCUGUCAAUGCAACAACUAUGAGAUGGCUGUAUCUUUCAUACUACAUGCAUUAUAGGCAGUUGCCAAACAGAAUGGUAAAGGUUUAUACUCCCCCAACCACCAACAAACAUCAAUCCAUGGCUUUCUCGAAACAACGAGUGCCUCCAACAUACAACAGCCCUGGGGGAGUUUUGUUUAAUUAAUUUGAUUUGCUUUGAUCUUUUUGGACCAUGGGACUGGGCAUCCCGGUUACCGGCCCUUUCUCGUGAAUGAGGAGCGGAGUCCACUCCUCGUGAGAAUAACCCACCUAGGAUGGAAGAUAUAGGCAGCCCUAGUUGUAACAUGAGCUGCUCAAGCAUACAAAACAGAAUUUCAUUUGAAGGUUUGGAGUUUGUCACAUACAAAUUUACUUGGAACGGCAGGUAAAUACCGCAUAUAGGUAGGUAUAGUGGAGUCAUAUGGAACAACUUUGGGGUUUAAGGAGUUUGUAUGCACAAGCAGUAUUCUCGCUUAGUACAGGUGAAGGCUAGCAAAAGACUGGGAAGCGACCAACUGAGAGAGCGACAACAGUCGUAAGCAUGCAUUAAAAUUAAUUCACACCGGAUACAAGCAUGAGUAGGAUAUAAUCCACCAUGAACAUAAAUAUCGUGAAGGCUAUGUUGAUUUGAUUCAACUACAUGCGUGAACAUGUGCCAAGUCGAGUCACUCAAUACAUUCAAAGGAGGAUACCAUCCCAUCAUACCACAUCAUAAUCAUUCUAAUAGCAUGUUGGCACGCAAGGUAAACCAUUAUAACUCAUAGCUAAUCAAGCAUGGCACAAGUAACUAUAAUCUCUAAAUGUCAUUGCAAAUAUGUUUACUUCAUAAUAGCUGACUCGGGAACGAUGAACUCAUCAUAUUUACAAAAACAAGAGAGGUCCAGUUCAUUCCAGCUUUUCUCAUCCCAAUAAGUCCAUCAUAUAUCGUCAUUACUGCCUUUCACUUGCACGACCGAACGAUGUGUAUAAUAAUAAGAGUGCACUUGCGUUGGACUAAGCUGGAAUCUGCAAGCAUUCAACUCAAGAGAGAAGGCAGGGUAAUAUGGGCUCUAAAUUAAAUAAACAAUCAUGCAUAUAAGAGCCACUAAGCAUUUUCAAUAUGGUCUUCUCGACCCCCAAAAGAAAGAAAAGAAAAGAAAACUAUUUACACGAGAAAUCUCUCAACAAGUAAGAAGAAGAACAAGAAAUAUUUUUGGGUUUUCAUUUUAAUUUCUACUACAAACAUGGAAAUUAAACUAACUAAUUUUUUGGUUUUUUCUUAAAGUUUAUCAAACACACAAGGAGAAAACUAGAAAAAGAAAUUUAAACUAGCAUGGAUAAUACAAUGAAAGAGUAUGAGCACCGACGACUAGUGUGUGAACAUGAAGGUAAAGUCGGUGAGAAAUACAUACUCCCCCAAGCUUAGGCUUUUGGCCUAAGUUGGUUUAAUACCAAUGACCGCCUCGCUGAUAUACAUAAGUGAAACUGGGGUAGUACUGAGAUGCAGAGGCGACCGCCUCCUGAGCAGCAGCGUGUUGGCGAGCUGCAUCCAUUCCCCUCUCAUAUUCAGUUGCUUCUUCCCUGGUGACAACAUAUCUUCCUUUUGCCUGAAAAUAAAAAAGGUAGGGAGCAGGAAGAGUAACAGGGACGACAUUGUGUCUGUCAUAGAUUAGUCGAUAAUGGAGGAAUUGUUCAUUCCUCUCAAGAAAAUUAUGAUCAAACAUAGCUUCUUUAUCCAAAUAAAUAGGAGGUACAAUCAUAUCCCCCUCUCGUGGAGCUAUACUAAGAAAAUUAGCCACACGGGUUGCAUAAAUUCCUCCAAAUAAAUCUCCCCUUCUACUAUUAUUCUGCAACCUACGUGCAACUAUUGCCCCCAAGUUAUAACCUUUAUAACCUGACACAGCACUCUUGAGGACACAAAGAUCAGGGGCACACAUGUGACAUACCUCGUCCUUACCGUUAAUGCAUCUACCAAUAAAGAGAGCAAAAUAAUGUAUAGCUGGAAAAUGAAUGCUCGCUAUAGUAGCUUGUGAUACGUCCAUAGAUUCUCCCACAGUAAUACUAGCAAGAAAAUCUCUAAAUUCAGAUUUGCGAGGAUCAUUGAUAUUACCCCACUGCGGGAGUUUGCAAGCAGUCGUGAAAUCCUCUAAAUCCAUGGUAUAAGAUGUAUCAUAAAUAUCAAACAUGACACUAGGAGAAUUACGCGCAGAAAUAUAUUCGAACCUCCGCACAAAGGAAUCAGUCAAUUGAUAAUAUUGAGGACACUUAUCUUGUAAGAAGUCCUCCAGCUCAGCAUUACGCACAUACGCGUCAAAUUCCUCCUUGAAGCCUGCUUCGACCAUAAAAUCAUCGGAUGGCCACUCACAAGCCCGUACAUUCGCGUCCCUCAGCAGUUUAACAUCUUGCUCAUGUAUAGCAAUCCUUGGCCCUUUCUUUGCCGAGGAACCACCUUGGUACAUUCUUCUAAGCAUAUUUCUUUUCUGAAAAUUUCUGACAUUUUAGUAACUUCAAAAUAAAGGUGAAUAAAACUAAACAAGAUUGAUAGCAACUACUCCUAUAAGAGCCUAGAGCCUAUAUCAUGCAUUGGAAUGGCUUGGGACCUCAAACUUUUAACAUGCAAGCUCAAGAACAUGGUCACCUAUGCAGCAAAAAUUUGCAAUGAAUAAAGCACUAGAACAAAAACUAAUUGGACCAAUAGAGGAGUCACAUACCAAGCAACAAUUCCCCAAAGCAGUUUUGUGAAUGGAGCUUUGAGCUAAGAGAUCGAAAAUCGCAGCAAAACGAGCUAGAACUCGUGCUUGAGCUAGAUGGGGAUUUUUUUGGGGUAGAAGAUGAAGUGUGUGGGCGCUGGCAUAAGUGGAGGGGAGCCACUAGGGGCCCACGAGAUAGGGGGCGUGCCCUACAGGGGGGGCUCCUCUCUCGUGGCCUGGUGCUUGCCCCUCCUACAGUGUUUUCAGUGCCUAAAAUCCUCAAAUAUUCCAGAAAAAAUCAUACUAAAUCUGCAGGGCAUUUGGAGCACUACUAUUUUCAGACUAUUUUUUAAUGCACGGAUAAUUCAGAAAACAGACGUAUAAUACUAUUUUUGCUUUAUUUAAUCUAAAUAACAAAAAAGUAAAAAGAGGGUAUAGGAGGUUGUGCCUUCUAGUUUCAUCCAUCUCGUGAUCAUCAAAAUGAACCCAAUCAAGUCUUGUUAACAAACUCAUUCCGAAUAACACGGAACCGGAGAAAUUUCGAAUAACACUAAGUUACCUCAACGGGGAUAUGAAAAUCCCCAACAACAAGAAUAUCAUACUUUUUCUUGAAAGUAGGGAGAGGAAAUUCAAAACCUCCAAAAAUGAUAGUUGGAACUUUUUCAAUAGAAUUGAUGCUAUGGACUUGAGAUUGUUUCCUCGGAAAGUGUACCGUAUGCUCAUUACCAUUAACAUGAAAAGUGACAUUGCCUUUGUUGCAAUCAAUAACAGCCCCUGCAGCAUUAAGAAAAGGUCUACCAAGGAUAAUAGACAUACUAUCAUCAUCAAGAAUAUCAAGAUUAACAAAGUCCGUUAAGAUAGUGACAUUUGCAACCACAACAGGCACAUCCUCACAAACACCGACAGGUAUAGCAGUUGAUUUAUCAGCCAUUUGCAAAGAUAUUUCAGUAGGUGUCAACUUAUUCAAUUCAAGUCUACGAUAUAAAGAGAGAGGCAUAACACUAACACCGGCUCCAAGAUCACAUAAAGCAGUUCUAACAUAAUUUCUUUUAAUGGAGCAUGGUAUAGUUGGUACACCCGGAUCUCCAAGUUUCUUUGGUAUUCCACCCUUAAAAGUGUAAUUAGCAAGCAUGGUGGAAAUUUCAGCUUCAGGUAUCUUUCUUUUAUUUGUGAUGAUAUCCUUCAUAUACUUAGCAUAAGGAUUUACUUUCAACAUAUCAGUUAAGCACAUACAUAAGAAAAUAGGUCUAAUCAUCUCAGCAAAGCACUCAAAAUCCUCAUCAUCCUUUGACUUGGAUGGUUUAGGAGGAAAGGGCAUGGGUUUCUGAACCCAUGGUUCUCUUUCUUUACCGUGCUUCCUAGCAACAAAAUCUCUCUUGUAAUAACGUUGAUUCUUUGAUGGUGGGUUAUCAAGAUCAACAGCAGGUUCAAUCUCUACAUCAUUGUCUUUGCUAGGUUGAGCAUCAACAUGAACAUUAUCAUUAACAUUAUCACUAGGUUCAUGUUCAUCACCUGAUUGUGUUUCAGCAUUAGAAACAGAAAUAUCAUUGGGAUUCUCAGGCGUGUCUACAGUAGGUUCAUUAGAAGCAUGCAAAGUUCUAUCGUUUUUCUUUUUCUUCUUUUUAGAAGAACUAGGUGCCUCUAAAUUAUUUAUCUGAGAAUCUUGCUCGAUUCUCUAAGGGUGGCCUUCAGGAUACAAAGGUUCCUGAGUCAUUCUACCAGUUCUAGUAGCCACUCUAACAGCAAAGUCUUUUUUAUUAUUCAAUUCCUCCAGCAAAUCAUUUUGAGCUUUAAGUACUUGCUCGGCUUGAGUAGCAACCAUAGAAGCAUAUUUGCUAAUGCUGUGAAGUUCAUCUUUAACUCUAGCUAGAUUAUCACCUACGCGUCCUAUCUCGAAAGCAUUAUUCUUUAACUCUCUACCAACAUAAGCAUUAAAAAUUUCUUGUCUAGCCAUAAAGUCCUCAAAUUCAUCUAAGCAUGGGCUAUGAAAUUUAGUAGAGGGUAUUUCAACUUUAUCAUAUCUAUAGAGAGAAUUUACCUUUACUACCUGUGUCGGGUUAUCAAGACAAUGUGGUUCUUCAGGAGGUAAAUUAAGACCAUGUAUUUAUUCAAUAUGUGGUAAAUUCUUAACAUCUUCAGCUUUAAUACCUUUUUCUUUCAUUGAUUUCUUUGCCUCUUGCAUAUCUUCAGGACUGAGAAAUAAAACACCUCUCUUCUUCAGAGCGGGUUUAGGAAUAGGAUCAUGAGUUGGCUCAAUUGGUUCAGGAAUUACUUCAGGAACUGGCUCGGGAAGAGUCCAAUUAUUUUCAUUAGUCAACAUAUUAUUCAAUAGUAUUUCAGCUUCGUCGACUGUUCUUUCCCUGAAAACACAACCAGCACAACUAUCCAAGUAGUCCUUGGAAGCAUCGGUUAGUCCAUUAUAAAGGAUAUCAAGUAUUUCAUUUUUCUUAAGAGAAUGAUCAGGCAAAGCAUUAAGUAACCGGAGAAGCCUCCCCCAAGCUUGUGGGAGACUCUCUUCUUUGAUUUGCACAAAGUUAUGUAUUCCCCGCAAGGCAGCUUGUUUCUUAUGAGCAGGGAAAUAUUUAGCAGAGAAGUAAUAAAUCAUAUCCUGGGGACUACGCACACAACCAGGAGCAAGAGAAUUAUACCAAGUCUUAGCAUCACCCUUUAAUGAGAACGGAAAUAUCUUAAGGAUAUAUAAAUAGCGAGACUUCUCAUCAUGAGUAAACAGGGUGGCUAUAUCAUUCAACUUGGUAAGAUGUGCCACAACAGUUUCAGAUUCAAGGCCAUAAAAAGGAUCAGGAUCUACAGAGAAUUCAUAAUCCUUAUUAGUAACACAGAUAGGUGAAGUAGAAAAAGCAGGAUCGGGUUUCAUUCUAGCAUUAAGAGACUGCUGCUUCCAUUUAGCUAAUAAUUUCUUAAGAUCAUUUCUAUCAUUGCAAGCAAGAAUUUCCAUAGCAGAUGCUUCAUUCAUAACAUAACCCUUAGGAACAACAAGUAAUACAUAAUCAUUGGGGGAACCUUCAUCAUCACUAUCAUCAAUAAUAGGUUCUUCAAUAUUUUCAUUCCCCCUAACUCUAGCAAGUUGUUCAUCUAGAAAUUCACCUAAUGGCAAAGUAGUAUCACGCACAGAAGUAGUUUCAUCAUGCAUAGCAGAAGUGGCAUCAUCAAUAACAUGCGAUGUAUCAGAAUUCAUAGCAGUAGUAGGUUUAGGUGUCGCAAGCCUACUAAUAACGGAAGGAGAAUCUAGUGCAGAGCUAGAUGGCAGUUCCUUACCUCCCCUCGUAGUUGAGGGCAAAAUAGUAGUUCGAUCGUCUUUCAAGUUCUUCAUAGUGAUCAACAGAUAUAAAUCCCAAGUGACUCAGAGAAUAGAGCUAUGCUCCCCGGCAACGGAGCCAAAAAUUAGUCUUGAUAACCCACAAGUAUAGGGGAUCGCAACAGCUUUCGAGGGUAGAGUAUUCAACCCAAAUUUAUUGAUGCGACACAAGGGGAGCCAAAGAAUAUUCUUGAGUAUUAGCAGUUGAGUUGUCAAUUCAACCACACCUGGAUAACUUAGUAUCUGCAGCAAAGUAUUUAGUAGCAAAAGUGGUAUGAUAAUAAUAGUAACGGUAGCAAAAGUAAAGAUAAAUGUUUUGGGGUUUUUGUAGUAGUUGUAACAGUAGCAAUGGAAAAGUAAAUAAGCGAAGAACAAUAUGUGAAAAGCUCGUAGGCAAUGGAUCAGUGAUGGAUAAUUAUGUCGGAUGCGAUUCCUCAUGCAAUAGUUAUAACAUAGGGUGAUAUAGAACUAGCUCCAAUUCAUCAAUGUAAUAUAGGCAUGUAUUCCGUAAAUAGUCAUACGUGCUUAUGGAAAAGAACUUGCAUGCCAUCUUUUGUCCUACCCUCCCGUUGAAGCGGGGUCCUUACGGAAACUAAAGGAUAUUAAGGCCUCCUUUUAAUAGAGAACCGGAACAAAGCAUUAGCACAUAGUGAAUACAUGAACUCUUCAAACUACGGUCAUCACCGAGAAGUAUCCCGAUUAUUGUCACUUCGGGGUUGUCGGAUCAUAUCACAUAAUAGGUGACUAUAGACUUGCAAGAUAGGAUCAAGAACACACAUAUAUUCAUGAAAACAUAAUAGGUUCAGAUCUGAAAUCAUGGCACUCGGGCCCUAGUGACAAGCAUUAAGCACAGCAAAGUCAUAGCAACAUCAAUCUCAGAACAUAGUGGAUACUAGGGAUCAAACCCUAACAAAACUAACUUGAUUACAUGGUAUGUCUCAUCCAACCCAUCACCGUCCAGCAAGCCUACGAUGGAAUUACUCACGCACGGCGGUGAGCAUCAUGAAAUUGGUGAUGGAGGAUGGUUGAUGAUGACGACGGCGACGAAUCCCCCUCUUCGGAGCCCCGAAUGGACUCCAGAUCAGCCCUCCCGGGAGAGAUUAGGGCUUGGCGGUGGCUCCAUGUCGUUAAACGCGAUGAAACUUUCUCUCUGAUUUUUUUCUCCCUGAGACGGAAUAUAUGGAGUUGGAGUGGAGGUCGGUGGAGGUCCAGGGGGCCCACGAGAUAGGAGGUCGCGCUCUAGGGGGGCGCCCCCUGUCUCGUGGGCAGGCUGUGGGCCCCCUGGCAUUAAUUCUUUCACCAAAAAUUCUUAUUAAUUCCAAAAAGUGCCUCCGUGGAUUUCCAGGACAUUCCGAGAACUUUUCUUUUCUACACAUAAAACAACAUCAUGGUAGUUCUGCUGAAAACAACGUCAGUCCGGGUUAGUUUCAUUCAAAUCAUGCAAGUUAGAGUCCAAAACAAGGGCAAAAGUGUUUGGAAAAGUAGAUACGUUGGAGACGUAUCAAGAUGACCUAAGGUUUAUCAAUCCGUGGGAGGCGUAGGAUGAAAAUGAUCUCUCUCAAACAACCCUACAACCAAAUAACAAAGAGUCUCUUGUGUCCCCAACACACCCAGUACAAUGGUAAAUUGUAUAGGUGCACUAGUUCGGCGAAGAGAUGGUGAUACAAGUGCAAUAUGGAUGGUAGAUAUGGGUAUUUGUAAUCUGAAAAUAUAAAAACAGCAAGGUAACUAAUGAUAAAAGUGAGCACAAACGGUAUUGCAAUGGUAGGAAACAAGGCCUAAGGUUCAUACUUUCACUAGUGCAAGUUCUCUCAACAAUAAUAACAUAAAUAGAUCAUAUAACAAUCCCUCAACAUGCAACAAAGAGUCACUCCAAAGCCACUAAUAGCGGAGAACAAACGAAGAGAUUAUGGUAGGGUACGAAACCACCUCAAAGUUAUCCUUUCUGUUCUAUCUAUUCAAGAGUCCGUAGUAAAAUAACAUGAAGCUAUUCUUUCUGUUCAAUCUAUCUUAGAGUUCAUACUAGAAUAACACCUUAAGACACAAAUCAACCAAAACCCUAACGUCACCUAGAUACUCCAUUGUCACCUCAAGUAUCCGUAGGCAUGAUUAUACGAUAUGCAUCACACAAUCUCAGAUUCAUCUAUUCAACCAACACAAAGUACUUCAAAGAGUGCCCCAAAGUUUCUACCGGAGAGUCAAGACGAAAACGUGUGCCAACCCCUAUGCAUAGGUUCAUGGGCGGAACCCGCAAGUUGAUCACCAAAACAUACAUCAAGUGGAUCACGUGAUAUCCCAUUGUCACCACAGAUAAGCAUGGCAAGACAUACAUCAAGUGUUCUCAAAUCCUUAAAGACUCAAUCCGACAAGAUAACUUCAAAGGGAAAACUCAAUUCAUCACAAGAGAAUAGAGGGGGAGAAACAUCAUAAGAUCCAACUAUAGCAGCAAAGCUCGCGAUACAUCAAGAUCGUGCCAUAGAGAGAACACGAGAGAGAGAGAGAUCAAGCACAUAGCUACUGGUACAUACCCUCAGCCCCGAGGGUGAACUACUCCCUCCUCGUCAUGGAUAGCUCCGGGAUGAUGAAGAUGGCCACCGGUGAGGGAUCCCCCCCUCCGGCAGGGUGCCAGAACGAGCUCCCGAGAGGUUUUUGGUGGCUACAGAGGCUUGUGGCGGCGGAACUCCCGAUCUAUCUUUGUAUUCGAUGGUUUUAGGGUAUAUGGGAAUAUAUAGGUGAAAGAAGUCGGCCAGGGGAGCCUCGAGGGGCCCAUGAGACAGGGGGCGCGCCCAGGGGAGUGGGCGCGCCCUCCUAUCUCCUGGCCUCCUCGAAGCUUCCCAGGCUUGUACUCCAAGUCUCCCGGAUCAUGUUCGCUCCAAAAAUCACGCUCCCGAAGGUUUUAUUCAGUUUGGACUCCGUUUGAUAUUCCUUUUCUUCGAAACACUGAAAUAGUCAAUAAAACAGCAAUAUGGGUUGGGCCUCCGGUUAAUAGGUUAGUUCCAAAAGUAAUAUAAAAGUGUAUAAUAAAGCCUGUAAUCAUUCAAAACAGAUAAUAAAAUAGCAUGAAUGCUUCAUAAAUUAUAUAUACGUUGGAGACGUAUCAGCAUCCCCAAGCUUAAUUCCUACUCGUCCUCGAGUAGGUAAAUGAUAAAAGAAAGAAUUUAUGAAGUGUGAAUGCUAGCAGGUGCACAAGUUUGAUCAAUGAUAAUUUCAAUCACCUUUUCUAGCAUGAUUAUAUGUCAUAGCAGUAGUUCAUCUCAUAAAACUACUCACGAACAAGUAACAAGCAACUCACCUGUUGAAGCAUAGACCAUAAACUUUCUUGAAAACUAGCAAACUUUAUUCUUAGUCAUCAAACAAUUACAAUUCAUCUUAUUUUUUGGAAAGGUCUAUGUCAGAGCUUUGAUUUAGCAAACUCCACAUACUCAACUAUCAUAUAGUCUUCCAUAAUUGCUAACACUCACGCAAUACUAAUGGUUAUGGAGUUUUAAUCGGACACUGAGAAAGAUAGGGGCUUAUAGUGUUGUCUCCCAACGUAUUCACCUUUGGGUGAUGUCAACAAUAAUAGUUCAUGAUAACUUACAUCCAAUUGGAUAUAUAUAUCCGGAUCUUUCCAACACGAGGUGCUUGCCAAAGGAUAAAAUGAAAAAGGGAAAGGUGAAGAUCACAUUGACUCUUGCAUAAAGUAAAAGACAUAAAGUAAAAGAGAGGCCCUUCGCAGAGGGAAGCAGAGGUUGCCAUGCGCUUUUAUGGUUGGAUGCACAAAAUCUUAAUGCAAAAGAACGUCACUUUACAUUGCCACUUCUAUAUGGACCUUUAUUAUGCAGUCCGUCGCUUUUAUUGCUUCCAUAACAAGAUCGUAUAAAGCUUAUUUUCUCCGCACUAAUAAAUCAUACUUAUUUAGAGAGCAAUUUUUAUUGCUUGCAUUGAUGACAACUUACUUGAAGGAUCUUACUCAAUCCAUAGGUAGGUAUGGUGGACUCUCAUGGCAAAAUUGGGUUUAAGGAUAUUUGGAAACACAGGUAGUAUAUCUACUUGGUGCAAGGAAUUUGGCUAGCAUGAGGGGGAAAGGCAAGCUCAACAUGUUUGAAUGAUCCAUGAUAAUAUACUUUAACUGAGAUGUGAGAAAACAUAACCCAUUACGUUGUCUUUCUUGUCCAACAUCAACUCUUUAGCAUGUCAUACUUAAUGAGUGAUCACAAUUAUAAAAGAUGUCUAAGAUAGUAUAUUUAUAUGCAGAAUCUCUCUUCCUUCAAUAUUCUUUCAUGAAUUGUUCAAAUGACCAAUACAAUGCUUGCUAACCUUCAAUAAAUUUACAACCUCUACUUCUUAGAUGUGAAGUCAUUACUCCCCAUGGGAUAAGCAAAUGAAACAUAUAUAAUUACAUAUUUAUGACAUUCAACUCAUUCAACCAUUUACUCAUAAGAUAUAAGUGAAGCACACGAGUAAAUGACAAACUACUCCAAAAAGAUAUAAGUGAAGAUUAAUGAGUAGCUAAAUAAUUGUGUAACUAUGUGAAGACUCUCUCUCAUUUAAGAAUUUCAUAUCUUGGUAUUUUAUUCAAACAUAAAGCAAAGCAAAAUAAAAUGACAUUGCAAGGAUAGCACAACUCAUGUGAAGAAGCAAAAACUUAGGCUCAACCGAUACUAACCGAUAGUUGUUGAAGAAGAAAGGUGGGAUGCCUAACGGGGCAUCCCCAACCUUAGAUGCUCGAUACUUCUUGAAAUAUUAUCUUGGGGUGCCUUGGGAAUCCCCAAGCUUGAACUUUUUUGUCUCCUUAAUUCUUCUCAUAUCAUCGUUUCUCUUUUUAUCAAAAGCAUCAUCCACACCAAACUCAACAAGAACUCGUGAGAUAGGUUAGUAUAAACCAAUGCAAAACCUUAUCAUUUUCUACUGUAACAAAUCACUAAAAUUAUUAUUCAACAUUGAAUACUAAAUGCCUCUGCAUAUUUAAUACUCCAAUCCUCAAAUAGAAUCAUUAAACAAGCAAACAUAUGCAAACAAUGCAACCAUAACAGCAAUCUGCCAAAACAGUAUAGUCUGUAAAGAAUGCAAGAUUCAUCAUACUUCCCUAACUCCAACAAUUAUGAGAAAAAUACCUUACUGUAGAAUAUUUAUCAGAUCUCAAUAUGCAAAAAGUUUCAACAUUAUACCAUUCUCUGACUUUUCUAGGGAAUUUUUGCAACAGCGGUAAACUUUCUGUUUUCAAACAGCAACAUGUAUACUAGCAAAAUAAGCAUGGUAAAGGCUAUCCUUGACAUUUUUAUUUAAAAUAUAGAUGCAAAACAUUAAUCUAAAUAACAGCAAGAAAAUACUUACAAAAUAAAAUGACGCUCCAAGCAAAACACAUAUCAUGUGGUGAAUAAAAAUAUAGCUCCAAGUAAAGUUACCGAUAGACGAAGACGGAAGAGGGGAUGCCUUCCGGGGCAUCCCCAAGCUUAGGCUCUUGGUUGUCCUUGAAUAUUACCUUGGGGUGCCUUGGGAAUCCCCAAGCUUAGGCUCUUUCCACUCCUUAUUCCAUAGUCCAUCAAAACUUUACCCAAAACUUGAAAACUCCACAACACAAAACUCAAUAGAGAACUCGUAAGCUCCGUUAGUAUAAGAAAAUAAAACAACCACUUAGGUACUGUUGUGAACUCAUUAUAAAUUUAUAUUGGUGUAAUAUCUACUGUAUUCCAACUUAUCUAUGGUUCAUACCCUCCGAUACUACUCAUAGAUUCAUCAAAAUAAGCAAACAACACAUAGAAAACAGAAUCUGUCAAAAACAGAACAGUCUGUAGUAAUCUGUAUCAAACGUAUACUUCUGGAACACCAAAAAUCCUACCAAAUUAGGAAGUCCUAAGAAAUUUUUGUACCAAUCUAGAUAUGAAAGAAUCGGAUCAGAAACACGUUUCUGUGAAUUAUAGAAACUAAUUUACUGGGUGCAAAAGUUUCUGAUUUUUAGCAGGAUCAACACAACUAUCACCGUAAGCUAUCAUAAAGGUCUUACUUGGCACUUUAUUGAAACGAAACCUAUAAAACAUGAUUACUACAGUAGCAUAAUCAUGUGAACACACAAAAAAAGUAAGGGUAAAUAUUGGGUUGUCUCCCAACAAGCGCUUUUCUUUAAUGCAUUUCUAGCUAGGCAUGAUGAUGACAAUGAUGCUCACAUAAAAGAUAAGAAUUGAAACAUAACGGGAGCAUCAUGAAGCAUAUGACUAGCACAUUUAAGCCUAACCCACUUCCUAUGCAUAGGGUUUUUGUGAUCAAACAACUUAUGGGAACAAUAUUCAACUAGCAUAGGAAGGCAAAACAAGCAUAACUUCAAGAUUUUAAGCACAUAGAGAGGAAACUUGAUAUUAUUGCAAUUCCUACAAGCAUAUGUUCCUCCCUCAUAAUAAUUUUCAGUAGCAUCAUGAAUGAAUUCAACAAUAUAACCAGCACCUAAAGCAUUCUUUUCAUGAUGUACAAGCAUAGAGUUUUCACUACUCUCCACAUAAGCAAAUUUCUUCUCAUGAAUAGUAGUGGGAGCAAACUCAACAAAAUAAUUAUCAUGUGAGGCAUAAUCCAAUUGGAAACUAAAAUCAUGAUGACAAGUUUCAUGGUUAUCAUUAUUCUUAAUAGCAUACAAGUCAUCACAAUAAUCAUCAUAGAUAGCAACUUUGUUCUCAUAAUCAAUUGGAACCUCUUCCGAAAUAGUGGAUUCAUCACUAAAUAAAGUCAUGACCUCUCCAAAUCCACUUUCAUAAUUAUCACAAUAAUAUUCAACAUCCUCCAAAAUAGUGGGAUCAUUACUUCCUAAAGUUGACACUCUUCCAAACCCACUUUCAUCAAUAUAAUCAUCAUAAAUAGGAGGUAUGUUUUCAUCAUAAUAAAUAUUCUCAUCAAAACUUGGGGGACAAAAAAUAUCAUAUUCAUCAAACAUAGCUUCCCCAAGCUUGUGGCUUUGCAUAUCAUUAGCAUCAUGGGUAUUCAAGGGAUUCAUACUAACAUUGCAAUCAUGCUCAUCAUUCAAAUAUGUAAUACCAAACAUUUUAAUGCACUCUUCUUCUAGCAAUUGAGCAUAAUUUUCCUUUCCAUCAUUCUCACGAAAGAUAUUAAAAAGAUGAAGCGUAUGAGACAAACUCAAUUCCAUUUUUUGUAGUUUUCUUUUAUAGACUAAACUAGUGAUAAAACCAGAAACAAAAAGAUUCGAUUGCAAGAUCUAAAGAUAUACCUUCAAGCACUCACCUCCCCGACAACGGCGCCAGAAAAGAGCUUGAUGUCUACUACACAACCUUCUUCUUGUAGACGUUGUUGGGCCUCCAAGUGCAGAGGUUUGUAGGGCAGUAGCAAAUUUACCUCAAGUGGAUGACCUAAGGUUUAUCAAUCCAUGGAAGGCGUAGGAUGAAGAUGGUCUCUCUCAAACAACCCUGCAACCAAAUAACAAAGAGUCUCUUGUGUCCCCAAUACACCUGAUGCAAUGGUAAAUUGUAUAGGUGCACUAGUUCGGCGAAGAGAUGGUGACACAAGUGCAAUAUGGAUGGUAGAUAUGGGUAUUUGUAACCUUAAAAUAUAAAAACAACAAGGUAACUAAUGAUAAAAAUGAGCAAACGGUAUUGCAAUGGUAGGAAACAAGGCCUAAGGUUCAUACUUUCACUAGUGCAAGUUCUCUCAACAAUAAUAACAUAAAUAGAUCAUAUAACAAUCCCUCAACAUGCAACAAAGAGUCACUCCAAAGCCACUAAUAGCGGAGAACAAAUGAAGAGAUUAUGGUAGGGUACAAAACCACCUCAAGGUUAUCCUUUCUGUUCUAUCUAUUCAAGAGUCCGUAGUAAAAUAACAUGAAGCUAUUCUUUCUGUUCAAUCUAUCUUAGAGUUCAUACUAGAAUAACACCUUAAGACACAAAUCAACCAAAACCCUAAUGUCACCUAGAUACUCCAUUGUCACCUCAAGUAUCCGUAGGCAUGAUUAUACGAUAUGGAUCACACAAUCUCAGAUUCAUCUAUUCAACCAACACAAAGUACUUCAAAGAGUGCCCCAAAGUUUCUACCGGAGAGUCAACACGAAAACGUGUGCUACCCCUAUGCAUAGGUUCAUGGGUGGAACCCGCAAGUUGAUCACCAAAACAUACAUCAAGUGGAUCACAUGAUAUCCCAUUGUCACCACAAAUAAGCAUGGAAUGGCAUACAUCAAGUGUUCUCAAAUCCUUAAAGACUCAAUCCGACAAGAUAACUUCAAAGGGAAAACUCAAUUCAUCACAAGAGAAUAGAGGGGGAGAAACAUCACAAGAUCCAACUACAAUAGCAAAGCUCGCGAUACAUCAAGAUCGUGCCAUAGAGAGAACAAGCGAGAGAGAGAGAGAGAUUAAACACAUCGCUACUGGUACAUACCCUCAGCCCCGAGGGUGAACUACUCCCUCCGUCAUGGAUAGCGCCGGGAUGAUGAAGAUGACCACCGGUGAGGGAUCCCCCCCUCCGACAGGGUGCCGGAACGGGCUCCCUAGAGCUUUUUGGUGGCUACAGAGGCUUGCGGCGGCGGAACUCCCGAUCUAUCUUCGUAUUCAAUGGUUUUAGGGUAUAUGGGAAUAUAUAGGCGAAAGAAGUCGGUCGGGGAGCCUCGAGGGGCCCACGAGACAGGGGGCGCGCCCAAGGGGUGGGCGUGCCCUCCUAUCUCCUGGCCUCCUUGAAGCUUCCCUGGCUUGUACUCCAAGUCUCCGGAUCAUGUUCAUUCCAAAAAUCAUGCUCCCGAAGGUUUCAUUCAGUUUGGACUCCGUUUGAUAUUCCUUUUCUUCGAAACACUGAAAUAGGCAAUAAAACAACAAUAUGGGCUGGGCCUCCAGUUAAUAGGUUAGUCCCAAAAGUAAUAUAAAAGUGUAUAAUAAAGCCCGUAAUCAUUCAAAACAGAUAAUAAAAUAGCAUGAAUGCUUCAUAAAUUAUAGAUACGUUGGAGACGUAUCAAUCACCCACGAAGGAUUCCACUCGAUGUAAUCAUCAAGGUGAACAUAAGAGGAUCCACCCUCGAGGUUCACACUUGAGGUGUUGCACGACAGAGCCGUAUCGAGAAUGGUGAACGAGGAACCACCCUCGUUGACCACGACCGAAUAGCUACACUACAGAAUUGUCAUCAGGAGUGCGCUAUGAGGGAUCACCCUCGGCACUCGAUAGUAGCUCUGCAGAGUCGAGCAACUAAAGGGGCGUGAUGUGAUGUGAGGUGUCAGGCUCUGGUCAUCAAUCACGUUAAUUGAGUCAUCGAAGAUGAAGCAGGGGCAACAAGGACAAGGUGGGGGUCACUGAUGGAUCACUAACCAACCUAUACUAAGCAGUUUAGGAUAAGCGGGUAAGGUAUAAUGAGCUGGUUACAAAAGCAGGCUAUGCAUCAGAAUAGGAACAAACAAUAACAGUAGCAAAAUCUAAUGCAAGCAUGAGAGAAUGGAAUGUGCGAUAUCGGGAUGAUCAAAGGGGGGCUUGCCUGGAAGCUCCACUGAAAAGGAGAAGGGUCGUCGUCGACGUAGUCGAUCACAGGGACAUCAGCAGCGGUCUCGGGGUCUACCAGAGAGAAGAGGGUGAAGAAACAAUAAAUACAGAGCAAACAAGUGCAAAACUAUGCAUGACAAGACAAUAAGCAGCGCUAGGGAUGUUCUAACGCAGGGCUACACGAUACCGGCGAAGGGGGGAAACAUCCGGGAAAGUUUUCCCAAAGUUUGGCAUUUUCAGACAGAUGAAACGGAGGGGGAAGGCUGCACGUUUGCUAUGCUAGGGAUGUGUGGCGGACGAAUGGACUGCGUAUGCGGGUUCGUCUCGUCGUUCAGAGAAACUUUCAUGUAUAAUACUUUUUCAUCCGAGUUACGGAUUAUUUUAUAUGAAUUUCCGAAGAUUUAAACAGUUAUUUGGGAGUCUUGAAAAUUGGCUGUCUAAGAAUUGUUCAGACUUUAAACUUCACUAGCUGUUUUCCAGAGGCUAUAACUAGUGUUCUGCCCAUCCUUUGGAGUAGUUUCUUAUAUCAAUCUUGAUCAAUUUUCUAUGAUCUACAAGAUGGUAUCAAUUGCAUCUCUAUUAGAUCCCUAUAACUUGUUCAUUUUCUGCUCUAAAGUAGCUACCAUAGUAACUCUGUUUCAGUCUUUUCUGUUAACAGAACAUAGACUUUUGUCAUUUUCAUAGGAUUUAAUCCAUGCAUCAAAUGGAUUUGGCCUAGUGGGGUAAAAUGAAGUUUGACAAGUGUACUACCUGCCCAUACUAUUUUUACCCCAGUUAACAGUUGUUUAACUGAUGCUUAGGGGAUCUCUAUGGGGUUAGCCAGCGUAGAAUUAGCAAAGCUAGCUAGUAGCAGCUAUAGUAACUAGUAGUAGUACAUUCAGCAGAGCAGCAACAACAUGCACACGAGUUGGGCGUGGGGCGCGGCGCUGGACGGCGUGAGGCUUGGCCGGUGAGCGAUGCGGGGCGAGGGGCGAGGCAGGCCGCGGUUGCAGGGUGGCGGACCAGGGGGCAGUGACCGGCAAGCAGCAAUCAGAGCAGCGCGGCAGUGGCCGCCGCAGGCAGCAACGGCAGCGGCAGAAGCGGUAGGAAGCCGCAAGUGCGGCAGCAGUUCAAGGCAGCAGCAGCAGCUGGCAGAGCAGCGAGCAGCAGCGGCAUCGAGCAACGCAGCAGAAGGUGGCGCAGGAGGCCAUGCACGAGCACACGACGCAUGCACAAGGCGAGGCCAUGGCCGGUGACCUCGCGAACAGGACUGUCGGGGGCACGGCCACGGCCAGAGGGCACGGGCGGUGAGCGCGAGCUCCACGGAGCAUGGCUCGGUGGUGGUGGCGACGUACAACGAUGAAACCAACGGGGAAACAGCGGGAACGGCGUGGCCAUGAGCGGCGCGGGAUCGCCGGGCGCAGGGACGUGCAGGCGAUGGCAGCAGGCACGGCGACCGCGAGCUCCUCGGGAGCUCGGGCGUGACGGUGGGGGCGAUCUACGGCCAUAAUGGAGAUGGCAUUCUCGGCCACUAAUUGGCCCGUGGAAAAGAUGCUACAGUUCCUGCUCGACAUGGUGAACAUGGCGGUGGCACGCACGGGACCAAAGGUCACUUGUGGCCACGCCGGAGACAAGCGCGGACGGUGGCGAGUUCGGCAACAGCGGCAACGAGGCCUACGGCACGGGAACGAAGAAAGGUGGGUUUCGAGAAGGGCGUGUGCUCAAGGUAAGGCGGUAGUGGAGGACAGCGAGCUCGGGGAGGCUUGACAGCGUCGGAGUCGAAGAAGAACGUCGGCGGAUCCCAAGGUUUAAGUUGAGGUCAGGGUGGCAUUGCAGGGGCCGUCCGGCGCCGUGUGGCUUGACGUAGAUGAUGAGGGCGAUGCUACGGUGCUCCUGGACUCGUUGGAGAGGCAAGGGGUGGACGGUGGCCGCGGGAUCGAAGCGGGCGCAGCGGCGACCGCAUCGGCCUCCUCCCCAGAUCGAUGGAGAGGGCGAGGUGGAGAAGGGGAGAACAGGGGCAAGUGGGAGAGUGGAUGGAGUAGGGGGAGGAACCCGAGGGGGCAAGUGGGAAGAGGUGGGAUCGAGGGGUCGGGGCGUGGGUCCUUAUCCCCUCCCGGUGUCGGCGGCGGCGAGGUGGUCCGGGGCGACCAAGCCCCUAUAGCGACCUGGUCGCGUGAAUAGGGGUGAGAGGAGGGUUCGGUGAGGAUGGGCCGGUCUGAUGGCUUAGUGGGCCAAAGCCCAGGGGGAACAGUGGAGGGACUUUUCCUUUUAUUCUUUUACUUAUUUUUUUUGUUUUUUAUAGUUUCCUUUCAUGUAUUUAUUUUUAGGUUUGUAAAAUAUAAACCUAGCUCCAAAAUUAGUAUUACUACUUAGGCUACUGCCAUAAUUGAUUUGGCACAAUAAUAAAAUAGGUUUGUAUUUGUUUAUUAUUUAAAGGAAUUUAAUAAUUGCUUUAGUCGUUGUUUUAUUCACCAAAGAGCAUUUAAAUACUUUUACAAAAAUGUUGGGUCAGCACCAUAAUUGGUUAUGGAAUAUUUGUCACACUUUGAACAUUUUAUUUGGCAGGUUUGAGAAAUUUGUAUUUUGGCUUUAAUUUGAAUUUGAAUCAUGAUUUGGAUCAAGUGAGGAUUAGUAACAGUAAUGUGAUGACAUGGCACCGUUAGCGGGGGAUUACUGUAGCUUAAUUAUUCGGGCGUUACAAUUCUCCUCCACUACAAGAAAUCUUGUCCUGAGAUUUUAGAAGGUAGAUGGAAACAACACGAGGUAUUCAUCUCUAAUACGAUCCUCGAGUUCCCAAGUGGCUUCAUAUUUAGAAGGAUUUGACCAUUGAACUUUUAGAAUUUUGAAAGCCCUCUAAUGGUGCAAGAACGCAGACCGGGUGCUCUCUGUAAGUGAGAUUAUCGUGCAGGGGUUGAGCUAUAUAAGCCAUGGGGUUGUUGCAAUAAGACUUGCGACUUGGGGCAUCGGCCAUGAAAUAUCCUUGCCAGGGGUAUAAGAAAUACCAUAGUCAUAGUCUGUAACUGUUUCCAUACAUCGCUGCAGACGGAGAUCUGGAUCUAGGUGAGUAAAAAGAUACUUCGGACUUUGAUGAUCGGUGAAGACCUCACAACGAUUACCAAAAAAAGGAAAUGCCACCACAAAUUCAGUGCAAAUUUAUCUACAGCAAGUUCAAGGCCAUGGACUGGGUUGUUCUUUUGGACAGGCAUCUUGGAAUUCACAAACAAUUGGAGCGUUUUCAAUUCUCAUAAGAGAAGCAUUUACGCGUUCAAGGAAUAAAUUCGUGCUUCGAAACAAGAUGAGCAUGGUAGCUUACUAUCUCACUCGAAGGAUGAAGUAGAUGGACGGUUCAAGUGGUGCAAAUGAUAGAAGCAGUAUGUGGUUUCAACCAUUCCAUUCUCAGAAUGAGGUCAAUAUUGGAUGACUUCAAAACAAUGGGGGAAACAUGGAAUUCCAACCGUUCAAGUUCAAAGGGGACGUUGUGACUAAUCAGGGUGGUUCGACAUUGGCCCGCAGAAUGCAGCUUGGAAUUUUGGCCAAGUGAUGGCGGUUCCAACAGGUAAGGAAUGCCUGUGGACGCCCCACAAUUGAGUAGUGGGACCUUUAAGGUAGUAAGCCGCAAGAUGACAUAGUUGGCCGGGGCUACAUCAGCAGACUCCAACUCAAAAGUGAUGUCACGGAGCGAGUCAUCAGCAUCAAGUGGAUGAGUUGAGCUGCGGUAGAUGGUUGGGUUGAGAUGCGCAAAGUCUUGCAGAGUCACUGGUGCUGGUUGUUGAUUCAUAUUGGGGCGUGGGAAUUGAGCCAUGACUCGUACCAUGAACUGGCGAUUCAACAUCAAACUGUUGUAUCAUUCCCGUCAUGUAUUCGGGAGGUGGUGGAUUGUCACCACCACGGCAAUAACUAGCGGGUCUAACCAUCCUGCUCAAAACAUCAGGGAGCGGUUUAACAAGGGGUGGAGCAGGUGUAUGGAGUUAUUCAUGUUGUAAUCAGAACAAUGAGCAAAGGCACAGUAUGUAGAAAGCAGUAGUCAUUGAAGGCAUACACAUACAUAUACGGGUCCAGUUGCACGUUGUUCGUAUGAGUUCAGACAAGAGAAAUAUCCUAAACAUACUAGACGUCACGCAUGCACGCGAUGGAGGGAUACCUCUACGGGACAUAGUGAAGGCUACAUCAACGUCAUGGAAAACCACUAAAGUGAGGGAUUUGCAUGUGACGACGGAGGGUGCCGUCGAUAAGAGGAUCCUGCGGUCAGUGAACAAUGUGAAGCAGAUCUCGGCCCUCAAUUCAAGAAAGGUAAUACAAACCUUCGGGUGGAUGUGAUCACGAGAUCCUAAUGUUAGAUUUAGAAAAAACAUUUAACCCGAAUAGAAGAGAGAUCAGAGUCCCAGAGUAUAGACGAGGAGUAAAAGAGCUAAUACCACCCAAUGGCGACCUGGGGCCGUAAGCCACACGGCCAAGUUAGUAAACCAGUUUUUCAAAGACUAGACUCAACUUCGGCCAAGGAGUUGGAAAGGGGGAUCCUACAGGCAGUCGGCUCUGAUACCAACUUGUGACGCCCCCGACUCGACCGUACAUUAAUCAUACACACAAACGUGUACAAUCAAGAUCAGGGACUCACGGAAAGAUAUCACAACACAACUCUAAACACAAAUUGAAAGGAUACAAGCUUCAUAUUACAAGCCAGGGGCCUCGAGGGCUCGAAUACAUAGCUCGAUACACAAGAGUCAGCAAAAGCAACAAUAUCUGAGUACAGACAUAAGUUAGACAAGACUACCUUAAGAAGGCUAGCACAAAAGCAACACGAUCGUAGAGGCAAGGCCUCCUGCCUAGGACCUCCUAACUACUCCUGGUCGUCGGCGGUCUUCAUGUAGUAGCACCCGUCAGCGGUGGCAUCUGGCUCCAAGGAUCCACCAUCUGGUUGCAUCAACCGGAAAGAAGAAGGAAGGGGGGGAAGGGGUAGCAAAGCAACCGUGAGUACUCAUCCAAAGUACUCGCAAGCAUCAGAUCUAUACUAAGUAUGCAUUGGUAUCAAAUGGAAGUGUUGUAUCUGUGGACUGAACUGCAGAAAGCAAGAAUAGAGGUGAAUGCCUAGCCUAUCAAAGACUAGCAUCUUCAAGCAGCUCCAAGCAUCUUGCAGCAUGUAGAAGAGUAAAGAAUAGAAUUUUAUAAUUAACAAGCAUGUUGUAGCAUUAGUGCCUAGAGAUCCCGGGGCCACAUAUCUCAAGUAUUCAUUUCUAGUUGUAAUAGAUUAGGAUAUAAGUCUGAAUGUCCGUUACCGUGAACACGGCUAUUAAUAGAUAACCUUCCCUGUAGGGGUGCACCAUGUUUUCCAACAUGCUUGAUUACUCUUGCCAGACACACUUUUCUGGGUUACAAGAAAUAUGUCAACUUGUGACCACCACUAUUGGUCACUGAAAGGUCAUGGUUUUUCAUUUGCGACCUUUUUGUGACCAAAAACAGAAGGUCAAAAGUUGGCGGUCAUAAACUGACUAUAGCGAUCUUUCUUCUAAAAUGGUCGAAGACGUUUAUGACCAAAAUACAUCUACUGUGGUGUUUUGGUCACUAGCAACCUCCCCAGGCCACGUAGGCAUCCAACGUGGCAAUCUGAUGUGGCACAAGAUUCAGCCCGGUCCAAUUCGAUUUUCUACAUGGGCCUAGCCCAACAAUUCGGCCUAUUUGUGUUUUUUUCUCAUAUUGAUUUUGGCUAGGUAGAUGGGCCAAGCCCAACAAUUAAGCCUUCUCAUUUUGGGGCCGUGGCCUUUUCUGCUAGAAAGUUUUAGUUUUUUUAUAAUAUAAAAAAGGUCCACUAAUCAAAUGGGUCCCAGAUGUCAGGUACGUGGGUCCCAGCUAGCAAGUUCAUAUUCUUCAUAUUUCAAUUUAACAGUAAAUAAAUAACCAGUAUUUAAAUUGGCACAAACAAAACACACACAUAAUACUCCAAAUAUUAUUAGCCAGAUUCAGUACAGAGCUCCUAUUAUACAAAUAACAUAUACUUUACAAGCUCUACACAUAAUAAGCUCUAACAUAUACAAGCUCUACAAGCUCUACACGUGAUACAUUUACAAGCUCUAUACAUAUACAAGCUCUACAAGCUGCCCUGGUAUUAACCCUGUAGCUCUACAAGUGUCUUCAAUCUUCUUCAACAUGGAGCUCCUUCGGUAGCAAGCACAAAUUGGGCACCUGCAUCAUCACAGGAAGGCAAUUUUAGAUCAUAAAAACAAAUGUUCCAAGCACAGUUUAGAGAAAAGAACCAAGUAAAUUUUCCCUCAAUCAUACAAACAAAGUUUAGAGAAAACCAAACAUGAACAAGCACUUAUUAUGCAGGACACAUACGUACACAUCUCAGGAAAAGCUCGGAAAGAGCAAGGUGUCAGAGCAUGAUGUUAUCGAAAGCAUGAUUUACAAGUUUGUCUCUGAGACAUACGAUGGGUGCUUUUCAUAAAAGACAGAAUAAGUAAAACUAUUCAUGUUUCCCAACCCAGACUCUAAACGAGACUCUAACCAAGACCAUCCAGAAGUGACCCGAAGAGUGAACCAAUAUAGUGAAUGCUACAGUUCAUAUUUUGAUAGUAAAACUGAUGUGUAAUCAUAUAGAUAAUAAAAUACAUGGCACAAUAUCAGUACAUCUCCAAACAGCUAAUAAAUCUCAUAGUACCACAAGGACAUGCACCUACAGUACAUCCUGCAUUGCAGGUUCACAUCAACAGCUCAUAGAAAGGCUAUCAGUUCAACAACACUAAUACCACCUCAAGCAUCAGCAGUUUAAGAAGAAUGAGCACCAAAACAAAAGGGCAGUAGAUACCUCUUCAAACUUUUUUUCAAAAAUCAGCUCAUCCUCUUGACCGCUCUAGAUAUCGUCCAUGUGCAUUGCUCAGGAAAUUAUAAAUUCUGGUAUAGCACACAAGAAAAUAUCAGAGUAGAAAAGUGGCAUAGAAACUACCAAAAAAUUCUCAUGCUUAUUGUUAUUGCAAGAAGGCAUCGAUCAGAUUUUGAAGCUAAUAAUAAUUAACAUGUACUUAUCACUUGUUGGAGUUGGUUCUCUUCAAUUAAUCAAUAGCAUUGUGAGCAUAAGCAUUAAAUCAGCAGCACAAGUGCACACUUAUUCAAGCUAGUAGCAGCCCAGCAGGCUAGCAGCAAAAGCAUUCAAACAACUAGAGAAGCACAGUACAACAGCACAAGCAUUCAAAGAGCAGCAAGCCAGCAAGCACCAUCCAUCAGACCGGUAGCUUAAUGGAAGAAAAAUCUGAAGAAUAAAAGAUGUAUAGGUUGAGGAAAGAUGAGAGGAUGCUGGGUUGCUUGUAAAGCUACGACUGCGAGGCUAGCAGGCUUGGGCUGUCACAUGUCAUAUCUUAUAAACUUAGGCAUGUUUAUGGUAGAUGAACUGCAGCUUCUAGGAAUAGUAAAGCAAAGAUGUACUGCCACUAAUCAGCAAAAACAUAACAUUUUCUCAGAGUUAAUGAUAGCAAAUGGAUAAAGAUGGAAACAAAAAAUAUUUCUAAUAUUGGAACCCAACAUAGCAAAUCAAAACGAGAGAGGGGCAGAGGUGGCGUGGAGGAGAAAGGACCUUCUUCAGGUAACGAUUCUCGGCGUCGGUCCUCGGGCUCAAGAGCUCCUGCCUGUCAAUUAUCUGCGCACAAAGGUUCACACUCGUGGUAUCAGUUAUAGUUUUAAGAACUGAGAAAGCUAACAGCUAAGAAAGCACAACCAUGUAAGCUACAGUCUAAGAGCUAAAGAAAAAACAUGUGGCUAUACUUAAGAAAAAGAAAGGUGCUCAAGUUCAUGAAAGGUGCUCAACCAUGUAAGUAAGCAAAAUUUAAAAACAUGACACACAUGGGUUGAUAAAAUCCUAACACAGCAAGGGUAGUUCUUAAAAAUGUUUUGUAUCACAUACUAGGAGCAUGUGGCUUUCUUGGCGCUGGUACUUGUUAAUUAAGACAUGAAAAGCAAAGUGCAUUUCACUGGAUCAGAGUACACUCGCAAAAAGACAGCGGCAUGUCAAGUCACGGUGGAAUAGGAAACCAAACUUUUUAUUACAGUCCACAUAAGAGUGAGGUUGCAGGCAGGCUAAUUCUCGGCACACCAUCAAACAUGAAAAGUUAAAAAUAUUCAUCUAAAUAACACGGAAUCAAACAUUACCCUCAUUUUCUUCAUCAGUAUGCAGACAACACAAAAGAUAACUUAUUCUGCUGGGGCUUAAUGAAGACUCAAAACUGAAUAAACAAUGGCAUAUAUGUUCUGCUAAUUGGAAAAUACAGUCAACCGAAGCUGAACUUCAAGGCCAGUGCAAUGUUUGACGCUUUAGAUUAAGCUCAAUUUAUUAAUGUAAACAUACAUUGAUGUGAGUUGUGAAUGUGGUCUCAAAGAUCAUUACGGCGGACAGUGUAGAAUUGAAAUCACUAAAUGAGACAAACAACUCUGAAACCCCCGUCGUGGGCAAACAAUCCACUCUGCAACCCAAGAAUCUACCGCGAGAUUGCAUCUUGGAUGAGCAAGAAUCGAACCGAAGCAAGCGGGCCAGGAUCCAAUCUUUCUCGGACCAGAGCAUCGAGGGGGGAGGAGGGGCGGACGACGGACCUGCGGUUCUGGAUGGUGUUGCAGGUGAUGUCCUGGAGGUGGAAGAUGGCGCCUUGGCGGAGGGCGCCGGUCUUGAUGAGGUGGUUGUGGUUGGUGGAGAGCAUGGACUGCUGGGAGUGGACACCGUCGGAGAGCAGCAUGCGGUAGCGCUCCGACUGGUGGCCGGCGGGGUUCUUGGUGGUGACGGUGCGUAGGUACGCCACCUGCAGCACCGGCUGGAUGGUCCCCGGCCCGUUCGGCAGCUCCCAUAUCUCCCUCACCGCCCCUGCCGUCAGUCGCGGCGGCCCCUCCAUCCCCUCGCUGGCGAGGAAGGACCGGAUUGGAUUGGGUUUGGACAGAGCAACACGGAGAGGGAGAUGGUGUCCUGCAGCAGAGAGAGAGAGAAGCACGAGCGUCACGAAUAGAGCAACAGGAGCCCCAAAACAAAUCGGGUCAAACCACAGAUAGAGAGAGAGAGGAGACCUUGUUGACGAGCUCCAUGGCGUCGGAGCAUCCAAGCCACAGCGAACUCUCUCCUCGCACGGAAGAACCCACACGGCCGCGUCGUAGCCUCCCUCUCUUCCUCUCCUGGCGCGCGAGUGAUUGGGGGCGGGAGCAGACGACCUCGAGCACCCUAUCGCGUGUCGACGGUGCGAGAUUGGAUCUGGUAGCGUCGGGGCGGAUCUGGCGGCCACCUCACGUGCUGCUCGAUCUGGGAGGGAGAGGAGGAGGGUGAAGGGUUUCACGGCGAUGGUGGGGCAUAGGGUGGAGCGGGGGAGCGAAGUCGCCGGUGGCGGUGGGUGGGGGCGGCGGCGAGGCGAGGGAGAGACGAGGAGGGAAUCGAACGAGGAAGAUAGAGAGUGCGGGUGGGAGACGGGAGGGAGUGCGGGUGUCGAGAAGUGGGAGGGAGAAGGGAUGGGGAGCUCUAUCUGAGGGAGACGACGGUGGGAGGGAUCGAGGGGAGCGCCGUCGAUGGCGGCGGCGAGGAGAUGGGGGGAGGAGGGGUGCGAUGGGAGGAGGGGAUCGAUGGGAUCUGGGUAGGGUUUUGGUAGGUGGCUGCGGGUGGGGUUUUGUUUUUCAUUUUCUUUUUUUCUCUGUACAUAAAUUGAUGGAUGGAUGGAUGGAUGUGGUAUGGAGAGAUGGAUGGAUGGAUGGGUGCCAUGUCAUCGAUCCGUGUGACAACGAAUUCCACCAAUGGGAAUAGAGCACAUAUAGUUGUGUUUUUUUGUUUUUCUUCUACUUUUUCAUAUGAAAAAAAAAUCAAAUAUUGAUCUCAUAUUGUGCACAAGAGUGCAUCUUCAAAUGCCAAAUAAUGUUGCCUAAAUUGUUUUUCAUUUUCUUUAGAUGAAAACUCAAUUUUCCAUUUUUUGAGUGCCCAAAAUGGGUUUAAUUGUGAAGGGCCUACCAAAUAUUUGUUGCAAAAUUGGACCAAAUCAUUUGUCUAAAAUAUUAGUUCAUAUUUAAUGCACAAUUGACCAAAUGGUUGGGCAUCAAAAGCUUUUAUCCACCUCUCAUGAAAAAGACAAAUUUCUGCCGGUUCAGCAGGAAGCGGCUCAAAUUUGAACUGUAGCUACCUUGUAGUUUGCUCAUUAUUUUUUCCAAAAAUCAUUUCUAGGUACAUAAGUAUCUAUUUAAUCAGAGAAACAUCAAAAGGUCUCCAAGAUUCAACAACUAGCUAGGAACGGUCAAGCCCGCCGUUUUGAACGCAUUUUGAAACGGGCAUAAAAAAAUUCAAAAAAAAUCAAAAAAUUGGAAAACCUUCGCAUUGUUUCAUCAUAUGUGACCAAGUUUCCAGGAAAAAUAUAAACUUGUAAUACGGCAAUUAUUUUUAAAAAGUGUUCUCGAAAAUGAGCUGUCAUGCGUGAAGAUUCAUGGCUUUCAAGCCAAAUAACCAAUCUUAUAGCCACAUUCAUGGCAUAGUUUGUUCAAAUGAUAUCAUAUUGUGCAAAAGGGUGCAUCUUGGAAUGGAAAACAAUGUUGCCUAAGGGAGUUUUCAUUUUCUUUGCACGGAAAAACCAUUUUCCAUUUUUCGAGUGCCCGAAAGGAGGGUUUUUUGUGAAGGACCUCCCAAAUAAUUGUUGCAAAAUUGGACCAAAUCAUUUUUCUAAAAUACUGGGCCAUAUUUAAUGCACAAUUGACCAAAUGGUUGGGUGUAAAAAGUUUUUAUCCACCUCUGGUGAAAAAGACAAAUUCCUGCCGAUUCAGAUGGAAGCGAGUCAAAUUUGAACUGUAGCUGCCUCGUAGUUUGCUAUUUAUUUUUUCCAAAACUCAUUUCUAGGUACAUAAGUAUUUAUUUAAUCAGAUAAAUACCAAAAAAAUUCCAAGAUUCAACCACUAGCUAGGAACAGUCAAGCCCGCCGUUUUGACCGCAUUUUGAAACGGGCAUAAAAAUUUCAAAAAAAAAAUCAAAAAAUGGGAAACCUUCGCAUUGUCUCAUCAUAUGUGACCAAGUUUCCAGAAAAAAUAAUAAACUUGUAAUACGGCAAUUAUUUUAAAAAAAUGUUCUCAGAAACGAGCUAUCACGUAUGGAGAUCAAUGGCUUUCAAGCCAAAUGAUCAAUCUUAUGGCCACAUUCAUGGCAUAGUUUGUUCAAAUGAUCUCAUAUUGUGCAUAAGGGUGCAUAUUGGAAUGGCAAACAAUGUUGCCUAAGGAAGUUUUCAUUUUCUUUGCACGGAAAAACCAUUUUCCAUUUUUCGAGUGCCCGAAAGGAGGUUUUUUUGUGAAGGACCUCCCAAAUAAUUGUUGCAAAAUUGGACCAAAUCAUUUUUCUAAAUUACUAGGACAUAUUUAAUGCACAAUUGACCAAAUGGUUGGGUGUAAAAAGUUUUUAUCCACCUCUGGUGAAAAAGACAAAUUCCUGUUGAUUCAGUUGGAAGCGGGUCAAAUUUGAACUGUAGCUGCCUCGUAGUUUGCUAUUUAUUUUUUCCAAAAAUCAUUUCUAGGUACAUAAGUAUCUAUUUAAUCAGAGAAACACCAAAAAAAUUCCAAGAUUCAACCACUAGCUAGGAACGGUCAUUCCCGCCGUUUUGACCGCAUUUUGAAACGGGCAUAAAAAAUUCAAAAAAAUUCAAAAAAUUGGGAAACCUUCGCAUUGUGUCAUUAUAUGUGACCAAGUUCCCAGAAAAAAAUAACAAACUUGUAAUACGGCAAUUAUUUUAAAAAAGUGUUCUCAGAAACGAGCUAUCAUGUGUGGAGAUCAAUGGCUUUCAAGCCAAAUGAUCAAUCUUAUGGCCACAUUCAUGGCAUAGUUUGUUCAAAUGAUCUCAUAUUGUGCACAAGGGUGCAUAUUGGAAUGGCAAACACUGUUGCCUAAGGAAGUUUUCAUUUUCUUUGGACGAAAAAACAAUUUUCCAUUUUUCGAGUGCCCGAAAGGAGGUUUUUUUGUGAAGGACCUCCCAAAUAAUUGUUGCAAAAUUGGACCGAAUCAUUUUUAUAAAAUACUAGGCCAUAUUUAAUGCACAAUUGACCAAAUGGUUGGGUGUAAAAAGUUUUUAUCCACCUCUGGUGAAAAAGACAAAUUCCUGCCGAUUCAGUUGGAAGCGGGUCAAAUUUGAACUGUAGCUGCCUCAUAGUUUGCUAUUUAUUUUUUCCAAAAAUCAUUUCUAGGUACAUAAGUAUCUAUUUAAUCAGAGAAACACCAAAAAAAUCCAAAAUUCAACAACUAGCUAGGAACGGUCAUUCCCAAUGUUUUGACCGCAUUUUGAAACGGGCAUAAAAAAUUCAAAAAAUUGGGAAACCUUCGCAUUGUGUCAUUAUAUGUGACCAAGUUCCCAGGAAAAAUAACAAACUUGUAAUACGGCAAUUAUUUUAAAAAAGUGUUCUCAGAAACGAGCUAUCAUGUGUGGAGAUCAAUGGCUUUCAAGCCAAAUGAUCAAUCUUAUGGCCACAUUCAUGGCAUAGUUUGUUCAAAUGAUCUCAUAUUGUGCAAAAGGGUGCAUAUUGGAAUGGAAAACAAUGUUGCCUAACGAAGUUUUCAUUUUCUUUGGACGAAAAAAACAUUUUCCAUUUUUCGAGUGCCCGAAAGGAGGCUUUUUUGUGAAGGACCUUCCAAAUAAUUGUUGCAAAAUUGGACCAAAUCAUUUUUAUGAAAUACUAGGCCAUAUUUAAUGUACAAUUGACAAAAUGGUUGGGUGUAAAAAAAAUUGAUCCACCUCUCGUGAAAAAGACAAAUUUUCAUCGAUUCAGCUGGAAGCGGGUCAAAUUUGAACUGCAGCUGCCUCAUAGUUUGCUAUUUAUUUUCCAAAAAUCAUUUCUAGUUACAUAAGGACCUAUUUAAUCAUAAAUACAUGGUUUGGUGGCGAUACGUCGAGGUUUGGGCGGUGGCCGAGAGCCCCAACUCUAGAGCGCGUAAAUCGCAUGCCCGCCGCGUGGUCACCGCGUGACCGUGGCGUUGCCUUGUGUUCUGGGCGGCCUAGGUAUGUCUAGUGGGUUGGGCACUCCCCAGGUAGGUGCUAGGAAGAAAAUCACAACAUAAGAUUCUCACGAGGAGACCGAUCGAUGCUCAAACAUGAAUAAGCAGCCAAGUGUUUGAUUUGCGGUACGGGAAAUGCACAUGGCUAAUGGGCGUGAGUUUUGGCUGGGGAUGAUCAGUUACUAAGAAGACCAUCUUCACAAAUUUUCACCUCAAAAGGAGGAGCCUAGGUGGUACUUGCUUUACAAAGUACCACACUGGACAUAAAUACGAAUGUUGAAGCUGGGCUCAAAAUAAUGAAUGGAUUGAGCUGGCAUUUGGUGGAGGAUGGUUAUUUGGGCAUAGGAAAUCACUAUAGAAAAUGGAUACCAUUUGGACAUGCCAAAGUGGUACUUCCUUCACAAAGUGCUGCUUUGAACAGAAUAGGAAAAUAAAUAUUUUCGAAUUAUUUUUGAACUAGGCAAGGAAUGUUUUUGACAUAUUUGAUGAAGAUAUGACCCAAAGAAUUUAUGAGAUUUUUUUGGGACUUUUGGGAAUGACAGAAAUAUAGGUUGCUUCACAACCUAGGGCAAAAACUGCCACAUGGACAUGACACAUAGGCAAAACUGAUGAGAUGGCACCUAGUCAUCACAACCCACCACAAUUUACAAGGCUAUGACCAUCUAUAUUGGUCGUUAACAACUAAAAAUAAGACAACGGACUAGUGCUGUUUGCUUUAUGACCAUUUUGUGUAAGGAAAUUACGACCUUUCUAACCAAAAUGGUUGCAAUGGUUUAGGGUUUGGAGCCCCCCGAACAGCUUUUGACCAAUUGGUCUGAAAUGGUCAUAAUCUAUGACCAAUUCUUUCAGGGUCACUGACAGAAGGUCACUAGUUGACAUAUUUCUUGUAGUGAAUGCCCGGCCUCGAAAGAUCAACAUGUCGCAGCCCUACCUAGGCUCAGCAGAGAGGUCCCCGUCGGUCUACAUCCUAAGCACUCCGGGGUCUUGGGCCCCUCGUCUAGUGCACUCCGAGUUGUUGCGCGCAGGGCAGGUCCAGGCUCCACCACUACUGGAUGGUGCCGGCCCUGCCGCGCCGCCAUGCUGAACUGGAUGUCUGGCAAAGCUUCGGCUGAUACUACGACGUCGAGGCCAAUAACUAUUCUCGCAUGGUGGUUACUGCGUAAAUUAAGGCCAAAGGCCAACUCAGAACAAAUACCCAAACCAUAGUGUAUUAUUAGUUUGUGGAGACGAGCAGAGACUCACAAUAAUGUGACCCCGUCGCCCCGUCUCGAGGAAAUACGGCAAGGGCUAGCCCAGCCCACUUGGGGGCGGCCUGCCUGUCGGCCGUGCCUCAUAACCAUCUUCCGGGUGCUCUCCGGGUCUGACCGACUUUCCCAAAGGUCUCAAGUAAAGUCAAGGUAACCGUGUGUUCAAACAUCAAGAGGAAAACCCGAGGAAUCACCCACGGAGGAGUCCACUCGAUGUAAUCAUGAAGGUGAACGUAAGAGGAUCCACCCUCGAGGUUCACACUUGAGGUGUUGCACGACAGAGCCGUAUCGAGAAAGGUGAAUGAGGAACCACCCUCGUUGACCAUGACCUAAUAGCUACACUACAGAAUUAUCGUUAGGAGUGCGUUAUGAGGGAUCACCCUCGGCACUCGAUAGUAGCUCUGCAGAGUCGAGAAACUAAAGGGUCAUGAUGUGAUGUGAGGUGUCAGGCUCUGGUCAUCAAUCAUGUUGAUCGAGUCGUCGAAGAUGAAGCAGGGGAAACAAGGACAAGGUGGGGGUCUUUGAUGGAUCACUAACCAACCUAUACUAAGCAGUUUAGGAUAAGCAGGUAAGGUACAAUGAGCAGGUUACAGAAGCAGGCUAUGCAUCAGAAUAGGAACAGACAAUAACAAUAGCAAAAUCUAAUGCAAGCAUGAGAGAAUGGAACGGGCGAUAUCAGGAUGAUCAAAGGGGGGGCUUGCCUGGAAGCUCCGCUGAAAGGGGAGAAGGGUCGUCGUCGACGUAGUCGAUCACAGGGACAUCAGCAGCGGCCUCGGGGUCUACCGGAGAGAAGAGGGUGAAGAAACAAUAAAUACAGAGCAAAUAAGUGCAAAACUAUGCAUGACAAGACAAUAAGUAGCGUUAGGGAUGUUCUAACGCAGGGCUACAUGAUACCGGCGAAGGGGGAAAACAUUCGGGAAAGUUUUCCCGAAGUUUGGCAUUUUUGGACAGAUGAAACGGAGGGGGAAGGUUGCACGUUUUCUAUGCUAGGGAUGUGUGGCGGACGAAUGGACUGCGUAUAUGGGUUCGUCUCGUCGUUCAGAGCAACUUUCAUGUAUAUACUUUUUCAUCCGAGUUACAGAUUAUUUUAUACGAAUUUCCGAAGAUUUAAACAGUUAUUUGGAAGUCCUGAAAAUUGGCUAAGUUUGAGAAUUGUUUAGACUUUAAACUUCACUAGUUGUUUUCCAGAGGCUCUAACUAGUGUUAUGCCCAUCCUUUGGAGUAGUUUCUUAUAUCAAUCUUUAUCAAUUUUUUGUGAUCUACAAGAUGGUAUCAAUUGCAUCUCUGUUAGAUCCCUAUAACUUGUUUAUUUUCUGCUCUAAAGUAGCUACCACGAUAACUCUAUUUCAGUCUUUUCUGUUAACAGAACAUAGACUUUUGUCAUUUUCAUAGGAUUUAAUCCAUGCAUCAAAUGGAUUUGGUCUAGUGGGGUAAAAUGAAGUUUGACAAGUGUACUACCUGCCCAUACUAUUUUUACCCCGGUUAACAGUUGUCUAACCGAUGUUUAGCGGAUCUCUAUGGGGUUAGCCAGCGUAGAAUUAGCAAAGCUAGCUAGUAGCAGCUAUAGUAACUAGUAGUAGUACAUUCAGCAGAGCAGCAACAGCAUGCACACGAGUUGGGCGCGGGGCGCGGAGCUGCACGGCGUGAGGCUUGGCCGGUGAGCAACGCAGGGCGAGGGGCGAGGCAGGCCGCGGUUGCAGGGCAGCGGACCAGGGGGCAGCGGCCGGCAAGCAGCAAGAAGAGCAGCGCGGCAGUGGCCGUCGCAGGCAGUAACGACAAUGGCAAAAGCAGUAGGACGCAGGAAGUGCGGCAGCAGUUCAAGGCAGCAGCAGCAGCUGGCAGAGCAGCGAGCAGCAGUAGCAUCGAGCAGCAGCGGUAUCGAGCAGCGCAGUAGCAGACGGACGCACAAGGCGAGGCCACGGCCGGUGAGGUCGCGAACGGGGCUGUCGGGGGCACGGCCACGGCCAGAGGGCAUGAGCGAUGAGCGCGAGCUCCACGGAGCAUGGCUCGAUGGUGGUGGCGAUGUACGACGAUGAAACCAACGGGGAAACAGGGGGAACGGCAUGGCUAUGAGCGGCGCGAGAUCACCGGGCGCGAGGACGCGCAGGCAAAGGCAGCAGGCGCGGCGACCGCGAGCUCCUCGGGAGCGCGGGUGUGACGGCGGGGGCGAUCUACGGCCACGAUGGAGAUGGCGUUCUCGAGCACUAAUUGGCCCGUGGAAAAGAUGCUACGAUUCCUGCUCGACAUGGUGAACAUGGCGGUGGCACGCACGGGACCAAAGGUCACUGGUGGACACGCCGGAGACAAGCGCGGGGGGUGGCGAGUUCGGCAACAGCGGCUACGAGGCCUACGGCACGGGAACAAAGAAAGGUGGGUUUCAAGAAGGGCGUGUGCUCACGGUGAGGCGGUAGUGGAGGACAGCGAGCUCGGGGAGGCUUGAUGGCGUCGGAGUCGAAGAAGAACGUCGGCGGAUCCCGAGGUUGAAGAUGAGGUCGGGGUGGCGUUGUAGGGCCGUCCGGCGCCGUGUGGCUCAACGUAGAUGAUGAGGGCGAUGCUACGGUGCUCCUGGACUUGUUGGAGAGGCAAGGGGUGGACGGUGGCCGCGGGAUCGAAGCGGGCGCGGCGGCGACCGCAUCGGCCUCCUCUCCAGAUCGAUGGAGAGGGAGAGGUGGAGAAGGGGAGAAGAGGGGCAAGUGGGAGAGUGCAUGGAGCAGGGGGAGGAACCCGAGGGGGCAAGUGGGGAGAUGUGGGAUCGAGGGGUCGGGGCGUGGCGCCGUUAUCCCUUCACGGCGUCGGGGGCCAAAGCCUGGGGGGAACAGUGGGGGGCCUUUUCCUUUUAUUCUUUUACUUAUUUUGUUUUGUUUUCUUUUAAUAGUUUCCUUUCAUGUAUUUAUUUUUAGUUUUGUAAAAUAUAAACCUAGCCCCAAAAUUAGUAUUACUACUUAGGCUACUGCCAUAAUUAAUUUGGCACAAUAAUAAAAUAGGUUUGUAUUUGUUUAUUAUUUAAAGCAUUUAAUAAUUGUUUUAGUCAAUGUUUUAUUCACCAAAUAGCAUUUAAAUACAUUUAUAAAAAUGUUGGGUCAGCACCAUAAUUGGUUAUGGAAUAUUUGCCACACUUUGAACAUUUUAUUUGGCAGGUUUGAGAAAUUUGUAUUUUGGACUUUAAUUUGAUUUUGAAUUUGACUAAUGAUUUGGAUCAAGUGAGGAUUAGUAACAGUAAUGUGAUGACAUGGCACCGUUAGCGGGGUUUACUGUAGCUUAAUUAUUCGGGCGUUAUAGAGCGUGUGCCACAUCACGGCAAAACCAUCGUUUAGGGGUUAAAUUGAGCAGUGUCAAAAUUUCAUGGUUGUGACCUAACUGUUUUGCAGUGUGGGUUGUAAAUAAAAUUGGGUCAUUAGUUUAGGGUUGAAAUAUGCACUUCUUCCUUUGAUCAAUGAUGAACCAAUGGGAUCUACGAUUAUCAUUUUGAAGUUAUGUUAUAGAACUUUCACACUAAACAGGAUACCAUCUAAAUCCUUGACAUGCUACCAUAUGCAAUUUGAAAUAGAAAGAAACAUGAUUUAUCUUUUCUAAAAGUUUGGAGUUGUGAUCCAUAUGUCAAGAGAUUUUGAUCAAACAAGCUAGUGAUAUGUCUCCAGCUCAUCUAUAAAAAAAAUAUGUUCACGCUAUAUGUAUAUAUCAUUCAUAUAAUUUUGGCACACUUUUCUUUUAGUUUUAUUGGACUAACCUCUUAAUUCAGUGUCAAGUGUUAGUUGCUAUUUUUAUGCAAAAAAUAAUACUUGGCCCAAAAAAUAAAACGAAAUUACGUUGUCAAAAGAAAUCAAUAGCAGACCACAUGGGAGAAAAGAAAUGCGAGAGGGGUGGCCCUGGCUCCAUGCCUAGGUCGUUUGGGGGCCACAAGCCUCUCCUCUACCGACUCUCCACACCUAUGACUAUGUUUACCCCUUUGACCUAAACCUAAGUAAGGAACAAUUUUUAUGCCGCCGCUACCCGUUGUGAGGCAAUCCUAUGUGGGGUCUUUUUUCAGUACUCUGCUAGAGGGGGAAAUUGUCGUUGGAGCCUUCUUCAUCAACUUUGUUGCUCCGAUAAUCAUGUGUGAGUAAUCCUCACUGAACUAUGGGACCAUAAAAAUAGCUAUGUGGCAUCUCCUCUCUCACGUUCUUCAAUACAAAGAUCAAAUGAGUGGCCUAACAUGAUUGUGAGCAAUAUGAUGUAUUUUUUGGUGUGCUUGUUGUGAUGUGAUGAAUUGUCACUUUAUGACCAGAUUAUAUAUGGACUUUUGUUUGGUAUAUUUUGGUUCUUUGUUGCGUGAUUUAUAGUACAUGCUCUCUGAUCUAUUAGUCUCCCACUGGCAUGUUUAGAUUAACAGUUUCCAAGAGGGUGUGGUGUAUGUUGGUUGGUUUUAACCUUGCAAAUUCCUAUACCGGCGAGAGAAGGGAAUGAAGCCCUGUAUUGUGUUAUUGUCACUCAUAAAAUGAGAAUUUCUUAGUUCUUCCGGUGAUGAGCUGGAGGUAAAGAGAACAUACUAUCAACAUUAUGUCACCUUGCUUAAUGUGAUGCUCUAUUUUUAUUUAAUAAUUUGACAUGCAUGAUAGAUUUCAGUCUUGAAGUGGAGUAUUAGUUAUAGAUGUAGUUGAAUAACGAUGUAGAUAUAAGGAUGCAAUGCCUCGGUGAAAUUGCAAUAUGUAUGAUCAGACGUAAACACUACAACUUGAUGAAAACACAAGUGCAAUGUGUUCACCACACCUAUGCUAAUUUGGAUAGAUGGCACUUGUGAAGUUAUAAAUUUGUUUCCUUUAUCCCUUAGAAAUACAACCUCAUUUUCUUUUUUUCUACUCUUAAAUAUUCUGAAUUUUAAUUUCGUUUGCAUAUAAAAUCUAAUUCCAAACACUCGAUAUACUAAUCCUAGUAAAUAACAAAGUGAGACUGACAACCUCACUACGUAAAAGUUUCAUAGUUGAGUGAAGGGAUGAUCAUGGGCUCGUAGGAGAACCAUGUGGAUUGGUAAACUUGGUUCUCACUUAGGGAAAAACUUUCUUCUUUCUACAAACCCUUGGGUUGGGGGCUCAAUGGCAAUUUCGUUUGAACUUAAGCAUAAGGAACAUCCAUAACACCUGGCACCCAAAUAAGAUAAGUGCAAUUUCAUGGAUAUCCAAAAAAAACUUUAGGAUAUCACUUCUACAACCAAGAAGAGGGAAAAAUGUUUGUUAUUCAAAACAAUAUUUUCCAAGAGGAAGAGUUUAUUACUAGGAAGACUAGUGGGACAGCGGUUCAACUUAAAGAAGUCAAAAAGAUUCGCUUAGGUAGGGCAUGACAAGUAAUGCUUACGAGGCUGGUCAAAUCUAGGAACCCGUGGCAAAGGAAGCACCCCUCUAUGAAGGGCGGAGAAGCUGCAAAAGUACAUGUUAGACAAUAGUGAGCCGAUACCUAUUCCAAAAUAGCUACAACUCACCACCUAAUCUUCCUAGUCAUGCAAACAUGUCACAUAAGCAAACCAUGCAUUUAAGUCAUAAAAAGUAACUUGUUGCAUUAGUCUAUGCAUGCAGUGCCAAAUCAUCAAUUCAUGGAUGUUAGUCAUAAGUUACUUUUUCAUUAGAUUUUGUAUUUUUAUGGCCGUUAACUAAAAGUGCCACCCCUCUUUUUAGACGCUUCAAAUGUUUUUAUUGCUUUUAUGCUUACAUUUGUUUUUUUAUUAGAGUUGAUUGUUUUAGUAACCCUUUUUACAUUUCUUUUAACAAGGUUCUCGCAGCAAUGCAUGGGGUAUCAUCUAAAGCAAUGAUGGACCCAGACUCAAAGGAAUAGGACACUACUAGGGAAAAGCCUAGCAGCAGCGCGGGUUUUGAGCCUAUUAGCAGCGCGGGGGCCGGCGCUACUAAUAAGGCGCUACAGCUAACUUAUAGCAAUAGCGCGGGUGUCACCUGCGCUACUACUACGUCCUUUAGUAGUACCGUGGGUAAAAACCCGCGCUACUACUACCAGCGCGGGUUUUUUUUUUGAAUUUUUUCGAAAAAAUAUUUUGAUUUUUUCCCUAAUUUUCCAAUUUCUAAAUUAUUUUAACCUCAAAUCUCUAAUCACCCCUCAUCGCUGCUCAAUUUAAUCUCUAAUCACCCCUCAUCAUUCCAAAUCAUCUAACUUCCCAGACGGUCACCCAUCCUCUCACUACUCCAGCCUGAGCACGCUUAACUUCCGGGUUCCAUUCUCCCUCGUUUCCAAGUCCGCACUUGUUGUUUUCCUGACAAUAGUAAGAUGUCAAUCCUAUUAACCUCAGGAAUUUAGCUUGAGCAUGAAGUCACACAUUUCACUAUUUGAGUUUGAAACUAUUGUUUAAAAAAUUAGUAACACUAAUAUUUCUUGAAUAAUUAGUUUGACCACAAUUUGACCACAGUUUGGCCAUAGUUUGACCAGAUUUGACCAACAUUCAAAAAAACUAAAAUAAUUAUUUAGUAACACUAAUAUUCUAGAAUAAUUAGUUUGACCAUUGUUUGACCACAGUUUGACCACACAGUUUGAAAUUUUUUCGAUUUUUUCCACUCUAGAUCUUAAAAGCCCCAUAACUUUUUUUCUGUUAGGUUUUUGAGGAUUUUGAAAAUGUUUAACGGGGUUUCCGCAGUUAAAUUUGGAUGUAACUUUUCAAGUAGAAGAUUUUUUAUAUAAAAAACUUUUUCAUCUGAGUUAGUAUGCAAAAGUUAUGCCCAUUUUUACAAAUUCUCGAGAGAUUUUGCAAAUAAAGUCGAAAUUCAUAUUUGCAAUUUUUCCCAACAACUAGACCACAUAUCACAUGGGAAACUUAUUUUCUUUUAUUUUUUUUGACAUUUUCAUCAUUUUAUUUUAUUUUUUUUAAAACUGAAAAGGCGAUCCACAGGGGGGUAGAGUUUGAAAAUGGGACCUUUAGUAGCAGCGUGGUUUUUUACCCCCUCGCUGCUACUAUGGCACCACUUAGUAGUAGCGAGGGCUAAAAACCAACGCUACUGCUAGCAAACUUAGUAGUAGCACGAUUUUGAAAACCCGCGCUACUACUAUGGCAUGUCCCGGGGGGCACGGUAGAGACCGCUUAGUAGUAGCGAGGGUUAAAAACCCGCGCUACUGCUAUAAACUUAGUAGUAGCGAGGUUUAAAAACCCGCGCUUCUGGUAAGUAGCAGUAGCGAGGGUUUUUAAUCCUCGCUACUAGUAACUUUCUGUGUAUAGACGUUUCCCUAGUAGUGGGAGAGUGCUAUUUGAUCUGAAAUAAGAUCCAUGGGGGACAAUUAGGUUUAGAUCUUUUUUGAUCCACCUUAUGGGGUUAAAUCCGCCAUGGAUCUAUAAAAAGAAGAUUGAUAUGGACGGAAAUUUUCAUAUACGUAAUACUCGACUUGUCGCAAGAGGUUUUUGAAAAGUUCAAUGAUUUAACAAUGACGAGACUUUCUCGCUAGUAGCGAUGCUUAAAUAUGUGAGGAUCAUUCUAGUUAUUGUCUGCAUAUUUUGAUAUGAGAUAGGAAAAAUGGAUGUCAAAUAGAUUUACUUAAUGUAAAACUAAGGGUGGAUAUAUACAUAGCAUAGCCUAGAGGUUUCCUUGAUCCAAAUAAUCCAGGAAAUAUGCAAACUUCAGAAAAACCAUUUAUGAGAGAUACAACUCAAAUGUAUCUAUAUUUUUUUAAAGUUUCAAUUGAAAAAUGUUGUCAAUUUUAAAAACGCUCAGAAAUUAUAAAAUAUGUUCCCAGUUUCGAAGAAUGCUCGCAAAUUUAAAAAAUGUUCAUAAUUUCAAAAGGUGUUCAUGAAUUUAAAAAUGCUUCUGAAUUCAAAAAAUAUUCGUUAUUUCAACAUAUGUUCACAAAUUCAGGAAAUGUUUGCGCAUUCAAAAAAGUUCCUGCUUUCAAAAAUUGUUCACUGAUUAGAAAAUAUUCUUGAUUUGAAAUAUUAUUUGCAAUUUCUAAAUAUCAUGAAAUUCACGAAAAAAUCAUAUCAAAUAAUGUCCAAGAAUUAAAAAAUGUUCAGUUUGAAGAAUGUUCACCAUUUAAAAAUGAUCAUGUAUUUGAAAACUUGUCGCAAAUUCAAAUAUAUAUUUCAAAUAUAAAAAAACAGAAGAAAACAGCUAGGGGAUGUCCUAUUAAUUUUCCAAAAGCAUGGGAACCAAACACACUGUAAACCGUAAUAAUGUGUCUGCCCAUAUUAAUGGCACAGGGCCAACCCACGCUCGGGGAGGGCCUAUCCAGUGCUUUUUGACGCAUUUGUGUCAAACUGUCGGAAAAACAACAUGUAUGAGCGAUUUAGGCCGGGCCAUCUGUAGUAUACGUAAACUUUUUCACGUUCUGGUUUUGGUAACCUUCUGGAAUCUUUCUUAACCGAUUUUUUAUAUCCUUCUUUAUUUUAAUUUUUUAUUACUCUCUCUCUCUCUCUCUCUCUCUCUCUCUACUUUUUUCCAAGUUAAAUUUUACUUUUAAAUUAGUUCAGAUUUUUAAAAUUGUAGUUACAAAAAAAAGUUCAGGUUUUUAAAACAAUUGUUCAUAUAAUUUAAAACAUCUUCCUAUUCAUGUUUUCAAAUUAUGAUUCGUGUUUUCAAAUUUGAUUUGAGAGUUUCGGAAAAUAUUCCACUGUUCAAAAAAUCGUGUAUUCAAACUUGUUAGAAUUUUUUAAUUUUCUUUGGUUGUCUCUAAAAAUAUUCCUGUUUUAGAGUAAAUUACAGAUUCAAAACAUUAUCGCUUUUUCAAAAAUUAUUCGUGUUUUGAAAAAAUGGGAAUUUCAAACAAUGGCAUGUGUCCAAAAUUUGUUCAGAAUUUCAAAAACAGUACCCUUAUUCAAAUUGUGUUCAUAGAUCCAAAUAAAUUGUGCGUCUGAAUUUUAUUAGGAAUUUCAUAAAAAUCAUGUUUUUUAAAACUUACAUAAAGAUUCAAAUUUUCAUGCUUUCAGAAAAGAAUCAAGAAUUUUUUGUAUUAUAUUGCAUUUUAAAAUAUUGUUUGAGGUUUUAAAUAGUUCCAUGGUUAAAAUAUCACUCUUUUAAAAAAAUGUGUUUUCAAUUUGGAAAAAAUGUGCCAACUCCACACUUGUGGUAGCUUAAAGAUCUAUGUUGCUUGUUAACCAACAACCUUUUUCAUCUUAAGUGGCUUGCCACGAUCAGCUCCAUACUACAGGUCCCGUGUUUUAUGGGUGCCCCUAUAUCUCGCCUUCAGCGAGUCUAACUUCCGACUCGCUGAAGGGGGUGAGCAAGGUAGGCCAGCCCACGUGCGUGGGAGGGUACAGCCCGUUUUUCUGUUUUCUUUUUUUCUUUUUUGCUUUAUUUUUGUAUUUUUUGUACUUUAAAAUAUGCUAAAAAUAUACAUUACGAAAAACACCCCAUAAAAACAGUUGGAAAAUGUUCAACCAGUAUUUUAAAAAUGUUCAGCAAGUAUUUGAAAAAAUGUUAAUCAAGCAUUCAAAAAAUGGUGAACAAGUAUUUGAAAAAUCUUGAACAAGCAUUCAAAAAAUGUUGAACAGCUAUCUUAAAAAUGUUUAACAAGUAUUUGUAAAAAUGUUAAUCAAGCAUUCGGAAAAUGUUGAAGAAGUGUUUGUAAAAUGUUAAUUAAGCAUUAAUAAAAUGUUGAACAGGUAUUUGAAAAAUGUUAAUCAAGCAAUCGGAAAUUGUUGAACGUGUAUAGAAAAAUUGUUGAUCAUGUACAAAAAAAUGAUAAAAAAUUGAUCACGUAUGUAAAAAUAAUAAUCAAAAAGGUGAAAAAAAAGUGAUCAUGUAUUAAUAAAAUGAUGAAAAAAUGAUCAUGUAUAUAAAAAAUGCUAAUCAAGCAUUGGAAAAAAAAUGUUGAACAAGUGUUUGAAUAAUGUUAAUCAAGCAUUUGAAAAAUACCAAAUAUGUGUAGAAAAAAUGUUGACAUAUUGAAAAAAUGUGAAAUCUUGAUAUAUUAAAACUACUCCCUCCGUCGCAUAAUAUAAGACAUGUAUUAAUCAAACAUUUGAUAAAAUUUUAAAUAGUGUGUAUAGGAAAAAUGUUGACCAAGUGUUAAAAAAAGUUAGUCUUAUAUUUGAAAAUUGUUAAUCAACGAUUUCAAAAAUGUUUAAGAUGUGUAUUAGAAAAAAUGUUGACCAAGUGUUAAAAAAAUGUUAGUCUUAUAUUUGAAAAUUGUUAAUCAACGGUUUCAAAAAUGUUUAAGAUGUGUAUUAGAAAAAAUGUUGACCACAUAUUAAAAAAUGUUAAAUUUUAUUGAACAAAUGUUGGACAUUUAUUAGAAAAAUGUUGUUGACAUAUACGAAAAUUGUAGAAUGAAACCAAAAGAAACAAAGAAGACUCAAAAUAAAAAUGAAAAGAAAAAAACAGAGAUGAGAUGAGAAAAGCAAACAAGAAACAAAGAAGAAGAAGAAAGAAAACAAAUAAAACCGAGGAAAAACAAGAAAGAAAGAAAGAAAACGGAAGAAAAAAUUAAAAAAAAAUGGGGAAAACAAAAUAAAGAAAAAAACAAUGAAACUAGAGAAAAAUCGGUGAAACAAAAACAAAAAAACCUGGAAAACGGAGAAGAAAUAGUGGAAACCCCGCUCGAUUUGAAUUAAGUACAUCCGACCUACUAGUUUAGCAUGAACGCGACUGCUCGUGCAAUCAACUAGUAGGGCAAGGUUUGAAUCCUCCCAGCGCGUGUUUCCUUUUUGUCUCCCUAUUGCUUUUAAUUUCCGCUAUUGGGCAAGCCCGUUACUAUACAGUUCGACACUAGAGAUAGUUUCGCCUAGCUUAACACGAGAUAGUCGCCGCAUCACCUUGCACACAUUCUUGUUUUUUUAUUUUAUUUGUCCUUUGUGUGAACUCUUAACGGGUCGGCCUAGUAGAACGACAUAUAAGAGAUCUCUAAAAUCACUAAUUAAGGGAUACCCCUUGUAAAGAUCACUUCGACGUUUCCAAGUUGCAACAAGUGGCGCAAUGUGCCACUUGUCGCAACCUGUUAGUUUUCCUUUUUUUUCGUAGAUUCGUUUAUUUCAAACGUCUUAUCUCUUAAACCAUACAUCCUAAUCGCGAACCUUUUUCACCAUUGGAUUUCUCAUGUUGAGAUUUUUGAAAUCAGAUCCCAUGUUAAUAGAAUUUGACGAACUGUUUUUCAUGAAAAAAACAGAAAAAAUAAGAGAAAAGGAAACUAAGCCGGAAGACUGGUUUUUUUCUUUUUCGAGAGGUAAACCUGGGCAAACGUCGGGCCGGGCCGGGUUUCGGGCCAGGCUUGUAAAAGCCCGACCUUCAUUUCUCAAGCCCGAGCCCGGCCCGAAGCCCGAAAUACUCCCUGAUUUCAAGCCCGAGCUCGGCCCGAACUCAAGCCCGAAGCCCGAAAGCCCGGUCCGAACGGUGUUUUUUAGUACGUGUACGUGCAAGCCCGGCCCGAAGCCCGAAAGCCCGGCCCGAAAAAGAGAAAAAGAGAAGCCCGAGCCCGGCCCGAACUACCUUUCGGGCUGCAAAACAAAGCCCGAGCCCGGCCCGAGUGUCAAGCCCGGCCCGGCCCGGCCCGGGUUUUUUGGGCCGGGCUCGGGCCGGGUCGUCGGGCCGGGCUGCCCAUGCCCGGGUUUACCGAGAGGCAUAGUUGUGCCGUUCCUCGAAGCAAAUAUGUGCCGCACGAGAAGCAAAUCGUGGCCUCUUGUGAAAGAACAAAAAAUAGUGUUUUUUUCCUUUCGCGUGAGGCAAAGUUGUGCCUCUUGCGGAAGCAAAUCUGUACCUCUAUGAGAAGCAAAUCUGUGCCUCUCGCGAAAGAUUUUUUUUGUUUUUUCACUUUUCUAUGAGGCACACCUAAGCCUCUCAUGGAAGCUAAAUUAUGCCUCCACAAGAAGCAAAUAUAUGCCCCUCGAAGAGGAGAAAACGCUUUCUUUUUCUCUUUCCAAGAGACACAACUCUCAUGAAGUACACCUGUGCCUCCACGAGAAACAAAUUUGUGCCCCUCACGGAAGAAAAAAUCCAUUUUUUCUUUUUCGAGAGGCGCAGUUGUGCCUCUCGUGAAAGCAAACCUGUGCCUUCAAAAAAAGAAAAUAUGUGCCUCUCGUGAAAGAAAACUGUUUUUUUCUACGCAAAAAAAGUUUUUUUAAAACCUAGGGAAACCCGGCAAAAACAAAAAGGCAAAAAACCAAAAAAAUAUCAAAAACCCGAAAAAGUGUGCAGAAAAAUAAAAUAAUUCAUGGAAGCGCCCAUCACGUGACACAUGGCGGCGGAGCGCCAAAGUGACCCUUAAGGGUCUCUCGCAAGGGGUACCCCACAAUUUCUUCUUUUUUUGAGAAUUCUCGUAACCUUUAUUGAUGAAAGUUUAAAGGUACAAGAACUUGGUCGGGGGAACACCUAACCACAAAUGCCGACCUGAAUCUAGAUUAUAGGCAUACUUGGCUACAUUAUGAGCCUCAAAAUUAGAACUCCUAUUUUCAUGAAUGAAAGUACAAGACUGAAACUCUUUCGCCGUGAAGCAAAUCUCCCGGAUUAGUGCCGCAUUGUUCCCACCGCUUUGUUGAUGGAUUUCUUUGAUGAGUGCCUGACAGUCGGACGCGGCAUGCAGAUGAUUGAGGUUAAGGCCAGCAGCUAGUGCAAGUGCUUCCCUCACCGCAUAUGUUUCAAGUAGCAGAGGAUCCCUAGCAUGCAAUACCAAGGCUGAACAACCAAGGUACACUAGUAGAAAAAGGGUCAAAUGUGAGACAUAUUAGUCCAGGUUUGUAACAGAAUCGACACUAAUGUGUCCAUUAGUGCCGGUUCCAACGGCUAGGCGGUAGGAGCUCUUUAGUACCGGUUCGUGGCGAACCUUUAGCACCGGUUCGUGCCACGAACCGGUACUAAAGAAAGUGGUGGUAGGGUGUUGUCAGAGUGAGGCCCUUCCAGCACCUUUAGUACCGGUUCGUGGCACGAACCGGUACUAAAGGUCGUCCUAUAUAAACCCUUCGUCCACCCGCACUUUGUUCUUCCCCCUUUCCCCUCUCCCUCUUCUCUGUUCUUCCCUUCUUCCUCUCGAGUUCAUCACAAAAUUUGCCCCAAAUUUGUCAAGAUUUGCAGGCCCUCAUCCAUUCAAAUGAUCACCAAGGUUAGCAACUUUGUCCUUUCAUCUCUCAUUACUAGAUUAGCUCUUGCAUUGGUUUAUAUAGUGAUUAAUUGUGGGUUUUAGUAAUUUGGGAGGAAUUAUAUGUGGUAGUAUUUGAUUUAUAUGCAAUUUGAGGUCAAAAUAACACUUAGUUUGCAUAUGUAGGUGUGGUUUACUUAGUGCCUUCUAAAUCUCCGUCGUAACCACCGUCGAUCGCCCGCACCGUCCCGUCGCCGGCACCACCUUGUGGUGAGCCUCUUGUUCAUGAAAUUUUAUAUAAAAAGUUGAUGUUUGUGUGAUUUGGAUAUAUAGUUACUCGUAUAAUAAUUAUCUUACCCGUACGUUGUUUGUUAUACAUAGUGCCAUGGUUUUGAUAUCUGUCCCCGUCGGCCCUCGUCCUUGUUAUGAUUCGGAUGUGGUAUAUUCUCUUUUAAAACUAUUUGUUGCAUUUCGUGUUUAUGACAAAUUAUGCCCAUCAAGUUGACAUAGAUAUUUUUAUCUAGGAGGUAUGUGAACCGGAAAUUCCAACUGACCCUAUUGUCGAGAGGUUAAAUUUAGUUAAAAGAGAAAACGAGUACUUGAAAGAAAAAUUGAAAAGAAUUGAGGGGGAGAAGAUGGAAUUGGAGUUGCAUGUUGCCGAUGUCGUCGAUGAUCACAAGUUCAAGAUGGAGAAAAUGCGCUUGAAGAUUAGAAAGAUUAGAAAAUAUGCCAUCGAUAGUGACGCUUGCAUUUAAGUGUUGUAUGAACUUUAUGUAUGAACUUGUAUUAAUUUGGUCUAUUCGGUGUUGUGUAAUGAAGAUGAGCCGGCAAUGGAUGUACGAUGACCGAUGCUCUCCCCAGUUCGUUGAGGGCGUGCAUACUUUUCUGCUUGCGCCUGAGGCAAACAAGCGGGCGGAUGGUUUUAUGCCUUGUCCAUGUGCUGGCUGUAAGAAUGGUCACAAUUACUCUACGUCAAGAACCAUUCACGUCCACCUGUUUGAGUCCGAUUUCAUGCCCCACUAUAAUGUUUGGACCAAGCACGGAGAAAGAGGGGUUAUGAUGGAAGACAAUGAAGAAGAAGAGGACGAUGACAGCUAUCCUGGCCAUGGGUUCCCUGAAUACGAUGAUACAACAAUGGGGGAAGAAGCUGAGCCGGUAAUGCGGGAAGAAGCUGAGCCGGCAAUGCGGGAAGAAGCUGAAGAAGAGGCAUCAGAUGAGCCCGUUGAUGAUCUAGGUCGGGCCAUUGCCGGUGCAAAGAGAAAUUGCGCAAGUGAUUUGGAGAAGAAGUUGCAGCACAUGUUAGAGGAUCACAAAAAAUUGUUGUACCCGAAUUGCGUAGGUGACAAGAAAAAGCUGGGCACCACACUGGAAUUGCUGCAAUGGAAGGUAGAGAAUGGUGUAUCUGACAAGGGAUUUGGAAAGUUGCUGGUAAUGAUAAAGGAUAUGCUUCCAAAGGACAACGAAUUGCACGAGAGUACGUACGAAGCAAAGAAGGUUGUCUGCCCUCUAGGGUUAGAGGUGCAGAAGAUACAUGCAUGCCCUAAUGAUUGCAUCCUCUACCGCGGUGAGUACGAGGAUUUGAACGCUUGCCUGGUAUGUGGUGCAUUGCGCUAUAAGAUCAGCCGCGAUGAGCAUGGUGAUGUUGAGGGCGAGCGCCCCAGGAAGAAGAUUCCUGCUAAGGUGAUGUGGUAUUCUCCUAUAAUACCACGGUUGAAACGUUUGUUCCAAAACAAAGAGCAUGCCAAGGCGAUGCGAUGGCACAGAGAAGACCGUAAGAAAGACGGAAAGUUGAGAGUACCCACUGACGGGUCGCAGUGGAGAAAAAUCGAAAGAAAGUACGGGAAGGAGUUUGCAGAUGACGCAAGGAGCAUAUGGUUUGGUCUAAGCGCAGAUGGCAUUAAUCCUUUUAGGGAGCAGAGCAGCAACCAUAUCACCUGGCCUGUGACUCUAUGUUUGUAUAACCUUCCUCCUUGGUUGUGCAUGAAGCGGAAGUUCAUUAUGAUGCCAGUGCUCAUUCAAGGCCCUGAGCAACCCGGCAACGACAUUGAUGUGUACCUAAGGCCAUUAGUUGAAGAACUCUUACAACUGUGGAAUGGAACAGGUGUACGUGCGUGGGAUGAGCACAUGGGGGAAGAAUUUGACCUAAAGGCGUUGCUGUUCAUGACCAUCAAUGAUUGGCCUGCUCUCAGUAACCUUUCAGAACAGACAAACAAGGGAUACCGCGGAUGCACGCACUGUUUGGAUGAUACCGACAGUAUAUAUUUGAAUAGUUGUAAGAAGAAUGUGUACCUGGGACAUCGUCAAUUUCUUCCGAGCAGGCAUCCCGUAAGAAAGAAAGGCAAGCAUUUCAAAGGUGAGGCGGAUCACCGGACGAAGCCUCGCCACCGUACUGGUGCUGAUGUACAUGAUAUGGUCAAGGAUUUGAAGGUGAUAUUUGGAAAGGGUCCUGGCGGACAACCUGUUCCGAAGGACGCUGACGGACGCGCACCCAUGUGGAAGAAGAAAUCUAUAUUUUGGGACCUGCCAUAUUGGUAAGACCUAGAGGUCCGCUCCGCAAUCGACGUGAUGCACGUGACGAAGAAUCUUUGCGUGACCCUGCUUGGCUUCUUGGGCGUGUACGGGAAGACAAAAUAUACACCUGAGGCACGGGAGGACCAGCAACGUAUGCACGGAGAAGACGGCAUACAUCAGGGUCAUGCAAGCUAUGCUCUUACCAAAGAAGAGAAGGAAAUCUUCUUUGAAUGCCUGGUCAGUAUUAAUGUACCGUCUGGCUUCUCGUCGAAUAUAAAGGGAAUAAUAAACAUGGCAGAGAAAAAGUUCCAGAACCUAAAGUCUCAUGACUGCCACGUGAUUAUGACGCAACUGCUUCCGGUUGCAUUGAGGGGGCUUCUAACGGAAAACGUUCGAUUAGCCAUUGUGAAGCUAUGUGCAUUUCUCAAUGCAAUCUCUCAGAAGGUAAUCGAUCCAGAAAUCAUACCAAGGUUACAGAAUGAUUUGGUGCAAUGUCUUGUCAGUUUCGAGUUGGUGUUCCCAUAAUCCUUCUUCAACAUCAUGACGCACGUCCUAGUUCACCUAUGCAAAGAGAUUAAUGUUUUGGGUCCUGUAUUUCUACACAAUAUGUUCCCCUUUGAGAGGUUCAUGGGAGUCUUAAAGAAAUAUGUUCAUAACCGUGCUAGGCCAGAAGGAAGCAUCUCCAAGGGCCAUCAAAAUGAGGAGGUCAUUGAGUUUUGUAUUGACUUUAUUCCUGACCUUAAGCCGAUUAAUGUUCCUGAAUCGCGGCAUAAGGGCAGACUGGAUGGAAAAGGCACGCUAGGAGGGGAACAAAUAAUAUGUAUGGACGGACAUUCUCUCACUGAAGCACACUACACAGUUCUACAGAAUUCCGCCUUGGUGGCUCCGUAUAUGGAUGAACACAAGAAUUUGCUACGCUCCAAACACCUGGAGCGGUCUGAUGACUGGAUUACACGUGAACAAACCAGGAGUUUCGCCAGCUGGUUGCAGACAUGUACCAUGCGUGACACCUCUAUUGAAGAUGACCUGUACUUGCUGUCCCAGUUACCAUCUUCGAAUAUAAUGACUUUCAAAGGGUACGAGAGAAAUGGUAAUACAUUUUACACGAUCACCCAAGAUAAGAAGAGCAACAACCAAAACAGUGGUGUCCGCUUUGAUGCAGGAACCAAGACAGGAAAGGAAAUAUAUUAUGGUUAUAUACAAGACAUAUGGGAACUUGACUAUCGACGUGGUUUAAAGGUCCCUUUGUUUCGGUGCAAAUGGGUCAAUAUGACACGAGGCGGGGUAACGGAAGACCCGCAGUACGGAUUGACAACAGUGGAUCUCAACAUUCUUACGUAUGCAGACGAACCAUUCGUCCUAGCCAAUGAUGUGGCACAGGUUUUCUAUGUGAAGGACAUGUCUACCAAGCCAAGAAAGAGAAAAGAUAAGGAAGCGAAUGCAUCGUACGAUGAGCCAAAGCAGCACAUAGUUCUUUCAGGGAAGAGAAACAUCAUGGGAGUGGAUGACAAGACAGACAAGUCAGAAGAUUAUGAAAAGUUUGAUGAAAUUGCUCCAUUCACAGUGAAUAUUGACCUGAGCAUCCCGUUAAAUGAUGAAGAUUUUCCAUGGUUACGGCGCAAAGGGACACACGCAAAGAAAAAUUUUCACACCCAAAGAUAUGGGAUGUGAUCGGCUUCACUAUCAUCACUUUCUUCUGUGUUUCACACCCAGAGGGGAAUCUCUGUAAUAGUUAGGGUAGUUAUGUGUUUUGGCAUUUGAAACGCGAAGAAAUUUUAUGUGCAAACAAAUUCUUUCAUGCCUUUAUUGAUUUUUAAAGUUAAGUUAUUCACAAACUAGUGAUUCACACUAAUUUCAAAUAAUUCAAAAUUUAAACUAUUCAAAUUUGAAAACUACGGGCACUAACAGAAAGUUUGUAAUUUUUUGUACCUAAAGCAAAAAUAUUCACAAAGAAACUCUAAAUACACAAAAAAACAACACAAAAAUAAAUAAAGCAAAAAAAUAAAAAAAAAUCCCGCCUACUAGGCCAGAGCGGCCUGCAUACGACUAGAAACCCAACCUGUUGUUGGGCCAGGAUGCAGGCCCGCAAAGGCCAAGUGGGCCCACAGGGCAGCAAAGAACACAUAGGCCCAGUAGGCCUGCUUUCGAGAGGAGCUCGAGAGAGCGACCGCAAGGGGGUUUAUAAACCAGUGCGGUCGCCCCUCGGCUAGCGAGGUGGGACUAAACUUGCCGCACCGCACCUGCGCCAGCGCACCCUCUUUAGUACCGGGUCGUGGCGAAGGGUCAAUGUGAAGCACAAUAGUGCCGGUUGGAAUUUCAGCCGGCACUAAUGUGUACACUAGUGCUAGUUCGUGGCGGUGAUCAAUAGCACCGGUUCGUGGCGAACCUUUAGUGCCGGUUCAUGCCACGAACUGGUACUAAAGAGGCUUUGUCAGCCUCCGGUCAGGCUAUGGCCCCACCAUCACCAUUUAGUGCCGGUUCGUACCACGAACCGGUACUAAUGAGGUUGUGUCAGGUAAGGCUGGGGCCCCACGAGCACCUUUAGUACCGAUUCAUGGAUGAACCAGACGUAACCGGUUUUUUAGUCCCACCUCACGAAGUGAGAGGGACUAGGAGCGGUUUAUAAGCCCUGAGUGCAGAGACGAUGAAGAAGAGGCUCAAUGCUCACGUUGCUUAGCUUCAAGCCUUCAGGAAUACGGUAGACUGCACGGAGCUAUGCGCAGUGCAGUUUACACUAUUCCGAAAGGCUUGAAGCAAAUUAACGAGCAUUGCACCUCUUUUUUAUUUUUAAUAACUUAUUACAACUCCGGACUUCUUCUGUUAUGGCAAAAACUAAUUGCACGUCGACAUUUCUUUUUUUUAAGUUAUAACUCCAGACUUUGACCAUCAAGUUUUGCAGAAAAGAAGAAAAACUAUAGCUGGAAAAAAAAACUACUCAGAAAUAAAUAGAAGAAAAUAAAUAUAGCAGAAAAGAAAAAACUACUCAGAAAUAAAAAGAAGAAAAAAUAAAGCAGAAAAGAAAAAAAAUUAUAUUUGCUAUUUUUCAAUCGUUUACAAAAUGACCGUGAAAUUGAAAAUCACUACAAAAUAAACUCUGAAAAUGUUGAAUUUUCGCAAACUAGAUGAAAAACUACUCACAAAUAAAUAGAAGAAAAUAAAUAUAACAGAAAAAAAAACUAUACAAAAAACUACGCAAAAAUAAAUAGAAGAAAAUAAAGCAGAAAAGAAAAAACUAUAAAAAAAAUUGGGGCGCUGCCCUGUGGGCCUGAUAGGCCACAGGUGUGUAAUUACAGGCCUUAAAGACCCAGCAGACUCACAGGACAGCGCACAGAGUUUAGGCCCACAAGCCUGCUAUAUAGAGGAGUUCGAAGUGGUAGCCGCGACUGGGUUUAUAAACCAGUGCGGCUGCCCUUCGCCCGGCGAGGUGGGACUAAACUUUGGGGUGGUAGCGCGAGGCGUUUAGUACCGGUUGGAACCACCAACCGGUACUAAAGGGAGGGCCUUUAGUACCGGUUUACGCCACCACCCGGUACUAAAGGGGGUCGCUUCCCGCCGCUUGGGCUGGCCAAAACUGGCCUUUAGUACCGGUUGGUGGCUCCAACCGGUACUAAAGGCCUCUCCUAUAUAUACAACACUUGUGAAAAUUUCAUUCUCCCUCUAUUUCUUCCUCUGUUUCCCUGAAGCACCGUCCGCGCGCUCCGAUCGAUCGACGCUGUCGUCGUCGCCGCCCCCGUCCCCGUCGCCGUCCCGGGCCCAUCUCUGUCGCGCCGUCCCCGCGUCGCCGCCCCCGCGUCACGCCCCGGCCCNNNNNNNNNNNNNNNNNNNNNNNNNNNNNNNNNNNNNNNNNNNNNNNNNNNNNNNNNNNNNNNNNNNNNNNNNNNNNNNNNNNNNNNNNNNNNNNNNNNNNNNNNNNNNNNNNNNNNNNNNNNNNNNNNNNNNNNNNNNNNNNNNNNNNNNNNNNNNNNNNNNNNNNNNNNNNNNNNNNNNNNNNNNNNNNNNNNNNNNNNNNNNNNNNNNNNNNNNNNNNNNNNNNNNNNNNNNNNNNNNNNNNNNNNNNNNNNNNNNNNNNNNNNNNNNNNNNNNNNNNNNNNNNNNNNNNNNNNNNNNNNNNNNNNNNNNNNNNNNNNNNNNNNNNNNNNNNNNNNNNNNNNNNNNNNNNNNNNNNNNNNNNNNNGUCGCCCCGCUAUGAGCUCUCCCCCUCUAACCCCUCUCCCUCGCCCCCGGCGGCCACCAUGGGCGCCGCCCCUCCCCGAGCCCAUACACACACACACACACAAGCAUGAUGAACACACACACACACGUACAUAUGUAUGAAUUAAUGCAUGUAUAUAUUAGUAUAUACGUAUUUUGUAUGUUUAAUUAGUUUAGAUUAUUUAGAUUAUUAUUUUUCACUAUUAUAUAUGUAUGAAUGCAUGUUAGAUGGAUAUAAUUAGUGUUUAAUUAGUAUGGAAAUUUUUUAUAUAAUGUUGUUUUUCAGUUUUUUAAUGGAUGUAUAGAAGUUGUGUUUUCUGUUUUUAGUGUUAGAUGCUUAAUUAGUAUGAAAUAGUAUAUAGAUUUUUGACAUAUGCAAUGAUAGCGUAAUUAGUGUUAUAUAGAAAUGUUAGAAAUUUUAGUUAUCAAAAUCCAAUCAUUAAAAAAAUGUUACUUUUUGCGGGCAUAUAGCUAGUAUUUGUUCUCGACGAUGCCCGGCCCGCAUCCUUGCCGUCGACCCGUCCACGACGACGUCCGGCUGACCCAUGUCUGGGACUGGGCUCCGCCGGGCUGGCACUGGGAGGUGCUGCCUGGAGGGGCGCGCCGCUUGAUGAGGAACCCGGCCCCGGGUCCCGUCGUCGACCCUGAUCUCGUUUGGUGGCGUUCGCGUGGGCCAGUUUCGGUGCGGAGGGACCCGGCCCCGCCGGAGGUGGUACGUCGCCGUGUUAGGGAGGAGGACAAGCACGUCCAUCGCUACAUGGUUGCGUUAGAAGACGGCAGGUUCUCUAAUACCUGGCAGUUUCUUUAGGGAUCUCACUUCAGCUAUGAUCCUGUGAGGGUUCCUUCUCUUUGGGUGUCCACCGCCCGCGCCGCAGGAACCGCGAGUGUCCUAGAUUCUUCUGUAGUAUUCAAUCUUUAAUUAGCUACCUAGCCAGUGAUGUACUAUUCAAUAUUAUAUAUUAUUUGAGACGAUGUAUUCGAGAUUAUAUCUAUUAUUCUAGACGAUGUAUUCGAGAUUAUAUCUAUUAUUCGAGACGAUGUAAUUUGAAUACUAAAUUGUUUUAUAUUUCUUUUGGAUUAGUUAAAUAAAAGCUACGGCAGACAAUACCGACAGAGAGGGAGAACAGACCAUGUUCGAUAUGAUACGCGGGCCAGAUGAUGAUCAGAAUGAAGAAGAAGAUUAUGACGGCUCCGAAUUUCUAAACAACACCGGAGAGGGUGAUAUGAUAUUCGAUCGCGACGACCGAAUUGAUGAAGUCAUGAACUACGAUUAUGACGAUGACGAAGAACAUGUUGAUCCUGAAACAACAAAGACCGGUGAGGUAUAUUUAUAUAAGCAGGCAUCUGGUGAUCAUCACAUGUUUUAAAUGACUUGAAGAUAUAUUAACGAAUCGAUCUUUGUUCUUUCAGCCAUCUGGAUCGAGCAAAUCUUCAGGCAAAAGGACAAAACGAGGCCCGAACAAAAAGUUGAAGAAGGGCGUAAAGUACAAUAUCGAGGCAGUCAGACCUAAUGGCGAACCAUUAGCGCCUAAGAAGAUUGCGGACAAGUUCGUUCGUCAGUGCGGAGUUCUUGUGAAGGACCAACUCCCGAUCAAACUUCAAGAAUGGAGAGAGCCAGCAAAGCCACGUCUAGAUGUUGCUUUUGUCGAUAAGAAUCAAAAAGAUCUGCUUUGGGAUACUCUCAUGGAACAUUUCACCCUACCAGAUCAUUUCACAAAAGCAGAUGUGCAGAAAGUCAAGGACGCUGCUCUUAGGAAGAUGGCGGUUGCAUUCAAGAACCACAAGAAUCGUGAAUGGGACAAGUACGUCAAAGGAGGAAGAAAGACUCCAGUAUUCGAGGGAACACUAGAGAACCAACGUGCUCAUUGGGACGAUUUCAUGAAAUUCAAGGAUUCGGAAUUAGCUAAGGAACGGUCGAGAAUAAACAAGAAGAAUGCCGAAAAAAGGAUAAGUUCCAUAAGCUGGGGCCAGUGGCUAUGCGGUGGCAAUGCCUAAGUGGGAUAAGUCUGAGAAAGAGAUGGAGGAUGCAGGUGUCACUCCGGUUACUAAAAGCUGGCCCCCCAGGUGCAGGACUUGGUUCUAUGCGCAUGGGGAGAGUUGGACCCGAAGACAGGCAAUGUUUCGACGAAGGCAAGUCUGAAGGGAGCCGAUGAUGCGAUACUUGUUGCAAUAGAAGAGGCACGAUCGGGGGUGUUCUAGCCCAACAGAGAGAACGACGAGCUUACGUGUGCCCUGGGAAAUCAUGAACACCUGGGAAGAACACGAGGCAAGGGCGCUAUUCCGUGGUAUGACGGGUUUUCAAACUGGAACACCGACUACAGAACCCGUGCAAGAAAGAAGAUUGCGGAGGAGAAGAAGAGGAAGAUGGAGGAGGAGCAGAGGAAGCGGGACUAUGAACGCCUUCAAGGCCUAGAAGCAAGUCAAGCGGAAUUGGCAGUCAAAUUCCAGCGGCAGCAGGAGCAGAUCGACUCACUUACCUAGCAAAGGGGGUCUCAGCAGCUGCAGCUUCUAGCGGAUGAUCCAUCAUUGGAUAGCACCGCCCCAUCCAUGCCGAGAAGCAGCGUGGGUUCCGCCCCGGACGACGCAAUGCUGGGUAGAUACCCCGUGGAUGACAUCACGGAGAACAGUAACUGCGAGCUACACGUCAAAAUAACGAACAUAUCCAUGAAGGUGGCGGACACCGUUGCUUUUACAAAUCCCCCCGAGGCAACCUUCCAUUGCAACCUGAUUCCAGCGGGCUAUGCUCGUGUCUUUGUUGAUGAGGUGGUGGACCCACCAUAUUCGGAGCUACAGCUUGACAUUCCUGGAGGUGACGACGAGCGCUUUCUCGGAGAGGCCAAACAUCGUAUCAUCCUAUGGAAAAAGGAUUGCAUCAUCUUUCGAAGGCCACCGACACCGCGACAGCCGACUCCUCGUCGAAGUCCGCCACCGAGUCAGCAGACUCCCGCUCCUGCAAGUCCACCAAGUCCGGCAAAGUGUCAGGCCACUCCUCCUCCAAGUCCGGCAAAGUGUCAGGCCACUCCUCCUCCAAGUCCGGCAAAGUGUCAGGCCACUCCUCCUCCUCCAAGUCCGCCACAGCGUCAGACGUCCACUCCUCCUCCAAGUUCGGCACAACCUCAGGCCACUCCUCCAAGUCCGGCACAGCUUCAGGCCACUCCUCCUCGUCCAACUCAGCCCCGUCAGCCGUCUCCGCCGCCUCAGCAAUCGCAGAAGAGACACCCCGCAGCUAUGGUGCGUAGCGGUACGAGUCGAGGUAGUACAGGAAGUACAGGCGGAGGCAAGCGAUAUAAAUAUGGUCCAAGCCUCACGCCUCUUCCGCAGAGGGCUUAUGACAAGUCCAAGGAGGAAAACGCAGCCAUAUCGAAGGCCGAGGUGGAAGCCCAUUUUGCACCAAAACCGCCACCGCCGCCAAGGGAGAAAGUGCCUGAGGAAACGAUUGACCACUUCAUUCGUAUGGCUCAACCACCAGCUCCCAAGCCUGUUGACACAGACUAUGAGCGCCACAUCAGGAAGUUAAAUCGAGCACGUCUACGUAAGGAGGCGAGCUCGGGAUCGAGCAAACAACAAGCAGCUGUCAAAAAAUGCGGGAAAACCAUUCCCCAGCUGGGAGAACAGGCGGCACAAUCGAUUCCCUCGCUUGUUGUGCCAACAACACGUGACAGUACGCGCGCCCAAUAUUAUUAUGGGCAAAUAGUUUACGUUCCCGAGGUGGGCAAUGUGGUAAUAACCAAGGACCAUAUAAUGCAGGCUGAAGUUUUCAACAUCACUGUUGGACAACUCCUCGAGAUCGAGCCCAUGCCUGUGCUUAGAGAGGAUGAAAUAAAACGGAAAUAUGUCUGGGGCCAACCUUUGGUCGAGCCAGACAAGGUCAAGAACCUCCCAACGAGAAUGUAUGAAUUGCAUCAAUGGUACAUGAAAAUUACCAAGAUUUCAGAUCGAUUGUCCCUCAUGGUGAAUGUCAAGGAGGAGCAUUACUUCCAUGAGAAAGCUCUGUCCGUUGAGUAUUCUGAACUGUUUCAGUUAUACAAUCAAGACGCACUCGACAAAUCUAUCGUCAGUUGCUAUUGCCUGUAAGUGAUUCCUUUCUGUAAUUUAAGUCUCAAGCUAGCUGUAGUGAUCCUUUUGAUCAAUCAUUACCUGUAAUUAUCCUCACUAUAUUCUUUUCUGUGGUAUUAUGCAUGAUGAAGAUGUAUGAAAUGAGAAAAGGUGGAUGCUAUGGCAUUGGGUUCAUUGACCCAAACACCGUUAAUGAAUACACAUGGCAGAUAAAUCCACAUCAUCAAAAAAACGUAGAGGACAACAUGCUAGAGUUCUUGAAGCGCCUCAAAUACAAUGAAGAUAUACUACUUCCUUACAACUUCCAGUGAGUCACACUGUCUUGUACUACAAAUUCUCUGUUUUUGUCUACUAGCUAGCUACAUGUUUUUGCUUACAUAUGCCCGCUUAAUUAAGACAUGCAAACGUGUGUGCAUGCAGAUUUCACUGGAUCUUGUGUAUCAUUAAAGUUGACGCCGGAACAGUUGAAAUACUGGACUCACUACUCAAAGUUAAAACUGACUAUAACAUCUUGUUUGGGAUAGUCAACAGGUAAUUUCAAUCAUUAUUAACUAUAUAUCUCGUCCUAUUUAGUUCGUCAUUUCAUGAUAUGAACUAUUUAAUAACCCCUUUAUUCAUUUUCUUUGUCGGCGGGCAGGGCUUGGGCAAGGUUCAUCAGCGUCACGGAUGGCGAGUGGAAAAAAAAAGCUUCAAUGGUUUCGACCCAAGGUAAGUAAUUAAGUAGUACUAGCUAGCUAGCUAGCUGCCAUCUCUUUAAUUAUCAGGCUUGAUUAAUUAUUAUCUGAUCAAGUUCCGUUCUCGUAAAGGCCCUGAAGCAGGCGCAGGGGACUGGUCUGUGUGCAUUCUGCGUUUGCGAGAACAUUCGCAUGAUGGCGUCCGAAAGGAGCAGAUAUCAAAGACAGGAAUGGGUACGCUUGUCAGAACAUUAUUCACAAUUUUUACACCAUUAUCGAUAUCUAGUCACACAACUAAUACACAUGCAUAUUGAUCUUCUUCUUAACAGUUCAGAGAGGUGCGGGAGAAGCUCCUAGAAACGGAGCGCGUAGAAGCACUUCAAGAGGAAAUAGCGGGAUUUUUGCUCGACCAGGUCAUAAAUCCGAAGGGAGAAUACUAUUAUCCGCUACCGCCCCCAUGAAAACCAUUUCCAAUUGUCGUCGUGCUCCGAAGGCACCAAUUAGGCUAAUGCCACUGGCUCCGAAGGCAACAUGCAUAUGUAGGAGAAAUUGUAUAUAGUUAUACAUUUGUGUAUGUGUGAAUUAAUUAAUAUGGUGGUUUGUGAGACAUUGAUGAUAUAUAUAUGCAUGAUUGGUUCUACUAGAAAUUCUAUAUNNNNNNNNNNNNNNNNNNNNNNNNNNNNNNNNNNNNNNNNNNNNNNNNNNNNNNNNNNNNNNNNNNNNNNNNNNNNNNNNNNNNNNNNNNNNNNNNNNNNNNNNNNNNNNNNNNNNNNNNNNNNNNNNNNNNNNNNNNNNNNNNNNNNNNNNNNNNNNNNNNNNNNNNNNNNNNNNNNNNNNNNNNNNNNNNNNNNNNNNNNNNNNNNNNNNNNNNNNNNNNNNNNNNNNNNNNNNNNNNNNNNNNNNNNNNNNNNNNNNNNNNNNNNNNNNNNNNNNNNNNNNNNNNNNNNNNNNNNNNNNNNNNNNNNNNNNNNNNNNNNNNNNNNNNNNNNNNNNNNNNNNNNNNNNNNNNGUACAAUCUGUAGUAUCGUAAAAUACCAGCAAACGAAAAAGAAUUAAAAUGAAAACACAAAAUUAAAUGAAAAAAAUCAUAAAACUAAAAAAACCCCAAACCUUAUAGUACCGGUUGGUAUUAACAACCGGUACUAAAGGGCUCGAGGCCCCCGGAGCUGGCUCGUGCCACGUGGUUGCCCUUUACCACCGGUUCGUGCUGAACCGGUAUUAAAGGGGGGGUCUUUAGUGCCCACACUUUAGUGCCGGUUAUGGAACCGGCACUAAAGGGCCUUACGAACCGGCGCUAUUGCCCGGUUCUGCACUAGUGGUAGUUUCCUGGUUGGUCGCGACAGAUUGCCGCUGCUACUCCCCGCAGACCAUCGAGGGCAACCGCACCGUCUGCAUUGAGUUUGACCAUAUUCCCUGGAGGAGGAAGCCAUCGCUGCACCAUAUUCCCCUGUUGUCCCUCAGUCGGUCUAACCUGCCUUGGCGUCUCACACACGGACAAAUCAUGCAGAUAAGAUUCCACAAAAGCAUUAGUUUUUGGGGCUUUGGAAUAUUGAUUCAUGUACUGCCUUCCUUAUCACAUACCAGAUCGCCCAAAGUGUAACCACCAUCCUAGUGAACUGAUGAUGACUGAGCUCCUCAUUUAAAUCAAAUAUCCAAUUUUUUGCAACUGGUUGUCUGUUCUCUGUCAUUGUUACUACCAAGUCAUCAUCUGAAAGGGCCCAUGUGCACUGGGCCAUUGUAUGUUGUAUAUUUUUUUCGUGCAUGUUGUACAUUUUUAAAUACAACAGGAAAAAGAUUUAUACAUGUUCAAAUAAAUUCAAGUAGAUGAUUAACAAAAAACUCAAAUAUUGGUUGCAAUUUUAAAAAAUAAUCAUAAUUUUUUAAAAAAUGUUAAUGCAAUUUUAAAAGAGAAAAGAAGAAAGGAAAAAAGAAAUAGAAAAACCAAGUAGAAACCAAAGAAAAAAUGAACAAAAAAACAUGAGAAAAAACCAAGCAUAAAGAGAGAAAAAAAAGGGAAAAUCAGUGUGGAAGCUUCUGAAAACCGAGAAAAGAAGCUUCUGAAAGUUUCAAAGAACAUUUAGCUAGAAUUACACGUGCGGGGGGUGCGAUCGUGAUCGAUCGAGAGCCUUUAUUAGGCCGGCCCACUUGAUAACUGACAAAAUAGCACAUAGGUGCCGCGUAAGGGAUGACUUAUAUUCUGCACCUUAAGUGUUAAAGAUCAUUUGGCCCACACGCGGCAUGGAAUCACCUAAUAUGUGUCAUGGUUUUCUUGGGGAAAUGUCAUCUGGCAUCUGUUCACAUUUUUGCACUUUCCAAUGAACCACUCCCCUACAGUUCAAUCUCGUCUCACGGACCUUGGCACGAUCUUGAAGCGACAUCAGCUUCACAGAUUUGUUCAUGUAGGCACCAAUUGCAGUGAGCGACCUUAGCUAGUGUAUCCCUUACCCGCUCUAUCUUCACCACUCUCUCAUAUCCCUCCUCCCACUUGCAGAGACAUCCUCUCUCGUCGUAACUAAGGCUCUCCCGACGAGGUGCCCGACGAUUGCUAGUAUUUCCCGGCAUUUCUCCAUGUGUGCGGUGCGAGCGGAGGGGGGUUGGGCUCAAGGCGGUCUUGAUGAUUGGGGGCAUGGUUGUGGUGGCGGGGGCCACGCAUUUUCGUUAUCUCCGUGGGGACUGCAUGUCGUGGUCACUGGGGAUACAUGGUGGUCGGGAUGCGAUGUGCGUGGACUAGCAAAAGGCCUCGCCGUUAUCUCCUGGGUGUUUUUCCCUGCGUGCGCUGCCGGUUCUAUGCAAGCACCUGGUCAUGAGUUCCGGGUGAACGCCUAGGUUUCCGUGCUGGAUAUACCUGGCAAUGGCUAUGUUUUAUGUCGUUAACUUGUUGAAGGCAUUGCUCGGAUAUGCUCGGAUUGGUUCUUUAGGGUGAAAAUCUAGAUUCCGACCUCGUGUGGUUGGAUGCGGUGACGGCGACGCUUAAGCGUCGCUUCCGUUGUAAAGGCGUUGUUGUUGAAGAAUCUCGUCGUUGGUGUGAUGUCAUGAGGUGGUUGGUGCGGAUAUGAUAAUUUAUGUAGUUUGCAGAUCACGGAUCGGAUUGCUUUGGUUUUUUUCCUAGCCUAUGCAUAGUUUUGGUAUUGUAUGAUUUUACUAUUAGUGGGUGUGUGUGUGUGUUUUUGUAUGUUUGUAAUGGUUGUGUGCAUCUUAGCUAUGUAGAGAUCGGGUAUGUGCUCAUUAUGUCUUGUAUAAUUUUGAUGCUCCAUUUAAAGCAAAUAAAAUCCACCAUUUAUCGAAAAUGUGGAUAAACCACCGCCAGUCGUUGGAGUGGCACGGUGUGGCUGGUGCACCAUGCAGGACACCAGGGUAUUAUCAUGGUUUUGGGUACCGCCCGAGAAAAACGGAUACCGGGCGGUUACCGCGUUUCUCGCCGCCCCACGAGAAAUACCUAUCCCGAGCAAAAAAUACCGAAAUUUUUGAAUGAAUUAAAUUUGAACGCUACAAAUCUAAUAAAUUACCUUUGGUUCUCAUUUCAGACAACGCCUUUAUUCUGGCGUAGUGGUAACCAUCUGUUAUGCGCCUCGAGAGGUAGCUGGUUCGAGUCCUCUUCCCGCACUUUUUUCUGUUCUUUUUGUUAUUUUUCAGAGUAGGCAGUAAAAAAAUGACGGUCCAGAGAUUCGAACUCGCAACGUCAACAUAGCUAAGGGAGCGCGUAGUUGAGGUACUCCCUCCAUUUUUGUAUAUAAGGCCAAAAAUGACAGUCCAGAGAUUCGAACUCGCAACGUCAACAUAGCUAAGGGAGCGCGUAGUUGAGGUACUCCCUCCAUUUUUGUAUAUAAGGCCACAAACUCGAAUUACAUGUAUCAAUGUAAAAUUUAAUGUCUGCUUUAAAAGUCAAUUUUUCUUUUUUUUACUGGGAUCAUUAAUACCCCACAUGCAUGCAAGAAAACUGAGUGGAGGAAGUAGCUGACUGUCAUUAUAGUUGCAUGCAUGUAACUAUUAAACAGGUUGCUAGUACGAGAAAAUAUAAUUAAUUUUACCUUGACUAUUGUUAGUGGCCUUAUAUAGAUGCAAAACGUAUAUUUUAUAGUGGCCUUGUAUAUAAAAAUGGAGGGAGUAGCACUGAGCUAGUAUCUCUUUUCUGACUUGAAUCAGUUCAAGGUAUUAUUAUAUCUAAGUUAAAAUUGUUUGAAUUCAAAAUUCAAUAGUAAAUUUCGUCCGAAAUUUGUUCGGUAUUUCUCGGUAACGGUAACCGUGGUUACCGGGAAUAUCGCCCACCCACGAGAAAAUUUGCCUAUUUGGGAUCCAAAACCUUGGGUAUUAUUACAUGCGUAUGCAGUAUGUUGUCGUGGUUUUAGUUUAAAUUACACUAAAACCACGACGAGUAAUUUGGAACGGAGGGAGUAGCUACUAGAAAUCGCACUAGUUUGAAACUUAAACUGACCGUGCAGCUAAUUCGAAAGAGCAGGCUAGCUAGCUUUUCACUGCCCUGUAUGCAUGUGCGCGUGCUACGUUCAUUCACGUUUUUGUCAACCUGCAAAGAAACUGAGUGUGCCACCUCGUUGCCAAAGAGGGUAUGGGUGCUUCGCGGACGCAACUUCGCGGUAGUUUCCUUUCUCACUGCCAUUGCCAUGAGAUGAACCGGACUCUCCUCCCUGUGUGUGUGCGCGCGCGCGCGUGUGUGUGCAGCUCAGGCCGCGGCUGCUCGACACGUAGUGGGUGUUGAGGCAGGCCCACGCCGAUCGAGUUGCUUUGCUUCUCUCUCGCUGCUGCUGCGCUCCUCGCGGCUCGGGCACUUAAACAGGAGCCGCUCCACCACCAGCGUGGUCGUUGCGCUCUGUAGUUGUAGGCUUGUAGCUGGAGCCCCUUCAGAAGGAAGCACAGCAAGCUAGCAAGCUAGGAAGAACCUCCCUCCCGUGCAUCUGACCAGCGAGUGACGGUGACUCGGUGAGUCCCCUCCAUCUGCGGCCGUCUUGCUAUGGUUUUUUUUUUCUUCCUCUUCUUCUUCUUCUUCUUUCAUGUUGAAUGGGGACAUGAAAUUAGAGAAGAGGAACCUAACCAUAAGUUGUUGCUGAUCUCGUGAUCUCCUCCUACUGCUACUCCUACCUAGCUUGGAUCGAUGUCCAUGGAUGGCAAGACCCCUGAUCUGCUGCCUCUGAGCACGGCCAAGAAGAAGAUCCGCGAUGGCGUCCCGCUGGUCUGCGCAUGGGCGCUCAUCAACACCUUCAGCACAGCAGUCAGCUACGUAGCCGCCGACUACAUCCCCGUCUCGUGCAGCCAGGUAACCACCUACCCGUGUACUACCCUCCGAUCCUUGACAUUUCGACCGAUCCAUCAUGCGCCCUCUGCACUGCAGUCCUCCUUCAUUCUGUCGUGCAUCGAGCUGACGGGCGCGGAGGAAGCCAGGGUAAUCGCCCUCUGCAUCGGGAUUCUGUGCUGCGCCCCAUUGCAGGCGGUCCCAGCGGCGCUGGCGCUGCUGCUCCCAUGCCGUCGUCGCUCGGCCCGCCGAGCCCUCUGUAAGAAUUAUGGAAGCGUUCCUACUCCUCGAGGGAGCACUAGUAGAAAAAGGGUCAAAUGUGAGACACAUUAGUCCCGGUUUGUAACAGAACCGACACUAAUAUGUUCAUUAGUGCCGAUUCCAACGGCUAGGCGGGAGGAGCUCUUUAGUACCGGUUCGUGGCAAACCUUUAGCACCGGUUCGUGCCACGAACCGAUACUAAAAAAAGUGGUGGCAGGAUGUAAGUGAUUUCUUUCUGUUAUACAAUCAAGACGCACUCGACAAAUCUAUCGUCGGUUGCUAUUGUCUGUAAGUGAUUUCUUUCUGUAAUUUAAGUCUCAAGCUAGCUGUAGUGAUCCUUUUGAUCAAUCAUUAUCUGUAAUUAUCCUUACUAUAUUAUUUUCUAUGGUAUUAUGCAGGAUGAAGAUGUAUGAAAUGAGAAAAGGUGGACGCUUUGACAUUGGGUUCAUUGACCCAAACACCGUUAAUAAAUACACAUGGCUAAUAAAUCCACAUCAUCAAAAAAACGUAGAGGACAACAUGCUAGAGUUCUUGAAGCGCCUCAAAUACAAUGAAGAUAUACUACUUCCUUACAACUUCCAGUGAGUCACACUGUCUUGUACUACAAAUUCUCUGUUUUUGCCUACUAGCUAGCUACAUGUUUUUGCUUACAUAUGUCCGCUUAAUUAAGACAUGCAAACAUGUGUGCAUACAGAUUUCACUGGAUCUUGUGUAUCAUUAAAGUUGACGCCGGAACAGUUGAAAUACUGGACUCACUACUCAAAGAAAAUACUGACUAUAACAUCUUGUUUGGGAUAGUCAACAGGUAAUUUCAAUCAUUAUUAACUAUAUAUCUCGGCCUAUUUAGUUCGUCAUUUCAUGAUAUGAACGAUUUAAUAACCCCUUUAUUCAUUUUUUUUGUCGGCGGGCAGGGCUUGGGCAAGGUUCAUCAGCGUCACGGAAGACGAAUGAAAAAAAAAAGCUUAAAUGGUUUCGACCCAAGGUAAGUAAUUAAGUAGUACUAGCUAGCUAGCUAGCUGCCAUCUCUUUAAUUAUCAUGCUUGAUUAAUUGUUAUCUGAUCAAAUUUCAUUCUCGUAAAGGCCCUGAAGCAGGCGCAGGGGACUGGUCUGUGUGCAUUCUGCGUUUGCGAGAACAUUCGCAUGAUGGCGUCCGAAAGGAGCAGAUCUCAAAGACAGGAAUGGGUACGCUUGUCAGAAUACUAUUCACAAUUUUUACACCAUUAUCGAUAUCUAGUCACACAACUAAUACACAUUCAUAUUGAUCUCCUUCUUAACAGUUCAGAGAGGUGCGGGAGAAGCUCCUAGAAACGGAGCGCGUAGAAGCACUUCAAGAGGAAAUAGCGGGAUUUUUGCUCGACCAGGUCAUAAAUCCGAAGGGAGAAUACUAUUACCCGCUACCGCCCCCAUGAAAACCACUUCCAAUUGUCAUCGUGCUCCGAAGGCACCAAUUAGGCUAAUGCCACUGGCUCCGAAGGCAACAUGCAUAUGUAGGAGAAAUUGUAUAUAGUUAUACAUGUGUGUAUGUGUGAAUUAAUUAAUAUGGUGGUUUGUGAGACAUUGAUGAUAUAUAUAUAUAUGCAUGAUUGGUUCUACUAGAAAUUCUAUUUAUAUAUAUAUAUAUAUAUAUAUAUAUAUAUAUAUAUAUAUGCAUAACGUGUACAAUGUGUAGUAUCGUAAAAUACCAGCAAAUGAAAAAGAAUUAAAAUGGAAACACAAAAUUAAAUGAAAAAGAAAUCAUAAAACUAAAAAACCCCAAACCUUAUAGUACCAGUUGGUCUUACCAACCGGUACUAAAGGGCUCCAGGCCCCCGGAGCUGGCUCGUGCCACGUGGUUGCCCUUUAGCACCGGUUCGUGUUGAACCGGUACUAUAGUGGGGGGGGGGCUUUAGUGCCCACACUUUAGUGCCGGUUAUGGAACCGACACUAAAUGGCCUUACGAACCGGUGCUAUUGCCCGGUUCUGCACUAGUGGAGCCGCGUGGUCUGUAUAUAUUGAGACGAGAAGAAGCCCUCGUCGUGGUGUACAAGAAGAGGAUUUGAUUACAGGAAAGAGAUUCAAACUACUACGGGAGAGAGAUAGAAUAUGGUUGAGAUUACAUGUGGAGAUAAACAUAAACUCUAACACCCUCCCUUAAUCUCAACUAUCCUACAUUCAAAUUCCUCUUGAACUCUUCAAAUAGUUUUGCUGGAAGUGCUUUGGUGAAUCCAUCUGCCACUUGAUCUUUGGAAGGGAUGAACCGUAUCUCAACUUUUUUUGCUGCCACCCUUUCUCGCACAAAAUGAAAGUCAAUCUCUAUAUGCUUAGUCCUUGCAUGAAACACAGGGUUGGCAGACAAAUAAGUUGCUCCCAAGUUGUCACACCAUAAACAUGAUAUACGGUUCUGUUUAACUCCCAUCUCAUCCAAUAACGACUCAAUCCAAAUAAUCUCUGCAGUGCAUUGGCCAAUGACUUGUACUCAGCUUCUGUACUUGACUUAGACACAGUAGCCUGUUUCCUGGCACUCCAUGACACAAGAUUAGGACCAAAAAAUACUGCAAAGCCUCCAGUUGAUUUUCUGUCAUCACUGCAACCUGCCCAGUCAGCAUCAGAGAAAGCACUAACAAGAGCAGAAUUAGAACGUCUGAAAUGAAGUCCUAUUCCCGUAGUAUGCUUGACAUAUCUUACAAUUCUCUUGACAGCUGACCAGUGUGCAGUAGUGGGUGCAUGGAGGUAUUGGCAAACCUUAUUAACCGCAAAAGAGAUAUCUGGACGAGUGAGUGUCAGGUAUUGUAAUGCACCAACAGUACUUCUAUACCUUGUACUAUCUUCCUCCUGAAGUGACUUCCCUUCAUAUGCUGACAAUUUCUCUGAAGAAGACAAAGGUGUGGGCACAGGCUUGCAGUUUGUCAUCCCCAUGCGAGAUAGAAGCUCAUUCACAUAUUUCUCUUGACUUAACACUAUGCCAUCUUGAGUCUUCUUGACUUCAAUGCCUAGAAAGAAGUGCAAGUCUUCCAGAUCCUUCAAAGCAAACUCUGAGCUCAAAUCAUGCAGGAGAGCAUUAGUAGCACUUUGUGAUGAACAUGCCACUAUAAUAUCAUCUACACAAAUGAGCACAAAAAUUGCUACUUUUGCCUUGUUAUAAAUAAACAGAGAUGUAUCAGCUUUGGAAGCAAUAAAGCCAAGACAUUUUAAUUGUGAGCUCAACCUGGAAUACCAUGCUCUAGGUGCUUGUUUCAAGCCAUAGAGUGCCUUGUCAAGUUUGCACACAUAAUGUGGUGUUUUCUUAUUUUCAUACCCAGGUGGUUGUCUCAUGAACACCUCCUCUUCAAGAACACCAUGCAAAAACGCGUUCUGUACAUCUAGCUGUCUUAGGCUCCAUCCUUUGGACACAGCAAUAGCCAACACAAAUCUUAUGGUUGCAGCUUUGACAACGGAACUGAACAUAUCCUCAUAGUCUAUGCCAUACCGUUGUUUAAACCCCUUUGCAACUAGACGUGCCUUAUAUCUGUCAAUGGAGCCAUCUGCCUUUUUUUUUGAUCCUGUACACCCAUUUACAGUCAAUAAUAUUUUUACCUCUUUGAUCAGGCACAAGACGCCAAGUCUUAUUUCUCAUCAGUGCAGAAUACUCCUCAUCCAUUGCUUUUCUCCACUUAGAGUCACCAAGUGCAUCUUUUAAUGUUGUUGGUUCUCCUGAAAUACAUAACAUGCCAUAUGGUAUAGUGCCAUCUUUCCUUAUUUUCGGAUUGCGUAUACCUUUCUGUAGCCUGGUCAUGACUCGAGAAGCAACUGCUGCUGGCUGCUGUACAGGCGAAUGCACAGAAUCCGCAGAAGAUCCACCAGCAGCUGACCCAUCAGGUGAUGAUGCGCCAGGGUGCACAGAAUCCGCAGAAGAUCCACCAGCAGUUGACCCAUCAGGUGAUGAUGCGCCAGGGUGCAGAGAAGAUCUAGUGGUCCACGAUGUGCCCCCCUGGCCACUGGACGCUCGGGAACCCGCAUGGUUGUUGGGCGCAGAAGAUCCACCACCCGCCUGCAGUUGCAUGUGCGCGGGAUGCGAGGCCGAUCCGCCUACGCGGCUGACCCAGCGGUCGGGUGACGUGGCAGCGUGGGAGAGGCUGGUCCCGAAGCCUGGCCCGCUGUCUACUGGAGCGGGAUUCGAGGAAGAUGCGGCGACAGGAUGCGACGCCUGCAGACGCGCAGGGGUGGCAGGCGCCGCCAAAUCAGCUCCGGGAUCUGCGCCAGCUUCGUCCCCUUCUGGAGCAUGAAAUAACACCUCGUUUUGAACCAAAUUUUCAGGAUUUUGAUUGUUUUGACCACCGUUUUCGCCAGCAACCUGCACAGGCAUAAUAGUGGAACUAGGCACAGCAGAAUCAUCAGCAUAUUGGUUAGUACAAUUGUCAUCCCCGUUGUCAAAAUUUCGAAGAUUUGAUGGGAGAAGGAGAAUUUCCUUGCGAAGAAGAGCACCUGCAUUUGGAUGAAGCAAUGCAAAAGGGAACACAGAUUCAUCAAAGACAACAUCUCGGGAUAUGUAGACCCUACCGGUAGGAACAUCUAAGCAUUUUACCCCUUUAUGCAUAGGGCUAUAGCCUAAGAAGACACAUUGUUUUGAGCGGAAAGCGAGUUUUCGUGUGUUGUAGGGUCGAAGAUUUGGCCAACAUGCGCAACCAAAGAUACGAAGAGAUAUGUAAUUAGGUGUUACCCCAAGAAGCUGUGUGAUGGGGGUUUCAAGCUUAAUGACUUUGCUUGGAAGCAAGUUGAUGAGAUAGGUAGCAGUUAAAAAGGCUUCAUCCCAAAACUUGAGUGGCAUAGAUGCAUUUGCUAACAAUGCAAGUCCUACAUCGACAAUGUGACGAUGCUUUCUUUCAGCUGAUCCAUUCUGUUGGUGAGCAUGAGGGCAAGAGACAUGAUGUGAGAUGCCAAGUUUUUGAAAGAAGGAGUUUAGUUUCUCAUACUCACCACCCCAGUCGGUUUGCAUAGCAAUGAUCUUAGAGUUCAGUUUGCGUUCAACAAGAUUUUGAAAGUUGAUAAAAACUUGGAAGACAUCAGAACGUUUCUUUAACAAGUAAAUUCAAGUAAAUUUACUAUAGUCAUCAAUGAAACUAACAUAAUAGGAAAAUCUACCAAGCGAAGUGGGGGCUGGUCCCCAUACAUCUGAAAAUAUAAGUUGUAGUGGAGCAUUGGAUACACUGGUAGAAAUAGGAUAGGGUAACUGAUGACUUUUGGUCUGUUGACAUGGACCACAAACUGACUCAACACUGGACUCAUAUGAGAGUUUAUUUUUGCUAAGAAUAUAACUAACAAUUACUGAGGAUGGAUGACCUAAACGACUAUGCCACUUUGCUGAAGAUGGCUUGGUGACGACAUAUGCUUGUUUGUUGAACCAGGAUGAUGAAGAUGAUAUGAGUGGGUAGAGGCCUCCCACGCACCGUCCUCUAAGAAUGAUUCUCCUUGUUGCUAGGUCCUUAACCAAGAAAAAGUGAGGAUAAAACUCUAUAAGAAUAUUGUUGUCAAGAGUGAAUCUAUGUACAGAAAUAAGAUUUUUGGAUGUUUCAGGAACAUGUAAGACAUCUUUUAAGUGUAAAUUUUUCACGGGGUUUUUAACAAUUGUGCUGCCAAUAUGUGUGAUCUCCAUACCUGAACCACUUGUCGUGUGAAUUUGAUCGCCUUCAUUGUACCUUUCCCGCAUUGUCAGCUUGUCAAGUUCACCGGUGAUAUGGUUUGUAGCUCCGGUGUCGGCAUACCAAUUUGUAUCCACACAGUAGGAGACAUCAUGUGCCGCCUUCUCCUCCUGAUCGCCAUCUUCAUAUCUGAACCAGCAUGAGUGUGCACCCCCUGGAUGAUGUUUAAGGAAAAUCUGACAUUCAGGGUAGUCAUGCUGUUGAUCACGCCCGUACUGCUGUUGUUGUCGAGGACGUCCUCUGUUGCCACCGCCUCCACCAGCAGGAGAGGGCUGUCGGUCGCUGCGACCGCGCCCCCUUCCUCCUCGCCCGCGGUAGGAUCUGCCACGACCACGGCCUCUGUACACCGCAUUAGCUGAAGUGUGGAAGCUGCCUGAUGAUGAAUCGCCGAGCAUCUCCAUCCUCUGAUCAAAGGCGGAGAUUUGCGCAAAAAGAUCAUCCGGAGUAAUCUGAUUCUUGACAGCACCAAUCGCCGCAACCACUGGAUCAUAGUCACGGUCUAGUCCUGCCAGAAUAUAAUCCACCAUCUCUGGAUCUGACACUGGACGGCCAGCAGCAGCUAGCUCAUCUGCAAGAUUCUUCAUCUUCGCCAUGAUAGCAGAGCUUGACAUGGAGCCCUUCUUGGUUGUGGUGAUCGCAAUCCUCAAGUUUGUGAUCCUGGACUGCGAUUGGGACGCGAAGAGAGUUGUCACGGUUGUCCAUAGCUCAAAGGUGGAGUCCUUCCCAACAACCUGUCCAAGAAUUUCUGGUGUCAUAGAGUUUAGCAAAUAUGAGAGGACCUGUUGAUCCUUUGUGAUCCAUGGCCCAUAUAGCGGGUUCGGCUCCAUGGCCGAAGUCUUGUCCGCCUUGGUGAUCUCCACGGUCUUGGGUGGAGCAGCGUCAGAAUUGUCCAAGAGUCCUGUCACCUGCGCUCCUCGCAGGGCAGGCAAGACUUGCGUCUUCCAGAGGAUGAAAUUCCCUCUCGCAAGCUUCUCUGAUGGAGGGGCGCUGAGGUUGAGGGCGACUCCUGUUGAUGAAGACAUGAUGACGACGCCGGCGUGUUUUGGGGUGUGGUUUUGUGGCUAGAUGUAUAUGGAAGAGGAUGCUCUGAUUACCAUGUAAGAAUUAUGGAAGCGUUCCUACUCCUCGAGGGAGCCGCGUGGUCUGUAUAUAUUGAGACGAGAAGAAGCCCUCGUCGUGGCGUACAAGAAGAGGAUUUGAUUACAGGAAAGAGAUUCAAACUACUACGGGAGAGAGAUAGAAUAUGGUUGAGAUUACAUGUGGAGAUAAACAUAAACUCUAACACCCUCGCCUACCUCGGGCUCGCGGUCACCGUCCUCUUCCAUUGCAUGUACGCCGGUGCCGUCUGGAUCUUCCUCGCCGCCGACCCAGGAUACAUCUUCGGCCGGAUCUACUUCACCGCCAUCUUCUGCUUCAUCGUGGUGUGCGACCUCCUCAGCUUCCGGGCCCUUCUGGGAGGUGAUGGGUGGGGCAUGCAGUACGUGGCCUAUUUCUUCUGAUCAUGUUCGUGGAUCAGCUCACCAGGUACUCAUGAGAGCGUAGAGUAUGCAUUCAUUCUGCUGUGACGAUUGAUGGAGUAGUGCCGUAUCUAGUGCAGUGUUAAUAUCCAGAUCGAGUCUACUAG